UUUAACCAUGAUUGCAGGUAGGCCACACCUAAUCUUUUGUUUCGCGAAUUAAAGAGUUUUUUGAUUCAAGCAUUUGGAUUAAACGUGUUUCACUGGGUUGAUGAGGCAUAUGUAUCAAUUUAUUUCUUUUGCUAGUGUUAUGCUUCUUGAAACUAAAUUGAAGAUUGUUGUAUGCUACCGGCACAUCCCUUGCUAGUAGGUAACCAAGGGAAAAUUUGAUCCGCUUAAUUUGUUUUUGGCACUGGAAAGAAAUUUACUGCUUUCACUUGUUAACUAUGUUCAUUGCCCUUGUUUAAGAUUACUUGUGUGUUCCACAUGGUUACUGCCUAGUAUUUUCUGUACCUUGUGCGUUCAAUUGCCAUACAUAAUAUUGCAACCCUGUUCUUACCCUUUCAUGCUUCCUAAAACUCUAAUUUCUACAUCUUUAGUUGUCCCAAACCUAAUAUUUGUAUAUUUCUUUUGUGUAGACAUUGGGCUCAAGUGGUAAUACUUUGGUUUCUUUGUUUUUAGUUUUCAUUUUCUUGUUAAAAGAUGGAAGGGUUUUAUUUAACUUUUAUUUUGAGAAAGAUGAGAGAUAGAGGUGAAGUAAGGGAGAAUGAAUGCAAAAGCCAAAAAGAAAAAAAGAAAAGAUUAAUGUAAAUUGUUCUUAGUUUUGAUACGAAGUUUUAUUAAUGUUUCUUGUCUAGAAUUAAUUAAAAACAAAACUUGAAAGGCUUAAGUGGUAUCAACGAGCCUUUGAUGGUUUGUUCGAAUCGUACCUUUGUAUAUGCAUAAUCGUAAGUGUAUAAUAAAUAAGAAUUUUGAGCCUCUACAUUUAAUAUUUAUGUAUUUAUACAUAUUUAGAGUAAUUUUAAUCAUUUGAUUAAUUUAAUAAAGUUUAAUUAGUCCACAUCAUCGAAAUUAUAUUGUAGUAAAAACUCACUAUUUGUGCCCAAGCAUUUUCCCCUUGCCCAUCUUUAAUGAGAUCAAAUUUUAUUUUUAUUUUAGUGUUAAUGAAUACCCUCACCCUGGACUUGCGGACGCGUAGUGCUCAUGGCGGCCAUUUCUUCUAUGAUCCGACUUCAACCCCCUUAUAAUUUAUAUGAUAUAUUUUCUAGUUUUAGUCUCUGCACAUUCAACUUGAAAUGUAAUAAAAUUUUAUUUAAAACCCAAGAAGAGAAGUGAGUCCCAGAUACAAACGAAAGAGAAUCACAUGCAACAUUAUAAUUCCAACCCAAAAAAAAAAAACAAGGAAUAAAAUGUAAAAAAUGUAAAGAGCCAAAGAAUUGGCCAAAAGAUAUUCGAAUGGUUAACGUUCAGGGGCUUGGCUUUGCUUUGCAAGAGGAGUCUGGGAAACUACAAUAAAAAUAAAAUUGAACCCGUUAAAGAUGAGUAACCGGUAAGUGAUAAGGUAUAAUAGGAGAGUUUUAAUUUAAUGUAAUUAUGAUGAUGUGGAAUAAUUCAAAUCAUUAGAUUAAUUAAAUGGUUAACGUAAUAAGAGGCUCUUGUUAUAACAAAUAUGCAUACAGUCCAAGUUGCAAGUAAAUGGGGAAUUGAUUUCCAGGAAAAUGAUAGUCCAAUCAAUCAGCUUUUUUACAUGAGAUAUAAAAAUAAACUCUUCAUAUGAACUAUAUAUAUAUAUAUAUAUUCUAAAAUAAAAUAGAAAUACUACUACUUUAAUGAAACACACUUUUCACCUACUACUCAAUAAAAAGAAACAGACUUUUCACCCAACUCUUUUUGCUGUUGCUCCACCCCCAACGCUUUUUCCCUUCAAGUUUUCCCUUCAACUGGAAAGAGGAGACAAACAAUUACUUCUUUUUCCCUUGAAAUAAUAAAUGAGAAAAGCGAAAAACAGAAAGAAAAACAAAAUUUAGCAUACCAUUUAUCCCGGACGGUUUGGUGAAAUAUUUGUUAUAAUAACAGACUGCACAUGUUGGAUUUUGUAAAAAUCCUUUCCUCCUUCCCCAAGUCGGCUACAAAAUUCAGAACGCAUCCCUUUGAUGGUUAAUUCCUUGAGGGUAGUAAUAUAUUGGAGCCCAUCAGGAACUGCCUCCAAAUCUAAGCAAUGCUCAAUGUGCAAUCUGCAGAGACUACGCAUGGCUCCUUUCUCCACCUUCCAUUCUUUAAACUCCUCCACAAAAUCAAGAGAAAGAAAUUCGAGAAAUGGAAAGCCUCCCUCCGAGCAAACAAGAUGUGCCGGAAAUUUCCCGAAAGAAGCAAAAAGCAUUCUCAAGCUUGGCAGCUUCUCUAAUACUUUUAUGUGGUCGUCCUUGAGAUUACCAAAUCCACUCAGUGUAAGCUUUGUGAGGUUCGUAAGGCACAGGAGCUCUUCUGGUAACUCAGCGAUUUCUCCGAGUAGUUUCAACUUGUAUAUAUUAGGACAGCUUAAUACAAUGUUGAUGUUCCGUGGCAUUAGUAAACCACUUAAACGAGAGUCCACCGAUAGAGAGUGGAGAUGCUUAAAUAUGAUGUUUGUCCCUUUCUCCUUUUUUUCCCCUCCGUCAAAUAUCAUAACUCCCAAUUUUCUAAGGUUGGUUAGUUUAACAAAAUCAUCUAGAUCAGAUGAUGCCUGAAUACCAAUAUUGACUACCGUGUGCAAAUUCACUGCCUCAAUAGCAAAUAACAGACGUUUCUCUCUUCCACUGUAACGUGAGGGUAAAUAUAUAUGUCUCAAUUUUUCCAUCUUGGAAAACAAGUUUUGAUUUGGAAUUUUCAUCCGCAAAUAUCUGCUACGUAAAUCUAGAGUCUGCAAACAUACCAAUUUUGCUAUAGAUGAUGGCACCGCUUCAAUCAAACUGUUCUUUACACUUAAAAACCUUAAGUGCACUAGAUUCCCAAUUUCACCUGGUAACUUGGAUUUGCUAACAUUCAUCUCUUCAAACUUCAAAACUCUAAGCAAUGUGAAGUCCCUUAAUAGUGACCGUAAUUCCUUUGAGUUCCAGUAGCAGUAGUAGUAGGGGUCUACUUGGACAAAAUAUAACAAAGACCUAACAUAUCCAUAAUUUUCAUCUCUCCCCAGACAAUAUGCCUCAAACAUUUUGUCCAAAUGGAUGGCAAGUCUUCGAACUCUACCAUUUGGUGUUUGCUUGAUCUCCAAAGAUGCAGAAUAAUUGAUAGUUCGGAGAAAGUUUCCCUCUUUUGCCUUUAAAAUGCACAAGUCUCGCAUAAGAUCAUGGAGAUGACAAGUCUUGAUUUUCUUACUCGAACCAUGUUUUCCAACUUGAACCAUACACCUGCCCACUAACUCACUUAAGCACAUAUAUGAUACAUCUUCCAUUACUUCCACUGCUGCUGAUGAUAUAAAACCUUCUGCCAUCCAUAGUUUAGUCAAUGUACUCACCGGUAUUUCACAAUCUUCCGGAAAAUGGGCUAAGUAGAGGAAACAUAGUUUUAAGUAAUAAGGUAAGUUAUCGUAACUCAAUUCCAAUAACCAUGAUACACCUUCAUAUCCUUCAUCUUUGUAAUCGGGCCCAAGGUCUAUGCCUCUCCUUAUAUAUUCAUAAACAUUCUUAUGCACCAUAUCCCACUCAUCAAUUGUUUCCUUUCUAGCUAGAAGUCCUGCAAGAACUGUGAUGGCAAGUGGCAAACCUUUACAAUGUUGAAGCAUCUUCGUUCCUAGCUCUUUCUUUUGUUCAUAAAUUUUGGAAUCUGAAAAACAAUAUCAAGAUCAGAUACAUGUGUUCAAUUGAUGAAAAGUAUACAAAACAAAUUAUCCCUUAAGUUUCUGAUUUUUCUUUGGGCUACAACUUUGGUUUGUGUUGGUCCGUUAUGUGAGCCCUGAUUUAUUUGGAUAUUAAGUGACAGAUCCUUCCGUAGGUACACGUUCUUUCUAUUGAAGAAAAGUAAUUUCUAGAGUAUAGGGUUUUAAUUUGAGUAUAUUUUCUGAAUAUAAAUAUUGUGAUAAUAAAACUACUAUCUUCAUGUAGAGGCGUAGUGAUCUCAAUUCAGAGUGCAAAAGUUUUGAAUAUCCUAUAGUAGAAUUUUCUUGGAGUGACAAAGAAAAAGUUAACACGCUGAAUUGAUAAACAUGAAAAGUAGAGAUAAAAAGGUUUGUGUGAGAACAUACUUGUAUCUUCCCCAAACAUUGCUAUCUUCUCAAACAGUUCCCAGCUUUCAUCAUCAUUCAACGACCUUGGUUCGAAGAGGAAACCAUUUUUAUCUGCACAGGAAGCGACUUCUUUGUUGCGAGUAGUGAGUAAAAUGCGACUCUCAGUUUCCUCAUUCAUUGGAAAUCCAGCUUCCAACGACCUCCACGCAUCACGGGUCCAAAUGUCAUCAAUCACCACCAAACAUCUCCUUUCUCUUUGCGUAUUCCAAAGCCACUCUGCUAUUUGAUCCUUCCCCAGAUCUGCAAUUUCUUGUCUUUGCUCAUUGGUAGGAGAAAUGAGUUUUGUCAGAAUUUCUUUCAAAACUUCCCGUGCUUGGCAUUGUUGAGAGAUACACACCCAGGCAAAACAAUCGAAAUGACGCUUAAUAUCACCAUGAUGAUACACUUGUUUUGCAAGAGUGGUUUUACCCAACCCGCCCAUCCCCCAAAUAGAAACAACUCGGGGGCCGUUUUUCUCGAUCAAAAGCGUAGCCAAUUCCUCUGUUCCACGGGCUAACCCAACCACAUGAGGGUCGACAAUAUGAGGAUAAGCUAUCCUCCGUUCCUUUUGCCUCUGAAAAAAAGUGUCACCUCCACUCUCCCUUGUUUGGUCUAGUUUAAAACUUUGCAUAAUCGAACUCAACAGUGAAAUUUCGGUUGUAAUUUUCUCAAUGUCUGAGCCAAUCCGAUGAAGAUUAACUCCGUUUAUGAAAAGGCCAGUAAACCUUGUCAAAACACUUGCUUUCCUCUUGGAAGCAACUUUUAAGACAAAAGUUUCGAUGAUAUCGUCAAGAUCAUAAGCAGCAUCUCUGACACUUGCCACCCAAAUGCGUAUUACUUCAUUGCGUCCCUGUCUUGCGUCUGCAUCUUUCAAGUAGGCUUGCAUGAUUUGUAGCUGGGUUUGUGCACUCAGAACCUUUCCACCCACUCGAACCAACGAUUUCAAUUCCUGAAUGAUAAGCUUGCUGAGCCCUUCGAGCACUAUUGAAACAACAGCUUCCGCCAUAUUAGCAGCUUUUCUUUUUCUUCUGUUUUUUUAGAUUGAAAAAACAAUCUUACCAAUGGAGAAGUCUCAGUUCCGUUCAUAUAGGAAGUAGCAGAAGUGCAGAAGUCAACCAAGUCUCCGCCCUACCCUGUUCCAUAAUCAAUUAUUCUGAUAUUUCCACAAUCAAUGCCAGCUUUGAAAAGUAUCCAAUGCCAGCUGUGAAAAGUAGCAGAAAUGCUCACCUGAGGACCAAAUUUUGAGGUACUCAGAGCGGCAAACACAUAUUACCCGUUGGAUUAAUCCAAGGGCUUGUAGUUUUAGUAACUUAACCAACUCGUGAGACCCAUACGGGUUUUCCAACCCUUCUUCUAAUGAAUUUCAUAUUGACUCCCAAAAGAGUGCAUCCAAAAUCAAGAUUUGAUUCCAGGUCCCCCAGCAAUUUGAUCAACUGUUGAAGCAAACCAAUCAUGCAAUGCAAACAAUUGCUUUGCUUCGUUGAAAAUGCGACUUGGACUGACUUUCAUUGGGAGAAUUCAAAGCUACUAUAUAUUAGACAGCGUUGGAUUAAUCUAAUGGGUGAGAUAUGUUUGGCGCUCAGAGUCUCUCCAUAUUUGGUCCUCAGGUGAGCACUUCUGUUGAAAGUAGACCUUAUCUCAUACAAUCACUUUUUGAGACAAUGGUGAUAGCAUUAUCUCAUACAAUCACGUUGUACAAAUUAUUUCUCUCUUUGCCAUUUUAUUUUGGGAAAAUGGGUUUGUCAUCCUUGUUUUGUUCCAUAACUUUUGUCGAUUUGUUUAGAGUGCUUAAACUUUCCACACGGCAUGAUCCACAGAGAGACCUUUGCUCUGCUGAGCAAAUAAUGGCAUGUUGCUUUUCUUUUAGUCAAAAGGUGGUAACAUGUUUUUGCCUUUUAAUUAAUUCACGCGCCAAACAUAAUAACAAUAUCAUAAUGCAUGUAGGUGCGUUUUCUCGGAAACAAAUGCAGCAAGGCCUUCGAAGAAUUUUCAGCAGGGCAUGCCGUGCUUGCAGUGAAUUCAAGUAGCCGAUGGGCCUGUGGUGUUGUUGAGGGUCGACAUAUCCGAGCCCCCUGGUCCUUUUCUAUGUGGAUUUGAAGUUCAAUAUCGUAGCCCAGCAAGAUUGAAGUCGUGAAAGCAAACUUAUUUUGGGUUUCUUCUUCUUAUUAUUAUUUUUUGAAUUCUUCGGAUAUUACAACUACUAUAUCCUAAUCAUAUACCCACUUACUUUUAAAUUUUUGCUGAAAAUUCAAAUUUAAAAUAGGUUGCUAUGUUUGUCCUAGUAUUAUUAACUAAAGGGAAAAGCUAGCAACCAUAAGGUGUGAUAUAGUAGACAAACUACCACCUUCAGCUGAUAAGUUACUUGGUGCCUCAAUAACAGGGAUUUCAAACCCGUUGAAAACACUUUGUGUCCAAGGGCAAGUCGAACUCCGAAGGUUGUGGAGACACCUCUUGGUAUUUAUCAAAAAUAGAGGAAUGCUAACAACCUUCUGUUUUGGACAUUCUUCCUUCUCCCUUCUCCAUUUUCCUUAUGACAUGUGUACACUUUCUCUACACUUACAACAAUGUCAUUAAUACAUUAGACCAUGUAUCUUUUGUUUCCCAAAUUUACCCUUAUUAAGAGCUGCUGUCCUCCGCCUGUAUAAAAGAACCCAAAUAAAUUCUGAGUGUCGCUACCCAAUCUUCGUCCCCAAAGAGACUUUCAAGUUUUACCACAUCCCAUGCCCCCAAACCAGUUAAAAGAUCAGAAACAGUUGCAUAUGGUUUCACUUUAGUGGUGAAUAAUGGCUUAAAAGUGGAUGGUUUUGAAAUCCAUCGAUCCUGUAAUAUCCUUACCGCGAUGCCAGUGCCGAUUUGCCGUACCAUGCCUUUCUCAAUAACUUGUCUCCCCCACAUAAUAGAUUUCCAAAUUAAAAAAAGAAGAGUUGCCAGUAACAGCAUUCAUAAACUCACUGUGCGAAAAAUACUUUGCCUCGAAAAUUCUUUCCACCAAGUACAAGCCACUGUUAGUCUUGGGAUCGUGGCAUCAUUUUAAAAUCCUCUACUGCCUGUCUUCUUCUCUUAUUUUGUACAUUUUCCAUUUGAGAGUUGGAAAUUGGAACUAAUAAGAGCCAAAGAAGUCAAAUUCAUGAAUAAGCCUCAUACAAACUACAGGAAUGCGCAAGUUGUAUAAUUUAUAUUUUUCGUAACCACUCUGUAUAUGUAUUUGAUUUGUAUAAAUACCAAGUUAUUUCCAAAAAUUUCGCCAAAUUCCACUGAUUCAUUACUUAAUUCCACCGAAUUAUUUCCGAUUAAUCCUCAUUGUUAAAAUCAACCAACUAUAAGUCGUGGUAUGACGUUUGAUUUGUAUGAUGCAUGGAAAGUAUUAUAACAUAUGCAUAGCUCAUUAAGAGGUUUCACGAACUAGGUUACUUGGAGGUGAAGAAACUGUUGGUAUAAUUUCUUACCCAAAAAAAGAAAAAAAAAGUAAGAAUAGACUGCACCAACCAAUAACUGGUUUAAUUUGAACAAUCUAUAGAUGCCACGCCAGUAAUUUAUUACCCAAGAACACCUAAACUUAUUGACGGAUGAAUGCAAUUGGAUCGUACUCCUCCUGGACCUUCCACAUACACAAGCGCACACAACUAUAUUGAUGAAAAAUUGAAGCGCCAACUUUAUAGGUGACAAACAGAGAAAAACAAGACAACGCGUCUGUAUGAAUCUACAAGUAACAAAAAGCAAACAAUAAAACUUUGAUAAAAAGACUACUAUAUCCUUCCCAUAUGAGCAUUCACAAUUAUGCUCUCUAUUUUUGUACUUAAAUUUUAGCUAAAAACAUAUAAAAGUUAUUUAGGAUCUCUCUAGUUUAGAGAGUCAUAAAUGUUAUAUCUCUUUUUUAAUUGGUCCAUUUUUAUUAAAAAAAUAAUAUAAAAAAUAAUUAACAUUAAAUAAAUCAUAAAAAUUCACGGAUUGCUACUCCAAAUCACUUCUUACAAGAAAUCAUAAAAAUGUCUCUAGUGCAGUAUGCUGCACCAUAAAUCCAAUCUACGGCCUGAGAUUCGUUAAUAUGUAACAUCAUUUUCCCAUAUGCAUAAAACCAUCGAUUAUUAGAAGCUUCCAUACAUAAUUGGGAUAAGUAGUCGACAAUGGAAUUACCAAAAGAGAAGGGAAUAUCACGAUAACGAUAAUUCCUCCCAAAAAGCCCCUUAUACGUGUCAGUUUACCUAAAAAUGAUGAAUUUGAGUAUUUUAAGAGACAAUUUUCAUACCAAAUUAUAGCUUCUCUCUUUUGAGGGCAACGCUUUGGAAGCUCUUGACAAGCAUCACUAAUACAACUUCUACAAAGUUCACUCGGGAUUAUACUCCAGCGUUGUGCUAGCCCAUAUACAAUUGUAUUCUUUGAUACUUUAUGUCCUCCAGAAAACCAACUUCCAUGUCCUCUCAUUAGAUUUGUCUUAGUAAAUUGUAUGAAUAACUUAUUCAAGUGAUCCCCGAGAAUCUACCAACAAAAAUAAACAUAAUAUAAUAUAAUUAUAUUAUAUUAUAAAAUUAUUUAAAACCAUAAAAUUUUAAAUUAAAAAAAAAAACUAAUGGUUUAUAAUGAAUUGUUAUAAACCAUAAAAAGUUAAUGGUUUUGAAUGAGUUUGAGAUCUUAGGCCAUUCAUUAGAUCUUUACACUUAAUGACAUUUUCUUGAUUUUUCAAGAAUGAACACCUUUGUUGGAAAUGCCUUUUGUUUCUCUUAAUUUUAACUCCUUCACUUUAAGGCUCCAAGACUGGAGUCUACUACCUCACCAUACCAAAUGCUUCUAGAGAUGAAGAGAAAGCAAUCAAGAAGUAUGAAUGCUAGUCUACUUCUGAAUUGGACUAAUUGUUAACGUUCAGAGGCUUGGCUUUGCUUUGAAAAUUAAACCCGUUAAAGAUGAGUAACCGGUAAGUAACAAGAUAAAGUUUUAAUUUAAUGUAAUUACGAUGAUGUGGAAUAAUUCAAUUCAUUAGAUUAAUUAAAUGGUUGAAAUUUCUCAAAAUGCGUAUAAUAAGAAGCUCUUGUUAUAACAAAUAUGCAUACAAUCGAAGUUGCAAGUAAGUGGGGAAUUGAUUGCCAGGAAAAUGAUAGUCCAAUCAAUCGGCUUUUUUACAUGAGAUAUAAAAAUAAACUCUUCAUAUGAACUAUAUAUAUAUACUAAAAUAAAAUAGAAAUACUACUACUUUAAUGAAACACACUUUUCACCUACUACUUAAUAAAAAGAAACAGACUUUUCACCCAACUCUUUUUGCUGUUGCUCCACCCCCAACUCUUUUUCCCUUCAAGUUUUCCCUUCAACUGGAAAGAGGAGACAAACAAUUACUUCUUUUUCCCUUGAAAUAACAAAUGAGAAAAGAGAAAAACAGAAAGAAAAACAAAAUUUAGCAUACCAUUUAUCCCGGACGGUUUGGUGAAAUAUUUGUUAUAAUAACAGACUGCACAUGUUGGAUUUUGUAAAAAUCCUCUCCUCCUUCCCCAAGCCGGCUACAGAAUUCAGAAAGCAUCCUUUUGAUGGUUAGUUCCUUGAGGGUAGUAAUAUAUUGGAGCCCAUCAGGAACUGCCUCCAAAUCUGGGCAAUACUCAAUGUGCAAUCUGCAGAGACUAGGCAUGGCUCCUUUCUCCACCUUCCAUUCUUUGAACUCCAACAACGAAUAAAGAGAAAGAAAUUCAAGAAAUGGAAAGCCUCCCUCUGAGCAAACAAGAGAUGCCUGAAAAAUCCCGACACUAGCAAAAAGCAUUCUCAAGCUUGGCAGCUUCUCUAAUACUUUUAUGUGGUCGUCCUUGAGAUUACCAAAUCCACUCAGUGUAAGCUUUGUGAGGUUCCUAAGGCACAGGAGGUCUUCUGGUAACUCUGUGAUUUCUCCGUGUAGUCGCAGCUUACAUAUUUUAGGACAGCUUAAUACUAUGUUCCAUGGUAUUGGUAAACCCUUGAAACGAGAGUCCACCGAUAGAGAGUGGAGAUGCUUAAAUAUGAUGUUUGUCCCUUUCUCCUUUUCUUCCCCUCCACAGAUAACUCCCAAUUUUCUAAUGUUGGUUAGUUUAACAAAAUCAUAUAGAUCAGAUGAUGCCUGAAUAUAAAUAUUGACUACCGUGUGCAAAUUCACUGCCUCAGUAGCAAAUAACAGACGUUUCUCUCCUCCACUGGGACGAAAGGGUAAAUAUAUAUGUCUCAAUUUUUCCAUCUUGGAAAACACGUUUCGAUUUGGAAUUUUAAUUUCCCAACAAUGAUUACGUAAAUCUAGAGUCUGCAAACAUACCAAAUUUGCUAUAGAUGAUGGUACCGCUUGAAUAUGACCAUUCUUUACACUUAAAAACCUUAAGUGCACUAGAUUCCCAAUUUCAUUUGGUAACUUGAAUUUGCUAACAUUCAUACCUUCAAACUUCAAAACUCUAAGCAAUGUGAAGUCCCUCAAGAGUGACCGUAGUGCCUUUGAGUUCUAGUAGCAGUAUGUUGAGUCCAAAUAUAACAAAGACCUAACAUGUCCAUAAUUUUCAUCUCUCCCUGGACAAUAUGCCUCAAUCGUUUUAAUGGCAAGUCUUCGAACUCUACCGUUUGAUGUUUGCUUGAUCUCCACAGCUGCAGAAUAAUUAAUAAUAUGGAGAAAGUUCUCCUCUUUUGCCUUUAACAUGCAUAAGUCUCGCAUAAGAUCGUGGAGAUGACAAGUCUUGAUUUUCUUACUCAUACCAUGUUUACCAACUUGAACCAUACACCUGCCCACUAACUCACUUAAGCACAUAUAUGAUACAUCUUCCAUUACUUCCACUAAUGCCGAUGAUAUAAAACCUUCUGCCAUCCAUAGUUUAGUCAAUGUACUCACCGGUAUUUCAUAGUCUUCCGGAAAAUGGGCUAAGUAGAGGAAACAUAGUUUUAAGUAAUAAGGUAAGUUAUCAUAACUAACUCCAAUAACCAGGAUACCCCUUCAUAUCCUUCACCUUUGUAAUUGGGCCCAAGGUCUAUGCCUCUCCUUAUAUAUGCAUAAACAUUCUUAUGUACCGUAUUCCACUCAUCGACUGUGUCUUUUCUAGCUAGAAUUCCUGCAAGCACCGUGAUGGCUAGUGGCAAACCUUUGCAAUGUUGAAGCAUCUCCGUUCCUAGCUCGUUCUUAUGUUCAUAAAUUUUAUGGUCUGAGAAACAAUAUUAAGAUUAGAUACAUGUGUUCAAUCGAAGAAAAGUAUACAAAACAAAUUAUCCCAUAAGUUUCUGAUUUUUCUUUGGGCUACAACUUUGAUUUGUAUUGGUCCGUUAUGUGCGCCCUGAUUUAUUUGGAUAUUAAGGGAGAGAUUCGUUGUUAGGUACACGUUCUUUCUAUUGAAGAAAAGUAAUUUUCUAGAGUAUAGGUUUUGAUUUGAGUAUAUUUUCUGAAUAUAAAUAUUGUGAUAAUAUAUAUACAUAUAUUGUGAUAAUAAAACUAAUAUCUUCAUGUAGAGGCGUUUUGAAUACUGAAUUGAUAAACAAGAAAAGUACAGAUAAAAGGUUUAUGUGAGAACAUACAUUUACCUUUUGUUUCAAACAUUGCAAUCUUCUCAAACAGUUCCCAGCUUUCAUCAUCAUUCAACGACUGUGGUUCGAAGAGGAAACCAUUUUUGUCCGCAUACGAAGUGACUUCUUUAUUGCGAGUAGUGAGUAAAAUUCGGCUCCCAGUUUGCUCAUUCAUUGGAAAUCCAGCUUGCAAAGAGCUCCAUGCAUCACUGGUCCAAAUGUCAUCUAACACCACCAAACAUUUCCUUUCUCUUUGGGUAUUCCAAAGCCACUCUGCUAUUUGAUCUUUCCCAAGAUCUUCAAUUUUUUGUCUUUGCUCAUUGGUAGGAGAAAUGAGUUUUGUCAGAAUUUCUUUCAAAACCUCCCGUCCCUGACAUUGUUGAGAGACACACACCCAGGCAAAACAAUCGAACUGACGCUUAACUUCACCAUGAUGAUAAACUUGUUUUGCAAGAGUGGUUUUACCCAAGCCGGGCAUCCCCCAAAUAGAAACAACUCGGGGGCCUUUUUCUUUGAUCAAAUGCGUAGCCAAUAUCUCUGUUCCAGGGGCUAACCCAACCACAUGAGAGUCGACAAUAUGAGGAUAAGCUAUCCUCCGUUCCUGUUGCCUCUGAAAAUAAGUGUCACCUCCACUCUCCCUUGUUUGGUGUAGGUUUAAACUUGGCAUAAUCGAACUCAACUGUGAAAUUUUGGUUGUAAUUUUCUCAAUGUCUGAGCCAAUCUGAUGAAGAUUAACUCCUUUUAGAAGAUGCCAGUAAACCAUGUCAAAACAUUUGGUUUCCUCUUGAAAGCCACUUUUAAGACAUAAGUUUCGAUGACAUCCUCAAGAUCAUAAGCAGCAUCUCUAACACUUGCCACCCAAAUGCGUAUUGCUUCAUUUCGUCCUUGUCUUGCGUCUGCGUCUUUCAAGUAGCCUUGCAUGAUUUGUAGCUGGGUUUGUCCAAUCUCAAUCUUAUCACCCACUCCAUCCAAGAAUUUCAAUUCCUGAAUGAUAGGGUUGCUGAGCCCUGGAACCACGAUUGAAACAACACCCUCGGCCAUAUUAGCAGCUUCUCUUUUUUCUUCUGUUAUUUAUUUAUUUUUUUGGAUUGUUGAAAUAAUCUUACCAAUGGAGAAAUCUCAGUUCCGUUCAUAUAGGAAGUAGCAGAAGUGCUGAAGUCAACCAAGUCUCCGCCCUACCCUAUCCCAUAAUUGUUGUGAUAUUUCCACAAUCAAUGCCAGCUUUAAAAAGUAGCAGAAAUGCUCACCUGAUGACCAAAAUUUGAGGGACUCUGAGCGGCACACACAUAUCACCCGUUGGAUUAAUCCAACGGCUUGUAGUCUUAGUAACUAAAAGGGAGACCCAUAUAGACUUUCCAACCCGUUUUUAUAAACAUUUAUCUGUUGUGAAGUCUGGCAUUCAUAUCAGGAGGGAGGAAAGAACAAAAAAAGCUUGCGACUAAAGCGAUAGAAUGCUUUUCUUUUGCUCAAAAAGUGGUAGCAUACUUUUGACUUUUAAUGAACGAAAAUUCUGCGGUAUAUUGUACUUUAAAAAUCAAAGCAUGUGAUGAUGUGUUUUUGUCAGUGUGUAAUUUCAACACGGCAUGAUCCACAGAGACACCUUCGCUGGGCAAAUAAUGGCAUGUUGCUUUUCUUCUAGUCAAAAAGUGGUAGCAUGCUUUUGCCUUUUAAUUCAUUCACGCGCCAAACAUAAUAACAAUAUCAUAAAUAAUGCAUGUAGGUGCGUUUUCUCGGGAACAAAUAUAGCAAGGCCUUCGAAGAAUUUUCAGCAAAGUAUGAAGAACCGAAUCGUAUUUACAGUUACGGUUAUGGUAUUUAAUUUUCAAAACUUGCGGUUAUUGUAAACCACAAUUAUAUUUUAUAAAUAAAAAAAAAUUGCAUUUUGUAGAUACCAUUGGUGCUCAAACAACACAAUGGAGUCCUUUAAAUCCACUAACCACCACCAACACUUGAGUUUGUAACUUUAAUUUGUAACAUUGGUGCAUUGCAUUUUCCUUUUAGUUUGUAACUUUAAUUAACUUUGAACUGGAUUUUUCCUUUGGGUUGUAACUCUAAUUCAUUUUGCAUUGUAUUUUCCUUUUGGUUUGUAACUUUAAAGGAUUUGGAAUUGAAAUGCUUGAGAAGUUGAGGUUGUGAAUGCUUGAAAAGUUUAACUUUAAUUGGAAUGCUUGGAAUUGUAACUUUAAUUUUCUUUAGGUUGUGAAUGCUUGAGAAGUUGAGGAUGUUGUGAAUUUAUAUAUGCUUGAGAAGUUGAGGUUGUGAAUUUAUAUUUUUGGGUUAAAGUAUGCUUGAAAUCAAAAAGCUUCAAAAGAAGCAUCAAAAUUAGGCCUAAAAUGUGAAAGAUUGGAUUUAUGAUACAAAAAGAACUUGCAGUUUUAAACCGCUAAUUCACGGUAAUCGACCGCAAAAAGUGGUCGGUAUGCGAUUUCAAAAAUUACCAUACCUCAAAUAGUUGGUCGGUUUGCGGUUUGGGCAAAAAUUUGCGGUUACCGAACCACUACCACCCCUAAUCCUAAUUAUAUACUCACUUACUUUUAAAUUUUUACUAAAAACUCAAAUUUAAAAUAAGUUGCUAUGUGAAAUAGAGUUGUCCUAGUAUUAUUAACUAAAUAGAGUUGUCCUACUAUUAUUAACUAAAUAGAAUGGUUGGCAAACUGUCAUCUCUAGCUGACGAGCUACCUGGUACUUCAAUAGCAGGUGUUCAAAAUCCGUUGGAAGCACUUUAUGGUUAGGAGCGAGCCGAACCCCAAAGGAGGAUUAAUCUCACCCCUUGAGUGUGAAGACACCUCUUGGUAUUUACAAAAAAUAGGGGAAUUCUAGCAACCUUCUCUUUUGGAUCUUCUCCCUUCUCCUCAUGACAUGUGUCACUUUCUCUACACUUAAAACAAUGUCAUUAAUACAUUAGACAAUGUAUCUUUUGUUUUCCAAAUUUACCCUUAUUAAAUGCAUUGGACAAACUUUUGUUUCCACCUUGUUAAAAAAUUAUGUAGAAUUUCAACAUCUUCCACAUAAUUAAUGUCAGUUUUUUUUCAAAAGGCAAAAAGUCCCUUAUGGUCCUUAUAGUUUGCCCUUUUCACCACUUUGGUCCAUGUCGUUUCAAUUUGGUCAAUUUUAUCCUUGUGGUUUCAAUUUGAAGUAAUUCAAAAACAAUCCUCAAGGCACAUGCGUUGGAUUUCUUUUUUAUUUUGUUUUUAGAAUUAAGAAAAUAUCAUUUGGGUAGUUAAGUAGGACAUAUUAUCUUAUUUUGUUUUUAAUUUAAAUUUUUUUAAUAUGAAAAAAUGUGAACUUACCUUAUUAUCCUCAUUUAAUUAAUAAUUUUAAUUUUUAAUGUUUCACCAUUCUCUGUUUUUUACUUAAUAUAUAUACAGAAGAAUUUAAUUUCCAUUAAUUGGGGAAGGGCAAUUCCGUCAAUAAAUUAUUAAAAAUAAAUAUUAUAGACAAAUAUAAAAAAGAAUAAUAAUGCUACUCUUACCACAUUUGUAUACCACAUUUCUAUACCACUUUAUGUGACAGAUGAGGUGGAUAGCUACAUAUAAAUUAAAAUUAUUUAAUAUUUUCUUUUCUUUUAUGAUUUAUUAACACUUAAAAAAAAUUAUCAAUUAAACUUUCUUUAUUAAAACUAGCCUCUCUGCACGCGCUUCCGCGGUUGCGAGAGGCAUUUUUUUAAAAAAAAUUUAAAAUUUUUUUAGAAUUAAAAGUGUUCCAUAAAAAUAGGAUCCAUUAUUUUUUAUUUAAUUUUAAUUUUUUAUAAAAAGUGUGAAUUUACCAUAUUAUCCUCAUUUAAUUAAUAAGUUUAGUUCUUAAUGUUUGCAUCAACCAAUGAUAUUUUCUGGUAUUUUGAAUGUUUCACCAUUCUCUGCCUUUUGCUUAAAAAGUGUAAAUUUACCAUAUUAUCCUCAUUUAAUUAAUAAGUUUAGUUCUUAAUGUUUGCAUCAACCAAGGAUAUUUUCUGGUAUUUUGAAUGUUUCACCAUUCUCUGCCUUUUGCUUUAUAUAUAUAGAUACACUUCACUGAUUUAAUUGAUGUGGUGUAUGAUAUGGACAUGCCAUAUCAUGUGGUAUAGAAAUAUAGGAUAAAAAUAUGGUAAGUGUAGCAUUACUCAAAAAAGAAAGUAAACCAAAACUUCUCUCUCUCUUGCGUCUAGACUUGGUGGGGAUGGAUCUUUGGGUUGCGGAGGUCAAAGAACUUAGCACGAAGACGAUGGCGAAGGAACCUUUAAUAGAGAGGUCUUUUAUAGCUUUUCUUUUGUGCUUCAAGAUACUUACGGCAUAUUUUAGCUUCUUCCACUCCUUGAAAAUCUCAGGAAGAAAAUUAAAAAAGAAGUUUCAAUCCUCUUUAUCAGAUGCUGGGCUUUUGCUUUAUUUUUUUAUUUUUUAUAAAAAAAAUUUGCUUGGCAAAAGCGACCAAGUUAUUUAGAUUUGGAGUUGGUAUUUGCAUUUCUUCGGCAGUGGCAUAAAUGGUGGAUUGGAGGAGGCAUAUCUACGGUGCAAGAGAAAAUAUUAGAAAUCUUUAUAUUUAUUUUAAGAAAAAAUGAACAAAGCAAAAUGGAAGAGAAUGCUCUUAUCUUUAAAUUUAGUUGUAGUACAGUUGCACGAAUACUAAUUUUAAAGCUUGUGAUUUUUCAAGAAAUAAUGGCCUAGUCCCCAGUGAAGUUGCCAUUUAUAUAAGGGCCCUUUUGUUAUAGCAGCUCUAGGUGGACUUAGGUUGCUGUAAAGAGAGAUUGAUGUUGCCCCUCAACUGAUUCAAGAACUAUUCCCCAAAAUACCACGAAAGAAAUCUGAUUCUUAGGGUAUACUCUGGUCUUCUUCAAUGGCUCCUUGCAAGUUUUGAUGACACUAGAAUGAUUUAGCUUAUUUUUGCUAUAUUGGAAGUGCUUUUCUUGAAGUGGAAUAUGUGUUGCAGGUAGUGAAAUAAUGCGGGAGAAGAUGUUAAAGAAGAUGAAGUUUUUGGCAUCUGAUGAAGGGCAUACGACAGUUGAUAUUGAGGUUGAUACUCUGAUAUUAUACACAAAUCCUAGAGGCUUGACAUGAGACUUUUGCUUCAGUAAUGCUUUUUUUUAUUUUGGCUAAUCUCAAACAUAUAUAUAUAUAUAUUUUUCUCUUUCUCUUUCCCCCUAUCUCUCUUUCAAAUCAAAUAUUUUAAAAGGAAAAGUAGAAAACCAACUCUACCAAACUCUCUCUCUCCCUCUCUCUCUCUCUCUCUCACACACACACACACACAAAACUUCCAGUUUAGUGAGGUUCACUCUCUCUCCUCCUUUCUAGAUGUAGCGAGCCAAAAGUUGGUCUCCAAAAUAGAGAGCCAAGUAGAGAUUCUGCUGUAAUUAAGAUUUUCCUUUUUUUUUUUUUUUUUUUUGUAGCCAAAUUGAAAGCACAUGAUUUCAAUUAACCAAUAUGUUAAAACACAAGGACCGUUUUUACAAUUAAGCCUAUUUUUAUAAUGAUUUUUUUAUUUAUAAAAUACUCUUGAAAAUGGAGAGACUAAAAUACAUUUAAAAAUGGAUGAAAAAUUGGAUGGUAUUAAAAUUAAAUGACAAAUCAUGAAUUUUGAAAAAUUAAGUUAACAAAUUGAAACUAAGAUAUAAAUUCAAGUGACAUUUCUACAAAAAUCCCUUCUGAAAAUGCAAGAAGUGGAACUCUACCACAUUUGACAAUCUUUUUGCCAACAUUACCAACCGAUUACCCGGUUAGGCCCCAAACCAGAGUUCCCAACCGCUGGAUCAAUUUAAAAAAUAAAAUCCAAUUGUAAAAUUGUCAUAUGCAAGCCUAGCUAAGCAGCCGUCUUCAAAAGCUUUUGUCGGGGUUUUGGGUCUAUCAAUCGAGGUCGAACCCAAUGCCGAGACCAAAUGGUUCAUCGUUAGAGUUCAUAGCAAUGAAAUUCAAAAUGCAUUGAAAUCUCAGGUUUUUUCCUUUUCUUUCUCUGGAAUAUAAUUCAGUUUCAGCUGCAUCGAAUUCCUGGUUGUUCCCUGAAUUUUCCCGUCCAUGGAAGCACAAAUCACCCUGGAACUGAAAAAUUAAGGUGACAGUUUUGGGAUGCCAUGGCUGGACUUAUUUGAAAUAUGCAAUCUUUCCCAGUCUGUUGUAUUUAUAGUUUUGGUCGCAUUCUUUUCAGGAAGCUGAGAAGCAUCUUGUUGAAGGAUAAAUUGUUUCCAGGUUUAGUUUAGUUAGUUAGUUAGUUGGACAGGUGUAUGGCUCAUAUGCCAUCACAUAUUGUUGGACUAACAUGUCCAGAUUCAUGCCAAGUGUACAGCUCACAUGCUGGUACAAAUGUAUUGGCUGAGUCAUUUUCUGUACUAGCUAAAAUAUAUAUAUUGAAAGUAGGAUGAGAUCACACAAUGAGUGUGUGCAUGAUUACAUUCUUUUUGCCUAACAGAUUCUCUCCCUCUCCUUUCUCCCUAAAACCUUUUCUCAUACACUUUCUGUGCAUGAACCUCUACUAUUCUAUAGAAACUUCAAGAUGGUAUCAGUAGCGAAGGUUCUGAUCUAAGACUGGGCGUAGUGAAAUCACAAUCCAGCUGAAGGAAGCAUUAUCUAGUCUCACAUGGCUGGAUCUAGCAUGAGUGAGCUUCGUGCUCCCAUCUUCAAUGGAAGCAACUACGAUUUCUGGAGAAUAAAGAUGUGCACAAUCUUCAAAUCUCACAAGCUGUGGGAUAUGGUUGAGAAUGGAUAUGGGCAACCUGUGAAGAUGGAAGAAGGAGAAACUCUGACAGCAGCUCAAAAGCUUGCUGUGGAAGAAAAUAUUGCAAAAGAUGCUAAGGCAUUGGGUCUGAUCCAGAAUGCAGUUUCUGAUGAUAUUUUUCCCAGAAUUGCUUUGAAGGAAUCAGCCAAGGAAGCAUGGAAAAUCCUGCAGCAAGAAUUCAGAGGAGACAAGAAGGUAAGAUCUGUGAAACUUCAAGCUCUUAGGAGAGAAUUUGAAUACACUUGUAUGCAUGAUGAUGAAUCAUUGUCUGGAUAUGUCACUAAACUGCUUGAGCUAGUAAACCAAAUGAAGGCUUAUGGUGAAGAGUUAACUGAACAGAGAAUUGUUCAGAAACUCUUGAUUAGUUUAUCCAGAGAAUAUGAUUCCAUUGCUGAGGUUAUAGAGGAGACAAAAGAUACAGAAACUAUAGGGGUUCAAGAGGUUAUAGGCUCUCUAAAAUCUCAUGAACAAAGGCUGCAGAGGCAUAAUGAGAGAGUGACUGAGAAGGCUUUCUCUAGUUUGAAUGUGAGCUCUAAAGAUCAAUCUAACACAGGGCAGGCAGGGGGUUCCAAAUCCAAAAAGAAUUGGAAAUCUCAGAAAGGGAAGAAGUGGGACUCAAAGUCUGAAAACAAUUUUAAAAAGGAAAGUCAGACUGAGGGAGCAAAGGUGCCUUGCAAAACCUGUGACAAAUUGCACUAUGGUGUCUGCUAGUUCAAAGGCAAACCUAAAUGUUAUAAAUGUGAUAGGUUUGGUCAUAUAGCCAAAGACUGCAAGGGAAAACUAGAAGCUGCUAACUAUGCAUCACACAAGGAGGAAGAAGGCAACAUGUUCUAUGCUUGUCAUGCUGCUGCAAUAGUAAAAAAUAAUGGUGUGUGGUAUGUGGACAGUGCAUGCAGCAACCACAUGACUUCACAAGCAUCCCUUCUAGUCAAUAUUGACACCAAAGUCACUGCAAAGGUAAAAAUGGGCACUGGAGACUUAGUGGAAGCAACUGGAAAAGGAACUUUAGUGAUUGACACUAAAGCUGGGCCUAGAUAUAUCAAAGAGGUUAUGCUUGUACCAGGAUUGGAUGAAAACUUACUUAGUGUAGGUCAAAUGGUAGAGCAUGGCUACUAUCUUGUCUUUGGUGAUUCUAUGGUUGAAAUAUUUGAUGACAGGUCAAUGGAGAAUUUGCUUGCAAAGGUUUCCAUGACAGGAAACAGAUGCUUCCCACUGUCAUUGAAAUAUGCAAACUCAAUGGCUAUGAAAGCAACAGUUGAAGAAUCCACUUGGUGUUGGCAUAGGAGGUUUGGCCAUUUGAAUAUGCAGAGUCUGAAGUUGUUACAACAACAGGAGCUGGUCUAUAGUCUGCCUGAAAUUGGAAAUGCAAACAGAAUUUGCCAAGACUGUGCAAUUGGAAAAUCCCACAGAGAGGCCUUUGGCAAAGAGAAAAUUUGGAGAGCUAGUUUACCUCUGGAGCUGGUUCAUUCAGAUGUUUGUGGUCCAAUGCAGACCACAUCAAUAGGUGGAAACAAAUAUUUUUUGACUUUCAUUGAUGACUGCACCAGAAUAUGCUGGGUGUACUUCAUGCAAUUCAAGUCAGAAGUUUUUAACAUCUUCAAGAAAUUUAAGGCUAUGGUAGAAUUACAAAGUGGCUACAAACUGAAGAAACUUAGGAGUGACAGAGGUGGGGAAUAUAUCUCUGCUGAAUUUCUGCAGUUUUGUGAAGAAAUUGGUUUGGAAAGACAACUAACCGUGGCCUAUUCACCUCAGCAAAAUGGAGUUGCUGAGAGAAAGAACAGGACCAUUGUUGAGAUGAGCAAGACAAUGAUGAAAGAGAAGAAAUUACCAUACAAAUUUUGGGGAGAGGCAGUGAAUACAGCUAUCUAUAUUCAGAAUAGAUGCCCCACAAAAGCUUUAGAUAAUGUCACUCCAUUUGAAGCUUUUAGUGGAAGAAAGCCUGGGGUUAAACACUUAAGAGUGUUUGGUUCUAUAUGUUUCUGUCAUGUGCCUAAUCAGUUGAGGUCUAAGCUGGAAGAUGCAGCUGUUAAGUGCAUUUUUGUUGGCUAUGGCAAAUGUGAAAAGGGGUACAAAGUGUACAAUUUGCAAACCAACAAGAUCACUACAUCUAGAAGUGUGAUCUUUGAUGAGAACUCACUAUGGGAUUGGGACAAGCAAAUUGUUGAUUCUGUCACAGUUCAGAUGAGGCUUGAAGACACUUCUAGAAGUAGUGAAAAGGAGCAUGAAGAAACAAUGAUAGACAUUUCCAGUCCACCUCAAGUAACUGCAGCUGCUACAAAUGUUACUUCACCAAGUGAUUCUCCAAGUUCUACACCUGUAAAGCUUAGAGACAUCACUGAGAUUUAUGCUAGAUGCAAUAUGAGCAUCAUUGAGCCAGAGAAUUUUGCAGAAGCAUCAAAGGAUAAGGCUUGGCAAAAAGCAAUGGAAGCAGAAAUGGAAAUGAUUGAGAAAAAUGAGACUUGGGAACUAGUCGAUAGACUAAGUGAUAAACCUGUGAUUGGUGUGAAAUGGGUUUAUAAGACCAAAUUGAACCUUGAUGGCUCAAUACAGAAGCAUAAAGCAAGGCUGGUGGUCAAAGGCUAUGCACAAAAGCCUGGAAUCGACUUCAAUGAGACUUUUGCUCCUGUGGCCAGACUUGACACAAUUAGAACUCUCAUAGCUUUGGCAGCUCAAAAGGGGUGGAAAUUAUACCAGUUAGAUGUCAAGUCUGCAUUCCUAAAUGGUGUGCUUAAGGAGGAAGUUUAUGUAGACCAAUCGGAUGGAUUUGUAACUACAAACUAUGAAGACAAGGUGUACAAGUUGAAGAAAGCCUUGUAUGGUUUGAAACAGGCUCCAAGAGCCUGGUAUGAGGAAAUCAAUGCCUAUCUUGUUAGCUGUGGUUAUGUCAGAAGCACAAGUGAGGCUACAUUGUAUUGCAAGACUAAGGAAGACUCUGGAACUCUAAUAGUCUCAAUCUAUGUUGAUGACAUUGUGUAUACAGGCAGCAGUGAAGAAUUAAUUGAUGAAUUCAAGACUGAAAUGAUGAGAAGGUAUGAAAUGACUGAUUUAGGCCUUUUAUAUCAUUUCCUUGGUAUGACAGUGAUUCAAACUGAAUCCUGCAUUUUCAUAAAUCAAAAGAAGUAUGCUCUGACUUUGCUGGACAAGUUUGGUUUGAAGCAAUGUAAGCCAGUUAGUACUCCUCUGGUGGCAACUGAAAAAUUGUGCAAAGAUGAUGGAAGUGAUCCUGCAGAUGAGAGUGAGUACAGACAGAUUAUGGGCAGCCUAUUGUAUUUGACAGCUACAAGACCAGACAUAAUGUUUGCAGCUAGCCUAUUAGCUAGAUUCAUGCAUUGUCCAACAAAGAAACACUAUGGAACGGCCAAGAGAGUGCUGAGGUAUAUUCAAGGCACCAUUGAUUUUGGUAUUGAAUAUCAGAAAGGAAAAGAAGCCAUCCUAAUUGGAUAUUGUGACAGUGAUUGGGGUGGAAGCCAAGAUGACAUGAGAAGCACCUCUGGCUAUGCUUUCUCUUUUUGCAGUAGAGUAUUUUCUUGGGCAUCAGUCAAGCAACAUAGUGUUGCUCUCUCCACGGCUGAGGCUGAGUAUGUCAGUGCAAGUGAAGCUACUACACAAGCAAUAUGGUUGAGGUUUGUUCUAGAAGAUUUUGGAGAAUUGCAAACUGAUGCAACUUCAUUAAUGGUUGACAACACUUCUGCCAUUGCAAUGACAAGAAAUCCGGUUUUCCAUCAGAAAACGAAGCACAUCAACCGCAGGUAUCAUUUCAUCCGAGAUGCUCUACAAGAUGGAGUUGUGGAUUUGAGAUACUGCAGGUUUGAAGAACAAGUGGCUGACAUCUUCACUAAAGCUCUAUCUAAAGAUCGGUUUAACUAUCUUAGAGGAUUGCUUGGAGUUAAACCUGUUAACAAUUUAGAAGGGAGUGUUGAAGGAUAAAUUGUUUCCAGGUUUAGUUUAGUUAGUUAGUUAGUUGGACAGGUGUAUGGCUCAUAUGCCAUCACAUAUUGUUGGACUAACAUGUCCAGAUUCAUGCCAAGUGUACAGCUCACAUGCUGGUACAAAUGUAUUGGCUGAGUCAUUUUCUGUACUAGCUAAAAUAUAUAUAUAUUGAAAGUAGGAUGAGAUCACACAAUGAGUGUGUGCAUGAUUACAUUCUUUUUGCCUAACAGAUUCUCUCCCUCUCCUUUCUCCCUAAAACCUUUUCUCAUACACUUUCUGUGCAUGAACCUCUAUUAUUCUAUAGAAACUUCAACAUCUGUCAGAUACGGUUGUGUCCAAGGCACUGGUGCCCAAGAUUGACCGGCCAAUAGGAAUAGUCUGUUUUCAAACUGCAAAGGAUAGCAACAAUGUUCUUAAUUCGUGGGCUACGAACUUGGAGAAAUUGCUUGAUCUUGUUGAGAAGAGCUGCCACCAAAUACACAAAGAAACAUGGUUCACAAGGUUGCUCUCAAGGUUUGAGAAUCACAAAUUUCAGGUAUAGAUCUUCUGUGAGCGGCAUGCUUAUAUAUGUACUUUUUCGAAAAUCAAAUGGAAAAUCAAAUAAAAUGCCAUUUCCAAUGGUGACCUUUAACCAUGAUUGCAGGUAAGUCACACCUAAUCUUUUAUUUCGCGUAUUAAAGAGUUCUUUGAUUCAAGCAUUUGGAUUAAACAUGUGUUUCACUAGGUUGACGAGGCAUAUGUAUCAAUUUAUUUCUUUUGCUAGUGUUAUGCUAGCUUCUUGAAACUAAAUUGAAGAUUGUUGUAUGCUACCGGCACAUCCCUUGCUAGUAGGUAACCAAGGAAAAUUUGAUUGGCUUAAUUUGUUUCUGGCACUGGAAAGAAAUUGACUGCUUCACUUGUUAAUUAUGUUCUUUGGUCUUUAAGAUACCUUGUGUGUUCCACAUGGUUACUGUCUAAUUUUUUCUGUAGCUUGUGCUUUCAAUUGCCAUAUUAUUGCAACCCUGUCCUAACUCGUUCAUGCGUUGUCAAAAUCCAAUUUCUACAUUUUGUGUUGUCAAAACCUAAUUAUUUGUUUCUUUUGUGUACACGUUGGUUUAAAAGUAGUAAUAUUUCUGUAUCUUUAUUUUCAGUUUCAUUUUCUUGUUAAAAGAUGGAAGGAUUAAAUUUAUUUGGUAUUUUGAGAAAAAUGAUACAUUAGGGAGAAUGAAUGCAAAAUUGAAAAGCCCAAGUGUUAUCAACAAAUGGUUGAUUGCCUUUGUACAAUGGAUAGAUCAUACGUGUAUAGUGUUAAUGUACUCAAAAAUAGCAUAUUUGUUCCAAGAAAUGUAGCCUACGAGUAGCGUACUCGAAAAUGAACAAGACAUGUGUUGGAAAUAGCAUACGAGUUAUUCCAAUUUUUGAAGAUGUCAAAUCUUAUGUGGCGCUUUUAACGGAUAAAAAUAAUAGCUGAAAUUUACUCCAACCGAACUGCUAUAGUCUACGUGGAAUGGCGUAUGAAGCCUUUGCUGUCAAAGUUGCCGUCAAGUGCUAGAGACAUCUUUUGAUUAAUUUAUUAUUUUUUUGUGCAUCUGGUUGUGGCUUUAUCAUUUCAUUUAAUACUUAUCUAUAUUUUUUUUCUUCUUGUUAUUAUUUCAUGUAUCUACUGUCAUUAUAUGCUUUCAUUAUUAUUUUUCUUUUUAAUUCUUUUCCUUUGUUAUCGUCACUUGACACUACUAUAUAUAUUAUUGAUUUUUUUACCGUUGAAAAUUUAUGUUGAUCUUUUUUAUGUUCUUUUCAUCAACCAACGUGGAGAUGGAUGAUUUUUUUUUGUUUAAUUGUAUUUAUGUUACAUUUAUAAUUAAUUUAUAAGUAUUUUGACUUGAUUAAUGAAUUACUCUUAAUACUCAAAUAUAAAAAUACAUUCAUUUAAGAAAGUAAUAAAUAAAUCAACACUAAUAUAAUAAAAUAAUAUUUUAAUUUGACAUAUCGGGUGGGGUGUAAAAUUAUGUAGGAUGUCAAAUUGCCACAUCAGCCAUCAAAUUUAAAUUUGAUGUUUGGUAUUUGACAUCUCCCUUGGAGAUGCUCUAAGAGACUGUUGUUAUAACAUUUCUUGGAGCAAAUAUGCUAUUUCGGGGUCGUUUGGUACACUAGAUUAUUAUGGAUUGGACUAAAUUCUGGGACUGUCUUAGAUUAGCUCGGAUUGACUUAAGCUGGAUUAAGUACUGACCUACGUUUGGUGCUGCGUCGAACUAAGAAGCUGGAUUGUAAAAAUAGUGAAGACCUAUGUUUGGUGCUGUGUCAGAUUAAAACAAUUAUUUAAAUAUUUAAAAUUCAUUAGGGAUUUUGACCUAAAACUAAGUAAAUGCUACAAAGAAACCAACGAAAAAUGUAUGAUUUAUUAAAUAAAAAAAUUAUAAUAUUUUUAAAAGCUAAAACUAUCUUUAUCUCAUGUCUUUCUUCUUUUUUCUACUUUUUCUACUUUUUCUUCCUUUUUUUUUUUCUUCUUCCUUCUCAGGCCCCCUUUCUUUUUUCUUUUUUCUCUCUUCCUCCCGAUCUCACUCUCUGGUUCUUUUUUUUUUUUUCCUCCAAUAUUGAUACAAUGAUAUCCUUCUCCUUCUCUCUCCUUUUCUAUCUCCCCCUCCCAACCUUUCUCUGCCUCCUCAUCAUUUUCUCUCUCUUAUUCUCCUUUGAAGUCAUAGAUUUUCAUCUCCUUUGAAGUCACAAAUCUCCAUCUGAUUUCAUUGAGCCAUGGUCGAUGGUUGAUGACUUUUCAGAGGGUUCAAUUGGGUUUGACAUUGGUGGUUGAAUUUGGUUUUGGUUUCACUGGAUUUGAAUUGGUGGUGGUUGAUUUGAGUGGGUUGGUUUGAAUUGGUGGUGGUUGAUUCAAGCGGCUCAGUUUGAAUUGGUGGAGGAUGGUUUGAGUGACUGGGUUUGACAACUGUCUGUGGUGAUAUGGUGGUGACAAUUCUAGGUGAAGAAGAAGAAGUUGGUUAUCGUCGGACUCGCUUGCUCUGUUUAGCAAGCUCGCUAUUUUGGCAGCCAUGUUUCAAGCUCGUUAUAUUGAACGAGCGUGUGAGGCAAAUUUUUUACUGUUAGACUAUUUAAUUUCAUUUAAGUUAGUCCUCCUCUUACCAAACAUGAAUUUUCAAGUGUUAUUUAACUCAAUCUAAAAGUGAGGGUACCAAACAUGCCCUUUGCUCAAAGAAUAGCGAGCCGCAUACAAAUCAAAGUCACAAGUAAAAAUGGUAAAAGAAAAUGUAAAAUUCAGAGAGAAGUGAGUUGUUGGGGCCCCGGAAUUGAUUGCCAGUUAAAUGAUAGCAGGCAUUCUCAUCCCAUCCACCGCAGAUUCCCCAGAGGCAUCCUUGCCGAUUGACCAAUGACCAUAAACUAAAAUAAAAUACUAGUUUAGAUAUAAUAAAUGUGUGCUGCUGCUGACUAGUUUAAUUAUUUACUCAUUAAAAAGAAACAGACUUGUCACUGUUAUAAAAUAACCUGGAAUAUAUGCGGAUAUUGAGCUGUACGUAAAAUAGAUAAGACACAGCUUUUAACGAGGUUCGGCUAUGCCUACGUCCUCGGAGAGCAGCAGCAGUAACCUUUCACUAUAAAAUAAUAUGGCUACAACUUUAGUGUUUACAACAUAUGUGGCUCACUGAAUUUUCUCUCUAGGAGAAUUUCUCUCUGCUUUCUCUUUUCUCUUUCCUUUCCUUUCUUUCUCUUCCUUUCUCUUUUUUUUUCUCUUCUUCUUCUUUCCGUUACUCUUCUUAUUUAUAGGCUGAAAUAAUCACUAUUCAUCACUAUUCAUCACUGUUCACCCGUGACAGACAAACUCUAUCAAAGCCGCCAAAUGAACAGUAAUGAACAGUAAUCACUGUUCACCCGUGACAGACAAACUCUAUCAAAGCCGCCAAAUGAACAGUAAUGAACAGUAAUGAAUAGUUAGUGGGCUCCACACCAAGACUUUUACAACACUCCCUCUUGGAGACCACAUGUCCCUAGAUUGGUUGCCUCAUUAAAACCUUGCUUGGAAAAAACCCAGUGGGAAAAUCUAAGCGAAGGAAAAAGAGUACAACGUGCAUAUGUCCUAUGUUAGAGGACUCUUGAAUGCUCCCCCUGAUUUUGCAUGCUCCAACUUGAUUGCUUGCAGAGUUGUCGUAAUCCGAUGCCAUGUACUAACUUUUGGAAUGUAUAUUUCGGCAAUGAUUUAGUGAAGAGAUCUGCCAGGUUAUCACUUGAGCGGAUUUGUCUGACUUUGAUUUCUUGACUCUUCUGGAGCUCAUAUGUAUAGAAAAACUUUGGUGAUAUGUGUUUGGUCCUGUCACCCUUGACAUAUCCUCCUGUGAUCUGAGCAAUACAAGCUGCAUUGUCCUCAUUCAGAAUUGUUGGAGUGUCUGUUGUUGAGGGUAGGGCACAUGUGCUUCGGAUGUGAUGGAUUACCGAUCUUAACCAAACGCAUUCACGACUGGCUUCAUGGAGGGCAAGUAUUUCUGAGUGAUUGGAAGAUGUGGCCACUAAUGUUUGUUUUGUUGAGCGCCAUGAGAUCGCAGUUCCUCCACAUGUAAAUACAUACCCAGUCUGUGAUCGUCCUUGAUGUGGAUCAGAAAGAUAUCCUGCAUCAGCAUAACCAAUAAUACUCUGGGCGUUGGUCGAUUCACUGGAAUAGAAUAACCCCAUGUCUGUUGUCCCACGAAGGUAUCGUAGAACAUGUUUGAUGCCGGUCCAGUGUCGCCUUGUUGGAGCAGAACUGUACCUUGCUAACAGAUUUACUGAAAAUGAUAUGUCUGGUCUGGUACAUUGUGCUAGGUACAAUAAAGCCCCUAUUGCACUAAGAUAUGGUACUUUUGGACCAAGGACCAUUUCGUCAUUCCCUUUUGGACGAUAUGGGUCUUUCUUAGUGUCAAGCGAUCGAACGACCAUUGGAGUGCUAAGUGGAUGGGCUUUAUCCAUGCCAAACCGUUUCAAUACUUUCUCAGUAUAAGUUGAUUGAUGCACCAAAAUUCCAUUAGCACUGUGCUCAAUCUGCAAGCCAAGACAAUAUUUUGUCUUUCCAAGAUCCUUCAUCUCAAACUCACGUUUGAGAUAAUCAACAGUCUUUUGAAGCUCUGCAGAAGUUCCAAUUAGAUUCAUGUCGUCGACAUAUACUGCCACUAUCGCAAAUCCAGACUUUGAUUUCUUAAUAAACACACAUGGGCAAACAGGAUCAUUUGUGUAUCCUUCCUUCAGUAAAUACUUACUGAGACGAUUGUACCACAUUCGUCCAGAUUGUUUUAGCCCAUAUAAUGAUCUUCUCAAUUUAACUGAGAACAUGCCCCGUGGUUUGUUUCUGGCUGCUUCAGGCAACCUGAAUCCUUCUGGAACUUUCAUGUAUAUAUCUGUAUCCAAUUCUCUAUACAAAUAUGCGGUAAUGACAUCCAUGAGUCUCAUUUCAAGUUUUUCUGAAACCGCCAAACUUAUUAGGUAACGGAAUGUAAUUGUGUCCAUUACUGGAGAAUACGUUUCCACAUAAUCAAUUCCAGGCCUUUGUGAAAAACCUUGCGCAACGAGUCGCGCUUUAUACCUUGAGAUCUCAUUUUUCUCAUUGCGCUUUCUUGUAAAUACCCACUUGUAACCUACAGGGUUCACAUUGGGUGGAGUUGGACUAAUAUGUCCAAAAACACUCCUCUUUUCCAAAGAAUUUAAUUCUGCCUGGAUUGGAUCCUUCCACUUGGGCCAAUCUUGCCUCUGUGUACAUUCAUUAAUAGAGCGUGGUUCAAUAUCAUCAUCUUUUAUGAUUUCAGCAGCCACUGAGAAUGCAAAUAUAUCAUCGAUGAUCAUCUCAUUUCUACUCCACAAUUCAUUAGUGGACGUAUAAUUUAUGGAGAUUUCUUGACUUUCAGGUACGGUUGCCACUCCAGGGGCACUUGUUUCACCAAUGACGUUUUCCUUGUCAAGAAGUACCUGUCCCUCUUUGGGGGCAUUUGAAUUAUGAAUUGUGGGCUCUCUAUUUAUUUCAUUUGGAUUCAUUUUGUUCAUCAACUUCCUCUUUCGAGGAACUGAAUCCUUUGAGCCUAGUGGUCUGCCACGUUUUAGGCGUGCAGCAGAUGAACCAUUUGCUGGCACAUUGCUUUGUCCAUUAUGGACAUCAAUCCGUGCGGGUGCAUUUGCAGCUGGGAUAUGAGAUUUCGUCACCUUUGCUGCAUCAUUAAAUGCAUCUGGCAUCUGAUUUGCAAUACUUUGGAGGUGAACGAUCCUUCUCACUUCGUUUUCGCGUUGAACAGUAUGAGGAUCGAGAUGAGACAAUGUGGAUACAUUCCAGGAUAAUUCAUGUCGUUUUUCAGGAAUGAGUUUGCCUUGUUCUUUAGACACAGAUUUUUCUCCACCUAAAGGUGGGAAGAUUGUCUCAUCAAAAUCACAAUCCGCAAAUCGUGCGGUAAAAAUAUCACCCGUCAGGGGUUCCAAGUAUCUGAUGAUAGAUGGUGAAUCAACACCAACAUAAAUUCCCAAUCUGCGUUGAGGGCCCAUCUUAGUACGUUGCGAUGGUGCAAUAGGCACAUAUACCGCACACCCAAAAAUUCUUAAAUGUGAAAUGUUUGGUUGAUUUUCCAAUACGAGUUGUAUUGGAGAACCUUGAUUAUUGGCGACUGGCCUCAAUCGCACAACCGAUGCUGCAUGUAAAAUGGCAUAUCCCCAAGCAGAAACUGGCAACUUUGUUUUCAUUAGCAAAGUGCAUGCUAUCAAUUGAAGGCGUUUAAUUAAAGCUUCUGCCAAGCCAUUUUGAGUAUGCACAUGGGGAACAGGAUGUUCAAUAUCAAUGCCUAAUGACAUGCAGUAGUCAUCAAAAGUCUGAGAUGUAAAUUCACCAGCAUUAUCGAGUCUGAUUGACUUAAUGGGAUAAUCUGGGAAUUGGGCUCGUAAUUUAAUUAUCUGAGCCAAAAGCCUAGCAAAUGUCAUAUUCCGAGUAGAUAAAAGACAAACAUGUGACCAUCGGGUAGAUGCGUCCACCAAGACCAUAAAGUACCGAAAUGGUCCACAUGGGGGAUGAAUGGGUCCACAAAUGUCCCCUUGAAUUCUCUGCAAAAAUGAUGGAGACUCAACAUCUACCUUUGGUUGUGAUGGUCUGAUCACCAACUUCCCUUGUGAACAAGCUUGGCAAAAGAUGUCGCUUGAUAACAUAAUGUGUUUAGUCAACAAGGGAUGUCCUUUAGAGUUGGUGAUGAUCCUGCGCAUCAUGGUGGAUCCAGGAUGACCCAAUCUGUCAUGCCAAAGCUUAAAAGCAUUUGAGUCAGUAGACUCUUGGUCCAUGACACUAUGUGCCUCAAUUGUCCGUAUGGUUGUGUAAUACAACCCUGAUGAGAGCUCACAAAGCUUUUCCAGUAUACGCUUUUGGGUAUCACUGGAGGUAAUACAAAGAUAUUCCAUGUUUUCCUCGUUCUUUGUUUCAACAUGGUAGCCAUUCAAACGUAUAUCUUUGAAACUCAACAGAUUCCUUCUGGAGUUAGAUGAAUACAAAGCAUCUGGAAUGGACAAUAUUGUUCCAUUUGGUAACAUAAUUUGGGCUAUUCCUGAACCUUCGAUCAGAUCUGCAGGACCUGAUAUGGUUGUUACCUUUGCUUUUGUAAGUAUUAAUUUUGAGAAAUACUUCCGAUCUUGAAAGAUCGUAUGAGUAGUUGCGCUGUCUGCGAGACAAAUAUCUCUGCCAUAGCCUUUGUUUUGAGGGCAUCCAUAUUUUACAUCCAUGCCACCAAAUAAGUAAAAUGAGCUGGAAUAUAUAAAGAAGACAACAUUACCACUUUUAACACUUCAGCUAAUACAAAUAGUACAUUAAGGAAUUUAAUCUAAUUCGGACUUAAUAAAGAAGACAACAUUACCACUUUUAUUGGAUUGAAAUUUAAACAACACUUCAGCUAAUACAAAUAGUACAUUAAGGAAUUUAAUCUAAUUCGGACUCAUAACCUUCAUUCCCUUUUUCAGUAACAAAAUCAGAAACAUCUAGAUGCGUCUUGUUUAGCUUACGUGAUAUUUCUGAUGAGCCAUCUGUGGCUGGCGGAGCAUGAUCAAUAUAAUUUAUCUCCACUUUCCUGUUCUUAAGUGAAGCUUGAUAGAGAUCCGCCAAAUGCCUGGGCGUACGAGAUGCGCGCAUCCAAUGUCCCCUUGCACCACAUCUGUGACAAGGGCUUUCAACAUUUCUAGGCACAUGGCUCAUCUGUGCCUUUCCCUUAUUACGGGAUGCAUUUUUGCCAUUCAUGGAUGGACCGCUCCUUGGACCUAAACCCUCUGAACGAGCACCAUGAUUUUUUCUACUUCCUUGCCAGUGGCCACGCUUGCCCCCUCGCCCACGUCUGUGGAUACUGCCACGAGAUGAAGUGGCAUUCACUUCCUGAGAUGCAGCAUUUAUUUCAGGAAGUGGUGCUGAGCCCGAUGGGCGAGAUCGGUGAUUCUUUAAUAAGAGCUCAUUAUUCUGCUCAGCUAACAAGAGGCAAGAUACAAGUUCCGAGUACUUCUUGAAACUGCUAUGUCUGUAUUGCUGUUGAAGGAGGACAUUUGAAGCAUGAAAAGUGCUCAGAGUUUUUUCGAGCAUAUCCUCCUCAGAUAUAUUUUCCCCACAUAGCCUCAUUAAUGAGGUAAUUCUGUGCAUAGCAGAGUUAUACUCGGACACUGACUUGAAAUCUUGAAAUCUCAAGUGGGUCCAUUCGUAUCUAGCUCUUGGGAGAGUCAUCGUCUUCUGGUGAUCGUAUCUUUCACCUAUAGCUUUCCACAGAACCAACGGUUCAUCGACCACCACAUAUUCGCUCUUCAGCGCUUCAUGGAUGUGGCGGCGAAGAAAAAUCAUGGCCUUCGCAUUCUCUUCAGGCGAAGCAUCAUUCUCAUCUACAAUUGUUUGUCCGAGGCCAUUGGCUCGUAGAUGAAUUUUGGCAUCCAGGACCCAUGAUAAAUAGUUGUCCCCGGAAAGGUCCAAGGCAGCAAACUCUAGUUUUGCCAAAUUUGCCAUCCAAAACUUUAGGCUCGAGAUCUGGAAUAUUAAGCCACUUAUUAAUAGGAAUUUCAGGUCCUCAUUAUUCAGGUAUAUUAAUUGAAUAUUAAGCCACUUAUUAAUAGGAAUUUCAGGUCCACAUUAUUCAGGUAUAUUAAUUGAUGAUAAAAGUAAAGUGUUAUGAAUUUGCUGGUAUGGACGAUAAACCCGCACCAUACCUUAAAUAAAAUUAAAUGUGGGGUUAAAACCACCACCGAAUAAAAUAAGAAAAGUUAGUAUUAGUAACGGUCUCCCACUGAUAAUAUGUUUAGUAUUACCAAGGGUCCAUUUUUGUUAAUGGUUAGUAAAUGUGCGGUAAAGUAAAUGUGCUUGUAUGGGCACUAAUUCUGCUCCAUUCAUUUAAAUAAAAGUAAAGGCGUGGACGAUAAACCCGCACCACCCUUUAAAUAAAUAUUGCCGUAUGGGUAAUAAGCCUACACCAUACCAUAAAUAAAAUUAAAUGUGGGGUUAAAACCACCACCGAAUAAAAUAAGAAAAGUUAGUAUUAGUAACGGUCUCCCACUGAUAAUAUGUUUAGUAUUACCAAGGGUCCAUUUUUGUUAAUGGUUAGUAAUAGAGAAGCAGAUAGAUAUAGUAUAUUAUAUAGUGUUGAGUUGGAAAAAUUUCAGAAAUAAAAGGAGAGACUAUCGUGCUGAUAACGUGUUAUAAAAUAACCUGGAAUAUAUGCGGAUAUUGAGCUGUACGUAAAAUAGAUAAGACACAGCUUUUAACGAGGUUCGGCUAUGCCUACGUCCUCGGAGAGCAGCAGCAGUAACCUUUCACUAUAAAAUAAUAUGGCUACAACUUUAGUGUUUACAACAUAUGUGGCUCACUGAAUUUUCUCUCUAGGAGAAUUUCUCUCUGCUUUCUCUUUUCUCUUUCCUUUCUUUCUCUUCCUUUCUCUUUUUUUUUCUCUUCUUCUUCUUUCCGUUACUCUUCUUAUUUAUAGGCUGAAAUAAUCACUAUUCAUCACUGUUCACCCGUGACAGACAAACUCUAUCAAAGCCGCCAAAUGAACAGUAAUGAACAGUAAUCACUGUUCACCCGUGACAGACAAACUCUAUCAAAGUCGCCAAAUGAACAGUAAUGAACAGUAAUGAAUAGUUAGUGGGCUCCACACCAAGACUUUUACAACAGUCACCUAAUUUGACGAGAUUACAUGUUUACUACAUUGACGAGCUGGGCCCACAAUUCUUUUUCCCUUCAAGUGAAAAGAGGAGAGAAACAAUUAGUUCUUUUUUCCUUGAAAAAGAAAUAAGAAAACAACAAAAAAAAAAAAACAAAAAAAAACAAAACAGAGAAAAAAUUUAGCGUACCAUUUUAUAUAAAACCUCAUUAAUCAUAUGAAAUUAUAACAGACUGCACAUGUUGGAUUUUGUAAAAAUCUUCUCCUCCUUCCCGAAGCCGGCUACAGAAUUCUGGAAGCAUCGAUUUGAUGGUUAAUUCCUUGAGGGAAGUAAUAUAUUGGAGCCCAUCAGGAACUGCCUCCAAAACUAAGCAAUGAUCAAUGUGCAAUCUGCAGAGACUAGGCAUGGCUCCUUUCUCCACCUUCCAUUCUUUUAACUCCUCCACCAAAUGAAGAGAAAGAAAUUCGAGAAAUGGAAAGCCUCCCUUUGAGCAAACAAGAAAUUCCGGAAAAUUCCCGCAACUAGCAGAAAGCAUUCUCAAGCUUGGCAGCUUCUCAAAUACUUUUAUGUGGUCGUCCUUGAGAUUACCAAAUUCUCUCAGUGUAAGCUUGGUGAGGUUCGUAAGGCACAUGAGGUCUUCUGGUAACUCAGCGAUUUCUCCGCGUAGUCGCAGCUUGUAUAUAUUAGGACAGCUUAAUACUAUGUUCCAUGGUAUUGGUAAAAACGUGGACGUACCAGAGAACAAUCCACCAGAGAACAAUGUGGAGUCCACCGAUAGAGACUGGAGGUGCUUAAAUAUGAUGUUUGUCCCUUUCUCCUUUUUUUCCCCUCCGUCAAAUGUGAUAACUCCCAAUUUUCUAAGGUUGGUUAGUUUAACAAAAUCAUCUAGAUCAGAUGAUGCCUGAAUAUAUAUAUUGACUACCGUGUGCAAAUUCACUACCUCAGUAGCAAAUAACAGACGUCUUGCACUGUGAUAUUUGGGUAAGUAUAUAUGUCUCAAUUUUUCCAUCUUGGAAAACACGUUUCCAUUUGGAAUUUCAGUCCCCCACAUUGUACGUAAAUCUAGAGUCUGCAAACAUACCAAAGUUGCUAUAGAUGAUGGUAUCGCUCGAAUAUCACUAUCCUUCACACUUAAAAACCUUAAGUGCACUAGAUUCCCAAUUUCACUAGGUAAUUUGUGUUUUCCAACACUCAUACCUUCAAACUUCAGAACUCUAAGUAAUGUGAAGUUCUUGAAUAGAGACCUAACACUCAGACCUUCAAACUUCAGAACUCCAAAUAAUGUGAAGUACUUGAAUACCGACCAUAAUGCCUUUGAGUUCAUGAAGUAGUAUUCUGGGACAAAGUAUAACAAAGACCUAAUAUGUCCAUAAUUUUCAUCUUUCUCUGGACCAUAUGUAUCAACCGUUUUGUCCAAAUAGAUGGCAAGUCUUCGAACUCUACCGUUUGGUGUUUCAUUGGUCUCCACAGCUGCAGAAUAAUUGAUAAUAUGGAGAAAGUUCCCCUCUUUUGCCUUUAACAUGCAUAAGUCUCGCAUAAGAUCAUGGAGAUGACAAGUCUUGAUUUUCUUUCUUGAACCAUGUUUUCCAACUUGAACCAUACACCUGCCCACCAACUCACUUAAGCACAUAUAUGAUACAUCUUCCAUUACUUCCGCUGAUGCUGAUGACAUAAAACCUUCUGCCAUCCAUAGUUUAGUCAGUGUACCCACUGGUAUUUCAUAAUCUUCUGGAAAAUGGGCUAAGUAGAGAAAACAUAGUUUUAAGUAAUAUGGUAAGUUAUCGUAACUCAAUUCCAAUAACCAUGAUACCCCUUCAUAUCCUUCACCUUUGUAAUCGGGCCCAAGGUCUGUGCCUCUUCUUAUAUAUGCAUAAACAUUCUUAUGGACAGUAUUCCACUCAUCAACUGUGUCUUUUCUAGCUAGCAGUCCUGCAAGCACCGUGAUGGCUAAUGGCAAACCUUUGCAAUUUUGAAGCAUCUCUGUUCCUAGCUCUUUCUUUUGUUCAUAAAUUUUAUGGUCUGAAGAACAAUAUUAAGACCAGAUUAAUUAACCUCACAUGUUCAAUUGUACGAAAAGUAUACAAAACAAAUUAUAUAUGCCAGUCUAUCAUUCCCUUGCUUAAAUUAUUUUCACUCUAGAACACACACACAUAUAUAUGUGUUUCUGAUUUUUCUUUUGGCUACAACUGUAUGAGUUUAUUUUAUUGAAGAAUGUCAUACCCCGAGUCUGGGGUAUAUGGUAAAUUCUCGAAACCAGAUCUGAUAAUCAAAAUAAAUAAAAUAAAGUAAAAUACCAUUAGAUUAAAUUAGUUUCUUAUAGAAAUCUCUACCAAUAAAACGUAUGAACAUGAACUACAGAGUUUCUUAUAGAAAAAUAAAGAUAUCUAUUAGAAAACAAUAUAUAAUUUGAAGUAAAUCAGUUUGUUAAAAAACGAAAAAGAAAAAUAGCUAUAAACCCAAAAUGUCAAGUAUUCAUUGGGAAAAAUUUAUUUAGAAUCAAUUUAGACCCAUUUUACCCGCAAUAAUACUCUUGGUUAUCUCUUCUUACCAAAUUUAAAAUAAAAUAAAUAAAAAACUUUAUCCAUUUUUUUAAUGAAUUAAUGACAUAUAACUUACACAAUUUAUCUCACAAUAACCAUUUCCUUUUUUUGGUUCCAAUUUUGAAUUUAAAGUAAAAUAAAUAAAAAACUUUAUCCAUUUUCUACAAAUGUUAAUUUUGUCAACGCCAUAUUAUUCUAGGUAUGCCUAAUUAAUUAAGUAAAAAUCGAAAUAGUAAAUGAGAAAAUCAUGCCAUAUUAUUCUUUUCGUAAAAGUCUCAUUAUUUUUCUUCUUCUUCUUUCUCAACACCAAAACCCUCUAUGGACAUGGAUAUGGAUACCUUGAUUGUGAGAGAUAUUUGUGUUUGUUGUCUAUACGUUAUAGAGUGGUAUGUGAUUACUAAUCUACAUAAGCCAUCCAAUUGAUGAUGAGUCCUAACCUACAUCUUACAUGGAUUCACUUUGAUUAUGUUUGCUGCAAUAGUAGGUAGUAGUUGUCUAAUACAAAGGCAAUGUUUGGUGUUUGAUUAUUUUCGUUAUCGGUGGAUUCUUUGACUUUGUUGAUUAUACAUGUUUGCAUAUAAAUUUUGUUUUGUUUUUGUUUUUGUUUUCAGUCUAUGUUUGUUAGUUUAAUUAAUAUUUUCACCCAAUAUUGUAGGUGUAUUAUGUGCUAAGUUUUUCACCUUUGUUGGUAUGUUAUAUGGGUACCUAAGUGGAAGGUGUUUAUCUACCUAUCAAAUAGGUUCGAGUGUCGUAGGCUACCUAACAAAGUGGAAUACGAUUUAUUAUAGUUUUCUACAUAUAUGUAGGUAUACUAAUUUUUGUUUUAUUGUUAAGGUAACACAAUUUUCUAUUUCUGCUCAUUCCUUUUUGUUUCAUUUAUGCACUUGCGUUCUUCAUUUUGACCUUUUGUUUAGGUAUAUUAUAUGUAUCUUAAGUGUAGAUUUUCUACAGUAUAGAUUUUAAGGAGUAUAUUUCCUGAAAAUAAAAAUUGUGAUAAUAAAACUACUAUCUUCAUGUAGAGGCCUUGUGAUUUCAAUAGAUUUAUAGGGGAAAAGUUUUGAAUAUCUUAUGGCGGAAUUUCUUGACGUUGUUAGAGUAGAGAAAAAGUUAGUUGACACUUUGAAAUUGAUAUAAAUUUAAGAGUAGCUUUUUGAAAAAGAAAAAUGCAGUGCAAAAUGGGCUAAUUUGUCUUAAAUUUUUUUUUAAUAUAAGGUGGGUGAGGAAAUAUGACAGGUGGGUGAGGAAAUAUGACAGGUGGGUGAAAAUAGCAGCACUCUUUCUAUAAUAUUGAAUUGGUAAACGAGAAAAGUAGAGAUAAAAGGUUUGUGUGAGAACAUACUUGUAUCUUCCGUUUCAAACAUUGCUCUCUUCUCAAACAGUUCCCAGCUUUCAUCAUCAUUCAACGGCUGUGGUUCGAAGAGGAAACCAUUUUUGUCCACAUACGAAGCGACUUCUUUGUUGCGAGUAGUGAGUAAAAUUCGACUCUCAGUUUCCUCAGUCAUUGGAAAUCCCACUUCCAACGACCUCCACGCAUCACGGGUCCAAAUGUCAUCCAGCACCACCAAACAUUUCCUUUCUCUCUGCGUAUUCCAAAGCCACUCUGCAAUUUGAUCCUUCCCCAGAUCUGCAAUUUUUUGUCUUUGCUCAUUGGUAGGAGAAAUGAGUUUUGUCAGAAUUUCUUUCAAAACCUCCCGUCCCUGGCAUUGUUGAGAGAUACACACCCAGGCAAAACAAUCGAAAUGACGCUUAACCUUACCGUGAUGAUAAACUUGUUUUGCAAGAGUGGUUUUACCCAACCCGCCCAUCCCCCAAAUAGAAACAACUCGGGGGCCUUUUUCUUUGAUCAAAUGCGUAGCCAAUAUCUCCGUUCCACCGGCUAACCCAACCACAUGAGGUUCGAUAAUAUGAGGAUAAGCUAUCCUCCGUUCUCGUUGCCUCUGAAAAGAAGUGUCACCUCCACUCUCCCUUAGGUCACCUGGUGGCAGGCUCGAUCUCAACUCUGAAAUUUUGGUAGUAAUUUUCUUGAUUUCUGAGCCAAUCUUGUAAAGAUAAACUCCUCCUACGCAGAUGUAAGCAAUCCUUUUGAAAAGACUUGCAUUCCUCUUGGAAGCCAUUUUUAAGACAAAAGUUUCGAUGGCGUCGUCCAGAUCAUAAGCCGCAUCUUUAAUAUUUGCCACCCAAAUGCGUAUUGCUUCACUUUCUCCUUGUCUUGAAUCUGCAUCUUUGAGGUAGCCUCGCAUCAAUUGUAGCUGGGUUUGUGCAAGCUUCACCUGAUCUCUCACUCCACCCAAGAAUUUCAAUUCCUGAAUGACAGAGUCAGUGAGCUGUUCCAGCACAAAGGAAACAACCGCAUCCGCCAUAUUUCCGGAUUCAAACGACAACAGCUGAAAGAACUUUUCUUCUUCUUCUUCUUCUUCUUCUGUUUUUUAGAUUACUUAAUGAAUAAUCUUACCAAUAGAGAAGUCUCAGUUCCGUUUAUAUAGGAAGUGCCGUCAACCAAGUCGCUGCACUGUCACAUAUUUAAUUAUUCUUAUCUUUCUACCUAUCAAUAGUAUAACAAAUAGAUGGGGAAGUAAGGAAUAGGGAUGGGAUAUCAACACACUAAGAAGGAAUUAUCAUGGAAUUUAGGAAUGGGGAAGUAAAGAAUCAAGGAAUUUAGGAAUGGGAGAAACACACAUAAUAGGGAUGGGAUAUCAAUAGACUAAGAAGGAAUCAAGGAAUGUAAAUGGGGGAAGUAAGAAUCAAGGAAUUUUAGUAAUGGCGGAAGUAAGGAAUCAAAGAAUUUAGGAAUGGGGGAAUUGAAGAAUUAAUCAAAGAAUUUAGGCAAGUAAGAAAUCAAUGAAUUUAGGAAUGGGAAAGUAAGGAAUAGGAGUGGGAUAUCAACAAACUAAUAAGGAAUUAAUCAAGGAAUUUAGGAAUGGGGAAGUAAGGAAUAUGAAUUUAUCCCAUAUGCCUAAUAUUGCAGCAGACUGACUGGUUUCAUGACUUCGAUUUGCCCAUUUGGGAACAAAUAUGUGACUUUAUUUUCUAAAAGAAUAGCCACAUACAAUUAAACUUUACAAGUAAAAAUGGUGUCGAUCAGCUCGGUUCAAGUAGAGAGGUCUCAAAUAUCGGAGUUUCGCGUAUUAAAAAGUUCUUGAAUUCAAGCAUUUGGAUUAAAUCUGUGUUUCACUGUGUUGAUCAGCCAUGUGCAUCAAUUUAUUUAACGUAAUAAGAAGCUCUUGUUAUAACAUUUCUUAGAACAAAUAUGCAUACAAUCGAAGUUGAAAGUAAAAAUGGCAAAAGAAGUGAGUUGUUGGGCCUUGGAAUUGAUUGCCAGGAGAAUGAUAGCCCAAUGACCAAUGACCAUAUACUAACUCAUAAAGAAACAAUUUGACGAGCUACGCCCACAAUUCCUUUUCCCUUCAAGUGAUUUAGUUCUUUUUCCCUUGAAAAAUAAAUAAGAAAAACAAAAACAAAAACAAAAACAAAAAAACAGAAAAAAUUUAGCGUACCAUUUUAUCCAAAACCUCAGUAAGGAUGUAAAAUUAUAACUGACAGCAGAUUUCUAAGGUGGGUUAGUUUAACAAAAUCAUCCAUAGUUUAGUCAAUACACUCAUCAGUGUUUUAUAAUCUUCUGGAAAAUGUGCUAAGUGCAGAAAGCAUAGUUUUAAGUGAUAUGAUAAAUUGUUGUAACUCAAUUCCAACCACCAUGAUACCCCUUCAUAUCCUUCACCUCUGGAAUUGGACCCAAGGUCUAUCCCUCUUCUUAUAUAUGCAUAAAUUCUUAUGCACCGCAGUCCAUUUAUCAACUGUGUCUUUUCUAUCUAGAAGUCCUGCAAGUAACUGUCUUCCUCCUGGAAGCCACUUUUAAUACAAAAGUUGCAUCGUCCAGAUCAUAAGCGGCAUCUUUAAUACUUGCGACCCAAAUGCAUACAAUAUUGUCUCUGCUAAAAUAUAAAUAUGGUUUGAAUACUUUAGGUUUUAAUUUAUUCUUCUUCAUAAGGAGGUAUAUAUAAGAGUUUACAUGUGGGCUUUAUAAGGAAUUAGAUACAGUAAAUAUUUAGGAAAAUAUCUCCUAAUUGUACAAUGAUUUAUCAAUUAUAUGAAAAAUAGGAAAGUAAAUCCCUUAAUUAAUCAAUGAAAUAAAUUUCCUUGAUUAAUUAAGAGACUCACUUCAACAGUCUCCUUUUCUUGAAUCUGCAUCUUUGAGGUAGCCUUGCAUCUAUUGUAACUGGGAUUGUGCAAUCUCAACCUGAUCGCUCACUCCACCCAAGAAUUUCAAUUCAUCAAUGAGAGUCCGUGAGUCGUUCGAGCACAAUUGAAACAACAGCAUCGGCCAUAUUUCUUUUCUUGAAACGAAAACAACUGAGGCAGACUUUUGUGUUUCUUCUUCUUCUCCUGCCUUUUAGAUUAAUGAAAUAAUAUAUAAGAAGUCAGCAAUUAAAGUGAACCAAUUGUGUAUAUAGGAAUCACAAAUUGCAAUAUCCACCAGUUCUCCAAGCUGCAUUAAAAAACGGGGAUUAAGUAUUAACAUUAUUCAAAGUUGAAUAUUUGUGUAAUCACUGGCUGUCAAAAUCCCACACCCACCGUCGUCAUUCAGGGCCAAUUAACAAGCACAUGAGCAAUUGUCAACUCUUAAAAUAAUUUACCAUAACUCUAUCCUUUAAGUAAAAGCCACUGUUAGUCGUGACAUCAAUUCAAAACCUUUAUCAGAUUUAGCAGUUUGUUUUUUUGUGUAAUCACUAGCUGUGAAAGUCCCACUUGUUCCACCAACCAUCAUUCAGGGUCCAUCAACAAACACAUGAGGAAUGCGCAAGUUGUAUAAUUUAUAUAUUUCGUGCGUAACCACUCUAUAUAUGUAUUUGUUUUUGUAAGUAUGUUAUUAGACUUACCAAGUAGUCUUUCUCUAGUAUUCUAAUAUAAAUUUAAUUAGAGCUACGUAUACAUGUCAUCAAAGAUAUGUAUUUUUUAUUGCAUGUAUUUAACUAUAAUUUUUUCUUUGCAUAUUUGCAAUGAAUCAUCCUCUUUACAGUAUUACAGUUGUCAGAGUGUUGGAAAGCAAAGCUAGACUAAUCAAAGCUCUACAAGAUUUGUUAAAAAUAAAAUUCUACAUUGAUUGUACACAAAGAAGAAGGGCAUCAUUUUAAUGUAUUCUCCGGCCAAAAGUUAGGCCGGCUAUAUAUAUAAAGUUCUCUUUUAUUGAGUGAUCCUUUAAAUAUAUUCGAGGGACACCCUUUAAGGUUUCCUUUAAAAAAAAAAAAAAUUACAAUGAUCCAAAACCUCUAUUUUUCACAUUUUCAUUCAUAGAUUAUCUUUGUAAAAAUUUAUGCAAAUUCUUAACGCAUCUAAUUGAGACCGACAAAAUCAAUGAACAGGGUGUUUCAAGAAAGUACUUAAAUUACAAUAUUUUAAUUGAGUAGUAAAAUGAUAUCAGAUUCAAGUGUUUUUUUAAAAAUUUAUUAUUAUUAAUUUUUUUUUUUGUAGAAGUAAUUUUUGAAUGAAUAUAUACAAAAUAUACGGUUUGUAUUAGUAAAAUACAAUGCAGAGUCCCUUACAAGGGUGUCCCUAAAAGAUUGCUAGGAAAAAUGUAAAUUCCCAAAAAAGUGAGUUGUUUGGCCUUGGCAAGAUGGCAAGAUUGCUAGGAAAAAGAUAGUCCAAUCAUUAAUGUUCAUACGCUCAACCAGAUUACCAGAUUACCACGAACAACACUAAGCAGCAGAACCAGAUUACCUUUACAAACAGGUUACCUUUUUCUAUCCAUUGCCUUGCUCGGAUCUGAUCAAUUCAAUAAAAUAAAAUAAAUAAAAAUAAUACUACUUUGGUCUUGCUGACCUAAAUUAUUUACUCAAUCAAAACCAUAUAAAUUUAAGAGUGAAUUUUUGGAAAAAAGAAAAGUGACAUACGGAAAUCAUGUAAUAAACAAGAAAAGUAGAGAUGAAAGGUUUGUGCGAGAACAUACUUGUAUCUUCUAUUCCAAACAUUGCCAUCUUCUCAAACAAUUCCCAGCUUUCAUCAUCAUUCAAUAACAAUGGUUGGUAGCAAAAUCCAUUUUUGUCCGCAUAGGAAACAAAAUCCAUUUUUUUCCCGUUUCAUAUGAAUUAAGUGUUACAUUUUACAUUGAUAGCCUCUGAGAUACUGAAUCGAAGAUAAGUUAACUCGUUAACAACAGAGUUUUCACCUAAUUUUGCAAGCCUUACAGUCCCUGUAACUUCGAAGGCCGCCAGCCAUCUGUGCUUCAAGAACAAAGUCGAAGAAGAGUUAGUUCUAAGGGAAAAUAAAUAAAAAAGAACGAAACAUAGGAAAAUAAUUAUCGUACCCUUCUACCAGAUCUGAAACAACAUAACAGAAGGCACAUGUUGGAUUUUGUAGAAAUCCUCUCCUCCUUCCUGAAGCCUAUCACAGAAUGUAGAAGGCAUCCGUUUAACGUGCAAUUCCUUGAGGGUAGUAAUAUACUGAAGGCCAUCUGGAACUGACGUCAAAUCUAUGCAGUGUUCAAUGUGCAACCUGCUGAGACUAGACAUGGCUCCAUUCUCCAUCCUCCACUCCUUCAGUUUACACAACUGACGGAGGGAAAGGAAUUCGAGAUGAGGAAAGCCUCCUGCUGAGCAAACAAGUGUUCUUGGAAAAGCCCUGAUAUGCACUGAAGUAUAACCUUCGAGGAAAAGCAUUCUUAACUUUGGCAGGUUUUCUAGUAUUUCUAUCUGGUCAUCCUUGAGAAGAGUUUCAGAAAGCGAUAUCUUGGUGAGGUUCUGAUAGUUCUUGAGCCCCUCUGGCAACUCUUUUAUUGGCCCCUUUAAUUGCAGCUUGAAUAUAUGAUGACAACUUAAUGGCAUCCUCACUAAAACUUCUUCAUUAUCAGAUUGCACAGACAGAGACCUAAGACGGUUAAAUGUAAUGCUUGUUGACUUCAACAUCUCCUCAAGAUUUUUUAAGCUCUGUACUUCUACGACCAGUUUUCUGAGGUAGCGUAAUUCAGCAAGAUCAAUCAAAUCACAAUCCUUACUUGAAACAUUGACUAGUGUUUGCAAAUGGGGAAGAGUAGCCAAUCCCAGUUUACCUCUUACUCUGUUAUAAGAAGCAGGUAAAUAUAAAUGUUUCAAUUGUUCCAUGUCCCUAAUCACAUUUGGGAUUCUCCUCACCAAGAUACGACAACGUAUAUCUAGAGUAUGCAAACAUACCAAAUUUGCUAUUGAUGACCGCAAUUUCUUUAUUCUACUGUUCUUUAGACUCAAAAACCUUAAGUGGACUAGAUUCCCAAUCGUACUUGGUAACUCUACUCCUCCUAGCAUAUCUUCAAACUUCAAUACUCUAAGCAAUUUAAAGUCCUCAAAUAUUGACCGCAUUACUCUUUUAUUCCAGAAAAAUUGUGUUGGGACAAAGUAUAAAAGAGAUCUGAGGUGACCAUCUCUUUCAUCUGUUGUGGGAACUAAUUUGUCAACUUCUUUGUCCAAAUAGAUGGCAAGCUUUCGAACCUUACUGGUUGGGGCUGCCUUGGUUCCUGUGACUGCAGAAACAUUGACAGUAUGAAGAAAGCUCUGUUCUUUGGCCUUUAAUACACACAAGUCUCGCAUAAGAUCAUGGAGACGACAAGUUUUAACAUUCUUAGUUGAACCGUAUUUUCCAACUUGAACCAUGCACCUAUUCACCAACUCAAUUAAGCAGCUGUAUGAUACUUCUUCCAUAAUUUCUGUGGAUGCUGAUGAUAGGCCUUCUGCCACCCACAAUUUAGUCAAUCUUUUCACUGGUAUCUCAUAAUCUUCAGGAAAUAGGCCUAAAUAUAGAAAACAAAGUUUCAAGCGAUACGGUAAGUCAUCAUAACUCAAUGCCAACACCCAUGAUGUACCUUCAUAUUCUUGACCUUUAUAUUCUCGUUCAAGAAUUGUACCUCUCCUUAUAUAUGCAUCAACAUUCUCAAGCACCGUAUUCCAUUCCUCAACAGUGUCUUUUCUAGCUAAAAGUCCUGCAAGCACACUGAUUGCUAAUGGCAACCCUGCACAACGUUGAAGCAUCUUCUUCCCUAGUUCUUCCUUCUUUGCAUAUGAUUCAGAGUCUGCAAGUAAAAAAGAAGCAAUAAAAUAGCAAAGUUUAUUAGAUCAGCAAUUAUAUAUGCAGCACUAUAAAACCAGAACAUGACAUUCUACGUAAUCAACAUCCCCGUGCUAUUACGAUUGUGGCACUAUAACUUUCUCGUGCUCCUUAACUAAGUAACACAUUGGAAACAGUUUGAAGUCCGUAGAAUGAUAUUUGAAAUGGAGAAAAUAUAUGAUAUAGAAAAUAAAAUGUAUGCAGUGUAAACUGAGCAUUAAUGAUCUCUAUUAGGAAUUGAUAGGUAAAUCUAAAGAUAAAAGAGUGGGAUUAAGAAAGUACUUGUAUAAUCCCUUCCAAAAAGUGCUAUCUUCUCAAAUAAUUCCCAGCUUUCAUCAUCAUUCAAUGCAUGAGGUUGGUAGAGGAAACCAUUUUCGUCUACAUGCGAGGCUACUUCCUUGUUGCGUGUGGUGAGUAAUAUUCGGCUCUUUGUUUCCUGGUUAAUUGGAAAUCCGGCUUUUAAAGUGUUCCAAGCAUCACGGGUCCAAAUGUCAUCAAGCACAACCAAGCAUUUCCUUUCUCUUUGGAUGAUACAAAGCUUCUCUGCUACUCUAUCCUUCUUCAUUUUUUCAAUUUCUUCUCUUUGCUCAUUGGUAGCGGAAGUAAGUUUAAUUAAGAUUUCUUCCAGAACAUCAAUUCCUUGACAUUGUUGAGAUAUGCACACCCAAGCAAAACAAUCAAAACUUCGUCGAACUUUACUAUGAUGAAAAACCUGUUUUGCAAUUGUGGUUUUCCCGGAACCGCCCAUGCCCCAUAUAGAAACAACUCGACUGCAUUUUUCUUCAUCCACUAAUUGCGUAGCCAAUAUAUUUACGCCGUCGUCUAACCCAACAACUUCGCGUUCAAUAACAUGGGGAUAAGUUAGCCUCAUCUCUUGUUGCCUCUCAAAAGAACCGCCACCUCCACCACUCCCCCUUGUUUCUCUUAUAUUAUAACUUUGCAACUCAAUCUCAAUGCCGAAAGUUUGGUUGUAAUCUUCUCAAUUUCCCACCCUGUCUUGUAACGAUGAUAUCCUUCUCUAAGAUGCAAGCAAACCUUUUCAGAACAAUCUUCAAACUUCCUUUCCUCCUGGAAGCCAUUUUCAAGACAAAGGUUUCAAUCACAUCCUCCAAAUCAUAAGCAGCAUCUCUAAUGGUUGCAACCCAAAUGCGUACUACUUCAUCCUCUCCUUGUCUGGCAUCUGCGUCUUUCAGGUAGCCCAACAUUAACUGUAGCUCAGUUUGCGCAACCUCAACUUGAUCGCUGACUCCACCCAAAAAAUUCGCCUGCUGAAUGAUGUAGUCUACGAGGGGCUUGAUCCCUUCUGCAACAAUUGUAACAACAGCCUCAGCCAUGAUUUUCUCCAAAAGAAAACAAUUAAACCAGCUCCUUUUCUUUUUCUUUCUUGUUUUGCCUUCUCUUCUCUUUCUUUGGAUUGAUGAAAUUAAAUCUGCUUUCUUCCGCUUUAUGUAUGAUGAAGUCCCUUCUACCCCUGGCAGAUUCCCAAAUUAACUUCUAUAAUUAAAGUCCCAAUCUGAUGACUCAUAUGAAUCAUCUACUCUUUUGUUUUAUUGCAUUACUAAUUAACGACUCUCUUUGUUAAUUAGUUUCUUAGUCCUUUUUUGUUAAGAUAUUAAAGUACAACCAUAUUCAGAUGUCAUCCAUAUUAAAGUACAAACAAGAGCUACUCAAUUUUACGUUGACUGAGUAAACUACUCAGAACUGGCAGGGCUUUUAAAAACUGAAUAUAAAACUUUAGUCAAUUUGAACAAAAAUUGUUUUACAAUUAUUUAUACACUCUCGUUCUAAAUUGGAUCGAUUUCACCUCAAAAUUAUAGCCAAAUCAAUACGAUAUAAUAGAGAAAACUGAAUCAAACCAAAUGAAUUUCAAAUAGUUUGAUUUGGUUUAAUUUGGUUCGGCUAGUUUGGAUCUAAGCCAAUUCUCUUUCCUUUUACAUUUUUUCAAUAUUGUUAGUCGAAUUACAACCAAAAAAUUCACAACCGACUACAUACUUUUUUCAUUUUCUAAGGUGUCAAAUCAUCCUAAAAUUCCACAUGCCAUAACUUCAAAUUUAAUAACUAAUAUACCUACAAUUCAAAUAUCAAUAAUUCAAAAGGUACAUCCAACUUCAAAUUCAACAUCCAUAAUUAUUAUCAAAUUAGAGUAUUACACAUGUAAAAUAAAAUGUAAAAAAAAUAAAUAUACAAGUAUUCGUCCGGUUUGGUUUAGGUCAGUUUAUAAAAGUUCAAAACCAAACCAAACCAAACCAAACUCAUAUACAGUCCAGUUCAAUUUUUCAACCGUUUGACUUUAUUUUAUUAAAAUCAAACCAAACUGAUAGUUAUGAUUUGGAUCAACUGGUCUCAUCGGUUCGGCAGCAUUGAUGUCCACCCAUACCGUUCCAUAUCUCAUCCGAACUCCAUUUUGCUGAGCCACUGUGUAAUUAAAAUGAACAGACUUAAUUUACUAAACAGACAAUUCUAAUACAUGUAAUAAAUCCAAUAGCAUCUAACAGCUAGCGUUACUUCUCCACAACUAUGCCAUGAUGUCAUGAAAUUUUGUGAUUUCUCCCUUUCUAACACUCUAAGAGAAAAAAAAAAAAAUAUAUAUAUAUAUAUAUAUAUUCAGCUGCCGUCCCUCAAAGAGAUCGGUGGCCUCCAUUUCUUCUCCUCCUCCCUUCCCUCCCUUCCUUACCAUCCAAGACCUUUCCCUAGCUUCUUUUCUCAACCUCUGCACCUCACCCAUCCAUUCCAGCCUCUCUUUCUUGGAAGAGUUUGGUGGAUGCUUGGUUGUUUUGGUGAUGACGUGAUGAUAGAUCAGCUUCUAUUUAUUGUUGUGUGUUGCAAUUUUUAUUUGAAAUGAGUAAAUCAAUUAUUAUUUUUAGUUUAUUGGGUAUUUGUAGUCUCUUCUUGUAGGUUUUACUUUUUGUAGUUGCAAUCGUAGAGGGGGAGGGGGAGGGGGAGGGGGUUACUUGAGAACACGACUACAAGUGAAUGUCACUUUUCACUAGACAAGAUCUACUGACACGGGAACAAUUUUUUUUGGUUCUUAUGGAAGUAAACUUUAUUUAAUGUUUAACCCAAAAAUAUUACUUUUUUUAGGAGGUAUUUAGCCAAUCACCAAGGUAAUGAUCGAUGGUGGUGCAACAAUCAAUCUUCUACCACACAAACACAGAAUGAUGACCAAGCUAUAAAAACCGACUUCUGCUUUUGAGCUGAAUUAAUAAGAACCCAAAUGUUGAACAGUAUGGGUCGUUCACUAUUUAUGGUAAAUGAACCUUAAUUUUCAAUUUGAUGAGAGCCCAAAUACCAGGCAGGGUCUUGUGCACAGAAUUAGGCCCAAACAGGAGGGCAAUCUUCAAUGUAAGAGCAAGUCCAGCGGUAGAGGCUGGCCCAGGCAAAAGGCAAAAAGGAGCCCGAGUCCAGCUCCAGCGCAAGCAAUCCAGCCCGGGCAAGCUGCGGGUCCCACGAGCCCGGGCAGGCCCAAGGGCGAAAUCAGACUGGGCUCGAGCCCGAGUUGAGCUGACGUCAGCGCACUAAAAUCAAAUUUUUUUACUGUUGGCGCGUGUAAUACACGCGCCAACGGUAAAAAAAAUUUGACUGAAGUGCGCUGACGUCGUCAUGACGUCAUCGAUGAUGUCAGCUCCAACGGCUACUGCCACGUGUCGUCACCGGGUGGCUCCGAUUGGAUUUUUUUCAGAAAUCCUACGGUUCUCAUUUUUUUGGCCAAAAAAAUUUAAAAAAAAUCCUAAAAAAUCCGAAAAAAUUCGAAAAAAUUCUGAAAUUUUUUUUAAAAAAAUACCAAAAAUGUAUGUAUUUUUUCCCUAUAAAUACCUAACCAUUUUAUCUACUUUCAACACCAAAUCUUCAUACAAUUUCUUCUCCAUACAAUAUUUUCUACUCUCCACUCACAUAAUUCAUUUUCCACACCAAAUCUCCAUACAAACUCAUCUCCUUCCAAUAUUUUUUACUCUCUACUCAUAUUUUUAUUAAUGAAUAUCCGAAAAUUUUAUCUGGAAUAAGACACGUGGCAACCGAGAUUCACAUCCGAAAAUCUUAUCCGAAAAUUUAAUUAAAAAGAUUAUCAAAAUUAAUGAUUUAAAGUAUAAAAAAAUAGGAAAUAAAGUACAAUGAAUAGUAAUUGCCCUAGACUUGCCCUAGACUUUGCCCUUGUGGGUGGAACCACAAAUGGCAAGGCUGACACUAUUCACGUGAAUAGUGUCAGCCCUUGCUUGCCCUAGCUUGCCCUUGCCUUAGACUUUGCCCUAAGGGGUGGAAGUUGCUCUAAUGAAACAGAAAGAUUAUAGGAAGCUGCAAAUUACAAACACAAGAAAUAGAAUACAACAUGCUGUGAUAUAUAUAGUAGUAGUAUUGGUUCACACCAUUUUAUUGUGCAUGCCAAAAUAAAAGACCAACUCAGGCAUCUUCUAAUAUGAGUAUUGCUUCAACUAUUGGGGAAGUGCUAGUGCCAGUGCCAGUUGAGAUAGUUGACACGCAGCCACCUCAAGUCUCACUCUUGUAUAUGUGAUUUGAUUCAAACCAUCAUAGAUUAUGGGGAUCCAACCAACAUUACUCACAUAGUGUUCAGCUGGUCGAUUCUCGGUAUACACCUACACAAGAAGAGAUUGUUUUUGAAAUUGUAAAUGCUUCCGUGUCACUGAUCUGAAUAAUUCGAAAAUAACAUGCUGAGUUUUUACCGGCAACCAUAUUGUUGCUCUACACCUCCAAUAACGAUCACACAUGAUUGAAUAAACUAUGGCGUAGACAUCCCAACUAGAAACGGACCACAGAAGGUACUAACUUGGGCUAUAGCCCAGGCGAUUUUUUUUUUUCCAGCCCAAAAUACAUAUAGCACAGCACAUCACCAAUUCAAAGUAUAUUUUUAAAAGCAAAACUCAAUUAUACCCUUUUUUAUUUAUUUAAAUUGACCUUAUUACAUUCAAUCAUAUAGGGCUUGUCAAUGGGCCCGGCCCAGAUUUAAUGGGCUUGGGCCGGGUCAGGCCGGGUUUUAAAGAAGAGAGAGAAAAUAUCGGGCCGGCCGGGUUCUUUUAGAAAAUUCAAAGCCCAAGCCUGACCCAUGAGCUGGGCUUGAGAAAGCCCAUCGGGCUGGGCCAGGCUAAGGCUAACGGGCCGGGCCUAUAUGGGCCCUACUUCAUUAAAAAAAAAUCAUAAACUUAAUCAUAAAGGCAUUUUAGUCCAAAUUUGAGAUUAAACUCACUUAAUUCCAAUAUUUUCACUUCAAAUCAAAUUCAUAAAACACCCAAUAAAGUCACACAACUUAUAAGAUUUUCUACCAAAAUAAUAAAAUCAAGUAUUAUUUUUUAGGUUAUUACAUAAUUAGAUCGUAAUACGUUUUAAGAAAUAAUUUUAAAAAAUAAUAAGUAUCAAAAAAAUAUUUUUUUAAAGGAUGGUAUGAAUAAAUAUGCAAAUAUUUGGUAAUGUGUUCAAGAAAAGCAUGAUUAUAUUUGGUAGUACGAUUAUGUUUUGUGAUAUGAUUAUAUUUGGUGAUGUGAUAUGUUGUUCAUCUUAUAUAUAUGAUUAGUGUGCUAAUCAUCAAAUUAUAAUUGUUGGAGUAACAAUUGACACAAAUUAAUGUGCUAAUCAUCCAAUUAUAAAUUGGGAAAAAGUAAAUGAAAUGAAACAAAUUAUAUAUGUGAUUUAAGUGAUAUAAUCAUAAACCUAAACACUUAUUUAUACAUAAUUAUAUAUGUAUGUGGGCCUAACGGGCCGGGAUUUUGUUGGGGGGGUCGGGCCGGGCUUUCUUAGGCUUAAUCGGGUCGGACUAGACUUCAGACACCCAAGCCCAAGCCUAGCUCGGCGGGGCCAUCUCAAAGCCCAUAACGGGCCGGGCCAGGCUUUUUUUUCGAUGGGCAAGACGGGCCCACAUUGGCCCAUGAGCCCGCGGGCCAAAUGAUGAGGCCUACAAGCAUAUCAUCUAAGGGUUCAUGAAUUGAGUCACCUACGCAAGUUGUAUAGAUUCUCCCCUGUAAAUUGAACAUUCUCCAAAUUUAAACGUGCACAAAAUUCACAAUUUGAUAUCCCAACAGACAGAACGCACAAUAUAACAACAUGCAAUUCACAUAGACGGCCUCCGGCCUUCAAAUAAUCCGAAGUGAAACCACCAACAAACUCUAAACAAUGCCAAUAAUGAAUGCCCACUAUAAUCAAUAUAAAAUAACUUCCCAAAUAUCCAACAUACGAGGUUUUAACCUCCUAACCAAUUCUCAUCUCGUUUUCACCCAAAUUUCAGGACCAACGACAAGGUCGGAACCAAUCUCAAUAAAACCACCCAAGUAAAUUUUAGCCCGCGGCUGCACCUAGGCGCUACCCUAGGCUGCCUAUGUACUCUUACUGAGGGAUCAAGUCACACAUAGUUCUUUCUACAAACAUGUCUUUCCCAAUAUAACAUAACAAUCCUUUACUCAUCUCCCUGGUAAUCACCAAAUCUCCCUAUACGCCGGAACAUCUAACGCCACAUAUGGGGUCUGUCAACAGGCCGGAUAACCUACGUCACGUGUGACCUAACUAUCACAUAAUCUCCCCCAUACGCCGGAACAUCCAACGUCACGUAUGAGGUCUGUCCUCAGGCGGGAUAACCUACGCCACGUGGGACCUAACAAUCACAAAAUCUCCCCAUACGCCGGAACAUCCAAUACCACGUAUGAGGUCUGUCAACACGCCGGAUAACCUACGCCACGUGUGACCUAACCAUCACAUAAUCUCCCUCAUACGCCGGAACAUCCAACACCACGUAUGUAGUUUGUCAACACCACUAUUCAAAAUGAGUCUUGGAAUUUCGACAUUGGGAUGCUGCAUAUUAAGAUAUAGUAUUGGAGGUAUAUAUAUAUGUGACACACCUUGUACUAAAUUUUACUUUGAUUGGAGGAAAGUAGUUAGCUCUCUCUUGAAACCUUACCUUGAUUCAGGGCUUCAAUAACUUCUCUAGUGUAAAUAUCUAAACUCUAAAAACCUUAGUCGGUCUAUAAUACAUAAAGACCUAAGUAGAGGCAUAAAUCAAAAACUUUAGUCGAGGUACAAUACAUUAGCCCUCAAUAGAAGCAUAAACUAAAGACAUAUUUAGUCAUAUACUCAUUCUUAGCACAAAUAAUAUAGAUAAAUCCUACACCAUUUAAUUUAUAUAAACAAAUUUAAAAAAACCCAAAAUAUGAUAACUGGCUCUAUUGAAUUUAAUUUUGAUUAUUAAAUUACUUGAUGCCCUAUUGAGUAUUUUGGGUUUUUUUUAUAAGGUUUUGGAGUUGGGUUUGUUUUAAGAAAUCAAUGACAGUUUUGUAAUUUAAAAGAAGUUAAAAGCUUUUAUGUUAUGUUUUAAAUAGACUUUUGGUGUGUUUCUAAAGUCCAUUUCAUAUGUGAUUUCUUUUUUAUAAUUUGGGCUCUUAUAUUGGGUAUAACAGUGAAUCUCCCUAAACUAAAUCCUUCAGUCGAGGUAAGAAACAUAAGCCCUCAAUACCUGUCAUUAGAGGUAUGAACUCAAGAUAAUCUUAUUAGAAAUACCAAUCAUCAAUAAAUGCAUGAACUCAAAAUAACCGCACUAAAAAACAUACAAGAUGUCAAAAGAGGCAUAACCUCCGCAAAGGCACAAGCCUUCAACAAAGGUAUGAGUUUAAGGCUUCAUUUGGAUAGAGGGAUUCUAAAUCUAAGGAUUUAGAUAAUGUUAUAAGCAUAAAUUGUAAUAGUAGACAAUUACAAUUCAUAUAUGCUAAGAUUUGACAUAACUAUGUGUAAUACAUUUAGAAUGAAUUUGACUAUAUACAAAGAGUAACUUGCAAUCUAUGUAUUUUCUUUAUUUUCCAUCUCGUUCAAUUCUUGGCAUACAUAAACAAUUUAACUUUAUAAUAUCAUCCAAUACAUAAGUAUUACGUUUUACUUGUCAAUUGAAAAUGCCAAAAAUCACACAACUUAUGCUUCAACCCACAAUUUUUUUUUUUUUUUGGGGUCUUAAGUAUGCAUCAAACCUCCUUCCUCUGAUAUUCAUAUAAUAUUCCACCGCCGGUUAGCCGGUUAGGCCUAACCACAACUUCCUCUGAUAUUCAUAUAAUAUUCCACCGCCGCUUAGCCGGUUAGGCCUAACCACAACUUCCUCUGAUAUUCAUAUAAUAUUCCUCUGAUAUUCAUAUAAUAUUCCACCGCCGGUUAGCCGGUUAGGCCUAACCACAACUUCCUCUGAUAUUCAUAUAAUAUUUGAUUAAAUUGUCAUAUGCUACGCACCAACCGAAGAAAAAUGGGAAACUACAGUAUUCCCCGCUUUUUUUCUUUUUGGUACAUUUUAGUCCCCGCUUUCACGGCUGGGCUGGUCUGUGGUCGCCUAGCCCAAAGCCUAGCCAAGCAGCCGUCUUCAAAAGCUUUCAUCGGGGUUUUGGGUCUCUCAAUCGAGAUCGGACCCAAUGCGGAGACAAAAUGAUUCCUCGUUAGAGUUCAUAGCAAUGAGAUCUCAGGUUUUUUUCUUUUUCUUUCUCCUUCAUUUCUCUUGAAUUCAGUUUUCUUUGAAUCGAAUUCCUGGUUGUUCUCUGAAGUUUCAAUUCCAUGGAAGAACAAACCACCCCGAAACUGAAAAAACCUCCAAAACCCAGCAAGCCCAUUACAGAGCUAUGGUGGUUUUUCGCCGCAGCCGCCUGCGUAAAGCUGCUACUGAUCCCAGCCUACAAAAGCACAGACUUUGAGGUCCAUCGCCACUGGCUUGCUAUAACCCACUCUCUGCCUCUCUCUCAAUGGUACUUUGACGAGACCAGCCCUUGGACCCUUGACUACCCUCCAUUCUUUGCCUACUUUGAGCGCUUCCUAUCCAUUUUUGCCAAUCUCAUUGACCCACAAAUUGUUCACGUCCAAAAGGGCUUGAAUUACAGCUCAAACACAGUGCUUUAUUUCCAAAGAAUCUCUGUUAUCUUCUCGGAUUUGUGUCUUUUGUACGGGGUUUAUAGAUUGACUAGGAAGUUGUAUUCAACGAGGCAAAAACUGAUGUGGGUACUGGUGGUUUGGUCUCCAAUGCUUGUGAUUCUGGAACGUUUGCAUUUUCAGUACAAUGGAUUUUUCCUUGGGAUUUUGUUGAUUUCGCUUUCUUAUUUGGAGGAAGGGAGGGACUUGAUGGGUGGACUGGUUUUUGCCGUGUUGUUGUGUUUCAAGCAUUUGUUUGCUGUGGCGGCACCAGUUUAUUUUGUCUACUUGUUGUGGCAUUAUUGCUGGAAAGGAUUUGUGAGAGGUUUCUGGCGGCUUUUCAUUUUGGGAGCUAUUGUUGUGGCUGUUUUUGCAGUGGCUUAUAGACCCUUUAUCUAUCAUGGACAAGUAAUCUCUAUGGCUUUGACAGUUUGUCUUUAGAUGGUUAUUGGCCAUCAUCGUCGUAUUACUCUUAUCUGUUUUUAUGAAGAAAUCUCAGAGCUUAUUAACCUUUGCAUGUGUGAAUACUCACCAAAGCAAUGAAUGGCUGGGAAUUUUUCCUCUGCAAAUGGGAUUUUUAUGAGAGCUGAAUAUAUGUUAUACUACGGAAAGAAAUAGUAAGCGAGUUCUUAGGUGUGCCAAUUCUAUGUUUUCUGUUUUGUGUUGAGACCAUCUGGCUUCCUCCUGUCAUGUUGAUUAAUCGAUAUUUUUGUAUUAGCAUCGGAAAACGGAGAUUUCAUACAAAGGACCCACUAGUGUAGUAGUUUGGAACCAUUGCUCUCCUAGGCAAGGUCCUGGGUUUGAAUCCUAGCAUCCGUGUAGCUUGUGUGAGUUUAGUAUACUAUCACUCUUGUCCUAAAAACAGAGAUGUCGUUGAAAGAAUACUGACAGGCUUAAUGUGUAAAAUGGUGAACUGAUUUAGUAGAUAAUCAUUUUGUUUAGUGUUAAGACUUGGCUCAUAGGCUAAGCCAACAGUUUGUUAAGUCUCAUAGGACUUGACUUGGACAGGUGUCCUAAUCUUACUAGUAGUGUAGUGGGAUGGUUGAGAUUGAAGCUAGGAGCUGUCUAGCUCUCUCUCUCCUCUAACGGUUAUAUGAGCUUUAAGUAUGUGGGUGAAAUGUGUGCCUCACCUAAUGAAGUAAUACAGAGCAUUUUUGCAAAGUCUGUAGUUCAUCAUUUUCUCUCUUCAUUAUUCUCAAUCCUCCAUUUUUCUCAUUAGCUCAGAUUUGCUAGGAAAACACUAACAGUGAAUAGGAUUAAUGUUAGAAGUUUUUCACAUUAUUUCUGCUGUCAGAAAUGCUGACAGAUCAAAUGUUUUGAAAAAGAGCAGCUUGAAUAAAAUUUAUCAUAUUGAUAUGAAGUUUUAUUCCAUCUUCCUUGCUAUUAAAAAAACAAAAGACAAUUGAUAUGAAGUGUAAUGUAUUCUAAAAUGUGUUGAAAACAGACUGCAACUACUAUUAGUUUAAAUUUAUUUAACAUAAUAAGAGGCUCUUGUUAUAACAAAUAUGCAUACAAUCGAAGUUGCAAGUAAAUGUGGAAAAUGAGAUACAAAAAUAAACAAGUGCAGGCAAUCAUCACAGACCAUAUACUAAAAUAAAAUAGAAAUACUACUACUUUAAUGAAAUAGACUUUUCACCCUACUCUUUUUGCUGUUGCUCCGUUCCAACUCUUUUUCCCUUCAAGUUUUCCCUUCAACUGGAAAGAGGAGACAAACAAUUACUUAUUUUUCCCUUGAAAUAAUAAAUAAGAAAAGAGAAAAACGAAAUUUAGCAUACCAUUUAUCCCGAAUCUUCUUAUGCCUCAAUAUUUGUUAUAAUAACAGACUGAACAUGUUGGAUUUUGUAAAAAUCCUCUCCUCCUUCCCCAAGCCGGCUACAGAAUUCAAGACGCAUCUUUUUUAUGGUUAAUUCCUUGAGGGUAGUAAUAUAUUGGAGCCCAUCUGGAACUGCCUCCAAAUCUAAGCAAUGCUCAAUGUGCAAUUUGCAGAGACUACGCAUGGCUCCUUUCUCCACCUUCCAUUCUUUGAACUCCUCCAACGAAUAAAGAGAAAGAAAUUCGAGAAAUGGAAAGCCUCCCUCUGAGCAAACAAGAUGUGCCGGAAAUUUCCCGUGACUAGCAAAAAGCAUUCUUAAGCUUGGCAGCUUCUCUAAUACUUUUAUGUGGUCGUGCUUGAGAUCACCAAAAUGUAUCAGUGUAAGCUUGGUGAGGUUCGUAAGGCACAUGAGGUCUUCUGGUAACUCAGCGAUUUUUCCGCGUAGUCGCAGCUUGUAUAUAUUAGGACAACUUAAUACUCUGUUCCAUGGUAUUAGCAAAAACGUGGACCAACGAUGGUCCAAUCCACCAGAGAACAAUGUAGAGUCCACCGAUAGAGACUGGAGGUGCUUAAAUAUGAUGUUUGUCCCUUUCUCCUUUUUCACCCCUCCGUCAAAUGUGAUAACUCCCAAUUUUCUAAGGUUGGUUAGUUUAACAAAAUCAUCUAGAUCAGAUGAUGCCUGAAUACCAAUAUUGACUACUGUAUGCAAAUUCACUGCCUCAGUAGCAAAUAGCAGACGUUUCUCUCUUGCACUAUGAUUUUCGUGUAAAUAUAUAUGUCUCAAUUUUUCCAUCUUGGAAAACACGUUUUGAUUUGGAAUUUUCAUCCGCAAAUAUCUGCUACGUAAAUCUAGAGCCUGCAAACAUACCAAUUUUGCUAUAGAUGAUGGCACCGCUCGAAUAUAACUAUCCUUAACACUUAAAAACCUUAAGUGCACUAGAUUCCCAAUUUCACCCGGUAGCUUUCUAACAACCAUAUUUUCAAACUUCAAAACUCUAACCAAUGUGAAGUCCUUUAAUAGUGACCGUAAUACCUUUGAGUUCCAUCUGCAGUAUCUUGAGAAAUAUAACAAAGACCUAACAUGUGCAUAAUUUUCAUAUCUCCACAGACAAUGUCCCACAACAGUUUUUUCCAAAUAGAUGGCAAGUCUUCGAACUCUACCAUUUGGUGUUUGCAUGAUCUCCACAGCUGCAGAAUAAUUAAUAAUAUGGAGAAAGUUCUCCUCUUUUGCCUUUAACAUGCAUAAGUCUCGCAUAAGAUCGUGGAGAUGACAAGUCUUGAUCUUCUUACUCGAACCAUGUUUUCCAACUUGAACCAUGCACCUGCCCACUAACUCACUUAAGCACAUAUAUGAUACAUCUUCCAUUACUUCCACUGAUGUCGAUGAUAUAAAACCUUCUGCCAUCCAUAGUUUAGUCAAUGUACUCACCGGUAUUUCAUAAUCUUCCGGAAAAUGGGCUAAGUAGAGAAAACAUAGUUUUAAGUAAUAAGGUAAGUUAUCGUAACUCAAUUCCAAUAACCAUGAUACCCCUUCAUAUCCUUCACCUUUGUAAUCGGGCCCAAGGUCUGUGCCUCUCCUUAUAUAUGCAUAAACAUUCUUAUGGACUGUAUUCCACUCAUCAACUGUAUCUUUUCUAGCUAGAAGUCCUGCAAGCACCGUGAUGGCUAGUGGCAAACCUUUGCAAUGUUGAAGCAUCUCUGUUCCUAGCUCUUUCUUAUGUUCAUAAAUUUUAUGGUCUGAGAAACAAUAUUAAGAUCAGAUACAUGUAUUCAAUUGACGAAAAGUAUACAAAACAAAUUAUCCCAAAAGUUUCUGAUUUUUCUUCGGCCUAAACUUUGAUUUGUGUUGGUCCGUUAUGUGGGCCCUGAUUUAUUUGGAUAUUGAGAGAUUCAUUGUUGGGUACACGUUCUUUCUAUUCAAGAAAAGUAAUUUCUAGAGUAUAGGUUUUGAUUUGAGUAUAUUUUCUGAAUAUAAAUAUUGUAAGAAUAUAUAUAUAUAUUGUGAUAAUAAAACUAAUAUCUUCAUGUAGAGGCAUUUUGAAUAUUCUAUAGUAGAAUUCUCUUAGAGUAACAAAGAAAAGUAGAGAUAAAAGGUUUGUGUGAGAACAUACUUGUAUCUUCCGUUCCAAACAUUGCUAUCUUCUCAAAUAGUUCCCAGCUUUCAUCAUCAUUCAACGACUGUGGUUCGAAGAGGAAACCAUUUUUGUCCGCAUACGACGCGACUUCUUUGUUGCGAGUAGUGAGUAAAAUUCGACUCUCAGUUUCCUCAUUCAUUGGAAAUCCAGCUUGCAAAGAGCUCCACGCAUCACUGGUCCAAAUGUCAUCAAGCACCACCAAACAUUUCCGUUCUCUUUGCGUAUUCCAAAGCCUCUCUGCUAUUUGAUCAAUCUUCAGUUUUGCAAUUUCUUGUCUUUGCUCAUUGGUAGGAGACAUGAGUUUAGUCAGAAUUUCUUCCAAAACUUCCCGUGCUUAACAUUGUUGAGAGAUACACACCCAGGCAAGACAAUCGAAAUGACGCUUAACUUUAUCAUGAUGAUAAACUUGUUUUGCAAGAGUGGUUUUACCCAACCCGCCCAUCCCCCAAAUAGAAACAACUCGGGGGCCUUUUUCUUUGAUCAAAUGCGUAGCCAAUAUCUCUGUUCCACGGGCUAACCCAACCACAUGAGGGUCGACAAUAUGAGGAUAAGCUAUCCUCCGUUCCUGUUGCCUCUGAAAAUAAGUGUCACCUCCACUCUCUCCUGUUUGGUGUAGGUUAAAACUUGGCAUAAUCGAACUCAACUGUGAAAUUUCGGUUGUAAUUUUCUCAAUGUCUGAGCCAAUCCGAUGAAGAUUAACUCCUUUUAUGAAGAUGCCAGUAAACCAUGUCUUCCUCUUGAAAGCCACUUUUAAGACAUAAGUUCCAAUGACAUCCUCAAGAUCAUAAGCAGCAUCUCUGACACUUGCCACCCAAAUGCGUAUUGCUUCAUUGCGUCCCUGGCUGGCGUCUGCAUCUUUCAAGUAGCCUUGCAUGAUUUGUAGCUGGGUUUGUGCACUGUGAACCUUACCACCUACGGAUUUCAAGGAUUUCAAUUCCUGAAUGAUAGGGUUGCUGAGCCCUUCGAGCACUAUUGAAACAACAGCUUCGGCCAUAUUAGCAGCUUUUCUUUUUUCUUCUGUUUUUUUAGAUUGAAAAAAUAAUAUUACCAAUGGAGAAGUCUCAGUUUCGUUCAUAUAGGAAGUCCCAUAAUUAUUCUGAUAUCUCCACAAUCGAUGUCCAUACUCGAUUUUGAGGACAUUUAUUAGUACAUAUUCAAUGCCAUAAAAAACCUACAAAUUGCCCCAUUUGUUAACGAGAUCGUCAGAAAAUUCGUUAUCUGCUUACGUGGCGAAUGUGAGUUCUAUUUUUUAAUGAGAUGGACUUACAUGUGGACAAAUAAAUAAUAAAUAAUUAUAUAUUUUUCAAAACUAAUUUUAAAUCAUUAAAAAUUAUUAAUAAUAAUUUACUGUAGUUUACUGUAGUUUACCUUUAAUAAUAACUAGCCUCUCUGCACGCGCUUCCGCGCUUGCGAGAGGUUUUUUUAAAAAAAUAAGUAAAUUUAUUUUAGAAUUAAAAAAGAUAAUGGGUAGUUGUGUUCCAUAAAAAUAGGAUCUAUUAUCUGCUUUUUCUUUUUCUUUUAAUUUUUAAAAAUAUGAAAAAGUGUGAAUUUACCAUAUUAUCCUCAUUUAAUUAAUAAUUUGAAUUCUUAAUGUUUGCAUUAACCAAGGGCAUUUUCUGGUAUUUUGAAUGUUUCACCAUUCUCUGCCUUUUGCUUUAUAUAUAUAGAUAAUGCAAUAAAAUUACUAUUUUCACCAAAGUGAAACCCCAUAUCAGGAGGGCGGUACCUUGGAGGAAAGAACAAAAAAUGCUUGCGACUAAAGUGCGAUAGAAUGCUUCUCUUUUAAUUUAGAGCAAUUCCAGCGAGGAACCCUAACCUCUAAUUAAGAUUUGAUUAAAGUAAUAACCAAAGCAUGUGAUGAUGUUUUUGACAUUAUCCACAAAGAUGCCUUUGCUUUGCUGAGCGAAUAAUGGCAGGUUUUUUUUCCCCAACUAGCUCUGUUUUCAUUAUUGGGUCAAUUACAAGUAGAGCUUUUGUAGUUUAGCUAAUUGCAAAAUAAAUUUCGUUCUUUCAAAAUUUACAGAGAGUCCCUUUGGCUAACAGUCAACUACAACUCAACUUCAGUUGGAAAUUAGAGUCACCACCACUCAUCAUCUAGUUUCAUUGGCUUGUAUAAAUAUUGGGUUUUGCCCCUUUGAAUAAACACCGAGUUAUUUCCAAAAAUUUCGAUGAAUUCCACCGAUUCAGUACUUAAUUCCACCGAAUUAUUUCCGAUUAAUCCUCAUUGUUAUAAUUAACCAACUAUAAGUCGUGGUGUGAAGUUCGAUUUGUAUUAUAAUAUUUGCAUGGCUCAUUAAGAGAAAUUUCACGAACUAGGUUACUUGGAGGUGAAGAAACUGUUGGUAUAAUUUCUUUUCCAAAAAAAAAGUAAGAAUAGACUGCACCAACCAAUAACUGGUUUACUUUGAACAAUCUAUAGAUGCCAUGCCAGUAAUUUAUUACUCAAGAACACCUAAACUUAUUUGACGGAUGAAUGCAAUUGGAUCGCACUCCUCCUGGAACUUCCACAUACGUAAGCAUUGAAGCAUACACAACUAUAUUGAUGAAAAACUGAAGCGCCAACUUUAUGGGUGACAAACAGGGAAAAACAAGACAACGCACCUGUAUGAAUCUACAAGUAAUAAAAAGCAAACAAUAAAACUUUGAUAAAAAGACUGCUAUAUCCUUCCCAUAUAACAUAUUUACGUUCUAUGAGCAUCCACAAUCAUGCUCUCUAUUUUUGUAGUUAAAUUUUAGUUAAAAACAUAUAAAAGUUAUUUUAGGAGUUCUCUAGUUUAGAGAGUCAUAAAUAUUAUAACUCUUUUUUAAUUGGUUCAUCUCUAUUAAAAAAUAAUAUAUAAAAUAAUUAACAUUAAAUAAAUCAUAAAAAUUCGCGAAUUGCUACUCCAAAGCACUUCUUACAAGAAAUCAUAGAAAUAUCUCUAGUGCAUUAUGUGUUUGUGCAAAUAAUCUCGCGGGAGAAUAUUUGUUUCUAGAUCCUUCAACUUUCGAUCUUCCUUCUCUCUCUUACUCGAUUCCUAUAAAAAAGAUUGGAGUAAAUAGACCACACCCGGGGGGUGUUGGCCAAAGGUCCUCCGAUGCCUAAGUUAGUUCGAGUGUUUGUAGGAAAACAAUAGCUAAGCAAAGGGUACGGAGUUGUAUGUAUGGUGUAAAUCGGGUGACCGGAGCCGUGUGUGGUGGCCGGAGCCGUGUGGAGAAAAUAUGGAGAGUGGAGAAAGAGCUUUGGCUAUUUUUCUCGGGUAUUAGGAGUAGGUUUUCUGAAGUACCUUGAACGAUGAAUGAGGUCGUCUAUUUAUAGGAGCCUCAGGGCUAGGGUUUCGUAGGGAUCGAGUCGGACUUGAUAAUAUCCGAAUUAAUGAUAUUAUAUCUUAAGAAGAUAAUAUCUGAAUUAAAUGAUAUUAUCUUCUCUUUAUUAGGAUAAUAUCUGAAUUAAUGAUAUUAUCUCUUUAAAUAAAGAUAAUAUCAUAUUAAUUAAGAUAUUUAUCUCAAUUAAUUAAUUAGCCAGAUAAACUGGUUUAAUUAAUUAAUUUAAGAGAUAAUCUUCUUUUUCACGUGGCGUGCCCUGAUUAGAGACGAAAAUAUAUGCUCCCACAAAUGCCCCUCAGCUUCUGCAUGGCGCUUGUGUGGCAUGUAGGAGAUGAAAUUAUUUUUUUCGAGCUCUCCAACUGUGUCCGGGCUUUAUUAUGUGAGUUGGACUCCUUUUGCAGAUCGGAUUUCCAAUUGGUGUAGGCUUCCGACUGUUUGUUGGAGUUGGAUUCCCAGUAGGAAUAAGCUUGCAAUUCCUUCUUGACCCGGGUUGUCUACUCAAGCCUCCUGUAGACAAGCUUGGAGACCGUGAUAUGCUCUGUAAAGUAGUCAUUGCGCGAUCUAGUUCACCUGCUGUGAGGCAAUGAGAUGCAGAUAUUCUUCUUCGAAGUUCGAUCGUCUGUACCAGUCAAAGGAUGGAGGUCGAACUAGGAGGUUUUCUCAUCUACCAAACCAUCAUGAUCCAGCAGUUGAGUCACGAGUAGUCAAGCGUGGAGUAGAUUUAGCGUCGUUGACUCAUUUGGAGGUGAGGAUAGUGGCGGCCAAGAAGACGAAAGAGUCAUUUGCCCGGGCCGAGGGCUCUUCUGCAACGUCAGCGGCUAAUCCCAAGAUUGACAAGUCCACCCCUGUAGGGGAUGCAGGCAUGCCUGAUCUGCUUAAGACGAAUUUUCUGUCAAGUCCAUCCACUUGUGCUGAGCUGGUUGAUCAAAUCUGUCAGGCUGGCGAUCUUGGUCUUUUCUCAAGUCUUUCCUUGGAAAAAUUAAGGGAAGCAACAUUUCACCUGCUUCAAAAAGAGGUGGUGGAAGAUGUCGCGAAUCAGGCAGGUGGACCUGCUGAGAGCGUGGCUGAUCAGGCGGAUGCGAAAGAGACUGCAGAUCAAGGAUCUCCUGCUAGCGUCUCGGAGUAGAUGAAGACUUAUUUAUUUCUUUUCAGCUUUUGUAGUCUGCUCCCUGUUUAGAAUAAUUGGUCUUGUUUGACCAUAUUCUUUUUGUUGAACUUGGCCGGUUGAUCACUUUGCUAUGGAAAUUUCAGUUGUUUUUUUUUUUUUGAGUAACUUCAAUUCUCAUAUGUCAAGUGAAUUUCUUGAGUGUUUCCGAGUUGUGGCAUGUUUAGCCUAUGUCUGGAGACGUGUCGAUGAGAGUGGCCUAUUUGGCCUACGUCCUGAGACGUGUCUAUGAUAGUGGCCUGUUUGGCAUACGUCCGGAGACGUGUCAAUGAUAGUGGCCUGUUUAACCUACAUCCGGAGACGUGUCGAUGAUAAUGGCAUGUUUGGCUUACGUCCGGAGACGUGUCGAUGAUAGUGGCCUGUUUAACCUACAUUCGGAGACGUGUCGAUGAUAAUGGCAUGUUUGGCUUACGUCCGGAGAUGUGUCGAUGAUAGUGGUCCGUUUGCAUACGUCCGGAGACGUGUCGAUGAUAAUAGCCCAUUUGGCCUACAUUUGGAGAUGUGUCAAUGAGAGUGACCCGUUUGGCCUACAUCCAGAGACGUGUCGAUAAGUGUGGCCCAUUUGGCCUACGUCUGGAGAUGUGUCGAUAAGAGUGGCUAGUUUGGCCUACGUCUGUAGACGUGUCGAUGAGUGUCGCCAGUUUGGCCUACGUCAGGAGACGUGUCGAUGAGAGUGUGGCCCGUUUGGCCUACGUCUGGAAACGUGUCGAUGAGUGUGACCCAUUUGGCCUACAUCCGGAGACGUGUCGUUGAGUGUGGCCCGUUUGGCCUACGUCCAGAGACGUGUCGAUGAUUGACCCGUUUGGCCUACGUCAGGAGACAUGUUGAUGAGAGUGGCUCGUUUGGCCUGCGCCUGGCGACCUGUCGACGAGUGUGGCCCGUUUGGCCUACGUCUGGAGAUGUGUCGAUGAGUGUAGCCCGUUUGGCUCACGUCAGGAGACGUGUCGAUUGCUUUUGUGAACACUCCACUAGAAAGAAAAGCUUGAACUUGUAUUGAUAUCUGUGUGACUAGAUUGCUUUAUUGAACAAAAAGAUGAGCUUGCAUGAGUAACAUCAAAAGUAACUUGUCUCCAAUAGAGGUGAGGGAGGCUUGGGUGCCUGCUUAGAGCCCAACUGAUAGGUGAAGAGUUUCAUGGAUAGUCCAUCUAGAGGUGAUGGGCAUUCCAUUGCCUUGGAACUUCCUUCCAUUGAAAUAUGAUGAAAGGUUUGUCUUCCAUAACUUGGUAGCUAGUGACGGCUUGAAAGACGAAAGUCGCCUGCUUGAUCUUUCUCUUCCGCCCUCUGGUGGUCAGCCUGGGCUCUUGGAGUCAACUAGGAUUGUGUUGAUCCAUAUGGCUUUUUUCGUGAAGGCUCAUUGUUAGUUGCGUCACAAUCCUUGAUUUGCUGGAUAGCCCCCCUUAAGAUGAAUUCCAUGCAAUGGCCGUCUCUGACUAGAUCUUCGAGGUGCCUUUUCCAAGUAAAGCAGUCGUUUGUGUAAUGACCGUACCCUUCAUGGAAUCUGCAGUAUCUACUGGUAUCCUUCUUGGUUAGGUUUUCCUUUAAAGGUGAUAGUUUCUUCAACCAAGGCAUGUCCUUUACUUGGGCUAGGAUCUGGUGUAUCGGGAUAGUGAACUUGGUGUAGCUCUCUGUUGCUGGAGCACCUUCCUAAGGCUGUGAUCUGAGCUUGCCGUUCUCUUUGCUUGCCUGCUUAGCUGCUUGAUUAGCCUUCUUCGUGGCAAUGUGGUUGUCGUCCCAUAGUGCGUAGCGCUAUACUGUAGCAAAGACUUCUAUCAAUGUUUAGCGGGGAGAGAUGGUCAGCUCGCGAUACAGCUCACAUUCAAUUGGCAACCCCCUCUUGAAGGCGGAUGACGCAAUUUGGUCAUCACAUCCUACAAUGUUUGCCCUCUCCGCUUUGAACCUCUUGAUGUAGUCUCGGAGGGAUUCAUCGGACUUCUUGUGCACGUUGAACAGAUGGUCAGGGUUCUUCUUAAUCUUCCAAUAAGAAGUGUACUUUUUGGUGAAGAUUAAGUAAGCUCUUUGAAGCUGCUGAUCGACCCGGAUGGCAGAGUGUGGAACCAGUACUGAGCUGCUCCUCACAAAGUCAUUGCAAAGACCUUGCACAUUAGCGUAUCUUUAGUUUGUGUAGGAUCAUAAGGCUCUUGAAAUGCUUCAGAUGGCUUUCGGGAUCGGAAUCUCCUUUGAAGCAUGUGAAAGAGGGCGUUGAGAAUUGUUUUGGGGGAGCAGCUUGCUCGAUUUCGGUGGUGAAAGGUGAGGAGUUUGCUUGGUCUACCUCCAUGCGUAGUGCAUCUUCGAAAUUUCCUCUAAUCUUUAAGUCUCGAAGUCGGUUAUUCACAAGAUUCUCAACGUCUUCUGCACACAUGGCUGGUCGGCCACGUUGAUGACCUUUACAAUUUAGGCGAGACUGAUUAACUUCCUCAUUGGUUUGCAAGGGUCGACUUUCUCGGUUGCGCUGCCUAGGCGGCGUGUUGGUGGAUUGCAUUUGCGAGGAAUUUUCUGUAACUUGGCGACGAGAAUUGGUUCUUCAAGAGAGAGUAGUAGAGCGCCUUUCUUCACUGUCCUCAUUGUGGGGGUUAUCAAGUUGACCUCCUUGAGGGCCUAGCCUUUUAUAAAUAUUUCUCUGCGAGCGGGCAAUGGAGCGACUUUCUUCAUGAUCCUCAUUGUGAUGAUUGUCGGUUUGACCUCCUUGGGGGCCUAGGCGGGCGCGGAUGCCAAGUUGUGGGCCUAACCUAUCGUGCACGUUGGUCCUUAAAUUCAAUAUGGAUGGGAGACUUCGUCUUCUCUGAGUGUAGCUUGCGGAUGCUUGCGACAUGUCGGCGAGCUGAUCGCGUUGUUGUGCAUUUCCUUGUCUGCUUACUCUUGCUCGACCUGCUUGGUUCACACCGAACUGCCUAUCGGCGUGUUUGUUCAUCCUUCUCUCUUCGCCCUGUUGUCCAAGGCCAAGGUUUUGAGCCAAGUUUAUUUGGUUGAGGAAUUGUCUCAUCAAAUUGUUUUGGUCGUCCAUUCUCUGAGUUAGCUGGUCAACUCUUAGAUUAAGGUCUACUUGACUUCGUGGAUCGGGAGGAAAAAAAUGUGUGGAGCCCAAUUGCACACGGGCUAGGGUUUCAUUGGAUGUGUAGGCGGGAGUGUGCGUCGAGUGUGGAGGCAAUGGAGGGAAUGCUUGAAGUUGCUCUAAGAUUGGGCCAAAGUCGGCGGUGGUAGUGAGCCCACCUUGAUGUGAGGUUCCACCAUGCUCGGCGGCGGUGCUAUGAAGGUGGCUAGAUUCGACCACGGGGCCUUGAGAUGGUACGACGGCGGCAAAGGCCGGUGCGGUGGUCCCAGCUGCGAGUCCAGUGGGUGGCACGGUGGUUCCAGUCACACGGGGCGGCUGCUGUGGUGCGACAACAAGGGUUGGUUGUGGGUUCAUGGCGGCGAGAAAUGGUUGAGCCACCAUGUCGAUCGCUGGAUCGUGAGAGGAGUAGCUUUGGGCCGUCACGGAUUGAGCCAUCGCGGCGGUUUUGCUCCUCGUGCGCUUGCUUCCAACCAUGGUUGUUUGGAAGGCUUCAGUGGAUUGGAAAAUAAGAGUAACGGAUUCCUUGAGCACGCGUUGAGUAUAACUCGCGCUCUCAAUGAAAGCACCAAAUGUUUGUGCAAAUAAUCUCGCGGGAGAAUAUUCGCUUCUAGAUCCUUCAACCUUCGAUCUUCCUUCUCUCUCUUACUCGAUUCCUGUAAAAAAGAUUGGAGUAAAUAGACCACACCCGGGGGGUGUUGGCCAAAGGCCCUCCGAUGCCUAAGUUAGUUCGAGUGUUUGUAGGAAAACAAUAGCUAAGCAAAGGGUACGGAGUUGUAUGUAUGGUGUAAACCGGGUGGCCGGAGUCGUGUGUGGUGGCCGGAGCCAGUGGAGAAAAUAUGGAGAGUGGAGAGGGAGAAAGAGCUUUGGGUAUUUUUCUCGGGUAUUAGGAGUAGGUUUUCUGAAGUACCUUGAACGAUGAAUAAGGUCGUUUAUUUAUAGGAGCCUCGGGGCUAGGGUUUCGUAGAGAUCGAGUCAGACUUGUUAAUAUCCGAAUUAAUGAUAUUAUCUCUUAAGAAGAUAAUAUCUGAAUUAAAUGAUAUUAUCUUCUCUUUAUUAGGAUAAUAUCUGAAUUAAUGAUAUUAUCUCUUUAAAUAAAGAUAAUAUCAUAUUAAUUAAGAUAUUUAUCCUAAUUAAUUAAUUAGCCAGAUAAAUUGGUUUAAUUAAUUAAUUUAAGAGAUAAUCUUCUUUUCCACAUUGUAUGCCCUGAUUGGAGACAAAAAUAUAUGCUCCCACAUUAUGCUGCACCAUAAAUCCAAUCUAUGGCCUGAGAUUCGUUAAUGUGUAACAUCAUUUUCCCAUAUGCAUAAAACCAUCGAUUAUUAGAAGCUUCCAUACAUAAUUGGGAUAAGUACUCGACAAUGGAAUUACCAAAAGAGAAGGGAAUAUCACGAUAAUGAUAAUUCCUCCCAAAAAAAGCCCGCUAUACGUGUCAAUUUACCUAAGAAUGAUGAAUUUGAGUAUUUUAAGAGGCAAUUUUAAUACCAAAUUAUAACUCCUCUCUUUUGAGGGCAAUGCUUUUGAAGCUCUUGACAAGCAUCACUAAUACAACUUCUACAAAGUUCACUCGGGAUUAUACUCCAGCAUUGUGCUAGCCCAUAUACAUUUGUAUUCUUUGAUACUUUAUGUCCUCCAGAAAACCAACUUCCAUGUCCUCUUAUUAGAGUUGUCUUAGUAAAUUGUAUGAAUAACUUAUUCAAGUGAUCCCCGAGAAUCUACCAACAAAAAUAAACAUAAUAUAAUAAAUAUAAUUAUAUUAUAUUAUAUUAUAAAAUUAUUUACAACCAUAAAUUUAUAAAAUAAAAUAAAAAACUAAUGGUUUAUAACGAACCAUAAAAAGUUAAUGGUUUUGAAUGCGUUUGAGAUCUUAGGCCAUUCAUUCUUUACGGCUUAAAAUAAUUAACUAUUUUAAGGGAAUAGAUCUUUACCCUUGAUGACAUAUCUUGAUUUUUCAAGAAUGAACACCUUUAUUUUGUUUCUCUUGAUUUUAACUCCUUCACCUUAAGGCUCCAAGAUUGGAGUCCACUACCUCACCACACCAAAUACUUCUAGAGAUGAAGAGAAGGCAAUCAAGAAGUAUAGAUGCUAGUCUACUUCUGGAUUGGACUAAUUGUUAACGUUUAGGGGCUUGGCUUUGCUUUGCAUUAGAAAACUACAAUAAAAAUAAAAUUGAACCCGUUGAAGAUGAGUAACCGGUAAGUGACAAGAUAGAGUUUUAAUUUAAUGUAAUUACGAUGAUGUGGAAUAAUUCAAUUCAUUAGAUUAAUUAAAUGGUUAAAAUUUCACUAAAUGCGUAUAAUAAGAAGCUCUUGUUAUAACAAAUAUGCAUACAAUCGAAGUUGCAAGUAAAUGGGGAAUUGAUUGCCAGGAAAAUGAUAGUCCAAUCAAUCAGCUUUUUUACAUGAGAUAUAAAAAUAAACUCUUCAUAUGAACUAUAUAUAUAUAUACUAAAAUAAAAUAGAAAUACUACUACUUUAAUGAAACACACUUUUCACCUACUACUCAAUAAAAAGAAACAGACUUUUCACCCAACUCUUUUUGCUGUUUCAACUGGAAAGAGGAGACAAACAAUUACUUCUUUUUCCCUUGAAAUAAUAAAUGAGAAAAGAGAAAAACAGAAAGAAAAACAAAAUUUAGCAUACCAUUUAUCCCGGACGGUUUGGUGAAAUAUUUGUUAUAACAACAGACUGCACAUGUUGGAUUUUGUAAAAAUUCUGUCCUCCUUCCCCAAGCCCGCUACAGAAUUUAGGAAGCAUCCCUUUGAUGGUUAAUUCCUUAAGGGUAGUAAUAUAUUGGAGCCCAUCAGGAACUGCCUCCAAAUCUGGGCAAUACUCAAUGUGCAAUCUGCAGAGACUAGGCAUGGCUCCUUUCUCCACCUUCCAUUCUUUGAACUCCAACAACGAAUAAAGAGAAAGAAAUUCAAGAAAUGGAAAGCCUCCCUCUGAGCAAACAAGAGAUGCCUGAAAAAUCCCGACACUAGCAAAAAGCAUUCUCAAGCUUGGCAGCUUCUCUAAUACUUUUAUGUGGUCGUCCUUGAGAUUACCAAAUCCACUCAGUGUAAGCUUUGUGAGGUUCCUAAGGCACAGGAGGUCUUCUGGUAACUCUGUGAUUUCUCCGUGUAGUCGCAGCUUAUAUAUUUUAGGACAGCUUAAUACUAUGUUCCAUGGUAUUGGUAAACCCUUGAAACGAGAGUCCACCGAUAGAGAGUGGAGAUGCUUAAAUAUGAUGUUUGUCCCUUUCUCCUUUUCUUCCCCUCCACAGAUAACUCCCAAUUUUCUAAUAUUGGUUAGUUUAACAAAAUCAUAUAUGUCAGAUGAUGCCUGAAUAUAAAUAUUGACUACCGUGUGCAAAUUCACUGCCUCAGUAGCAAAUAACAGACGUUUCUCUCCUCCACUGGGACGAAAGGGUAAAUAUGUAUGUCUCAAUUUUUCCAUCUUGGAAAACACGUUUCGAUUUGGAAUUUUAAUUUCCCAACAAUGAUUACGUAAAUCUAGAGUCUGCAAACAUACCAAAUUUGCUAUAGAUGAUGGCACCGCUUGAAUAUGGCCAUUCUUUACACUUAAAAAUCUUAAGGACUCGUUUGUUACAGCGGACUGUUAUGGACAAUACUAAAUUUUGGGACUAUGUUGGAUUAGCUCGGAUUGGCCUAAGCUGGAUUAAGUACUGACCUACGUUUGGUGCUACGUCGGACUAAGAAGCUAGAUUGUAAAAAUAGUGAAGACGUAUGUUUGGUACUCUGUCGGACUAAAAAAUAAAUAUUUAAUAUUUAAAUUUAAUUAAAAAAUUUAACCUAUAAAUAAAUAAAUAAAUAAAAUUACAAUAUUUAUUUAUUUGGUCAAUUCAUCAUUUCAUUAAACCCACGCUUGUUGUCAUUGUCUGAAUGAGUGAAACGUUUUCUUCUUCUUUUCUCUAUUCUUUAUUUUUUUACUCUCUCUCCUCUCUCUCUUCUUUCUGAUCUCAUUUUCUCCUGUUCUUUUCUUCCUCUUUCUUUCCUUCUUCCUUCUCUUUGUUUCUGGUUUCAUUAUUUUCAGCUUUUCUCUAUAUUAGGGAGUUACCACCACAAUCAUGACAUUCAAUCAUAGUUAUGCCUAUUCAAGGAGUAUUUCCGUUACAUUGUUAUUGUAUCUUAAUUAUAGCUUUAAUGUAUUGUAAUUACAGCAUUUAGGUUUGAUAUAAUUACUACACUACCGUUGUAAACCAUUUAGCUACCUCCUAUGCCUGUAUAUAAAGCCUGUACUUGUGAAUUGCAAAUAUAUGAAAGUAUCUCUUUUCUACAUGGUAUCAAGAGCCUAGGCAAUCUAUUCCUUCUUUUUUUUCGUCCUCUUUCUCUACUCUCAUGGCCUCUACUAUAGCCUCCUCUUCUUCUUCUCUCACUGGUCCCACUCUUCCCUUUAACAUCUCUUCCUUUGCCUCCUAUAAACUUUCAGAAUCCAACUUCUUACUUUGGGAAAGUCAACUCAAGCCUUUCUUAUUGGGCAAAAUUGGUGGCGUUUCGUUGAUGGCUCUUAUGUCUGCCCCUCCCCUUACCUCACUUCUGAUACUUCCUCUGAUUCCACCAAAGCAACUGACCUUCUUCCUUCUGCUCCCACACCCAAUCCUGAGUAUCUUACUUGGUUUCAAACUGACCAAUAUCUCAUGAGUCUGCUUCGCUCCACUCUCAAGGAAUCCAUCCUCUCUCAAGUUGUUGGCUGUUCUACCUCCAAGGAAAUUUGGGAUUGUCUUCGAGAAAAUUUUUCCCAACAGUCUCUUGCGAAUGCCACGCACAUUCGUUUUUAGCUUCUCUCUCUCACCAAAGGCUCUAAACCGAUUACAGAAUAUCCCUCUCUUGCCAAAAAUCUGGCGGAUCAACUAAGUGCCAUCAAUUCUCCCGUUUCUUCUGUUGACUUGGUCACUUAUGUUCUCCGGGGAUUAGGACCGGAAUAUGCGAUGCUUGUCACUGCCAUCACCACUUUUUCCCCAUUGCCCUCCUUUGCCGAAUUGCGCGCACGCCUUCUGGCCUUUGAAGCCCAAUAACUGCACAAUGCUGCCAUUUCGCCUACUCCUCAGCCCACUGCCUUUUUGACCCAACACCAUGCUCACCAACAAUAUCAGUGUAGCUCUCGCAGUGCGCCCAAAGACUCGCGCUCUCCACGCUCGCUUCCUCCACCAACUUUUUCGCCCACCUUUCCGCUCCGCGGUCCUGCUCCAUUUUCCAACCGACGCCAGCGUCCUCAUCAAAACUCUUCUGGACUUUUGGGUCCGCCUCCUGCUACUCGUUCCCACAUCCAGUGUUGGACUUGCAGCCAGUAUGGGCACAUUGCUUCUCAGUGCCCUCAGUCCCGUGCUUUCGCCGGCAUGCACGUAGCUGCCUCCUCUGAUCCUACUUGGUACUUGGAUUCCGGUGCAACCAAUCACAUAACCAAUGAUGCCCGUCGCUCCACCAACGUUUCCUCCUCCACUGUUUCCCCCCAUGAUCAAGUUGUCUUUGGUAAUGGUGACUCCCUUCCCAUUACUCAUUCUGGUAACGUUUCAUUUUUCUUCUGGCAAUUUUUUGUUUCGUCUUUUUGACGUUCUUCGUGUUCCUUCUCUUCAUAAAAAUCUCUUAUCCAUUGCUCAGUUUACUCAGGAUUCCCUUGUCAGUAUUACAUUCUUUCCAUGGGGUUAUAUUAUUCGUGACUUAAAAACUGGUGUUGUUAUAUUUCAGGGCCCAUGUAAAGAUGGUCUUUAUCCUAUCUUUCCCAAGCUCUUGCCUCCCUCUCCAACUGCUCUUACCACCGUUGUCUCAUCCUCUUCUCUCUGGCACCGCCGUCUUGGACAUCUCUCAAAUAAAGUGCUUGGCACUCUUGUUUCUCAAUCUUUACUUGGUUCCUCAUUUCGUUUAUCAAAUGACCAUUGUAAACAUUGUGCAUUAGCAAAAUCAAUAAGACUUUCUUUCUCUCCUAUAGAACACUCUACUGUUGCUCCUUUUGAUUUAAUACACUCGGAUGUUUGGAUGUCUCCCAUUGCUUCAAUUUCUGGAUUUCAUUACUAUGUCUUAUUCACUGAUGAUUUCACCCGCUAUUCUUGGAUUUUCCCCAUGCGUCUUAAAUCUGAAGUCUUUGGUCAUUUCUCCGCUUUUGUCACGUAUGUUCGCAAUCAUUUUUCCAUUUAUGUCAAAACAUUUCAAAGUGAUGGUGGCAAAGAAUUUGACAACUCUCAGUUUCGCCAAUUUUGUGCUACCAAUGGUAUUGUCCAUCGUUUCUCGUGUUCCCAUACACCUCAACAAAAUGGCUUGGCCGAACGCAAACACAGUCAUAUUGCUGACAUGGGUCGCACCCUCCUUCUUACUGCCCAAUUCCCCCACAAUUUAUGGGCCGAGGCCUUCUGUACGGCGGUUUAUUUAAUCAAUCGACUACCCAUUCCUGUUCUCCAAUGGGUCUCUCCGUAUCACAAAUUAUUUGGUCAUUCUCCAGAAUAUUCCUUGCUUCGCAUUUUUGGUUCUACUUGUUAUCCCUUUUUAGGUGAUUAUGUUUCUAACAAACUACAACCUAGAUCUCUUGAGUGUGUUUUUGUUGGCUACAGUGAUCGUCAUCGCGGUUAUAGAUGCUUCCACCCACCAACUGGUCGCCUUUACACUUCUCGGCAUGUUGUUUUCCAUGAAGACAGAUUUUAUUAUUUUGUUCCUGUUGCUGCUCCCACUCCAGCUCCAUCACGCACCUUCGAUAUUGUUCCUGCUGGCCUUGCCCACGAGCCCCUGCUCUCUCCGCUACCCCCACCAGCAUCCAAUCCUCCCACAGUACACCCGGCCCACGCCACAGCCCAGUUCCAGCCACCCACCUCAACCCCGCACCACAGCCCAGCCCAGCCUCCCAUCCUUCUCUGCGGCCCAAUACUCCCUCCCCUCUAUGCCUUCAGCCCAUGUGCAUUCCCCCCCUCCCCAUCCACCGAUCUGGCCCAACCCGACGACACCUCUCAUACCUCAUCCUUUACCCUAUCUCCAUCCUCAGACAUCACGCCUCCAUCCCCUGAACCCGUGCCUCUAUUCCCAUCCUCCGACUCUGCACCCGACCUCACCAGCUCGCGCGCCAUACUGCUCCCAGCAUCCGACAGCGCCAGUCCCAACGUCCCACCAUGCCCGCCUGCUCCAGACACUAGACCAGCUCUCGAGUCUUCUUCCUCCUCCUUAUCCUCUGCGACAGCGCUAGACCCAGCCCCUGCCAAUGCACCUUCUGCUGCUUCUACUCAACCACCACCCUUCCGUUCCAGUCCGGUCCACACUGGCUCAAAAUCUGGGAUUCAUAAACCCAAUCCCAAAUAUCAUGCCAAUUUCUCCACCCGUUAUCCCCUGCCUCAAGCCUUUGCUGCCUUUUUGGCUACUGAUGAUGAACCUACUUCUUACACACAGGCCUCUCACUUUCCUGAAUGGAAAAAUGCUAUGGUUGAGGAGUUCAAUGCUCUUCUUAAACAAAGGACUUGGUCUUUAGUUCCCUCCUCCCCUCAUUUCAACACAGUUGGCUGUAAAUGGGUCUUUCGAGUAAAACGUCAUUCUGAUGGGACUAUUGAACGUCACAAAGCUAGGCUUGUUGCCAAGGGUUACCACCAACAACCCGGUGUGGACUACUUCGAUACUUUCAGUCCAGUUGUGAAACCUACCACUGUUCGUACUGUGCUCAGUUUGGCUGUCUCUUCUGGUUGGUCUCUCCGUCAGUUGGAUGUCAAAGACGCUUUUCUCCGUGGCUUGCUUACUGAAGAAGUUUACAUGCAACAACCUCCUGGUUUUGGAACUUCUAUGAAUUGGAACUGCUUUUCUCUUCUUCUUUUUUUGGGUUUCAUUAUUCUCUUUCAUUUCUCUCUUCUCUCUCUCUCUCUCUCUCUCUCUCUCUCUCUCUCUUCGUUCUGAUCUCAUUUGCUUCCUCUUUCUUUCCUUCUUUCUUCUCUCUGUUUCUAAUUUCAUUAUUUUCAGCUUUUCUCUAUUUGGAACUUCUACGAAUUGGAACUGCUUUUCUCUUCUUUUUUUUGGGUUUCAUUAUUCUCUGUUUCUAGUUUCUUUAUUUUCUGGUUCUUCUCUUUUACCAAUUCCCUAAACCUUUUAUGAUUCGGGUUUUUCUCUUGUGUACAGACAGAGAUGGCGAAGAGAGAUGGUUCUGGGUUCUGCGAGUGGUUGGGGUGGCGAAGAGAGAUGGGUCUGUGUGUGGCUUACAGGUGGUGGUCAUGAGGGAGAAUAAAUUCGAGGGAGAAGGGGAAGCGUUGGGCAUUGGGUUUGGACAGAGUCUGUCGAUUGGGUUUGUGUUUUGAUUCAAAAUAGCGAUGGUGCUAUUUUGUGAACUGCAUUUGGGGCUCACUAAAUUAGACAUGCGAGUCCAAUUAUUUUUUCGCUGUUGGACUAUGCAAUCUCAUUUAAGUUAAUCUCAUUCCUUGCCAAACAUGGAUUUUAAGUGUUAUUUAACACAAUCCAGUCCAGUGAGGCAUAGUGAGGCCUACCAAACAUGCCCUAAGUGCACUAGAUUCCCAAUUUCACCUGGUAACUUGAAUUUGCUAACAUUCAUACCUUCAAACUUCAAAACUCUAAGCAAUGUGAAGUCCCUUAAUAGUGACCGUAAUGCCUUCGAGUUCCAGUAGCAGUAUAUUGAGUCCAAAUACAACAAAGACCUUUCCCUCGCCUCUUCUCUCUACCUCUACACCUCAGCCUUCCAUUCCAGCCCCUCUGUUUGGGAGGAUUUUGGUGGAUGCAUGGUUGUCUUGGUGACGACGUGAUGAUAGAUCGUCUUUUAUUUAUUGUUGUGUAUUGCAAUUUUUUAUUUGAGUUUAUUCUGUAUUUGUAGUCUCUCCUUAUAGGUUUUACUUUUUGUAGUUGCAACUGUAGAGGGGGGAGGGAGUUUCUUAAGAACAUGUCUACAUGUUAAUGCCAUUUUUUACAGGACAAGACCCUAUUGACACAUAACCAAUUUUUUUGUUCUUAUGGAAGUAAAGCUUAUUUAGUGUUUGACCCCUUUUUUUUUUUUUUGUUAAGUAGGUGUUUACCCAUUUUUCUUAGGAGUGCUAGUGGCCAAGGUAAUGAUUGAUGGUGGUGCAACAAUCAAUUUUCUACCACACCACACACAGAGAAUGAUGACCAAGCUAUUAAAACAUGACUUCUACCUUUGUGUUUUGAGCUAAAUUAAUAAGAACCCAAAUGCUGAAUAGUAUGGGUCGUUCAUCAUUUUUGGUAAAUAAAGCCUAUUUUUCAAUUUGAUAAGAGCCCAAAUACUGGGUAAGGUCUUGCGCGCAGAAUUAGGUCCAAACAGGAGAUUAAACCUCAAAUAACAUCAAGGUCUAAAAUAUUGAUGAUAUCAAAAAUAUCAGUAGUCUAAAAACACGAAAAUUUCGACGGAAAUAUUGGGAUAUUAUCGAUAUCGAUAAAAAUUGAAUAAAAACCACCGAAAUUAUAAGAAAAACUUGAAAAUUUUUAUUGAAACUUUGGAGGAUAUUUAUUUAGUCAAUUAUUUAUUAGUUUAUCACAAAAAAAUUGGAAGGAAAUGCAUUGCAUGAUGGAUUUAAUUGAUUUAAAUUGGUUAUAUAGCGAGCUGGCAAACACUGUGAGUGUAGAAAAUAAGUAGCAAUUGUUGUCGUUGGAUUAGCUGCACCAAAAUUGAUUCAGCUGCAUCUUCAACUUGUGAUACUCGUAAGUGGACGAGUCAUUCGGUAGUAUAGCAUAUGUAAGUGCGAGGUCGAUCCCACGAGGAUUGCUGAUUGAAUGAUCCAAUUCAAUUUCCCUACACAAAAUAGAAAACAAGAAAGAAAAGAACAGAAAAUAAGAAAGAAAGAAAAAACCAAUUUAAGUAAAUAAGUUCCCAAGUUCAAUUUAGAUUAACGGAUUGAUUCUAGCUAAAGUAUGAUUAAGCCAUGAUGUCUGGUCCUAACCUUGUAUUCCGAAUUCCCUAAUUUGAUCAUCUGUUGUCUGACCUAAAAUUAAGCAUUAGGAAUCCAUUAAGCAUAGAAGAACAUUUUAAACAACCAAGUAUGUAUCUAAUCCCAGUUGUCGAAUGUCCAUACAUACUCUUCCUAUUCAUAGUUCAAUUCGAAUUAAAGCAUGGUGUCUACUCUUAAUUCAAACCAAGAUAACUAACAUGCAAGCCUUAAUGGUGAUCAAUCAUUCAAACUAGCAUAUUAACUUAUAAGCAUAAUGAAUAAGAACAAAAACCAUAAUUGAAACUUGGAAACUAAUCAAACUUGAAAAUUUAAAAUAAGAAAUCACAUUACAAAUACAAAGUAAAGUAGAACUAGGAAAAACUUAAAGAAAGAUUUAGUAAAAGGAUUUCGUAACAACAAUUGAGAACUAGAAAGGAAAACUAAGAGAAUUUGAGGGAGAGAAUGGAGGGGAGCUCUAGAGAAGUGUUUGAGAGCUCCCCCCCCUUGGAGUUUGUUUACAAGCUUGGAGAAACUCACUAUUUAUAGGCCUAGAGGAAGUGAAUCUGAAUUAAGUAUUGCUUCUACAUACAACACUCACUUCACCAACUUACAACACUUAAUUCACCAACUUCAUCUUCUUUUACUUCAUUUGGAUAUUGCAAAACUCCACUCCAAUUAUAAGUAUUGAAUAUGCUUCACCAAACUUUCCCAUAAUCAAUAACACUUCGUCAUGCAUAUGUCAUGCAUGACAAUGCAUUGUAGUCUUCUUUUGAGCUCUUUUUGGGCUUGUUACUCUAUUCAUAAAAAAUCUGGAAAAAAAAUGGAUCUUCAAGCUAUUUGUCUUAUCUUUCCAAGCAUAUGCAGCUCAGCUCAAGGAAAAAUCGGAAAGACCUUCAAAUGUCAUUUUUGGCCCAGUAACGCAGAUACUGCCGAAUUCGACCUUAAGCUACCAAAACUUGCAUAACUUCCUCUAGAAGACUCGGAAUCAUGAACCGUAAAAUACUAUAGAAACUAGACUUCCGUAUAUUUCCAAUGGUGUAUGGCUCAUUAUCUGGUUCUUCUUGAGAAAGUACAUUCCAAUCCGUGAAAUUGACUGAUUUGCAGACACCAUUUUGAGCUAACUUGUCUCCAGAAUGCAUUUAAUGAGUCAAGCUUAUUACACUGAAACAAACACAAAACUUAUUAAAGGCACAAGUUAACCAAGUCAUAAGUUAGAAUGGUACAAAAUGAUAUGUAAAUAUGCACUGAUCAGCAAUUAAUGAAAAAAGAUUAAACACACCAUAAUCAUUUACAUAUAAUAAUUUACUACAAAAUUUUACACUUUAUAUAUUACAUGGUAAGAUACAUGAGUGACUUAAUACCACAUAGAGUUCCUAUGAGGUUCAAAUUUUUCACUAUCUUCAUAAUCUCUAUGUGUAGAGUAAGCAUAUUGUGAAGAGUAGUCAUCAAAUAAUAAAUCCCCAAAAUAGUUUUGCAUGUAUUUAUUAACAUGCCACCCAAAGGAAAGGUCAAAUAUUCAUUCACAUGUAAAAAUUUGAUUCUUAUUGCAAAAAGAAUUCAAAACAAAAUAAUAUAAAUAUAAAUAUUUUAGCAUAUUAUUGAAAAAAUAUAAGUAAUAUUAUGGUUAAUGUGUUGGAGGAGUAAAAUGGGAGGGGUCCAAAUCCCUUUUUCUGUUUUUUUUUUUCCUUUUUUCACCUUUUUCUUCUUCUUCUUCUUCUUUUUUUUUUUUUUUCCCAUUACAUCAAUAUUUUCAAUAUUAUAAUGAUAUUUUGACAAAAUAUUGCUGAAGUGUGAACGAAAUUAUCGACAUUGAUAUUUUCAGAUAUUAUCGAUAUUUAUACGAUAUGUGCAUGGAUACGUUCCGAAAUAUCCGUGAUUCGAAAAAACGAUAAUGUCCUCAAUAUUUCAUCGAUAUUAUCAAUAUUGUAGACUAUAAAUUGCAUUAACACAUCAAGACGGUGAAGCUGCAAAUUGCAAACACGAGAAAUAGAAUACAACAUGCUGUGAUAUUUAUUGUCGUAGUAUUGGUUCACAGCAUUUUAUUGUGCAUGCCAAAAUAAAAGACCAACUCAGGCAUCUUCUAAUGUGAGUAUUGGUUCAACUACUGGGGAACUGCCAGUCAGCGGUGGAUUCAGAAAUUUUCAUGGAAAUGGGCAAUAUUAAAAGGCUAAAAGCCAAAAGAAAUUCCCGAAUUAUUCGAAAGAGGAUUUAGAGUUUAUUAUUAUACAAAGAUAACCAAAUCAGAAAACAAAAAUAAUCUCUCUAAAAUAAACAACAAUAUUAAAAUACAUAUUACAAAAUAUAUAAAAAAACAUAAGGAAAAAAAACUUGGAAAAAAAACUUGAAAAAAAAAACAUUCAAAGUUGGAGGAGAGGGAUGGAUCUACAAGAAGACUUAAGAGCACGCAAAGCUUCAUGAAGAAUCAUUCAACGCAAGGUAUCCCUUGGUCCAUUUAAUUCCAACUUGGACUUCGAGAAACACUCUUCCUAACUGUGGAAAUAAGGCUUCAUGUUUGGUCUUAAAAUUUUAAUUUUAAUUUUUUUUGCCUGGCCAAAACGACGUCAUUUGGCCAGGACUUAAAAAACAAAACAAAAACUGCACCCAGCGCACCAUCGCAACAAAGAAAGAGAGGUUGCUGAGGCAUUUAUUCGAACAAGUGGUGGGCACCUCCAAGGUAAAGUUGAGGGGCAAACUCCGGCAACUUCAAAGUUUUUUCCGGCAAGAGGAGGUGUGCAUCUCCUUGUGCCUCUAUGGAUCCGCCAGUGAUGCCAGUGCCAGUUGAGACAGUUGAGAUGCCAUUUUGAUUCAAACCAUCAUAGAUUAUGGGGAUCGAACAAACAUUACUCACAUAGUUUUUAGCUGGUCAAUUCUUAGCAUACACCUGCACAAUAAUACGGAAAUAUUUAUGGGAGUAGCAAACUAGUAUAUACUACAUAAUAUAAUCUGAACCGAAAAUAUAAUAAAGAGAAUAAUCCAGCUCCUGCAUCAAUUUCUCCUCUCUCUCUUCCGCAUCCCUCUCUCUCAUCCAUUAAUCUCUCUCUUCAAUCACUCCUCACCAUCGAGAAAUUAUAGAAUAGUACGGAUAUACCACGUCAGCAUGUGAUACUCCCAUUCAAAUAUUGCCAUGUGUCUAUUUUAAAAUAAAAAUUAAACUUUUUUACAGCUCGAUUCAUUUCUUAAUUUUUAUGUUAUGAAAUAACAUUAGAAAAUUGAAAAACUUAAAGAAAAAGGAACCCCUCCCGAACCCAACACCUCUAAUCCCAAAAACAUGCCAUGACCGCCACCCAUCUCCACACUACCUGCCAUGACUGCCACCCAUCUCCCUUCCUCUUCCUCUUCCUCUUCCUCUUCCUCUUCCUUUUUCCUUUUCCUUUUCAACCCUUAUAGUAAUUGUAGGUAAUGGAGUUUAAAGAGAGGUAGAGAAAACUAGUAUUGAUGAUUAUGAUGAUGAUGAUGAUGAUGAAAUGGAAUAGUGGAAGCAUUGGUAUUUGUGUUAAUGGUUGGGAAAUGUUAGAGUGAAUGUAAAACAGAGACCCUUUGACAGAAUUGUUGUAUUGUAUUGAUUGAAGUAAUUGUUACCAAGGAGUUACAAUAUUGGAUCUAGGUUUGGAAAUAGUAUGAUGAUGGCAAAUGUUAUCAUGAUCAAUUUCAGAGAAAGGGGAAUUAAGGAAGAUGAGGGUUUGGACGCAGGUGGCAAGGUGAAGAAGAAAAGAGAUGGGAGGAAGAGGAAGAGAGAGGGAUGGCAUCCAUGGUACGCUGUGGGGUUUUAAGGGAGAAGCGGCGGUUGGGAAUAAUUUUUUCUUUCUUUUUUAUGUUUUUCAAAUUUCAAAUUUUAUUUCACAACUGUAAACAAAUAUUUAAUUUCUGUUUUAAAAUGGAUACAUGACAAUAUUUAAAUAGAAAUAUCACAUGCUGACGUGGUACAUCCGUACUAUUCUAUAAUUUCUCCUCACCAUCAUCCUUACCCACACGCCCCUGCAUUCAUUCCUCGUUUUCUCUUCAAUCACUCAGCCCACAUAAUCAAUUUGUUUUUCAAUUUAAAAUUUUACAAAGUAUUUUUACCCAUGUUAUUCCUCUUCUCUCUCUCCCUCAUUCCUCUUGCAGUCCCACACAUCAUAUAUUCAUUUCUCUCUGUUUUUUUUUUUUUUGUUGCUUAAUAAAUGAAGGUGAAGAAGGAUAAUACUUUGUGAUUCCUUACAUCUGGAGAAGAAAUCAAUACAUGGUGCCAUUUUUCUCCCCAAAACCGUGCCUUCACUGUUCCCUGACAGAACUCAAGCUCUCUCAGCUUUACCAUUCCAAAUUUUCCAAAACUACCCAAUAGAUAAUAAAGUUUGAAGAAAAAAAGAGGAAAGAGAUUCCUCAGAUCUGGAGGAGGGAGAGUGACGCCGGAGAAGAUUUUUCUUCCCCGAAACGUAUACUGUUCCUCCACAAAAUCGAAGCCAACCCAAUAUUUCUCAACUCAUUUACAAAUUUUCCAGAUUUCUCCAGUUAAUAUAACUUACUUAAAUUAAAACUGAGAGAUCAAUACAAGUGUGGCUUAUGAAGGAUUACUGAUUGAAGAGAAAAAGAGGAAUGCUGGAUGAUGAUGGAUGAGAGAGACGGACGCGGAAGAGAGAGAAGAGAAAAUGGGUACAGCACUUUUUUUUUAAUAUUUAAAAUUAGUAGUAAAAUUAGUUGCCAGCUGUCGACGUUUCAUUGGUUUGUGACGCUUACGUGGUUUGUUGACAGUGGCAUCGCUGUUACAGGGAAGUUUUUAUCAUUGUUAAGAGGGUCUCACUCAAAUCAUGCAUUGAUAGAUCACCAUUUAUGAUGUGUUUACUACAGUUUCGAUUUCUUGGACCACAGGAGUUCAAAAGAUUAUGGUCAUCUACUGUUGGAUAUUAAUCUAAUGGUUCAAAAAGGUUUUUUAAAAGGAGUGUAAGAAUGAGUGAACCGUUGAAUUUACAUCCAACGGUGAGUGACCACAAAUCUCUUAGACCCCUGUAGUCAAAGAGAUCAUGACAGGUGUUUACUAAUCAGAAAUUGGAAUUCUCAUCAGGAAUUGAAUUCCGCCUUCAUAUGUUUACUUUACAUCAAGAAAUUGAAAAGUAAGAGAGGCCCAUAUAAAAUUAGGAAUUCAAUUAUUAAUUUUAGAGGACUUCAAUUCUUGAAUGGGAUGUGGUAUUCUAAUUCUUGGAGAAUUCACCCAAUAGGAAUUUAUCUUUUUUAUCCAUUAUAUCCUCACACAAUUUCUUUAAUUCCAAAUAUGUCAUAUGCUUUAACUCAACAAUGAGGACAUUUUAAUAAUUAAUUACCACUCCUACCCUAAUUUUAUAUGAUUUAGUAAACAACUUCUUUAGGAUUCCAAAAUCUAAUUCUCCUCAAUCCAACUCCUAUUCAAUUCAAUUCAUCCUCAAUUCGAAUAAUUGUAAUCUGAUUCGUAUUGAUAGCCUAAGAUUCGUAUUGAUAGCCUAAGGUUAUUAUUUACCAUAAUUAGGCUCGUGCAUAAGUCAACUUUAGCCUGUGUAUAUUUUAACUCCUUACUGAAUGAAAAUCAUCGAGCUUUUCUGCCAACAACCCAUCCUAUCUAAAAUUCUUCAUGGUAUCAGAGCCCUAAAAGGGCUAGCGCUCAACUCGAUCCACAAUGCCAACUGCUCCCAUCUCUUCUUCUACAUCAAUCCCUUCUCAAAACUUCACCAAACCUGACCUCUUCAACUGCGACAUCUCUGACUUCUGUUGUCCCUACCACCUUCAAUAUUUCUCAUAUUUUCCCAACUCCUAUGGAUCGUACAAAUUAUCCGUCCUGGAAAUCCCAAUUUGAGGAUGUUCUCGAACGAACUAAUCUUGAUGAGACUGUCAACCUCGAAACCCGACCGGAGAAAAAAUUGUCUGAUGGCUCCAUCAAUCAGGUGUACUCACAAGACAAGUUAGUGCUGAGUUGGAUCAAAGCAGCCUCAUCUCUCUGUGUCAAGACACUCCUAAUUCCAUGCUUGAGCUCGUAUGAAGCGUGGACAUUUUGAGAAAAGGCUCUCUCCUUUUUCCAAAACCCAUGUACGAUCCUUGAGGGGCCAAAUUCGUACUCUCAAAAGAGACUUGGAAAAACCGGUUACUGAUUAUCUUAUUCAUGCCAAAUCCUUGUUUGAUGCAAUCAUGGCAGCAGGCUCAACCAUGUCAGACAAUGAGUUUAUUGAGUAUAUGUUAUGGACGGUCUUGGUCAAGAAUACAAAGAGUUUCUCGCCUCACUUACUCUGCAGCCGAAUCUCACAUUCGAUGAAUUUUUUGAUCUAGUAAACCAGGAAGAACAGCUGCAGAAACGGAUGGCCUCUCUUUCCUUGUCUUCUGGUGUUGCUCUUGCCACAGAUCGUGUCACACAGGAUCACUCAAAUAACUCGAACAACAGGUACAAUGGCAACAAUAAUCAUCGCAAUAAUGGAAGAGGUAGAGGGCAAGGCCGAAAAUGGAAUAACGGUCGUGGACAUUGGGAUCGUGAUACUGGAUGGCGCAACAACCGUGACCCUACCUAGUCACACAACAAUGGAAAUUGGAAUAGGAGCAAUUCCCGCUAUCAAUCUGAUCAUCAACAAAGCCAACCUCUCCAUGAUUAUCGUCCUCCACUUUUGCCAACACCUUCGCAACACACUGCCUAUCAAUUUUCAGUCAUUUGCCAGCAAUGUAACAAGCCUGGACACACCUCCACAGGUUGUCCUGAUCGAGGAAAUUAUGCAUACAUUGCUGAAAAUGCAGCAGCCACUCAACCUUCUUUUGAUCCAAAUACCACCAACUGGUGUCUUGAUUCCAGUGCGACCCACCAUAUGACAUCCAACUCUUCUCUUCUCACCAAUGUGCAGCCAUGCGCAGGUACCGAUACUAUUAUUAGGUUCUAAUUUAGCUAUCACUCAUAUUGGUAACACUAAUUUAUUCUCUUCGGGAUGUGCUUUGGACUAAAAGAAGUGUUGUGUGUGUCUGCACUCCGCAAGAACGUAUUUUCUCCCAUGAUAAUAAUAAUAAUAAUUUUAGGUCCAAGGAGCGGUCCAUCCACGAAUGGCAAAAAUGCAUCCCGUAAUAAGGGAAAGGCACAGAUGAGCCAUGUGCCUAGAAAUGUUGAAAGCCCUUGUCACAGAUGUGGUGCAAAGGGACAUUGGAUGCGCGCAUGUCGUACGCCCAGGCAUUUGGCGGAUCUCUAUCAAGCUUUACUUAAGAACAGGAAAGUGGAGAUAAAUUACAUUGAUCAUGCUCCGCCAGCCACAGAUGGCUCAUCAGAAAUAUCACGUCAGCUAAACAAGACGCAUCUAGAUGUUUCUGAUUUUGUUACUGAAAAAGGGAAUGAAGGUUAUGAGUCCGAAUUAGAUUAAAUUCCUUAAUGUACUAUUUGUAUUAGAUGAAGUGUUGUUUAAAUUUCAAUCCAAUAAAAGUGGUAAUGUUGUCUUCUUUAUUAAGUCCGAAUUAGAUUAAAUUCCUUAUGUGGACCAUUUCGGUACUUUAUGGUCUUGGUGGACGCAUCCUGCCGAGUGGUCGUGCUGAUAACGUGUUAUAAAAUAACCUGGAAUAUAUGCGGAUAUUGAGCUGCACAUAAAAUAGAUGAGACACAGCUUUUAACGAGGUUCGGCUAUGCCUACGUCCUCGGAGAGCAGCAGCAGUAACCUUUCACUAUAAAAUGAUAUGGCUACAACUUUAGUGUUUACAACAUAUGUGGCUCACUGAAUUUUCUCUCUAGGAGAAUUUCUCUCUGCUUUCUCUUCUCUCUUUUCUUUUUCUUAUUUUCUUAUUUUUUCUUUCUCUGAUGGUGGUCUUAUUUAUAGGCUGAAAUAAUCACUAUUCACUAUUCACCCGUGACAGACAAACUCUACCAAAGUCUCUAAAUGAAUAGUAAUGUCACUAUUCACCCGUGACAGACAAACUCUACCAAAGUCUCCAAAUGAAUAGUAAUGAAUAGUUAGUGGGCUGCACACCAAGACUUUUACAACACUCCCCCUUGGAGACCACAUGUCCCUAGAUUGGUUGACUCAUUAAAACCUGGCUUGGAAAAACCCAGUGGGAAAAUCUAAGCGAAGGAAAAAGAGUACAACGUGCAUAUGUCCUAUGUUAGAGGACUCUUGAAUGCUCCCCCUGAUUUUGCAUGCUCCAACUUGAUUGCUUGCAGAGUUGUCGUAAUCCGAUGCCAUGCACUAACUUUUGGAAUGUACAUUUCGGCAAUGAUUUAGUGAAGAGAUCUGCCAGGUUAUCACUUGAGCGGAUUUGUCUGACUUUGAUUUCUUGACUCUUCUGGAGCUCAUGUGUAUAGAAAAACUUUGGUGAUAUGUGUUUGGUCCUGUCACCCUUGAUAUAUCCUCCUGUGAUCUGAGCAAUACAAGCUGCAUUGUCCUCAUUCAGAAUUGUUAGAGUGUCUGUUGUUGAGGGUAGGGCACAUGUGCUUCGGAUGUGAUGGAUUACCGACCUUAACCAAACGCAUUCACGACUGGCUUCAUGGAGGGCAAGUAUUUCUGAGUGAUUGGAAGAUGUGGCCACUAAUGUUUGUUUUGUUGAGCGCCAUGAGAUCGCAAUUCCUCCACAUGUAAAUACAUACCCAGUCUGUGAUCGUCCUUGAUGUGGAUCAGAGAGAUAUCCUGCAUCAGCAUAACCAAUAAUACUCUGGGCGUUGGUCGAUUCACUGGAAUAGAAUAACCCCAUGUCUGUUGUCCCACGAAGGUAUCGUAGAACAUGUUUGAUGCCGGUCCAGUGUCGCCUUGUUGGAGCAGAACUGUACCUUGCUAACAGAUUUACUGAGAAUGAUAUGUCUGGUCUGGUACAUUGUGCUAGGUACAAUAAAGCACCUAUUGCACUAAGAUAUGGUACUUCUGGACCAAGGACCAUUUCAUCAUUCCCUUUUGGACGAUAUGGGUCUUUCUUAGUGUCAAGCGAUCGAACGACCAUUGGAGUGCUAAGUGGAUGGGCUUUAUCCAUGCCAAACCGUUUCAAUACUUUCUCAGUAUAAGUUGAUUGAUGCACCAAAAUUCCAUUAGCACUGUGUUCAAUCUGCAAGCCAAGACAAUAUUUUGUCUUUCCAAGGUCCUUCAUCUCAAACUCACGUUUGAGAUAAUCAACAGUCUUUUGAAGCUCUGCAGAAGUUCCAAUUAGAUUCAUGUCGUUGACAUAUACUGCCACUAUCGCAAAUCCAGACUUUGAUUUCUUAAUAAACACACAUGGGCAAACAGGAUCAUUUGUGUAUCCUUCCUUCAGUAAAUACUCACUGAGACGAUUGUACCACAUUCGUCCAGAUUGUUUUAGCCCAUAUAAUGAUCUUCUCAAUUUAACUGAGAACAUGCCCCGUGGUUUGUUUCUGGCUGCUUCAGGCAACCUGAAUCCUUCUGGAACUUUCAUGUAUAUAUCUGUAUCCAAUUCUCCAUACAAAUAUGCGGUAAUGACAUCCAUGAGUCUCAUUUCAAGUUUUUCUGAAACCGCCAAACUUAUUAGGUAACGGAAUGUAAUUGUGUCCAUUACUGGAGAGUAUGUUUCCACAUAAUCAAUUCCAGGCCUUUGUGAAAAACCUUGCGCAACGAGUCGCGCUUUAUACCUUGAGAUCUCAUUUUUCUCAUUGCGCUUUCUUGUAAAUACCCACUUGUAACCUACAGGGUUCACAUUGGGUGGAGUUGGACUAAUAUGUCCAAAAACACUCCUCUUUUCCAAAGAAUUUAAUUCUGCCUGGAUUGCAUCCUUCCACUUGGGCCAAUCUUGCCUCUGUGUACUCAUUAAUAGAGCGCGGUUCAAUAUCAUCAUCUUUUAUGAUUUCAGCAGCCACUGAGAAUGCAAAUAUAUCAUCGAUGAUCAUCUCAUUUCUACUCCACAAUUCAUUAGUGGACGUAUAAUUUAUGGAGAUUUCUUGACUUUCAGGUACGGUUGCCACUCCAGGGGCACUUGUCUCACCAAUGACGUUUUCCUUAUCAAGAAGUACCUGUCCCUCUUUGGGGGCAUUUGAAUUAUGAAUUGUGGGCUCUCUAUUUAUUUCAUUUGGAUUCAUUUUGUCCAUCAACUUCCUCUUUCGAGGAACUGAAUCCUUUGAGCCUAGUGGUCUGCCACGUUUUAGGCGUGCAGCAGAUGAACCAUUUGCUGGCACAGUGCUUUGUCCAUUAUGGACAUCAAUCCGUGCGGGUGCAUUUGCAGCUGGGAUAUGAGAUUUCGUCACCUUUGCUGCAUCAUUAAAUGCAUCUGGCAUCUGAUUUGCAAUACUUUGGAGGUGAACGAUCCUUCUCACUUCGUUUUCGCAUUGAGCAGUAUGAGGAUCGAGAUGAGACAAUAUGGAUACAUUCCAGGAUAAUUCAUGUCGUUUUUCAGGAAUGAGUUUGCCUUGUUCUUUAGACACAGAUUUUUCUCCCCCUAAUGGUGGGAAGAUUGUCUCAUCAAAAUCACAAUCCGCAAAUCGUGCGGUAAAAAUAUCACCCGUCAGGGGUUCCAAGUAUCUGAUGAUAGAUGGUGAAUAAACACCAACAUAAAUUCCCAAUCUGCGUUGAGGGCCCAUCUUAGUACGUUGCGAUAGUGCAAUAGGCACAUAUACCGCACACCCAAAAAUUCUUAAAUGUGAAAUGUUUGGUUGAUUUCCCAAUACGAGUUGUAUUGGAGAAACUUGAUUAUUGGCGACGGGCCUCAAUCGCACAAGCGAUGCUGCAUGUAAAAUGGCAUAUCCCCAAGCAGAAACUGGCAACUUUGUUUUCAUUAGCAAAGUGCGUGUUAUCAAUUGAAGGCGUUUAAUUAAAGCUUCUGCCAAGCCAUUUUGAGUAUGCACAUGGGGAACAGGAUGUUCAAUAUCAAUGCCUAGUGACAUGCAGUAGUCAUCAAAAGUCUGAGAUGUAAAUUCACCAGCAUUAUCGAGUCUGAUUGACUUAAUGGGAUAAUCUGGGAAUUGAGCUCGUAAUUUAAUUAUCUAAGCCAAAAGCCUAGUAAAUGUCAUAUUCCGAGUAGAUAAAAGACAAACAUGUGACCAUCGGGUAGAUGCGUCCACCAAGACCAUAAAGUACCGAAAUGGUCCACAUGGGGGAUGAAUGGGUCCACAAAUGUCCCCUUGAAUUCUCUGCAAAAAUGAUGGAGACUCAACAUCAACCUUUGGUUGUGAUGGUUUGAUCACCAACUUCCCUUGUGAACAAUCUUGGCAAAAGAUGUCGCUUGAUAACAUAAUGUGUUUAGUCAACAAGGGAUGUCCUUUAGAGUUGGUGAUGAUCCUGCGCAUCAUGGUGGAUCCAGGAUGACCCAAUCUGUCAUGUCAAAGCUUAAAAGCAUUUGAGUCAGUAGACUCUUGGUCCAUGACACUAUGUGCCUCAAUUGUCCGUAUGGUUGUGUAAUACAACCCUGAUGAGAGCUCACAAAGCUUUUCCAGUAUACGCUUUUGGGUAUCACUGGAGGUAAUACAAAGAUAUUCCAUGUGUUCCUCUUUCUUUGUUUCAACAUGGUAGCCAUUCAAACGUAUAUCUUUGAAACUCAACAGAUUCCUUCUGGAGUUAGAUGAAUAUAAAGCAUCUGGAAUGGACAAUAUUGUUCCAUUCGGUAACAUAAUAUGGGCUAUUCCUGAACCUUCGAUCAGAUCUGCAGGACCUGAUAUGGUUGUUACCUUUGCUUUUGUAAGUAUUAAUUUUGAGAAAUACUUCCAAUCUAGAAGAAUCGUAUGAGUAGUUGCGCCGCCUGCGAGACAAAUAUCUCUGCCAUAGCCUUUGUUUUGAGGGCAUCCAUAAUUUACAUCCAUGCCACCAAAUAAGUAAAAUGAGCUGGAAUACUAAAGAAGACAACAUUACCACUUUUAUUUAAACAACACUUCAGCUAAUACAAAUAGAUCCACUAACUAUUCAUUACUAUUCAUUUGGAGACUUUGGUAGAGUUUGUCUGUCACGGGUGAAUAGUGACAUUACUAUUCAUUUGGAGACUUUGGUAGAGUUUGUCUGUCACGGGUGAAUAGUGAAUAGUGAUUAUUUCAGCCUAUAAAUAAGACCACCAUCAGAGAAAGAAAAAAUAAGAAAAGAAGAAAAAGAAAAGAGAGAAGAGAAAGCAGAGAGAAAUUCUCCUAGAGAGAAAAUUCAGUGAGCCACAUAUGUUGUAAACACUAAAGUUGUAGCCAUAUCAUUUUAUAGUGAAAGGUUACUGCUGCUGCUCUCCGAAGACGUAGGCAUAGCCGAACCUCGUUAAAAGCUGUGUCUCAUCUAUUUUACGUGCAGCUCAAUAUCCGCAUAUAUUCCAGGUUAUUUUAUAACACGUUAUCAGCACGACCACUCGGCAGGAUGCGUCCACCAAGACCAUAAAGUACCGAAAUGGUCCACAUAAGGAAUUUAAUCUAAUUCGGACUUAAUAAAGAAGACAACAUUACCACUUUUAUUGGAUUGAAAUUUAAACAACACUUCAGCUAAUACAAAUAGUACAUUAAGGAAUUUAAUCUAAUUUGGACUCAUAACCUUCAUUCCCUUUUUCAGUAACAAAAUCAGAAACAUCUAGAUGCGUCUUGUUUAGCUGACGUGAUAUUUCUGAUGAGCCAUCUGUGGCUGGCGGAGCAUGAUCAAUGUAAUUUAUCUCCACUUUCCUGUUCUUAAGUGAAGCUUGAUAGAGAUCCGCCAAAUGCCUGGGCGUACGACAUGCGCGCAUCCAAUGUCCCUUUGCACCACAUCUGUGACAAGGGCUUUCAACAUUUCUAGGCACAUGGCUCAUCUGUGCCUUUCCCUUAUUACGGGAUGCAUUUUUGCCAUUCGUGGAUGGACCGCUCCUUGGACCUAAACCCUCUGAACGAGCACCACGAUUUUUUUUACUUCCUUGCCAGUGGCCACGCUUGCCCCCUCGCCCACGUUUGUGGAUACUACCACGAGAUGAAGUGGCAUUCACUUCCUGAGAUGCAGCAUUUAUUUCAGGAAGUGGUGCUGAGCCCGUUGGGCGAGAUUGGUGAUUCUUUAAUAAGAGCUCAUUAUUCUGCUCAGCUAACAAGAGGUAAGAUACAAGUUUCGAGUACUUCUUGAAACUGCUAUGUCUGUAUUGCUGUUGAAGGAGGACAUUUGAAGCAUGAAAAGUGCUCAGAGUUUUUUCGAGCAUAUCCUCCUCAGAUAUAUUUUCCCCACAUAGCCUCAUUAAUGAGGUAAUUCUGUGCAUAGCAGAGUUAUACUCGGACACUGACUUGAAAUCUUGAAAUCUCAAGUGGGUCCAUUCGUAUCUAGCUCUUAGGAGAGUCAUCGUCUUCUGGUGAUCGUAUCUUUCACCUAUAGCUUUCCACAGAACCAACGGUUCAUCAACCACCACAUAUUCGCUCUUCAACGCUUCAUGGAUGUGGCGGCGAAGAAAGAUCAUGGUCUUCGCAUUCUCUUCAGGCGAAGCAUCAUUCUCAUCUACAAUUGUUUGUCCGAGGCCAUUGGCUCGUAGAUGAAUUUUGGCAUCCAAGACCCAUGAUAAAUAGUUGUCCCCGGAAAGGCCCACGGCAGCAAACUCGAGUUUUGCCAAAUUUGCCAUCUAAAACUUUAGGCUCGAGAUCUGAAAUAUUAAGCCACUUAUUAAUAGGAAUUUCAGGCCCUCAUUAUUCAGGUAUAUUAAUUGAUGAUAAAUAAAGUGUUAUGAAUUUGCUGGUAUGGACGAUAAACCCGCACCAUACCUUAAAUGUGCGGUAAAUUAAAUUCAUAAAGUUAAGGUGCUUGUAUGGGCACUAAUUCUGCUCCAUACAUUUAAAUAAAAGUAAAGGCGUGGACGAUAAACCCGCACCACCCUUUAAAUAAAUAUUGCCGUAUGGGUAAUAAACCUACACCAUACCAUAAAUAAAAUAAAUGUGGGGAUAAAAACCUCCACCUAAUAUGAAGUGCAUAAUAUAUUAUAUAGUGUGGGCAAUAUAACUGCGCCACUAUUCAAGAUAUAAUAGAUGGGUUUUAAGAUCACACCAUCAUUUUAUUACAAUAAUUUGUAUUACAACGCGAUGGGUAAAAAAUUACACCACCAUAAAAUAACAGGACUGAUUAAACAACAUAGAAAUUACGUUACAAAGAAGUGAAUUAAACAAGCAUGGAUUAAACAACAUAGAAAUUGUGAGAACACAAAAAGGAAAGUUUGCAUGUCGUUGUAGUAGUAAAGUGAGAGUAGACAUAUGACAGAGAGGAGACAGAGAAGUAACUACAUAGUGUUGAGUUGGAAAAAUUUCAGAAAUAAAAGAAGAGACUAUCGUGCUGAUAACGUGUUAUAAAAUAACCUGGAAUAUAUGCGGAUAUUGAGCUGCACGUAAAAUAGAUGAGACACAGCUUUUAACGAGGUUCGGCUAUGCCUACGUCCUCGGAGAGCAGCAGCAGUAACCUUUCACUAUAAAAUGAUAUGGCUACAACUUUAGUGUUUACAACAUAUGUGGCUCACUGAAUUUUCUCUCUAGGAGAAUUUCUCUCUGCUUUCUCUUCUCUCUUUUCUUUUUCUUCUUUUCUUAUUUUUUCUUUCUCUGAUGGUGGUCUUAUUUAUAGGCUGAAAUAAUCACUAUUCACUAUUCACCCGUGACAGACAAACUCUACCAAAGUCUCCAAAUGAAUAGUAAUGUCACUAUUCACCCGUGACAGACAAACCCUACCAAAGUCUCCAAAUGAAUAGUAAUGAAUAGUUAGUGAGCUCCACACCAAGACUUUUACAACAUAAACAUUAAUAAGCAACACUGCUACAGAAGAUAUGCAUAGAAGUCCAGUUGAGUUACUAAACUUGAAAUAUAGAAUAAGAAAUCAUAUUCGCAGGCACCGAAAACAAACAGCUAACGUUGGGACAGGGAGAGAACGUACAUUGACCUCAUUAUCGACACAGUUUUCAGGUAUGCACGCCAGCAUCAAUGAAUUGUAGGGCAGCCUUCUGUACAUACAGCUAAAGGAAAACAGUAUAAAUUUAAAAAAAAAACAAUCAGUGCUUAUUCCCAUUUUUUAAAAAAAGAAAUUGAAAAAGAAAGGUCUGAAGACAUACUGCAACCCUUCUCUUCUCGGCAAGCAGCAUACGUUUCUUCAAUGAAAAAAAGGAAUAAAGUAAUUAGUUCUUUGUUCGCAUGAAACAACAGAAAAGAAAAGGUAUAUAUAUGAACACAUUACCCUUACAGCUUCGUCCCACUGCUCAGCAACAAUACUCUCAAAUAAAACAGAAGGGACGUGUUUGAUCUUGUAGAAAUCCUCUCCUCCUUCCUGAAGGCGACUACAGAAUGUAUCAGGCAUCAACUUUAUGGUUAUUUCCUUAAGGGUAGAAACAUAUUGCAGCCCAUCUGGAACUCCUACCAACGUAAUCCAAUUUUCAAUGUACAAUCUGCACAGGCUAGGCAAGGCUUCUUCGGACACCCACCAAUGGGAUAAUUCGGACAAACCAUUAAGGUAAAGAACUUCAAGAGAAGGAAAGCCCUUACUCGAGCAAAACAAAUUUUCAGAACCAGCCUCAAAAGCUCCAUCUCCAAGGCAAAGGGUUUGUAAUUUUGGCAGCUUCUCUAGUAUUCUUAUCUGGGUGUCCUCGAGACAUGUACCACACAACGUUAGCUUGGUGAGGUUUGGAUAGGUUGGGAGAUCUUCAGGUAAAUUUCCCAUUGGCCCCUUUACUUUCAGCUUGGAUACAUGACGACAUCUAUAUACUAUACUUUUUAAUAUAUCCGUUGAAGUAGACACCACACAGAGAGACUGAACACGGUUAAUUGUGAAGAUUGCCGCUUUCGAGAUUUCCUCCAAAAUUUCAAAGUUCCUUGACCUUACAUGUACCGACAGCUUUCUAAGAUUCUUUAAUUGAACAAGUUCUUUAAAAUCACAGUCUUGGUUCGAAAUAUGAACUAACGUCUGCAAACUGCCAAGACUAGCCAAUGACAGCUUCUCACUUACGCUGUGUUCGUAGGGCAUGUAUAAAUGUCUCAAUUGUACCAUCUUUGAAAACACAUUAGGUAUUUUCACCACCACCUUAUCUUUACAGCGUACAUCUAGAGUUUGCAAACACACCAAACUAGCUACAGACGAUGGCAAUUGAUUCAUUUCACUAUUCUUCAGACUUAAAAACCUUAAGUGGACAAGAUCCCCAAUAUUACUGGGCAACUUUACUUCAAAACGCAUCUCUUCAAACUUCAAAACUCUAAGCAAUUUGAAGUCAUUGAACAUUUUUUCUAUCAUUUUUUUUUUCCAUAUGAGGCUGCCAAAGUAUAACAGAGACCUGAGUUGGCCAUCUCUUUCAUGUCUUGUGGGGGCUAAAUAAUCAACUUUUUCGUCCAAAUAGAUGGCACGUCUUCGAACUUUACCGAUAGGUGCUGCCUUGCUUGCUGUGGAAGCAAAAUUGACAAUAUCAAAAAAGUUCUCCUCGUUUCCCUUUGACAAGCAUAAGUCUCGCAUAAGAUCAUGGAGACGACAUGUUUUGAUCUUCUUAGUUGAACCAUAUUUUCCAACUUGAACCAUACACCUUUCUACCAACUCAGUUAAGCAACCAUAUGAUACAUCUUCAAUCAUGUCUAUAGAUGUUGAAGAUAUAAGACCUUCUGCCAUCCAUAAUUGAGUUAGUCUUUUCACAGGUAUCUCAUAAUCCUCAGGAAAAUGGCCUAAAUAUAGAAAGCAUAACUUUAGGCGAUAUGGUAGGUGAUCAUAACUCAAUGCCAGCACCCAUGACGCACCUUUAUAGCCUUGAUUUUUGUAUUCAGGUUCAAGGUUUGUGCCUCUCCUUAUAUAUACAUCAACAUUCUUAUACACUUUAUACCACUCAUCAACUGAUCUUUUUCUAGCUAGAAGUUCUGCAAGCACAAUGACAGCUAAUGGCAAACCUCCACAAUGUUGAAGCAUCUUCUUUCCUAGUUCUUCCUUCUUAGCAUAAAUUUCAGCCACUGAAAACAAUAAAUAUAAUAGAGAGCAAAAUUAACCUAUUUUGUUCAAUAUGGCUUUCUAUAUCACCAAUGUCCCUUGCUUGAAUUAUUUUCACUCUAGAACCUAAAAGUUUAUGAAGUUUCUUAACCUCACUGCUUGGAAGUAAAAAACAAAAUCAAUUCCAAGCACAUUAUAAUAAUUCAUUGCUUGGAGGUUAAAAACCAAAAUGAUUUUUUAAAACAUUAAGGGUAAUAUGUUGAAUUGCCCCCUGAACUCGUACAUAACUAUCAAUUUAUCAUUGAAUUUUUUUUUAAAAAAAACUAAGGACUUGAAUUAAUUUUUAUUAUCAAUUUUCCCCUGCGUUCUAAGUCGUCAACAUUUCAUCUAAAUUGCCCGUUAAAUACGAGAUUAAAUUGGUCAUUUUAUAUGUUAACAAUAAUUAAAUAUUAUAAAAUAAAAUAAUAAAAAAAUCAUUUUAAUUAAAAUUCGGACCCGCACAACCUGCGACCCACAACCACUCAUCCCCUCCCUUCUACCAGACAAACAACUUUUUUCAUGGGUUGGUGCAAUUUUCAUGGGUCUUUGCUGGGGAGAGGUGGCUUGGGGAAGGGGAACUAGGUUUCAAAAAGACCCCAAAUUUGAAGUUGUCGAGGUUUGUCGGAGAUCGAGAGAGAGGGUGGCUGUGGGGAGAUUGGGUUGCGAUGUUGGUAGGGUUCGUAUCUAGGGCGGCGACGACGGACGGGGGAGGGGGGAGGAAGAGAAGGAGACGGGAGAUAGGAGAUAGGAGGGGCAAAAUAAUAAAAAAUUUACCUUGUUCGCAGAGAGAGAGAGAGAGAGAGAGAGCUAGGGGAUGGGGGAUGGGGGAUGGGGAGGAGUUGUUCUGGGUCUGUGGGAUGUGGUGCUGUCUGUGGUUACUGUGUGUGUAGAGUAAAUUUUUAAGGUGGGAUAAUGUGUUUUGGUUGGAGCGUGAGAGACAGGGAGAGACAUAAGGUGGCGGUGGAGUGUAGAUGAUGGCGGGUGGUAGGAGGUGGCUCCAGGUGUGAAGGGGUUAAUACAGUUUUUUUUUUUUUUUUCCUUGUGUUUUACGUUUUAUAUUAUAUUCAUGUGUUUUAUUAUUUUUAACUUCUUAAUUUUCUAAAUAAAAAGUCAAAGGUAAAUUGACAAUUGAGUGCAAUUUCAAGGCACAAUUUCAAGGGACAAUUCGGCAGAUUACCCAAACAUUAAGAAAACAAAAGAAUGUCAAACGCUUAAAUAAUAUUCAAAAACCAAUCCAUGUUUGAGAUAGUGUUUCAUCGUGGGAAAAAUUCAUCAAAGAUGAUACAGAACAGACACAUAAUUGCAACAAUCUAUCACAAUAUGAAAUGAAAAGAACCUGUACUGAAGCAAUAUCUUGAUAGAAGGAUAUUAUGCAAGCUACUCCUAGAAAUUAUACUGACAGCGAUAACAUCACGAGCUUGAUAGUAAAGAGGAAAAGAUGUACCAGUACUUCUAACUACCUAAAUUUUUCACACAAGAUGAAUGUUGUCUUCUACGUGAUUUACAGAUUUCCAAUAUGCAUAUAGCAUUUUGCUAAUGACCAUUUGGUCCGAGUCUUCAUUUUGUUAGAAAAGUUUAUGAGUUAAUCUCAAAGAUAACCGUUGAUGAAUGAAGUAUAAAAAUGCAUAAUACAGUGGUCUCUAAACUAAAGGUCAAAACCACUUUGUGUUGUAGCAAUGGGCCCUAUAGGAGCCCACUUCAGCACUACCUGUCAAACCAUGCUAAGUUAUUAUCCCCAUCUUAACCACCUAAAUCCAAUAUUUGGAUUGGCCUAGACUUAAUGGACUUCUAGGUGUAGGACUUCAACUUGAGGCCUCGGUGUAAUUAGCAAUGGACUAUUUAUAUUUUGAACGCGUGUAGAUUAUUAUUGUAUUAUGCAAUGUGGGACUUAAACAUCAUGACUUUUAAUGAGCCACCUACACCAACAAUCUCCACCUUGGUGAUAUCCAAGUUAAGGGUAACCCGCACUUUACAAACACUCAUACUUUUCAAGGAUGACAUGGUCCCCGCAACUCCACCUCUUCCUACACGGAUUUCUUGAGCCUCGCUAGGAGCCCUUGCGCCACUAGGAUUUCGUUGAGCCUCUACCUUUCCUCCACUAGACACCUUGCUCUACUAGCCCGCUCCACCUUUUCUCCGUCAAUCCAGGAAUUUGCUUGAUUCAUCUCCUUGAACAUGUCAAUGCCUCCACCUUGAACCAAGUGCGUUGUAGCUAAAUCAAGUUUUUAUACCAAUUGUGUUCCUAUUCUUCUAGUGAAAUUUCUCAAGGGGAUCGUCAGAGAGGAUGUAGGCACAUUGCUGAAUCUUUAUAAAUUUUGUAUUCUUGGUUACUUUGUUUCCUUUGGUGUGUGCAAUUUUCUUUGUGGUUGGUUUGCUUGUGUUUUUCUUCAUAGUCCAUUGAUAACAAGCUUUUUGGUGCGGGCUAAAGUACAACAUGUGGUAUUAAAGCUUGGAUCUAAGGAUGGGGAUGGUUGUUUCAAGUAUGGAUUAAAAGAUCAUUAGAAAGAGAAUUGUCAUAUAUGGAAAGAGAAUAGACAAGUUGAAGAAUGCUGAAAGUUCAAAAACAGCCAACAUGUCUAUUGGAGACACUAAUGAUGAACUUUUGAUGGUUACAGAUGAGGGUAACAGAGAAGUCAUUGCAAUUUCUUUGGGUAAGAGUUCUGCUUCAGUUUAUAUUUUAGAUUACGGGUGUUAUUUUCAUAUGUGUUCAAAUAAAGAUUGGUUUGAUACAUAUAAGGAAAAGAAGGUUAGGAAAGUUAUGUUAGGAGACAAGGAGCAAGGAAUUCAACACGGGGGAUCUCGUUUCUGCACCAGAGAUCUCAAUGACCCAAGCUUAGUUCUAGGUGGAGCACCACCUCACCUAUGGUGCUUGAAGGCAAGUGGUUUCUUGCCAAGGUAAAGCUCCUGGAAUCCAAGAGGUUUAAGAGGUUAUGAGGGUCAACAAUUGUCCAUGGUUGAUUAAUUGUUCGCCAAAGUGAAAUUUUUUUAAAUAUUGGCUCACCAUUGUGAUGCAGAGGAAGAAAACAUGGUAGCAAUCGAUUGACAAAAGACAGACGACAGCAACAAUUUUCAGAGGUGUAGUGAUAUAGAACACAUGGCCGAGUUGAUCAAGGAAUAGCUAGACAGGCACGCAUGUCAUCGCGGCAGCAAAGCCCAAUCUGUGUAAGUAUAGGCCUUGAGCUCAGCAUCGGGCCCAUAACCUAUCGUUUCAAAGAGAACGGCAUGACAAGUGCAAGUAUGGGCUACUUUAGCCAAAUUCUAUCGUUUACGUUGACUUUUCAGUGUAUAAAGUUUUUAGAAUAUUUUGAGAAACUUCUAUUAUUUUCCUUUUUGUUUUCCAAUAAGUUUUCCUAGCAAGUCUUGGGUUUCUCAUUAGCUUUCCAAGCAAGUUUAAGGUUUCUCUUGUAUAAAGGAAUGCGUUGGAGCAUCUUGAAUUAUUAAUCUUAUUUUCAAUCAAUAUAUUUGAGGUUUACUCAAUUUCUCUAGUGGAUCCUAAUUUGUUGGUGGCUUCCGACAUUGCUACUUGUAUGGUUAUCAUUCGAUCUUCUUAUCCAUUAUAUCUCGCUGCGUCAGUUGGUAUCAGAGCAUGUUUUUGCCAGACUCGAAGUGCCUUCAAUGGCUCAUCUAGACGGAGAAGAUAAAGCCCAUGGAGACGAGGAACCAAUCACUCGUGAUGAAUUCAAUACAGAAAUCGAGGGUCUAUGUCAAACCAAGAACUUAGGAAACCAAGAACGGCCAGCUAAAGACAGAGGGGACUAUUGACGUAACGAACGACGUCCUCCUUGGCGCCUUGGUCAGGAAGAUAGUGAUGUGGAGCCGGAGGAAGAAAUUCAUGACGAUCAUGCCUAACCCAGUAGCCAAUGCCAAGAAGACUUAUCGCUUUAAGACUAAAAUUCCAUAUUUCAAAGGGCAUUUAUAAGUUGAAGAUUUCUUAGAUUGGCUUGUUGAAGUGGAGAGGUUUUUUGAACUUAUAGAAGUCCCUAAGGCAAAGAUGCUAGUUAUCAUGGCUAAAGAGGUUGUGAGAUAUGAGUUGUUGAUUGCGCUGUAUGAAGCCGAUGAAGACUUUAAGGAGAUUUGGUCCAAGGGUGUUUGCAACCAACCUGUUAUAGAUUUUCACCUCCUGAGACAUCCUUUGAAAAAUGAUGUGAGAAAGAUCGUGCAAAAGUGUUACACUUGUAAGGUGUCUAAGGGUCAAUCUCAAAACAUUGAUCUUUAUAUGCCUUCGCAUGUGCCUAAUGAUAUUUGGCAGGACUUUUCCAUAGACUUCAUGUUGGGACUCCCCCAUACACGAAGGAGAGUAAAUUUUGUUUUUGUUUUUGUUUUUGUUGACAGGUUCUCCAAGAUGAUGUACUCCAUCUCGUGCAAGAAAACGAAUGAUGCUGCUGGCAUAGCCAAAUUGUUUUUUUAGAGAGGUUGUUUGUUUGCAUGACGUGCCCAAAUCCAUCACCUAUGAUCGUGACACCAAGUUCCUCAGUUAUUUCUGGAUUACUUUGUGGAAGACGUUUGGAACCGCCCUUUAUCGCCGCAGUACUGCACAUCCCCAAACUGAUGCCCAGACAGAAGUUAUUAAUAGAACUUUGGGUAAUAUGAUCCUUAACAUCUAUGGAGACAAACCCAAACAGUGAGAAAAAGCACUGCCUCAAGUUGAGUUUGCUUAUAACAGUGGUAUUCAUAGUGCCACAGGAAAAUCACCUUUCGCUUUGGUUUACACUUUGGUUCCUAACCAUGUGAUUGAUUUAAUGAAGUUAUCUAAGGCCCAUGGUGUAAGUACCACAGUUGAGCAUAUGGCAGAAAACAUCCAAGACAUGAAGAAUGAGGUCAAGGAGAUGUUGGAGUAAACCAAUGCUAAAUACAAAGCCACCGCAAACAAAUAUAGGCUAGUCAAGGUGUUCAAUGAAGGCGACUCCUUCAUGCUCUAUUUGAAGAAUGAGAUGUUUCUAGUAGGUACUUAUCGCAAGUUACAAUCCCGCAAAUAUGGUCCAUACAAGAUUCUAAGGAAGAUCAAUGACAAUGCAUGGAGAAUUCAAGCACUUUAAAUGUUGCUGACUUGUAUGCAUUUCAUGAAGAUGAGCCGCUUUAUCUUAAAAAUAACUUAGGGUUGAGUUCUUCUGAAGUGGAAGGGACUGAUGUAGAACACAUGACCGAGUUAAUCGAGGAACAACUGGACAAGCGCGCACGUCGUCGCGGCAACAAAGCCCAAUCUGUGCAAGUAUGAGCCCCGAGCUUAUAAUCAAGCCCAUGACCUAUCAUUUCAAAGAGAACAGCGUGGCAAGUGCAACUCACUGCUUUUCUAUUAUGCAUGGGCUAUUUUAGUCAAAUUCUAUGGUUUAUUUUAACUUUUCACCGUUUAAAAUUUUUAGAAUAUUUUAGGAAACUUUUAUUAUUUCCUUUUUAUUUUCUAAUUAGCUAUCUUAGCAAGUAUAUGGUUUCUCUUGUAUAAAAGGAAUGUGUUGGAGCAUCCUGAAUUAUUCAUCUUAUUUUCAAUUAAUAUAUUUGAGAUUUACUCAAUUUCUCUGAUGAAUUCUAAUAUUGUUAAUUAUUAUAUCUCGCUGCGUCAUGUGGUGACCGUUGGGAUUGGCCAUCCAACCGGUUGGUUUCUUCCCUAGAGCAGCAGCGUCAGCGACCAUUGGUCAGUCCUGCUAUGGUGACAGAUCGGUUUAGUCCAAAGAGGUCGAUGUUUCAUACAAGGCAGUCUUGUUUUUAGGGCGGCCAGUUGACUCUUUUUGAGAGACCUGUCGGUUUUCCCAACCCCAUCGAUAAUGACGCAUUUUUUUUACAUAUUUUAAUAGGGUUUUGAUUGGGCUUGGUUUCCUACUUCAAGUUAAAUUCUAACCCAAGUUCUAUAAGCUAUAAAUAAGGCAUCAAAUUUGGGGUUGAACAAUGGUGUGAGUGUAAUAGAGAGCUAGAGGCUACGGGGAUUUUCUUGUAACAAAAGUUGUUCUUUGUACUCAAAGCGAUCAUAGGCAUGUUGUCGAACGUCUUAAAUUCUUGUGUACUUGGUUGGUUUGUUUGCUUGCUUUGGUGUGUGCAAUUUUCUUCGUGGUUGGUUUGCUUGUGUUUUUCGUUAUAGUCCAUUAAUAAUGUCUUGGCCAAGAAUUAUUUUCAACGGGUGUGUGCUAAAGUACAACGGUUUGAAAAGAGUUGAUUUCCAUUGAAAAGAAAAGGAAAAUAAUUUGAUCUACAUGAAUGCGGUAGUUUUUAUUAGUCUAUUGACAAAUAAGUUCAAAAUCGAGAUGAAAGAGCUGGUUGAGAAAAUACCUGUAUCAUCCCUUCCAAAGAUAGCUAUAUUCUCGAACAAUUUCCAGCUUUCAUUAGCAUUUAGUGGCCGAGAUUCAUGAAGAAAACCAUUUUCAUCUACAUGCAAAGCUACUUCUUUGUUGCGUGUCGUGAGCAAUAUGCAGCUCUUUGUUCUCUUGUUUACUGGAAAUCCAGCUUUUAUAGAGUUCCAGGUACCAGUGUUCCAAACAUCGUCAAGGACCACCAAACAACACAUAUUUUCGAGGAGAGUAUAGAGGAGUUCUGCUAUUUCAUCCCUCUUCUUUCUUUCAAUUUCUUCUCUUUGCUCUUUGGUAGCAGCAGUUAGCUUAAUUAAAACUUCUUCCAAAACAGCUCUUCCUUCAUAUUGUUGAGAUACACACACCCAAGCAAAAGAAUCAAAAUGACGCCUAACUUUAUUGUGAUGAUAAACUUGUCUUGCAAGGGUCGUCUUUCCUGAACCGCCCAUCCCCAAAUGGAAACUACUCGGUGAAAUUGAUGUUCUUCUUCUUUCAACAAAUGUGUAGCCAAUAUCUGUACAUCGCCCUCUAUCCCAACAACAUGGCGUUCACUGAAAUGAGCGUAGGUUAGCCUCUGAUCAUGUUGCCUCUCAACAGAUGAAGAACUACCUUCACUCCCUGACCCGAUUGCCUUGAUAUCAUAACAUUCCACUCUGGACCUCAACUUAGAAAGUUUGGUUGUAAUCUUCUCGAUUUCAGACCCAGUCUUAUGAAGAUAAAAUCCUUCUCUCAAGAUACAAGCAAACCUUUUCAGGACUAUUGUCAUGCUUCCUUUCCUCUUGGAAGCCACUUUCAAGACAAAAGUCUCAAUCACAUCCUCCAAAUCAUAAGCAGCAUCUCUAACAGUUGCAACCCAAACGCGUACCACUUCGUCUUCUCCUUGUUUGGCAUCUGCAUCUUUCAGGUAGCCCAGCAUCAGUCGUAGCUCGGUUUGUGCAAGCUCAACUUGCUCUCCGACUCCACUUAAAAAGUUGGCUUCCUGAAGGAUGAAAUCUCCAAGCGGCUUUAGGCCUUCAGUGACAAUUGAAACAACAGCCUCAGCCAUAUUUCUGCUCUUCGCCAACAGUGAACGACUAAUUACCUCUGCAGCUUUUUUCUCUUCUGUAUCUUGAAGCAAUGAAAUUUUCUUCUGAUCAGUGCUGGGAAAGUCAAAGUUUCUUCUGCUUGUAAAUGUUCCUUUUGCAUAUUUUAUAAUCAAUUUGCUGAUCACUCUAUAUUCUCCACCUGUCUCUUCUUUUCAUUUUCUUUAUUUGCUGUAAUGCACUACUUUGUCCCAUAUAUGGAAAACUACAGCAGGGAGAGAUAAGAAAAGAACACCUUAGAAAAAGACAUUGUGCAGAUAAGAUUGCACAGAGAUAUGGAUAAGCCACGCCAACAUUUCACAUCUAACACGGCAACACCUCAAUCAUAGAAGACAAGUGAAAUCACACCUAAUUCGUGCUGCACACUUAUUAUAUUUUAAAUCAAUACGCGAAUUUUAUCAUAUUUAAAUUAAUAUUCAAUCAGGCAAAUAAUAAGAAAAAAUUUAAAUAACAAACUAACCUUUAGUUUAACGACAUUUCUCUUCUCACAAUCAAAAGAAGUUUUAAAUUUGAUUCUACAAAACAGUCAAACAAAUAUAUGCAUACACUAAUCGAGUUAUUUACAUCAAUAUCUCCUCAGUUUUUUCGUGUUUUCACAAAACUCCUUAAAUCCCUUAAAGUCUUAAAUUAUUUCACAAAACCUCUUUUACAUAAUAUUCCUUCAAAAAUAUGUUGAUUUCAUAUAGAUAUUUCUUUUGUGUAGAGGUUGGGCUCAAAUGGUAAUACUUUUUUUUCUUUUUUUCAAUUUUCAUUUUCUUGUUAAAAGAUGGAAGGAGAUGAGAGAUAGAGAUGAAGUAAUGGAGAAUAAAUCUUAAAACAAAAAAGAAAAUAUAUUAAGGCUUAAAUGUCAAAAUAAUUCAUGUGUUUUACUGUAUUUGCCAAUUUAGUCCAUAUAUUUUUUAUUUCUCUAAUUUAGUCUCUAUGUUUAGCAUCGUUAGUCAAUGUGAUCCAAUCUAUUAGAUUCACCAUUAAAUAACAUUAUAGACCUUUUUGUUUAAAAACAAAAAACAAAAACCUUUUUUAAAUUAAUUUAAAAAAUAAAAUUUGAAUUUCUAAUGGGAGAGUUACAAGCAGCUUUAACAUUGUAUGGUCAUCUCCCAAGGAAAAACAUUAUCUGUUGUACUAUUUUGAUCUUUGUGUAUGUGCAAAAAGGCUAUCUGGGAAAUGCUAUUAAGAUAUUUGCUGAAAUGACUCAAGGAGGAAAUGUGGCUAACUGGAAUGCGAUGAUCACUGCGUUGACCCAGUUAAAAAUCGCCGGCUUCAGACCUGAUAAAGGCACAUUGAUUUGUUUAAUUCAAUUUUAAAAUUGAAGUUUUAAUAUCUUAAAUUAAUUCAAUUUUUUUAAUUAGUUUCAAAAUGGUUUUUUAAGAAACAAAAAUAUGUUUAUAAUGUUUAUUUAACGGAUUGGACCACAUUGGCUACCGAUGCUAAACACAGAAAUUGGCCAAAUUGGAAACACAUACUAAAUUGGUCAACACAGUAAAACACAAGGACCAUUUUGACAUUUAAGCAAAAGAGUAAUGUAAGUUGUUCUAGUGCCCGUUUAUCAUUGCUUAUUUAGGAUGAUAAGUGAUUUUAAAAAAAAUUUGAGAAGCCUAGCCAGUUUGGUAAAUUAUGAAAAAAUCUCUUAUUGUUAAAAUUUGUGGUGAAAAAAUGCUAUAAAGGGAAGCAGCUAACGAGGUGUUUUUAUUUUCUGAUUAUGUGGGAAUCAAUUUUAAAGAGCCACUAGGUUUAAUGAGAUUUACAAACUUCCAAAAAUACCCCCAAUUUAUUUCACACAAUUUCUUCUCUUCAUGCGUUUUCUCCUUCGCAUCCCUUUUUCUUCUUCAAGCCAUCUCUUUAACAUAGUUCCCCCCUUCUCUUGAACCUCUUCUAUUCUUCGUUUUUCUUGUUGAAUCAGUUGAAGCACACUCCUGAGAAGCCACAAGACUCACGUAAAAGGCAUAUUAUGUUUAUUUCUUCUUAAUUUCAUUCUUCCCUUUCUCUCUUUAAUUUCUAGGGUUUUAACUUCAAUAGUUGUUGGUGUCCCUUUUUUUUCGUUCCUUUUUUUGUUUCUUUGACAUAAUAUUUAUUAUUAACUGAAUAUAUUGGAUACAAAUAUUCAAUUUUCAACAUAAUACUUUAUUUAAUUUAUAAUUAAAAUAAAUUUUAGGGUGUGACGAAAACAUAUUUAAUAUAAAUAUAUAUAAGUGAAAGUGAAAGUGAUUUCCCUUUUAUCAAACACUUUAACAGAAAAGUCAUUUCAACUUAAUGCCAUUUUUAGUCAUUAUACACAACUCACAGCACUUUAACAAAAAAAAAUUAUAAAACACUUAGAAACUGAUUAUUGUACAAACAACAUCUUAACAAACAGUUUACCAAAUACCAAACUGUUUUCUCUCAUAGCUGAUUUCUCUCACAACAAAUCUAGUAGCGAUUAUUUUCAUAGUACAGCAAUACCAAACUAGCCCUUAGUUUUUUAUAUGAAGUUUUAUUCCAUCUUCCUUGCUAUUAAAAAUAAAAAUUGAAAGCCUAAGCGUUAUCAACAACCCUUUGUUCGUUUGUUCAAAUCGUUGAUCAACUCCAUAUAUGCAUAAUUCGCAAGUGUAUGAUAGAUAUGGUGUUUAUUGCUAUUUCUAUUUUUUUAAUAAAAAAAAAUUGGUGCUAAGUGUAAUGUAUUCGAAAAUGUGUUGAAAAUAGAGUGCAACUACUAGAGUAAUCCUAAUUCAAAAUUGAUUUAAAUUGCUUUUUUGAUAUUUAUUAUAUUCUAGUUUCUUUUGUCUACAAGAUUUUAAUUCUAUUCGGAGAUUUAUUUCCUAUUCUAUUAGGAUUUUUUUUUAUUUAUUUACAAAUCUUGUGUAAUUAGGAGUUUAUUUGUUCCCUUGUAUAACCCUGCUAGGGUUUACACACUUAUAUACCUCCUUUUGGAGAAUGAAAAAAUAUCAGAAAAUAUUCCACCCCAUAUUGUUUGACUUGGCAUAGCUAACUUUUGGUGACUUGUGGAUUGUGCCCACCCGUGUUCUAGCCUCAUAUUCUUUCUACCAGUUUCGUGUGUGCCCUCUUGGGUUUGUGUACUAUGUUGCAGUGUUCCUGCCUCUACCGUGUCCAUGUCAAUCCUAUCUUCAUGCAUCGGUCGUAUUUGUGUCUCUGCUGUGUUCCGUUGUGUACUCUGCCAUGAUCUGUUAAGUUUCUGCUACAAUCAUGAGUGAUAACUCCAUUGUUGGUGUUGUUGCUGCUGCUUCUACAAAUUUGUGUGUUUCAGACUCUAUUCUAAGUAUUGGCUCCAAUACUUGGAUAAUUGACAAUGGUGCUUUUGAUUAUAUGACUUAUUAUGCUAAUUUUUUUGAUGAGUUGGUCUAGUAACACCCAUGACCCAUAUAACUAGUGCUAAUAGCUUGCCCUCUCCAAUUACUGGCGAUGGAACAAUCUCCCUCACUCCUACUAGGUUCUUAUCUCGUGCUUUACUAGUUCCCACUAUCCAUUAUAACUUGUUAUCUAUAGUCAAUUACUUGAUACAUUUAAUGCUUCUACUACGUUCUAUCCUACACAUUGCUUUUUUUAGAAUCUCAAGACUCACGAGGUGAUUGGCAAUGUAAAUGGAUAUGGGGGCUAUAUUAUUUGACAUUGCAUGAUGCACCAGUUCGUAAUCGUAUCGUUAAUAAUGUUCAAAGCUGCAGUGUCAAAGACAAACAACAACUUUGGUUAUGGCAUCUUCGCUUGGGACACCCUUCGUUUGGCUAUCUUAAGUUUAUGUUUCCAUCUUUAUUCUGCUCUUAUGAUGAGUCCGGUUUUUUAAGUGUAAGACAUGUAUUUUGGCAAAGAGCCAUCGCAUUGUGUUUUCUUUAAGUGACAGUAAAGCUUGGUAGAUUUUUAUGUGUGGGGUCCGGCUCUCGUUACUUCGAACGAAUGUUGUUGGUUCGUCAUAUUUAUUGAUGAUUGUACCUGACUCACUUGGGUUUUAUUAUUGAAAAAUAAACAUAAUGUUGCUUCCAUCCUUCUAGAGUUUUGUACUAUGGUAUCUACUCAGUUUCAGGCUCGAGUCAAAUAUUCCAAACUGAUAAUAUAGGAGAAUAUGUGAAUAAUAAUUUAGCGUAUUUCUUCUGUGCUCAAGUUAUUAUUCACUAAACGAUCACCCAUUUUACCUAUCAAUAAACUGGUGUGUCUGAAAGGAAGAACCGACGAUUGCUUGAAGUUGCUCGCUAACUCAUAUUAGAUAUGUCUGUUUCCUAUCAUCCUUAGGGCAUGAUGUUCUAUCUGCUACCUAUUUGAUCAAUCAUAGUCCUAGUCGUGUUCUUGAUUUCAAGACUCCGCAUAAUUAUACAAUUAAGUUCACUAACCACACACAAUUACAUUUAAAAACAAAUCUUCUUCUCUUUAGGCUUAGUGGUACAGCUCCCACUUCAUCUUCUUUUAUUUUCUUUGCUUGCUGCAAAACUCCACUCCAAUUAUUAGUAAUGAAUCUGCUUCACCUAACUUCCCCACAAUCAAUAACAUCUCAUGCUUAGGUCAAAACAACCAAGCACACUUAACUUAACCUUAGGUCAGCGUGACCAGCAACUUUAAGGGCUCACGAAUUGGGCUUCCCUUAAGCAAAUGAUGACUUUGAGCCCUCCAUUUUGAAGUUCAGAAUGUCAUAUUUCCAACCACAUGUCAUUUGGGCCAAUCCAAGGUUGGAGGAAGAAGUUAAUCCUGAAAAAAAUUACCAACUCAUUUAACAACACAGACAAAAUUCAUCCUAAGCAUGGUUCUGUGUUUGGCGGGUAAUAGACUCCAGAUUUAUCCAAUGGGGCUGCAUUUUGGAUAUGCUAUAAUAAGCACCCAUUUGAACAACUUCCAUGAAGGAUGUAGCCUCAUCCAAGUUGAGUAGGUUUCUGAAAUAAAGCUUGAAAUGUGACCUAUGAAACUGGACUAGCAAGGGAGUGUGGCCUAAAAUGGGAUUUUCUUUAAGCUCUUCUUCCAUUCAUCCAAAUCAGGCCUCAACAUGCUUGAAUUAUGCUCUCUUGCUCUAUUGGCCGUAAAAAUACACAAAGAGAGGCAAAUGACUUAGAAUUCUAAGAAACUAAGCAAAAUGAGUAAGUAAAUAGGACAUGUAUAUGUAUGAAAUUAUGAGCUUAAUAGACUUCAAGCUAGAAAAGCCAAUGGAGUUACAUUGUGACAACAAGUCAGCUAUCGAUAUUGCCCAUAAUCCAGUUCAACAUAAUCGAACCAAACAUCACUACUACAUUUUACGAUUUGCGCGACGAAGACAAUUUCGUCGCGCAUAGUUGAAUUUGGUCGCACACAAUCAAGCGCGACAGAACAUUCGUCGCGCGUAAUCUGUCGCGCAAAGAUCGUGAAGAAAGACUUUGCGCGACCGAUUGUAUCACUCGUCGCGCAAAUUUGUGCGACGGUUACCCUUCGUUACACAAAAGGUUCAGAGACAGCGCAAUAGUUCGUCGCACAAACUUAUGCGCGACGAAAGAGAGUUUGUCGCCACAACGAUGCGCGGCGAAUAAUAUUCGUCGCGCAAUACGUCUCGUACACAUUUGCGGCACUAAGAGAUCUUCGUCGCGCAUACGAUUUUUGCGCGACGAAAAUUUUCGUCGCACGGUACGUGUCGUAGAUAUUUGUGGCACAAACAGAUCUUCGUCGCGCAAUUCGUGUCAACACAUUUUGCGCGACGAAAGACUUUUGUCGCGCAAAUCCUUUUUGAGCGACGAAAAUGUUCAUCGCGCAAGAAUAAAUUAUAUGUAUUUAAAAAAUGAAACAAUUUUAUUUUGUAAUAUAUAAAUUUACGCGACGAGAAAAAUUUCAUCGCGCAAAAUUAAUAUAUAUAAUUAUUAUUUAAUUUUAAUAUUACUUUUUAUUUUAUUUUAUAAAAAAAUAAAUUUGGUUUUUUUUUUUGGGUAAUAAAAUGAAAUUCCAAUAAAUAAAUAAAAAGAAUUGUAAAGAACAUAUUUAUUAUAUAAAAUAAAUGUAUGCUGCAAGAGAAAUAUUUAAAAAAUAAUUAUGAAAAUAAAAAAACUAAUCAAAUAAUGUUCCAAAAUCUACAUUAUCGUCUGGCACAUGCAGUUUAGAGGUCUGGGGGUCUACAGGGGCUGUCGUCUGGUGGGGAUGCUCGGGAUGGACGGGCUCGGAGGUCGGCGCAUCAAAAUGCGGGACUGGAAUGCCGGACUGUGCGAGGGACUGCAGAAUGACCGACAUCUGACUCUGAAGAGUGGCCACCUGUGCUGUCAAAGCAGUGACCAUCAUGAGGGACUGCAGAAUGCCGGACUGGUCGACGUUUGUGGUGGCGCAUGGGCUACUUUUUGGCCAGUCCUUGAGUCCUAAAAUAACCCUCAUGUCGUCCCAAGUAUGAUGAUAUGCUCGGCUAUGAUUUUGGUUAUCGUUUGAUUGUCAAUCGGAUAUCACAUAUUAGGCGUUAUCCGAGUUCGACAUGUUUGAACUGUUGAAUCGACUCCAUUUCAAUCUAGACAUCCCUAGAAUCGUGUAGGAAUUCGAGGAUCGUGAAUCAGAGCCCCGGAUGUUCCGAUUCAAUAAUUUAAAGUUUUUGUUAAAUGUUAACCAUCCGAUCGUGUGAUCGCAAGUGAUCCGAACGUUCGAUCCAGACUAAACUUGUAGGACAUGUCUAUUAAACCUUGUUGAACCCAUAAGAACUUUCACAUCGAUAACCAGAGGUCGUGGCCCCGUGGGCCCAGCUGACUGGUUUUGGGAAGUUUGACCACUCGGUCGACCGAGAGUUUUCUGAGGUAGUUCCAUCCUUCAAGAAGUGUUAAAACAAUCCUAUAAACGAGGCUUGUCUGUUAUUUGAAUUAUUUUGAUUAUGGUUGGACUCUGAGGUUAUAUUUUAGUACUUUACUGUAGUCCUGUAUGUUAUUUCAGAUAUUCAAAGUUUAUGCAUUAUUGGAAGUGAUGGAAUCUCUAGGAGUUAUCAUUUAUUUAUUAAUUUAUUUACUUAUUUAUCUAUUUAUUAUUAUUAUUAUUAUUAUUAUUAAAGUAUCAGACUGAGGGAUAUUAGAUGAUUUAAUAUUUAUGAGUUAUUAUGUAAUCGAUUUUAUUUUUUAAGAAUACUAUAUUGUGUUUAGUUGUGAAGAGUGGGAAGUCAUUAUGUUAUUAGCUAAAGAUAGCAAAAAGUGUUAUCAUCAUUGCAUGAAAGUUUCUCUCGGGAGGCAAAAAACUUACUUGUAACGAGAUAUCACUGUUUUGCUAUUCCUAACCAAUAACAUAAUGACACGCAUGAUAACUUUAGGAUUUAUGGUUUCUCUACCUUGGGAGCACACCAAAAACCUGAACCAAUCCAAACACCCCAUCAAAGUUAAUUUUUAAAAAAUUGGAAAGAGGUGGUUUCCAACCAUAGGAUUUUGCUUUUUUAUUUUUCUAUUUUUUAAAGGAAACAUUAUUUUCCAUUUAUUUAUAGGAAAUUGAGCAAGUGUGAAACAAAUGCCUUCUGCAACAAUUGUAACAACAGCCUCAGCCAUGAUUUUCUCCAAAAGAAAACAAUUAAACCAGCUCUUUUUUUUUUCUUGUCUUACCUUCUCUUCUCUUUCUUUGGAUUAAUGAAAUAAAAUUUGCUUUAAUUUCUUCUGAUUUAGAGCACUUCCACCCCUAUGGACAAAGGCAAAACAAAGGCUGUCACUAUUUAUGUGAAUAGUGGCUGCCCUUGUAAUUUUGUUUCCACCCCUAUGGUAAAGGCAAUGACAAUUACUAUUCACAUGAGAUAUGAGGAGAUGAAUUUAUAUAGAAUUUUGGUGUGUGAAGUAAAGAAUAUGGCUAGAGAUUUAUAAUAAUAAAAAAUUCUGAAUUUUUUUUGUUAUUUAAAUUGGUUGUUGACGUCAUUAUGAUGUCAACAUUGUGUCACCUUAUCCAGAUAGCAGCACGAGCUAGACUUGCCUAGGUUAAUAGGUCCCACACCUUGCCUAGGCUUGCCCUUGCGCUUUGGAGCCAUUCGCGGGCCUAGGCCCUAUCCUACCCAGUCAAAAGGCCUUGCGGGGACUUGCUCUUAUGUACGAUGAAGUCCCUUCAACCCUUGGUAGAUUCCCAAAUUAAUUUCUAUAAUUAAAGUCUCAAUCUGAUGACUCAUAUGAAUCAACUACUCUUUUGUUAUAUUGCACCUUGUGAUUUCGGCACCCUGCCGACUCUCUUUGUUAAUUAGUUUAUUAGUUCUUUUUUGUUAAAUAUUAAGGUAUUAUCUAAAUUAAAGUAUAAACACGAACUACUCAAUUUUACGUUGAUUGAGUAAACUACUCAGGGCCCAUAAUUACAGUUUGAACCGAUCGUCUCAUCAGUUCGAUUGAAUUGAUAUCCUCCUAUACCGUUCUCUAUCUCAUCCUAACUCCAAUUCCAUGAGCCACUGUGUAAUUGAAAUAAACAUACUUAAUUUACUAAAUAGACAAUUUUAAUACAUGUAAUAAAUCCAAUAUAACAGCUAGCGUUACUUCUCCAGAACCAUGCCUUUUUCCCGUUUUAAAGAGGUGUUUACCCCUUUUCCUAAGGAUGUCAUGGUCUCGUUUGUAUCAUGAGCAUGUCAUGGUCUCCACUGGGAAACAUGAGAUCCAAUUUAUUUUCAUUGUAAUCUGUGUAAGUUGUAAAAUUUGGAAGGAAAAAUCGUUAGAAACUAAUGCAGAAUGAUAUAAAGUUGGGUCUCGAGGUAGAAGGCUGCAUCUCCUUCCCUUCCUCCUUGUACACUAAUAGCUGCUACUUUUGCUGCUAUGUAUUAUUAAUCUCUUCGGGACCAAAGAAAAGGUUAGAACAGCCGGUGCCUGCCUAUAAUGAAAUUCAGGGACAGCAAAAUAGAGUUGGAAAGAAAUUUUCAAGUCGUUUUGUUAACAUAAGAUAUUCUCAGAGAACGAAUAAAAGAAAGAGAGAAAGAAGAAGAAGAAAGAGAGAGAAAAGGGAAGGAAAUAAAAUAUAUGUAUGUAUAUAUAUAUAUAUAUUUUUUUUAAAAUUUUGGAUUGAUUUGACGAUUAUAUCUUUGGAUUUAACAGUUUUUUUGACAGAGAUACUAUUUAAGAGCACCUAUAUUAACGUUAGGGACUAUGAGUGAUACAAAAAAAAACUUUAAGGAUGCAAUUUGAUAAUUUCGCAAACAAUAACGCUACGGGCACCAACUUGUUUACAAACUUUUGGAGACCAACACAUGUGGCACAUGACAUGGCAACCCAUGUCAUCUGCCAUCUCAUCCUAAAUAUUAAAUGGGGGGUUUUUUAUAGCCAUUAUAAAUUAUAUCUUUACCCGGGAGGAAUUCUUUUAUUUAAAUAACACUUAUUUAAUAUUAAGGACGAGAUGGCGGAUGACAUGAGUUGCCAUGUCAUGUGCCACAUGUGUUGGUAUCCAAAAGUUGGUAAACAAGUUGGUGCCCGUAGCAUUAUUGGUUUCGUAAAUGUCAUGGACGUUUUGUGAUAAAAAACCUAAUUUUAAAAAAAUCCAUAACUAUAAGCUUACAAGAAGAACUGGAAAACUCUCACAAAAGGUGAGGUAAAAACUACACAAAGAACCAAAAGAGUCUCCCCAACUUAUUCCAAAUGUAAAGAAACUAUAAAAGGUACAGUGGUGAAGAGCUGAUGCUGAAAUGCAAGUGGAGAUUCGACAUCAAGAUGCAACCGCCUGUAAUGGGUGAAGGAAAAUUAUAAGAAAACGAAGAAAAAUAGGGAGAACCUGAUCUCUAAAAAUUGGAAGCACAAACCACCCCUAUCACAUCUGAUUUUUUUAUAUAUUUAAGUAGACCUUAUUACAUUCAAGCGUAUCAUCUAAAGGUUCAUGAAUUGAGUCGCCUACGCAAGUUGUAGACAUAAUUUUCUAAUUUCUCAACCAAUUUGUUAAUUAUUUUAAUGUAUUUAAUCUUAUUAUUCUGACUCUGAGUCUUUCAUUAUAUUUAUCCAACGUGUAUUAUGAUUCUUAAUUUUCUAUAUGGGAGAUAGAAUGUUUUGGAAACUAGAUCUGUUCUUAUUUUGAAACUAGACCGCUAUUCAAAAUGAGUCUUGGAAUUUCAACAUUGGGAUGCUACAUAUUAAGAUAUAGUAUUGGAGGUAUAUAUAUAUCUGACACCUUACUUUGAUUGGAGGUAUAUAUAUACCUUGUACUAAAUUUUACUUUGAUUGGAAGAAAGUACAUAUAGCUCUCUCUUGAAACCUUACUUUGAUUCAAGGCUUCAAUAACUUCUCUAGUGUAAAUAUCUAGUGUAAAUACAUAAAGACCUAAGUAGAGGCAUAAAUCAAAAACUUCAAUCGAGGAAGCCCUCAAUAGAGGCAUAAACUAAAUCCUUUAGUCGAGGUAAGAAACAUAGGCCCUCAGGAGAGGUACAACCCAUCAUUAGAGGUAUGAACUCAAGAUAAUCUUAUUAGAAAAUACCAGUCGUCAACAAAUGCAUGAACUCAAGAUAACCACACUAAAGAUAUACAAGAUGUCAAAAGAGGCAUAACCUCUGCAUAGGCACAAGCUAUCAACAAAGGUAUGAGUUUAAGGCUUCAUUUGAAUGGAGGGAUUCCAUAUCUAAAGAUUUGGAUAAUGUUAUAAGCAUAAAUUGUAAUAUUAGACUACUACAAUCUAUGUAUGCUAAGAUUUGACAUAAUUAGGUAUAAUACAUUUAGAAUGGAUUUGAAAUGACUAUAUGCAAAGAGUCACUUGCAAUCCAUGUGUUUUCUUCAUUUUCCAUCUUAUUCAAAUCUCGGCAUACAUAAACAAUUUAACUUUAUAAUAUCAUCCAAAUUCCUAAGAUAACUUUAUGAGAGGGCAUGUCACUAGACCGAUGUAUAAAAUACAAGGCCCGAAUAAGAGAUAAAAUUAAAGGGGAACCUCAAUUGAGGCAUCACACCUCUCUCAAGGCAUAGUUUGUGGCCUUAGUGGAGAAAAUAUCAAUCCAAAUGUGACAAUGCACCGGAAUCUCCAUGGAAGAGAAGGUGUUACUUAAGCACGUAGGCAUUUGUAGUUCUCGCGAAGUGUUACGUUUUAAUUGUGAAUUGAAAAUGCCAAAAAUCAUACAUCUUGUGCUUCAAACCACUUUUUUUUUCCGGCCAAGCAUGCAUCAAACCUCCUUCCUCUGAUAUUCAUAUAAUAUUCUACAGCCGGUUAGCCGAUUAGGCCUAAUCAUAGCUCCCAGCAGUUGGAUCAAUCUGAAAAAUGGGAAACAAUGUUAAGAUCAAAAGCCCAUCAGCAUGGGCUGGGCCUCAGAAAGCCCAAGCCCAUUAAGAUCCUACUCAGCUCAAGGUUAUUUUCUGGCACACUAGCUGCAUAAGGAAAAUAGAAAAAUAGAAACAUAUAAAAUAUAAAAGGAGAAUUUAAUUAACACAAGGUAGCUGCUUCCUCAAUUACUCUAAGCAUGUGAUGAAUUGCUGUUGCUAUGUCAUCCACCGAACUCAGCAAGCAUCUUUCUUCAAUCUGCAUGCAGAAUUUGAAUGUUCGAAUUUUAGACCCAAAUUUAUUGAUUUCUCAAGGAAGCAAACAAAUAUUUGCAAAUAAAGAAACGUCACUAACGUACACAAAAAUGCCAAACCUUAAUUUUGGUGAUGAAACUAUCAAAACAAAAUGAUGAAGAUGCUCGUUCUAAUAGAUUAAGAUUUGAUAAUUUAUAUAUGUAUGUCAAAAUGAUUAAUAAAAAAGUAAGAGUUCCGGACAAACAUUUUCUUUAUUAUUGCGUAUAUACGUACCUUGAAGAUGCUUCUUCCUCUGAUAUAUAGUAUUCCCCGCUUUUUUUCUUUCUGGUACAUUUUAGUCCCUGCUUUUUCUUCACGGCUGGGCUGGUCAGUGGUCACCUAGCCAAAGCCUAGCCAAGCAGCCGUCUUCAAAAGCUUUUGUCGGGUUUUGGGUCUCUCAAUCGAGUUCGAACCCAAUGCGGAGACAAAAUGGUUCGUCGUUGGAGUUCAUAGCAAUGAAUUCAAAAUGCAUUGAAAUCUCAGGUUUUUUUCUUUUUCUUUCUCCUUCAUUUCUCUAGAAUUCAGUUUAUUCCUAGUUGUUCUCUGAAGUUUCGACUCCAUGGAAGCACAGACAACCCCGAAACUGAAAAAACCUCCAAAACCCAGCAAGCCCAUUACAGAGCUGUGGUGGUUUUUAGCCGCAGCCGCCUUCGUAGAGCUGCUUCUGAUCCCAGCCUACAAAAGCGGACUUUGAGGUCCAUCGCCACUGGCUAGCUAUAAUAUAACCCACUCUCUGCCUCUCUCUCAAUGGUAUCUAUUCCAUCUUCCUUGCUAUGGUUAAUGUUCAUUGUCUAGAAUUAAUUAAAAACAAAACUUGAAAGGCUUGAGCGUUAUCAACGAAUCGUAUAUGCAUAAUCCUAAGUGUAUAAUAGAUAUGGUGUUUAUUGCUGUUUCUCAAAAAAAUAAAAAAUAUGGUGCCAAGUGCAACUACUUGAGUAAUCCCAAUUCAAAAUUGGUUUAAAUUUAUUUAAAGUAAUAAGAGGCUCUUGUUAAGUUAUAACAAAUAUGAAUACAAUCCAAGUUGCAAAGUAAAUGGGGAAUUGAUUGCCAGGAAAAUGAUAGUCCAAUCAAUCAGAUAUAAAAAUAAACUCUUUAUAUGAAAUAUGUAUAUAUACUAAAAUAAAAUAGAAAUACUGCUACUUCAAUGAAACACACUUUUCCCCUACUACUCAUUCAAAAGAAACAGACUUUUCACCCAACUCUUUUUUUUGUUGCUCCGCCCCAAACUCUUUUUCCCUUCAAGUGGAAAGAGGAGAGAAACAAUUACUUCUUUUGCCCUUGAAAAAAUAAAUCAAGAGACUGUACAUGUUGCACAUGUUGGAUUUUGUAAAAAUCCUCUCCUCCUUCCCGAAGCCGGCUAUCGAAUUCAGGACGCAUCAGAUGGAUGAUUAAUUUCUUGAGGGUAGUAAUAUAUUGGAGCCCAUCUGGAACUGCCUCCAAUUCUAAGCAAUGCACAAUGCUCAAUCCGCAGAGACUUGGCAUGGCUCCUUUCUCCACCUUCCAUUCUUUAAACUUCAAGGAACAAAGAAAAAGGAUUUCGAGAAAUGGAAAGCCUCCCUCUGAGCAAACAAGAGGUCCUGAAAAUUCCCCCCUAUAAACAAAAAGCUUUCUCAAGCUUGGCAGCUUCUCUAACACUUUUAUGUGGUCGUCCUUUAGAUUACCAAAUUCAUGCAAUGUUAGCUUGGUGAGGUUCGUAAGGCACAGGAGCUCUUCCGGUAACUCUGUGAUAUGUCCGACUAGUUUCAACUUGUAGUGGAAGAGCGACUUGCACCACCAUUUUGAGGCGUUCGAUGAUCCGCAAGUCGCUCUUCAAGAGGGUUGCCCGAAAGAGCUUGAGGGGCGGGAGGAUAGUUGGGCGUGUCUCUGCGCUCAUUUUCAGGUGCCCGCUUUUGUGGUAAUUUUGUAUAUUUUAUUUUAUUUUAUUACAAAUGUUUUUUUAAUUUUUUAUAUUUAAUUUCAAUUUCAACUAAUACGUUUUAUUUUUUGUAUAACAGAAUAAAGCCAAAGUCAAUAAGGGCAAUAGGAAGAAGAAGACUCUUCUCCAUCAUUCGGGUUCCAGGCCCUUCUCCUAUCGGAUGGAUGCACGACGUCAGGUAAUAAUAGAAUAAUUUUUAUUUAAUUUUUUACUUUUUCAUUAUUCUUAAUUUAUUUUGUCGUUCUAAUAUUUGUCUUCUUUUGUUCAAUUUAGGGGGGGUCCAAAUUCCCAGAGAUCGACGUCUUUGGCGACGUUUAUGUUCGGCAUGGGAAUGAGUUGGCCGAGUCCCUUCAUGUAAGUAUUAUUUAAUUUUAGUUCUUAUGUUACGAUUCAACUUUAAAGUUCAUUAUAUGAGUGUUUGAAUUUAUAUUUUAUGUUAUGCUAAACAGACGACGAUGGUGGAGAGGAGCCAGUUGGUUCUUCAGGAGUCUGCCUCCCAACUUCCUCCCGAUACUCCGAUCGAGUCUGUGGAUCCUCCACAGGAUGCUGGGUUUCAGAUCUUGACGGAGACAUUGGAUCAGACUCUAGGGAGGAGACCGGGGACAUAUUGUCGAGGGAUGGGGAAUGCCAGGCGGAGGGAACCCAAACCCCGUUCAUCAGCGCAGUCGAACAGUUAGGUCACUGCUUUGACAGCACAGGUGGCCACUCUUCAGAGCCAGAUGUCAGUCAUUCUGCAGUCCCUCGCACAGUCCGGCAUUCCAAUCCCGCAUUUUGAUGUGCCGACCUCCCAGCCCGUCCACCCCGAGCAUGCCCACCAGACCACUGCCCCAGUGGACGCCCAGACCUCCGAGCCGCAUACUGGCGACGACCCGGUUGAUUUUGCUUCAUUAUUUGAUUAGUGUAUUUAUUUUCAUUAUAAACAUUUAUUUUAUUUGUAAUACAUUUAUUUUAUUUUAUAACAAAAUUUUAUUCUAAUUUAUUUUUAUUGCAAUUUCAUUGUUUAAUCAAUAAAAAAACAAAAUUUUUUUUAAAAAAAAAAAUUGUAAUAUUAUUUUUGCGCGACGGAAAACAUGUCGUCGCGCAAACAUGUAACAAAAAAAAAUUAAAAAAUCAACUUUUUUUUUAUUACUUUUCAUUCUUGCGCGACGAACACAUACGUCUCGCAAACACGUUUUGCGCGACGAAACCUUUCGUCGCGCAUCUAGUUCUGCGCGACGACAGAGAUGUUCGUCGCGCAAAGAUAUGAACGACGAAAACAUUCUCAUCGCGUGAAUGGUUCUGCGACGAACAUAUACGUCUCCCGAACAAGUUUUGCGCGACGAAUUAAAUUUCGUCGCGUUAUUCCUGUCGUCGCGCAAAUAUACGUGCGCCGAAUACUUGGUCGUCGCGCAAAGAUUUAUGCGACGAACAGUUGUUCCGUCUCCACACCGUUGGUGCAACGAUGGUUUACCCGUCGCACUGUUUUGCGCGACGAAGGGUUAUACCUCGUCGCGCAAAGGCUUUCUUCACGAUCUUCGCGCGACGGAAUGUGCGCGACGAAUGUUUUGUCGCGCUGAAAUUAGUGCGACUAAAUAAGACUUUGCGCGACAUUUUGUUAUUUGUCGCGCAAAGAGUAAAAUGUAGUAGUGAUAUUAGCUUCUCCGUACAUGCUUCCGCGCUGGUAAACUGCUUUUUUUAAAAAUAAAAAAAAAUUAUUUAUUUUAGAAUUAAAAAAUAUAAUGGGUAUUUGUGUUCCAUAAAAAUAGGAUCCAUUAUCUGAUUUUUCUUUUAAUUUCAAUUUUUUUAUAUGAAAAAGUAUGAAUUUACCAUAUUAUCCUCAUUUAAUUAAUAAUUUCAAUUCAUAAUGGUUAGAUUAACCAAUGGUAUUUUCUGGUAUUUUGAAUGUUUCAUCAUUCUCUGUCUUUUGCUUUAACAUAUAUAUAUACUAGCCUCUCUGCACGCGCUUCCGCGCAUGCAAGAGGUUUUUUUAAAAAAAAAUUUAAAUUUAUUUUAGAAUUAAAAAAGAUAAUGGAUAUUUGUGUUCCAUAAAAAUAGGAUCCUUUAUCUGAAUUUUCUUUUAAUUUUAAUUUUUUUAAUACGAAAAAUUGUGAAUUUACCAUAUUAUCCUCAUUUAAUUAAUAAUUUCAAUUCUUAAUGUUUGUAUUAACCAAGGGCAUUUUUUGGUAUUUUCAAUGUUUCACCAUUCUCUGCCUUUUGCUUUAUAUAUAUAGAUAUAUAUUAUUUGAUAAAAAAUAGUGUGAGUGUAGGCCAUGGCCUAUACUAGUCCUAUGCUGGGGAGAAGUUGAUGUAGACAUAGACAAUAGGUCAGAACUGCCUAGCCAAUAUUGUUUUUGGAGAAAUUUGGGUUGGGCACGUAGAAAUGCCGCUGCAACUCAGGCAUCUUCUAAUGUGAGUAUUGCUUCCACUAUUGGGGAAGUGCCAAUGCCAGUUGAGAUAGUUGACAUGCAGCCACCCCAAGUUUCACUCUUGUAGAUGCGAUAUUGAUUCAAACCAUCGUAGAUUAUGGGGAUCCAACCCACAUUACUCACAUAGUGUUCAGCUGGUCGAUUCUCAAUAUGCACCUGCACAAGAAGAUAUUGUUUUUGAAAUCGUAAAUGCUUCCGCGUCAAUGAUUUGAAUAAUUCAGAAAUAUUUCUGGAAGUAGCAAACUAUGUGUACUACAUUUACUCCACUGAGAAAAUUUGAACCAAAAAUAACAUACCGAGUUUUUACCGGAAACCCUAUAGCAUCCAUCCGCGGUCCUCGCCAUCCUUGGUCUUGCCGUUGUACACAACGUUGCCGACAGAUCCUUCAAACUUUCCAACGCCUUGGACAUGCAGAAAGGCACCCCACUGCCCAUUUGCGAUGAGUGCUAGGUAGGGGGAGUGUCCAAUGUGCCCACACCAAUCCUUACUUUUAAAGGCAAUCAUUUACUGCGUACAAUUCAAUUCUCUUGUUCAAACCAACCAGUUGCAUUGUAAACAAGGCAAAGUGUGGGCACAUUGGACACUGCGUACAACAUCUUCUGCAAGUGUUAUGGAAUUCCAUCACCUCUGCGUACAAAGUGUGGAGAUUCCAUCACUAUGUUACGGUGUACCCAGUUGCAUUGUACGCCAUCUCUCUACUGAUUUUUUUAUAAUUCAAUUCUUGUUGGUUUUAAUAAACCCAGAACACUUUCAAGAAUGAAAACUCACUUAAGAUUUUGAACUGUUCUUCACCUAAAUUUCUAAGGAAGGUUAUAGUUUUAAAGGGAAAGACAGAAAACAAAUAACAACAACUCUCCCACGAUCACAUACAGAUUUUGUGGAGAGUUUUCAUCCCUAAGCAACGGAAGCAAACUAAAUCGUGGUGAACAUCCUCAUCCACGACUCCUACAAAACUAGACUUGUGCUUGACUAGGUCUCUACAUAAUUAGUCAGCAUUAUUUAUUUGAAAAACUUAAUUAAAACUUAACUAAAACUCUUAACAUCUUCCCUUAAACUGAUUUCUACUGAAAACAGUUUAGGAUUUAGACACCAUCACGAAAAUCUUCAUCAGCUUCUUCGACCAUCACAUAUUCUGCCAGGUUUUCAGCCCACUCCUUCUCAAGUUGUUUGAGUGAAUGCACUCCAAGUAGCUUCCUCAAUUUUUCGAAAGGGGGCUACUUGAGUGACUUUGUGAGUAUAUCAGCCAAUUGAUUUCCACUCUUGCAAUACUUGAGCUCAACUACACCAUCAUUCCACAGAUUUCGCAAAAAAUGAAAGCGAACAUCAAUGUGCUUACUUCUUCCAUGCAUUAUAGGAUUUCUUGAUAACUUUAUAGUAGAAAUGUUAUCACAGAAAAUGAUUGUUGAACCUUCUUGCUUAUCACCAAGUGCUUCCAGCAUCCUUCUCAGCCAAAUAGCUUGACAUGCACAUGAGGCAGCUGCCACAAACUCAGCCUCAGUAGUGGAUAGGGUCACAAUUUGUUGCUUCUUUGAGGACCAUGUAAUUGCUCCAAAAUUUAGCAUGAAAACAUGUCCUGAAGUACUCUUCCUAUCAUCGAUGCCCCCAGCGUAGUCACUGUUAGUGAAGCCAACAAAAGCUGAAUCUUCUUGACUUUUGUAGAACACUCCAUAGUCAAUUGUUCCUUUUACAUAUCUCAGAAUUCUUUUUGCUGCAUUCAAAUGCAUUUCAGUUUGUCUUUUCAUGUAGCUGCUGAUGACACUCACACCAUACAUUAAAUCAGGCCGUGUGAAAGUCAAAUACAUAAGACUUCCCACGAGUUUCUUAUAGAAUGAACUAUCCACUGCUACUCCAUUGAUAUCUUUACAUAACUUCAGUCCAGGCUCUAAUGGUGUUCCAAUCUCUUUGCAAUCAACCAUUUUAACUUCUCAAGGAUUUCCUGUGCAUAUUUCUUCUAACAAAUAAAAUUCCCAGCAGCCUUUUGAAUGACUUCAACUCCCAGAAAAUAACUCAUCAACCUGAGAUCAGUCAUCUCAAAUUCCUCCAUCAUAGAUUUCUUGAACUCUUUCAUCAUCUCAACAUUGUUACCAGUAUAUAUCAAAUCAUCGACAUAUAAGCAAAGAAUUAACAUUUUACCUCCAAUUUCACUCUUGACAUAGAGUGAGUGAUCAUAGGGACAUUUCUGAAAUCCAAGCGUUCCAAAAUGAUUAUCAAUUCGACUGUACCAAGCACGAGGUGCUUGUUUCAGUCCAUAAAAUGUCUUCUUCAAUUUAUACACUUUUUCUUCUUCUCCUUUCUUUUCAUAACCUUAUGGUUGAUCGACAUACACUUCCUCAUGUAGUUCUCCAUGCAAGAGCCCUGACUUUACAUCCAAUUGAUAAAUCAACCAUGAAUUUAAAGCUGCAAGUGAGAUUACCAACCUUGUGGAGUCUUGUUUAGCCACGGGAGCAAACACUUACUUGUAAUCAAUGUCAUACUUCUGCUUGUAUCCCUUUGCCACCAAACGAGCCUUGUGCUUGUCUAUUUCUCCUUUCUCAUUGACUUUGGUUCUGAAGACCCAUUUGACCCCAAUAGUCUUGUGUCCCUUAGUCAAACUUGUCAGCUCCCAUGUAUUGUUCUUUUCAAUAGACCUUAUUUCACUUUCCAUGGCAUCUUUCCACUUCACCUUCUUUGAAGCUUCUUCAAAAGUGAUUGGAUCACUGUCUACAAAUAGUGCAAAAUGAGCAUUGUCAUCAUCUGAGCUAGUGUAGCUUGUUUCGUAAUCCAUCAUCCAAGCUGGCCUCUUUCUUGAACAUUCACCCCUUAGAUUGUAUCUGUCUUCUUCAACCUGCUAUGGUACUUCUUCAAUUUGAGGUGAGAUUUGAGUCGCGGUGUUUUCACCAUCAAAGACAUCAUCAACUUGUAUCUGUUGCAUGGUUGUUUUGUUUGUAGACCAACUCCAUCUUGCAUUCUCAUCAAACACCACAUCUCGACUAAUAAUGAUCUUCCCAGUUUCAGGAUUGUAUAACCUGUAAGCUUUGGACACAUCACUAACACCAAGAAACACACAUUUUUCACUCUUGUUGUCUAGUUUCUUCAUUCUCUCAUCUGGAAUAUGUGCAUAUGCUAUGCACCCAAACACUUUGAAAUGCUCUACAGAAAGCUUUCUUCCAUUCCAAGCUUCUUGGGGUGUCAUAUUUUUAACAGAAAAUGUGGGACUUCUGUUAAGAACAUGAACUGCCCAAAUAACUGCUACAGGCCAGAACUGCUUUUGAACUUUUCACUUUGCUAAAAGGGUUCGAACCAUGUUGAGUAUGGUUCUUUUUUUCCUCUAUGAGACCUCAUUUUGCUGUGGCGUGUAGGCUGCAAUAAGCUACCUCUUUAUUCUAUUUUCAUCACACAAAGCUUCAAAUUCUUUUGAAUAGAACUCUCCUCCACGGUCAAUGCGCAAGCACUUGAUUUUCUUCUCAUAUUCAUUUUCAACAAGAGCCUUGAAGCUCUUGAAUGCAUCACACGCCUCUGACUUCUCAUGUAAGAAAUACACACAUGUUUUUGUACUUAAAUCAUUAAUAAAUGAGAUAAAAUACAUUUUCCCUCUAUUCGAACUUGCAUUAAUUGGUCCACAUAUGUUCGAAUGAACCAAUUCCAAAACUAAGGGAGCCCUUGUUGCUUUCCCACUUGGAAAUGUUUCUAUUGGCUACUUUGCUAUGACACAUUCCUCACAGACCUUAGUUUGGAUUAUGAUUUUAGGCAAACCAGUCACCAUCUUCUUCUCAUAGAGUGUUCUUAGUCCAUUGAAGUGCAAGUGACCAAACCUGUGAUGCCACAACCAUGUUUCAUCAUUUUCCUUUGCAACCAUGCAGGUGUUUACACUCUUAAGCUUCAACGGGAACAGCCUGUUUGGUGACAUCUUCACCAUAGCUAUAGAGCCUCUCUUUGGAUCAUAUAUUUCACAUUCUCCUUGAAAUAUGGUGAUCCUAUACCCCUUAUCUUGAAACUGUCCUGCAGUUAGAAAGUUUGUUUUCAAAUCAGGAAUGAAAAAGACAUUUGAAAUUGUCUCAAUGAAAUUAUUUUUGGUCCUGAUUUGAAUCUCUUCUUUUCCCAUCACAAUCACUAUUGACAUGUCUCCAAAACUUACAUUUGUACGAUAGCUUUCACCCAAAUUAACAAAGGAUGGUUUACACCCACUCAUGUGAUUGCUGCAACUAGUGUCCACAUACCAAGUUUCCUGGUCAAAAUUCUCCAUGACAUGAAACGCCAUCAGCAGUGUUUCUUCCUCCUUUUUCUCAAUGAAAUUUGACUUCUCUCCCUUCUCCUUAGGAAGCUUGGUGUAGCACUCAUUUUUGUAGUACCCAUAGUUACCACAUCUGUAACAUUCAACUUGUGAUUUGUCAAACUGCUCUUUGCCUUUGCCUUGAGGAUCAUCAUCUUUCUUGGAAACAUAAGAUGAUUUGCUAUCAUCUCUAUUUCCAAACCGUCCACCAUCUUGAUUUCCUCGACCUCCUCUUCCACGACCACGUCCACCCCUUCCACGUCCUCUUCCUCCUCUUGAACUUAAAGAUUCAAUGAAGGUGGAAGCCUUCAAAGCUUGCUCAUGGGAGCCUCCACGGUUGAGCUUCUGCUCAUGAACUAGCAGGGAGCUUUGUAGCUUAUCAAUUGACAUAUUCUCUAUGUCAUUUGACUCCUCAAUGGAGCAGACCAUGUAGCCAAACUUAGGAGCCAUUAAUCUCAAGAUUUUCUCCACGACUUCAUUGUCUUUAAUCUUGUGAUCAUGGAUUCUCAUCUUGUUAGCCAUUGACAUAGCUUUUCCAAUAUACUCAUUCACAGAGUCUCUAUUCUUCAUUUGAAGAGUUUCAAAGUCUCUUCUUAUGGCUUAAAGCUGUGCUCGCUUCACCUUUCUUGAUCCUUGGUACUUCUUCUUCAUUGACUCCCAUAUUUGAUGGGAGGUAUCCUUCUCGAGAAUGGUUUCGAGAAUGGAUCUAUCAAUUGCCUGGAAUAGGUAAUUCUUUACCUUUAAAUCUUUUAGUUUAUGUUCAUCGACCUUCUUUUGUUGUGCCGCUGUCAAAAUACCUUCAGGUAUCUCAAUUCCCAUUUCCACAAGGUCAAAGUACUCUUUGGACCUCAGGAAAUUUUCCAUCAACAUACUCCAAUGGUUGUAAUGACCAUCGAACUUGGGAAUGGCUGGCUGCACAAAGCUUUCAAUUGACUUCUCACUUGACAUUGUUUCUUGUUGAGAUCACUUAAACUGGCUCGUAUACCAAAUGUUGGUUUUAAUAAACCCAGAACACUUUCAAGAAUGAAAACUCACUUAAGAUAUUGAACUGGUCUUCACCUUAAUUUCUAAGGAAGGUUACAGUUUUAAAAGGAAAGACAGAAAACAAAUAACAACAACUCUCCCACGAUCACAUACAGAUUUUGUGGAGAGUUUUCAUCCCUAAGAAACGGAAGCAAACUAAAUCGUGCUGAACAUCCUCAUCCACGACUCCUACAAAACUAUGACUUGUGCUUGACUAGGUCUCUACAUAAUUAGUCAGCAUUAUUUAAUUGAAAAACUUAAUUAAAACUUAACUGAAAGUCUUAACAAUUCUCUCUCUUGAACACUCUAAAUCUAAGCUAGCUACAGAUUGGAUGAAUAUGUACAAGAAGAAAUCCAAACAAAUCGUGGGCGGGGAAAUGAUAUGCUGCGGUGGAUUUACCGUCUCUCAUAUCCAACGGCCCUCGUAAUCGUCAACCAAAGGUCUCUCAUAUAUAAUUUUAUAUGCAUAUUAAUUGGUGUUAGAGUUUCAAGAGAAAUCCCACGUUGGGAAAUAAAGAUAUUUACUAUUCUUUAUUAUGUAUUGAUGCUUCACACAUAAGCCUAGCAAGGCUCUUCCAAAGUUUUUGGUUGUUGUGGAAGUUGUUUUGUUUUAGUAAUUAUUUUCUGAGAGGUUAAAUUUGAAUGGCUUAUUUAUGGAUAUGUCCCAUGCCUCACGUUAGCUAUUCCGUCAAAUUUGAGAGAAGUUCCGUUAGCUGAUGUGGCACCCACUUCUUUUCAAUCCUCUUCACAAGGGAGAGGAAGGGUUAGUUAGGUUGAGAAAAUAGGGAAUUUGGGAGAAGAAUGUUAGGUUGAGGGAAUUUCAUAUUUGGGAAUUUAGAGGUUCAUAUUUGGGAGAAAAUGGGGAAUUUGAUUAGGGGAUUUCAUAUUUGGGAGAAGAAGGAUGGUUUGAAUGUUGUGGGGAUCUCCCAAAUCUGAAAUCCCCAAAUCAUAUCCUCCCUUUUCUCCCAAAUCUGAACCUCCAGAUUCCCAAAUCUGAAAUUCCCUUAACCUAACAUUCUUCUCUCAUAUUCCCCCUUUUUUCAACCUGACUAACCCUUCCUCUCCCUUGUUAAGAGAUUGAAAAGAAGUAGGGGGCACAUCAGUUAACGAAACUUCUCUCAAAUCUAAUGUAAUAGCUAACGUGAGACACUUAUUGAAAGUAUAGGUGGUAUAUUGAGACAUUUCAAAGAACAGGUGGUAAGCUGAGACUAUUUCGAAAGAACAGGGGGCAUAUCCAUAAUAAGUCAAUUUGAAUUUGAGUUUUUCUUGGAAUUGUGUUCAUAUGCUCUUUCAAUGGAGUGGAUAUGAAUAAUCAUAUUCAAUGAAACCUUAUGAAUUUUAUUCGUUGCGUUUCUCAUUAUUUUGAUGAAAUGCUAAAACUCAAGAAUGUUAAGGAUAUUCAUGUAGUUAUCUUGUCUUUAUAUUUCUUCAACAAAUUCUUUUAUAUGUCUGAGUCUUUCUUUAAUUAUGCAUCUUAUUCAAAGCGCGGCAUACAUAAACAAUUUAACUUUAUAAUAUCAUCCAAAUUCCUAAGAUGACUUUAGGAGAAGGCAUGUCACUAGACCUAUUUGUAAAAUACAAGGCCUGAAUAAGACAUAAAAUUAAAGGGGAAACUCAGUCGAGGCAUCACACCUCUCUCAAGGCAUAGCUUUGUGGCCUUAGUGAAGAAAAUGGUUAAUCGUUUUAUUAGUCCCUAAAUUUUGAUCCGAUUUGCAUUUGAGUACCUCAAUUUUCAAAAUGGUUCCCGUGGUCUUUUAACUUUAGUUUCGUUUGGACAAAUAGUCCUACCGUCAAUUUUGUUAACUUUUUAUGUUAAAUGCAGGGGCAAAAUGGUAUUUUUAUAUUUUAAAAAAUAAAUAAAUAAAAAAUCAUAUCUUUAAAAUAACAUUAAAAGAAAAUCAAAUAAAAAACCAACCAAAAAAAAAAGUUCAAGGGGAGUAGAAAUCGGGAUAGAGGGGGAGAGAGAGUUUAUUUUUAAUUUUUAAUUUUUUUAAAUUUUUAUUCAUAUUUUAAUCAAUUUUUAUACAAAAUUACUAUUUUGCCCCUACACUUAACAAAAAAGUUAACAAAAUUGGCGACAGGAUCACUUGUUCUAACGAAACUAAAGUUAAAGGACCAUGAGAACCAUUUUUAAAAUUGAGAUACUCAAAUGCAAAUCGAGUCUAAAUUUAAGGACUAAUAAAACGGUUAACCCGUGAAGAAAAUAUCAAUCCAAAUGUCACGAAUGCACUGGAAUCUCCAUGGAAAAGGUGUUAUUUACGCACAUAGGCCUAACCACCUUCCUCUAAUAUUCAUAUAAUAUUCCACAGCCGGUUAGGCCUAACCACAGCUCCCAGCCGUUGGAUCAAUCUUAAAAUGAAAAUCCAAUGGUAAAUUGUCAUAUGCUAUGCACCAACCGAAGAAAAAUCGGAAACUACAGUAUUCCCCGCUUUUUUUUCUUUUGGUACAUUUUAGUCCCCGCUUUUCCUUCACGGCUAGGCUGGUCAGUGGUCACCUAUCCCAAAGCCUAGCCAAGCAGCCGUCUUCAAAAGCUUUUGUCGGGUUUUGGGUCUCUCAGUCGAGAUCGAACCCAAUGAGGAGACAAAAUGGUUCGUCGUUGGAGUUCAUAGCAAUGAAAUUCAAAAUGCAUUGAAAUCUCAGGUUUUUUCUUUUUCUUUCUCCUUCAUUUCUCUUGAAUUCAGUUUUCGCUGAAUCGAAUUCCUGGUUGUUCUCUGAAGUUUCAACUCCAUGGAAGCACAGACCACUCCGAAACUGAAAAAACCUCCAAAACCCCGCAAGCCCAUUAGAGAGCUGUGGUGGUUUUUCGCCGCAGCCGCCUGCGUAAAGCUGCUUCUGAUCCCAGCCUACAAAAGCACAGACUUUGAGGUCCAUCGCCACUGGCUUGCUAUAACCCACUCUCUGCCUCUCUCCCAAUGGUACUUUGACGAGACCAGCCCUUGGACCCUUGACUACCCUCCAUUCUUUGCCUACUUUGAGCGCCUCCUAUCUAUUUUUGCCAAUCUCAUUGACCCACAAAUUGUUCACCUCCAAAAGGGCUUGAAUUACAGCUCAAACACAGUGCUUUAUUUCCAAAGAAUCUCUGUUAUCUUCUCGGAUUUGUGUCUUUUGCAUGGGGUUUAUAGAUUGACUAGGAAGUUGGAUUCAACGAGGCAAAAACUGAUCUGGGUACUGGUGGUUUGGUCUCCAAUGCUUGUGAUUGUGGACCAUUUGCAUUUUCAGUACAAUGGAUUUUUACUUGGGAUUUUGUUGAUUUCGCUUUCUUAUUUGGAGGAAGGGAGGGACUUGAUGGGUGGACUAGUUUUUGCUGUGUUGCUUUGCUUCAAGCAUUUGUUUGCUGUGGCGGCACCAGUUUAUUUUGUCUACUUGUUGAGGCAUUAUUGCUGGAAAGGAUUUGUGAGAGGUUUCUGGCGGCUUUUCAUUUUGGGAGCUAUUGUUGUGGCUGUUUUUGCAGUGGCUUAUGGACCCUUUGUCUAUCAUGGGCAGGUAAUCUCUCUGGCUUUGACAAUUUGUCUUUUAGAUGGUUAUUGGGCAUCAUCUUCGUAUUACUCUUAUCUGUUUUUAUUAAGAAACCUCAGAGCAUAUUAACCUUUGCAUGUGUGAAUACUCACCAAGCAAUGAAUGACUGGGGAUUUUUCCUCUGCAAAUGGGAUUUUUAUGAGAGCUGAAUAUAUGUUAUACUAUGGAAAGAAAUAGUGAGCGAGUUCUAUGUAUUCUGUUUUGUGUUGAGACCAUCUGGCUUCCUCCUGUCAUGUUGAUUAAUCAAUAUUUUCGUAUUAGCAUCGGAAAUCCACUAAGUUUCAUCUGUUGUCCAAUUAACACAAGUAAAAACAGAGAUUUCAUGCAAAGGACCACUAGUGUAGUGGUUUGGAACAAUUGCUCCCCUAGGCAAUGUCCUAGGUUCGGGUCCUAACAUCCGAUAGGAAAGGUCCUCCAAAAAAAAAAAAAACAGAGAUUUCAUUGAAAGAUUACCGACAGGCGGUGAAUAGGAUUAAUGUUAGAAUUUUUUCACAUUAUUUCUGAAAGAGCAAAAUGAAUUCUUUCUGCUGUCAGAAAUGCCGACAGAUCAAAUUUUUGAAGUAGAGCAGCCCAAAAAAUUGUUUAACUGAAGCAGCUAUGUGAGAUUUGGCAAGAUAGAAUAUUAGAAAUUGAAUACUCGUGCCCAUGGUUCUCAUUAAAUAAUCAACCAUGAUACAAUGGUCCUUUGGUAUAGGUUCAAAUCCUAUUGGACUCAAUUUGGAUAUCAUGAGCCAUCUCUGUGUGUCCUAGAAGUUAGUUUCAUUGAUUAGGUUGAUAAACUGAAACCUUCAUUAUGGAAUCAGUGCUCACAGCAAAGUAACAAUCAAAUAAGGCUACACUAGCUUUCUAUCUUUUUCUCCUUAAAAGUUGGUUUGAGUGAUUUAGUUAGACCUUUAGGAGCAUGAAAUUUAUGUUGGGGCAAAGACUUCUGUUGUGAUCGGUUCUGUAUUUUCUUUUUUUCGAAUCAAGCAAAAUAUAGCAUAUCGAUUACAAUUCUGUCAUAUAUUCUUUCAGAGCUUGCGACUGAAUAUUGUUCACUAGCAAAAGUUAACAUUGUACAUUUUAGAUCAUAAGGAUUUACAGUUUAAUUUGGGUUGUGUGAAUGGAGAAGAAUGGGAGGUGUUUUAAGGGAGAAAGGGGUGAGGAGGUGGAAUACUUGUGCUAUACCUAUAGGGUUCAUUUUUGGGCAUCCCUUGGGUAGUUCUUUUCUAGCUGUUUUUUUAUGACUGAAGUGCUGCUUUGCUUUAGCUUAUUUUUUAUACUGUUGUAGUGGAAUAAUUGUGAUCAGUAAUGUUAUUAGUUGUAGAUCUCCGUGUUGCAACUUUUGUCUUUCUACAGCAGUAACGGUCUUCUCAAAUACUACACCAUUUGAAACUAAUACAGUUUGCAACAUUAGCCUAUUAACUGUGUAUAUCCUUCUCUUGACAUUUCAUAUUGAUGAUUUUGAUUCUAUAGGACGGAAUGCCUUUUAAAUUUCCCCUAUUUUCUUCUGUUACCCUUUAAUGUACGCUAUGAAUUAAACGUAGUUAGGGAGAGGGCUGAAAAUUGACACUCCUUCCAUGAAAAUGUUGAUGAAAAGAUUAACUGUGGCAACACUGAUAUUCCACCCACUUUACAGUAACUCAUGCUUAACAAAAUGAAGUGAGGGAUUAAGCUUCGUCAAGAUGGUUGGUUAUGCACUAAUGUUGGUUCCUGGUCUUUCUAUACUCAUGGCGCUUGUAACAAUUUGAAUGCAUCUUCAACGAGUCAUUUAAAUUUCUUCUUACUGAUCAACCGAUGAAGCCAUCACGGUUUAUUCAUGCAUAGUGUAUUAAUUGUUCAAAAUUACCUUGCAGAUGCAACAAGUCAUCCACCGCAUGUUUCCUUUUGGAAGGGGACUUUGUCAUGCAUAUUGGGCACCAAAUUUUUGGGUGUUCUAUAUCAUACUAGAUAAAGUGCUUGCUUUCUUGCUGGGAAGACUUGGAUUCAAGAUUCAGGCACCAGCAGCUUCAUUCACUGGUGGGAUAGUUGGGGAUUUGUCUCCUUUUGCUGUACUACCUCAGGUAAUUAUCAAUGGUAAACUGGAAGGAGGUGGAAUAUAAUAGGAUAACAAUAACUUUCUAAAUAGCCUAAUUCCUUAAUCUGUCAAAACAAAUUACGAAGAAAAAAAAGCUCCUAAAUUGGAUGGUAGUGCUUGUUGAUGGUUCACUCGUCAGCCUUGGUUCAACUUCACAUAAUUAUAACUAGGUGGUAAUUUUAGGCUGUGCUGGUUACAGCCUUCUUCUCUAAACCUUUUGUCGAAGAACUACCAAAGUAAUUCAAUAAUUAAAAACUUUCCAUUGCCCAGUUUAAUUCCUUCGCACUAUUUUGUGGUGGUCCAGCAAUCACACUGAGUCCAUGUGCCAUUAUUUUUUCCUAAGCUUAAACGUCUGACUGAGCAGAAUGAAGAAAGCUCAUUUCCCUCUGUACUAUGUUGAGUCCUGCUGAUUGAUGAGGUGGUGUUUUCCAUUUAUUUUACACAGGACUAGGUUGUUUUACUUAAUAAAUAAAGUGUUUUUUAUUUUUCAUCUUCUUAAUGUUUGUGGGACCUGAGUUUUUGUACUUGAAUUUAUGAAAUGGUAGAUCACCCCUGUCACAACCUUUAUCCUGGUUCUGCUUGCAUUAUCUCCCUGUCUCAUCAAGGCUUGGAGGCAUCCACGGCCGGUGAGGAUUACGAGAUGGGUAGCCUAUGCUUACACUUGUGGGUUUCUUUUUGGGUGGCAUGUUCAUGAGAAAGCAGCACUCCACUUUGUCAUCCCACUUGCUAUUGUCGCAGUACAGAGUUUGGAUGAUGCGAGGCAUUACUUCUUGUUAUCAACUGGUAUGCUUUCAUUUCUUCGCAUAGAAACUAGGGGGUUACUUUAAGAGCAUUCAAACAUAAAUCUUGAUAUGUGGGUUAUUUUUUUAAUCUUGAUAGGGGGUUUCUUAGCUUCCUAUUUGUCCAUUAAUGUACUCUAUCCUUCUAUGCCAUGUUUGCUAUGCAGUGUCCUGCUACUCGCUGUUCCCACUUCUAUUUGAAGCCCAGGAGUAUCCAAUAAAGGUGUUGUUGCUGUUACUGCACUCCAUGCUUAUGUGGUUAGGUUUCUCUGCGCAAUUUGCUAAACGUAUAUCACUUGAACUGGCAAAAUCUGAAAAGAAAAAAGAUAAAGAAGAAGGGUUUGUUAUUGGGUGGGUUGGCUGGAGUUAUCUGGUUGGUAUUUUGCUUGUUGAAAUUUCGGGUCAGUUUCUGCAUCCCAUCAUUCUUGGUGAUAAGCUUCCUUUUAUACCCCUUAUGCUGAGCUCCACAUACUGUGCACUAGGAACCAUGUACUCUUUCAUUUGGCAAUUAAAAUGGAUCCUUGAUUCAUGAUUGUUCAGGUUUUGACUAAAUCUUAUUUAUAGAAUUGUGAAGUGAAUUUUAGAUGGGUUUUAACUUCAUAUCCUAUUUUCUGUAGUAUUAGUUUCUGUUGACAUUUUCACACGAUAGAGCAAGACCUUGAGAUAUUGGGCACUGGAUCCUAUUCGACUUGCUCAAAUUUCAUUGCUUCUACCAAGACACACGUCAUUCACUCAUGACCAGAAAAUGCAACAUGAAUUGUAUACUGAUCUUUUGGCCACUUACACUUCCUUGUAUAUUAUAGUAAAAAGUAUUAAAAGAUAAAAGGGAGUGUAAGUAGAAAAAAAAUGGGAGUGGGAAAAUUAGCACCCUUUAUUUAACCGAAAGUUUCAUUGUCAAGAGUCUAAUGAACAAUAGAUCUUUCACCUAGAAUUGAUACUUUUUGUAAUCACUUGAUAAGGCCAUCUCAAGUCAUGGGCCAUAGGUCAAAUGUAGCCCUAAAAUAAUGCAAAACUCAUCUCUAGCAAUGAGCUCUAAAAAAUAAAAAAAAAAUGGUCAAAUUUGGAGGACCACAUUUAGCUUUUUAGGCCAUCUCCAGCCAUGAGCCAAACAAAAUUUUGGCCAAAUUUGGAGGGCCACAUUUAGCCCUUUAGCCCUCCAACCGAGCCACAUUUAGCCCAGUUUUGGUGUAGGCCAAAUUUUUUGUGGGUCCCAUGCAUGUACUUUUGAAGAAGAUAAAUUAUCAAGUGUGGGCAAGAGCACAAAUCUCGUGCAAAUGCAUAUCCAACAACCAACAACAAAAGCGUUGACCUCAUCAAUAUAUUUUUAAAAGCCUUUUUAAAUGUUUUUAAUUCGUGUUGUCUAAGAAAAAUUUAUAAAAAAUUAUGGGUCAUGAACAUUGGAGAUCAGACUAUUGAAACCCUACCAUUUUUUUUAUUUUUAAAUGUGGUCAACUUUUUAAAUAUUUUUAAUUUGUAAAAAAAUUAUAAAAAAUUACUAGUCAUGACCGUUGGAGGUCAGACCAUUGAAACCCAUCCUUUUAAAAAAUAAAUAAAUAAAUGUGGUCACCUUUUUAAAUGUUUCCAAGUGUUGUUUAUAAAAAAUUAUUGGUCAUGAAAUAUUGUCUCUAAAUAGUAGCUUAAUUAAAUUAAACAAUACAUAGUUGUGGAAUGCAUGAGUAUUGUACCAUAUUUUUUCUCAAAAUAAUAAAAUAUGAAGGACCCUAAAAUAUAGCCAUGCAUGGCUGAAGAUGGAAAAAUUUAGUCCUACACUAUUCUUUAAAAAAUUAAUAUUUUGGAGGGCUAAAUAUUUAGCCCUGGACUACAUUUAGUCAAAUGAUUGAAAAUGGCCUUAGCCCUCCAACUAGGUCACUUGUGGCCCAGCUAUAGCCCAUGCCAAAUUUUUGUGUGGGCUCAGUGCAUGUGUUUUUCAAUAAGAGAGAGAAUCAUGUGUGGGCGUGAGCAUAGAACAUCUUAUGCAACUGUAGAUCCAAAGGCUGAUAUGAAAGCAGCACUGAUGUCAGCUAGCCGUUACAUUUUUUUACUUUUAACCUUUUAAAUGUAUUUAAAUUCAUGUCACUCAAAAUAAUAAACAAUACAAUAAUAAAUAUAUUUAAAUAGUAGUUUAAUUAAAUUAAACAAUACAUAGUAGUGGAUUGUAUGAAUGUUGUACUAUAGUUUUUCUCAAAAUAAUAAAAUAUAGAGGGCCCUAAAAUAUAGCCAUGCAUGAGUGGAGAUGGUCUAAGGAGAAUUUGAAGUUAAACCAUACUAAUAUUGUAAAAAGAAAUACCACUAAUGAAAAAUGGGUUGGUUGCAAUAGGUACACUAAGUCCUAUCUAGAGUUCCACAUAUCUUUUUUUUUUUUUUUUUUUUUACUUAAUAGAUGUGGCUUAGUAGGAAAAAAUAAAAAAGAAAAAAAAAAGGGUAAUUUAUUUUUGGGUAUCCUUAUUUGUUUUAUUGCUAAAGUUUUGGUAGAAUUUGUAACAUAAAUAUAAGAUUGGCCCCAAAAUAUAAAACCCAGGCAACCAAUGAGAGAUGAGUAAACUAGCUAGUUUUGAGAUAUCUUUUGGGAAGUUCCAACGUCAUUCAUAUGUUAUUUUAGCUAAUUUUGGCUUUAUGACCUACUCAACAGCCAACAGUUGAAGGCUUUACUCAGGUAUCUUAUUUUACCAAGAGGAAAAAAAAAAUACUUAUGUCAAAAUAAUGUCGAAUCAAUCAAUAGAUAUGUGGACGGCCGGUAUGAAGCAGCUUGUGCUAUAUGUAGCUCUUUUUAGGUUUCCUAUUUUACCAAGAGAAAAGAACAAAAUGACUAAGAGUGCUCCUAAAACUGUUUAUUACUUCCUUACCAUCUUCUUCUUCAUCAUCAUCCUUGGUAAUUCUUUUCUUACGUUGAUGAUUUAAGGAGAGGAUGGUGUAUUUACUAAUUUUAAUUUGUUUCCAAGGUGUUACGUCACGUGUAGACUUGUUUAUGCUAUAAGUUCUCCUAAUUAGGUUCUCUUGUUUAAUUUAAAGAAAAGGAAAGGCAUUACUAUAAUUAAGACUCCUUUGUUGUUUGUAUAAAUUAUCAUACAUUUGUGCAAAUGCAUUGUGCAUGCAUUUUACGUAAUUGUGUUGGGAGACCAUUUCAAUCAAAAACCCUUGCUCUAUUUAACUCAUUUGAGUACAUGUUUGAGGGCCAAACAUGUACUCAAAUGGUAUUCACAAAGAAAGAGUGCCCAAAGACAGGUGAUCUUAAUUGCCGAAAGCGAAUGUGUGUAGCAUAUUGCAAAGCUACACUUGCGCAAGCUUACGCUGGAAACUGUACGGAAGAAUAUGAGGAAUCCUUUUUUUGUCAUUGCUAACUCCCUUGUAUGUCACGAUAAUUUAGACACCUAUUGCAAAGACGUGGAGCUUGCAUUGCACUCCAUGGAAUGUGUGUGCAAGUAACUGGCCCCUCAUCUUGUUUCUGUUUCUACACAUGUUCGUCAUAACAAGUUGAAAAGCACACCAACACUCUUUUUUUUUUUUUUUUUGGUAUUCUGUAUGCUUUCUAAGAAGGGCAAAUAUAGGGUUUUAAUUCUUAUAAUUAUGAGCCCAUCUCGAAUGUCUGGCUAGUGGAUAUAUCAUAUAUGUAUCCUUUGCUUGUCUUGUUUUCAUCGACUUUGGGCUUCUUUUAUAUAUGUCCAAUUUUAUUAAGAUGUAAUGGAUGGAGGAGAUCAAUUUUGACUUCUUAAUAUAUAUAGCAGUCCACCAAGUCAGCCUGUGACCAGAUAAGCAAUACAUUUGUCCUUCCUUUUUAAUAUAUUUGAAUUCAAGUGCCAUUAAGGUUUUGGCAAUCAAUCUUUCGCAGAACCUUACCUAUAUAGUAUAUAGAAAAUUGAUUGCCAGAACGUAGCAUAUUUUCGUCUCUUCUGUUGUCAAAACCCCUUUUUUUCUCUUUUAUUUUUUUGGCAAGCUGGUUUGUAAAGCAGUAGCAGAUUAAAAUGGGGCUAACUCAACUACUAAACUCUUUUUCAUGAACGAGGUCUCUUGUUAGGAGAGUGUCGUAUACAACAAGUCUAGCGAGCUAUGGUUAGGGUUUACCAAAUAUUAGUGGCUCCGACAGCACAAGGGCACUCAUAUCAUGCACGAUACUACACUAUCGAAAAGCGACUUUCUCACUGCAAGACGAUUGAAAGUGCGGGAAGAAGAAGAAUACUAUUUGGUUUAAUAUUGUUGUGUAUUAUUCAUCUCACAAAGAGGGAUAUGGAGUUACAAUCCUAAGCCCACUAUCACAUGGAGUAAUUAGACUAAAAUCUAAUAUUACAAGGAGUUACCUAAAAUAAAAUACAAAAGUCAACACUCCCCCUCAAGUUGGUGUAUAGAUAUCAUUCAUGCUCAACUUGUCUAAGAACUUCGAAAAAACAUGGUCUUCUAUCCUAAUUGCAGUCACUUCAACAAUUUUAUCAUCCAACUUAUCCUUAAUAAAGAACCUAUCAACCUCAACAUGUUUCGUCCUAUCGUGCUGCUCCGAAGUAUGAGCAAUAUCACGGGGCAGCUUGUUUAUCACAAAACAACUUCAUUGGUUGACUAGGUGUAAAACCCAUAUCUUGUAAUAGCAGUAUAAACUAUAGGAUCUCACAAACUUCCAGUGCCAUACCUUUAUAUUUAGCUUCUGCACUUGACCAAGUAACCACAUUAUGCUUCAUAUUCCACCAUGUAACAAGAUUACCUUCCACAAUAGUAAAGUAAUUUGACGCCAAGCAUCUAUCAUCAACUGAUCAUGCCCAAUUUGAAUCUGUAUAUAACCUGUUGAUGCUCAAAAUGGCCCGGUCAAUAUUGAGUCCAACUUAGUGAUUAGGUAUGCGGGGUCUUCAGCAGGGAAGAGAGCUGAGGCCCUUGGUGAAAUAUAGGUUGAUGGAAAACCUGCAGAAGACAAAGUGGGAGAAGCAAUCGUUAAGCUUCGGACACCGAUGUGGUGCCGGCCGAAGGCUCUCCGAUGCCUAAGUCAGUUACAAGUAGUAAUUCUGGCAGAGUAACAGUAAAAGUGGGAGAAUAGUUCUCCUUUGUACCUGGGUACUGUUCCCUAUUUAUAGGGAGGUGAGAGUAGGAGGUUUGCACAAAGUUUCAAUGUGGGACUUUGUGCAAGCCGUUGUGGUGGCGACACGUGUCCUGGAGAUUAGGUUUGGCAGCUGGGAGCUUCGGUAGGUGUCUGGCACCUUGGAAGUGUGUCUUCCUUCGGCACAGGAGAAGGCGUGGCUGCCUUGGUGCUAGUCACUUUGGUGCUGGGUCUGCUCGGUUCAUUAUGGUGUAAACAUAACCUUUAACUCUGAGAUGGGCCAUUCUUUGUAAACAAAAUUAUUCUCCAGAAUCAUAUAUGUACUGGCUAACCACACUGAAGGCAUAGGCAGGAUCAGGCCUCGUGUGAGCCAAAUACAUCAUUCUCUCAACAAGUCUUUGAUAUCGACCUUUAUCAACCGAUAUUUGGGUUGGAUUAAUCUCAAGUUUGAGUUCUUCUUCCAUUGGUGUAGCAAUUGGUUGACAAGUAGACAUGCCAAUUUCAUGCAACAAAUAUAUCCUGUAUUUUCUUUGUAACAGGAAAAUUCCUGAUUUAGAUCUGAUACUUUGAUUCCCAAAAAGUAUUUUAGAGAAUCAAGGUUUUUCAUCUCAAAUUCUCUAAGCAGAUAAUCCUAUAACGUUUUUCUUUCUUUUGGAUCAUUUCUUGUCACCACCAUAUCAUCAACAUACACAAUUGGAGCUACAAGCUUACCCUAGUUCUACUUCAGGAACAAAAUGUGAUCCAAAUUACUUUGCUUGUAACCAAACUCCCUUGUAAAUUUCGCAAACCUACCAAACCAUGCUCGUGGAGACUAUUUCAAACCAUAUAGAGACUUCUUCAAUCUGCACGCUUUUCGACUGUAUUUUUGUAGAACGCCACACCCAGGUGGAAGAUCCAUGUACACUUUUUCUAUCAGGUCUCCAUGCAAGAACACAUUCUUCACAUCAAAUUGUUGUAAGGGUCAUUCCAAAUUUGCAGUUAAGGACAACAAUACUUGAACCGUGUUGAUCUUAGUUACUAGAGCGAAAGUCUUCAUCAAAUCAAUUCCAUAUGUAUGAGUGUACCCUUUUGCUACCAACCUUGCCUUGAAUUGAUCAACAAUACUAUCAGGUCCCCACAGGUUUCUUGCCAGCUGGCAAAUCAACUAUCUCCCAAGUAGCAUUCUUCUUCAAAGACUUUAUCUCUUCGUUCAUCGUUGUUUGCCAUGAGAGUCAACUAAAGCUUCCUUCACACUUUUAGGAAUAGAUACAGUAGAUAUGCAAAUGACUUAUUUGAUUCAAAUAACCGAUAGGUAAACACAUAAUUAUUCAUAGGAUAUUUGACGAUGCACCUUGGGUCGCUCUCAUAAGUGGAUUUCGGGAUACCUCUAUUAAUACAGUUCAGGAGGCAACUUCUGGUUGGUUCGUUGUUGUUGGCAUCAGUGACUGAGGAUGAAUAGUUAUGGGUAUCAGAAGCAGACAAAGGCGGCGAAAAGAAUGACGGUGGCUCUACGGUAGUCGAUGACAUAGGAGGACUGCUAAUCUCGUCUUCAUUUUCGUGUAAAUGCAUUUCACAACUUAUUUCCAAGUUACCACCACUUAAAUCCAAGUCAUUCACGUCCUGCUAGUCCGCUUGUCCUUGAAUACAUAGAAAAAAGGCCAGAAUAACACAAUACAAUUUAAGGCCACAGUAAGUUCAGCGAAGGAUAAAAUGUUAUAGUCCAAUGAAGGAACAAUAAGUACGGUGUCUAACGAAAGGUUAUUAAUAAAGGAUAUGGUGCCUUCCCUAAUAACAGGGGUACAAUUACCAUCUGCAGUAGAUACCAAGGGUUGUGGGGAUGACUUUAUGGUUUGUACAUGUCUAGAAUUAAAAGGCAUAUGCUCUCUUAGCACCAGAAUCAAUUAUCCAUGUAUUAUUCGAAAUAGAUGCAGAAACCUUUAAAGCUUUACCAUUGUUACCUGCAGCAGUGACCAAAACAGACGCUUGUUCGGCUACAUAUUUAGAAUCAUCUUUCGUUUCAGUAACAGAUGCAUGUGACUUGUUGUACCUAGGAUCACGAGUCUUGUCCCACGAUUCAGAUAGCCAAUAAUUUCAUAACAUCGAUUCUUAGAAUGCCCGGUUGACCACAAUGAGGGCAUUUUCAAUCAGCAGUGGGUGAGAGGAGCUGUCAACAUUGUGGUAGAACGAUCAACCCCUCCACCAUAGGCCUGAGGAACCCGAUCUUAGCAGGUUCGGUGGUUGUGGUCUGUCUGGGUUUGAGUGGGACGACGCCCUACCAUGGCUGCAACUUCGAACUGGGUGACCUCGGUUUACAUGGCUUCCCUUCUGUCAACUUCACAAUGAACAUAAGCAUAGGAUUCUUGGAACCCAAGUACAGGGUCUUUCCGCAAAAUUCCUCCUCUAACUUGAUCAAACUCAACAUCCAAUCCAACUAGCAAGAUAUAAACUCUUAGUCUUUUAAUCGACUUAGCAUGCACCUUGAUAUCACGAUCAAAAGGCAGAACUACCGUAUCACGGUGAUCCAAUUCCUAAAAAAUGGCAAUCAGUUCCCCAAAAUAAUUUGUGAGGGAUUUUCCAUUUUUGUUUGGUAGCAAACGCUUUUUGGUUCAAAGUGAACACUUGAACUUCAUCAGUUCCAUCAAAGAAUGUUGUUGAAAGAGCAUCCCAAAUCUCCUUCACCAUCUUCAGGCGGAUGUAACGCUUCAUAAUUUCUUGCGUCAUGGAGGUCAACAACCAACUCUUGCUUUUCUGAUUUGAUAUACCACUUAUUGUACUGGAUCUAUCUCGACAGGUGCCUUCUCUUUGCCAUGAAUAUACCCCAUUUUUCUCUUGCUGCGAUAUGCAUCUCCAUGAGUUGACUCCACAUAUCGUAGUUCUUCUCAGUGAGAGUAAUUCCGGCAAGAGUGAUUCAGUAGGGAUCCCAAAAAUUGAGUGCUUUAGUAAAACUCCCAAAAAUAGAGUUCUUUAGGAGGGAACAAAAGAGUUAUUCUUAUCGAUUUUGUUAAUCGCAACUAGAUGGUUUCAUGAUCUUCCUCUGUCUAUUGUAGACACUUUAUUUACAAUUGAGGCUUUUCAUUGUAGUGACUCUUUUAUUUUGUAUAAAAUAAAUAAAUAAAUAAAAAGAAAAAUUAGUGUCUUCAUGAUUUAAAUUUUCUAAUUUUUUUGCAAGGAUAAUCUUUGAAUGAAAACUUUAAAACAUAGACGGUUUGGAUCGUUAGAGAAUAAUUUGUAGGGACCCCACGCCAUUGAGAAGUUCAAAUCUCCCCUUUCUUGUUCAUCAAAAGAAAGUAACCCUUCUGAAUGAUCAUAAUGACAAUAUCAUCUCUUUUUUCUUUGGCAAAUAAACAAAUUAAACAUACAUUACAAGUAAAAAAGGAAAAACAUCGUCUUCUUUAAAGUCUCUUUGUACUUCCAUCUUAAAUCUAAAACUACAUUUUUUUAGGUUACCAUAGAAGGAAUUGAACCAUAGCCUAACCUUAACACUAACUAAUGUCCCCACCCAUUCUCACCACUUGGGAUAACCCAGAGCUUUAAAAUACAUCAUUUGAAUUAUCUUACAAUCAUACAAAUAUGUCGUUUGCAUCUGUUUUUGCAUCUAAUUCAAUUAUUUUUAUACUAACACAAUCAUUCUCUUGUCAGUCUAUCAUAUAUAUAUUUUUAAUACAAACGUUAGUCUAAACUACGAUUUUUCACAAAUAUACUACUAAAUAUGCCACUGGGUUAGACCCGAUUGGCCAACCUAUCAUGUCUAAAUUUAUAGAGAAAUUUACUUUCAUCUUUUGACCAAAAUGAGCUCAAUGGGCCCAAUAUGGGUACCUUCCCCAGAUUUACAUGCAAAUGCAAAAGCCCAGUGACUCGGCCCACAAAGGCCUCAACAAAACUAGACUAUUAACCCGUACCCAGUCUCCAUUUCCACAAUCCGAAAACGGCGAAGCCAUUUCCGAAACACCAGCCAAACCCUUCUCUAAACUCACUCGCUCUCUCUCUCUCUCCGACCCUGCGAGACCCGAGCGACCCCUCACUCUGCGACCAUGUUGCGCCGCGCCACAGCCCUCUUGACCCGACCUGUGAUCUCCCUCCGGGCCCGACCCUUCUCCACGGAUGUCUCAGAAAUUCCAGUAGCCGACACGUCGUUUUAUGAUGCUUGGAAGAAAGUGAUCCCAACCUUAGAGCCACCCCACACCCCAUUGACCUUCAUGAAGCCUCGGCCUCCAACUCCAUCUUCGAUCCCUACUAAGCUCACUGUCAACUUUGUGCUGCCUUAUAACUCGGAGCUUGCAGCCAAAGAGGUCAGUUUGUGAAAGAUUUGUUGUGGUUUUGGUGCAAUUUUUUCGUUCUGAUGUUGAAUUUAAGAGUUUUAUGAUAUGGGUUUUGUUUGUUUUUGUGUGGGUUUAUCUGGGUUUGGUGCUAAUCUUGGUUUUGAGGUAGAAUUGGUUAUCCUUAGUUUGAUGUGAUCUCAUUUGGGUAUUUUGUUGUUCGGACUAAGUUUAGAUGGGUUUGGUGCUAAUUAGAGAUCGAUAUCAAUUUGUAAACUUUGAUUUUGUUGUGAACUUAUAUGGCUUUGGUUUUAUUUAAAUGUGAAUUUGAUGGUUAACUGAUAAAUGUAGAAAAUUGGAUUCUGAUAUAGUUUACAACUUGAUCCUUUGUGUAGAUGUCAUUUUAGUAAAUGUACUAAUCAACGAAUUGCAAACUUGUAUUAGGUGUUCAUAUCUUCAAAUUGAUGAAAUUGUACUUACUAAGGAUGCCACAUUUAUAUCCUUGUAACUUUCUUGUAUGAGACUGUUUUGUGUUUCUUAGUGAAGGUCCAUUUUUCAGAACAAGGGUUGUUAACUUCAAGUCAAUGUCAAACUUCCAUCAUGAAUGUUGUGAUUAUGUUCGUUAGCAUAUGAAAUUUUAGUAGAUUGAUUUUCUGCAUUUUUAUGUUUCUGAAUUCGGAUAGAAAAUAUCUGGGAAAUUGCUGUCUAAGUGCUUUUUCCAUACCACUUGUGUAUUUCUUUUAUUACAUUUUCCAGUCUUGGUUAUCCAUGUUUUUCCUUUGAUACCUUUUGGUUACUUGGUGAUUGAGAGAUGUUGGCAGAAAAUGAAUGGAAUUUCAGAUCUGUAGUGUUUGAUGUAAUUGUACCUUAACUGGUUUAGCACCACUGUGUCUUAGUUGACCAUUUCAUAUUCUGCUAACAACAGGAAACACAAGAUUUGGGUUUUCCCCUCUCCUUUCCCGCAAUCUGUGGAAAAACUAGGAACUUUGUUGGUUUUCAUUCAGUUCUGAGCAUCAAUUGCUUGGUUCACAGUAUUCAUUCCAUUACUUGUUGACUGGUGAACAUGAGAAACAGAUGCUGCUUAUUAUCUAAACUAAGAAUCCAACAAUUUCCGUAAAAAUUGCUGCGCAUUCUUAAAUUCCAUUUCCUUUACCUUCAUCAAGCCCUUUUGAACUGUAAACGUGUCCAAUAGCUACCUGCGGGGGAUCAGUGGAAUUGGUCAGUCCCACUGUUUGCUCCCAUGUGGUCAGAGUUUUGAAACCCGCAAAGGUACUUAUCUAGCUAUUUGCUAGUGUUUCCUGUCUCCCGAAGCGGAUUGGGGAAUUUCUGAGUAUUUUUUUAAAAAUGGGUCCAAUAGCUGGAUCCUGGAGCAGAUUUUAUUUUUCUCAACUUAAGACUUGAGUAACAUGGGAGGGUGGUGCAUGGUUGCAUGCCCAUAAAAACUGGUCAGGGUCCAGUUGGCAGUUGAAUUGUUAGUUUUUUCUACCCUAGUUUUCAUACAAGCAUCUAGAUGCCUGCACAUUUUCCGUACUCAGAUCCCUGGAACUAAUCAACUGUAACUUGGUUCUUAUUUUGUAGUUAGUCUCAUAUAUCAGGUUGAUAUGUUCUCUACAUUUUGUUUGAUUGAUGCUCCUUCAAAACAAACAGAAAUCAAACAGAAGAAUGGUAGGGCUAAUUUUUCUUUCCAAAUCAAAGAGAGAUUUUUUGUUUUUUUUUUUACUUUUACCUUUAUGAUUUGUGUUAUACAGUGCUCUUAGGCAUACGCUAUGUGAAGGCAAUUUUCUAGAACUGAAAAUUAGAUUCCAUAUUUGUCCAUUUUUUAUCCUUGAAUCUUGUCAUACCUUAUUUUUUAUUGCUGUGUGAAUCUUUUCAAGAAAACCUAAAUACAGCACUUCAUAGUUUUUCUGCCAAAUAAUGUAGUCUUAUCUGUUCCACUUCAAGCAAAAGAUAGAUUUUCUAGCAAUAAAACCAAAUGAAUUCACUUUCCCUUUUCCACAAAUUAAAGAAAAAAUUUGCUGAUGCAUUUUUAGAUCAAAUGCUCUUCCUUUUAGGGUAUUUCUAUUAUUCUGCUAUUGGUGUUAUCCUCAGUUGGAUUGAAGACUUUGCGUAUUUAGUGUUGGUGUAAGAUAGUCACUGAAUAUCUUCUUUAUAAUCCUCUUCACUGCAUGUCUGACAUUUGGAGUUAAGAUAGUAGUAUGUGAAGGGAUUGUUGAAAUGCCAAUUAUUCAAAAGCUCAUGUAGGAAAUAUGCCAAAAGAAAAUUAUGUAUAUCUUGUCUGACGCACACUGAUAGCUGAAGGGGAUAAAGGCUGUCAUUGAAAUUAUGAAAACCUGUGGGCAACAACCAAUGUUUUCAUUCUGUUCGUUAAAUAGUUGAGAAUCUUGGUAAGGAGUCAAGGAUGCUAGCCCCUCUAUCCCAGUAUCAUGGUUUAGUGAUACAGUACUUGCAUGCAUGAAUUCAAAAUUACAAAAACAUAUACAAAUGCAGCCUACACACACGAAAUUGUUUAGAGAAUUAGAAUUUUCUGCAUUUUGUUCGAUACAAUGUUUCCACUUCUGAAUAUUGUACUGCCGUAUCUUACUUUUUAUGAAUCAUGUCUCAACAGGUUGACAUGGUAAUCAUACCAGCAAGCACUGGGCACAUGGGUGUUCUUCCUGGACAUGUAGCAACAAUUGCAGAGUUGAAACCUGGGGUCCUAUCAGUACACGAAGGAACUGAUGUGACAAAGUAUUUCGUCAGCAGUGGUUUUGCAUUCAUCCAUGCGAACUCUUAUGCAGAUAUAAUUGCUGUAGAGGCUGUCCCUCUUGAUCGUGUCGAUGCAAGUCUUGUCCAGAAGGGGCUUGCAGAGUUCACCCAGAAGCUCAGCUCAGCUUCAACUGACUUGGAGAAAGCUGAAGCUCAGAUUGGAGUUGAUGUGCAUAGUGCCCUCAAUGCCGCCCUCACAGGCUAGUUUUACUAGUCUUUUUACUCUCUUGUUGAUUUAGUCCAUUUGUACCCUCUGUUACAUCUUUAAGGUGCUGCAAUUCGACACUUGGAUCCGUCUUGUGGAGCCAAUAUUUGUGUCAACACUUUUUUCUUGUAGUUCUGUGUUGAAUGUGGAAUUGAUGAAAAAAUAAUACUGGAAUUUGAUGUCAUCCGGUUUACAGAGUUGGUCAAAUACUUAAAAGAAACGAGAGAUUACCAUCCUUGUUUCAUUUCAAAUAACAAAAAGAAACCAAUAGGCAAUUUCUGGUUUGUAUUCUACAAUUUGGCAUAGAAUCAGAUCCUGGCCUUGAAUGGAAAAUGACAUUGAAUCCAUUAUACUUUUUAAAUCCUUUUAUAUCUUCUUCAGGCAUCUAACUUAUAAAGAAUUAGAAUAUAAAAGUUGUAAAAAUAAUAAAUUUGUCAAUGGAUUUGUUGGCAAUUAUGUGUAAAGGGUUUAAACAGUUUUUUUUUAAAAAAAAAAAAUCUAUUUCUGAGAAAUAAACAAACUAAAAAGCAAGAAAAAUAACACACAGGCAUAGCACGACAAGGGACUUUAUUAUCUCAAUUGGAAAUGAAUUGCGUGGUGGGUUGAUAUUCAAUUUGUUGAUGGACGAGUUUCAUAAUCACAUCUCCAAGUUGGUACUUUUUCUUAUGUAUUUAUUUGAUUCGCUUGGAUUUCAAGUUUCAACCAUUUGCUUCAACCAAUUGAAGACAACGAAACCAGAAAUGGACUGAAAGCUAUUCCACAAUUUGAUAGUUUAUUAUUCUUCUCUACAAUGUGAUGACCCACAAGCUGGAAAAGUGUGCGAUGAAACUGACUGAGAAUAUUAUAUUAUUAACAAUGUUGUAUUUGUAUAACCCCAAACUAUAAUGAACAAUGAAAUCACAUUAUCAUAAAUCACAAUAACACCAAAUAAAGAGAAGAAUAAUCUACAUUACAUUAACAUUUUUAAGUCCUAUUUGUUUUCACCAAACAAUUUCAAAGCAAUUUUAAUUAUCAUAAAACGCUUUUAAAUUAUCAAAAACAAAAUUUGUUGAUAAUUCUCUAAUAAGUAUUUUAUGUUAAGUAUUAGUUGCAUAUUUCUAAUCUCAACCGUUGGAUUGCAUGUAUGUUACAUACUAAAUCUACCGACACAUCUAAUAAAUACAAUUCAACAUUCGAAAUUAAAAAUAUAUAACUAAUCCUUAAUUUAAAUACUUAUUAGAGAAUAUCCUCUGAAAGCAGUACCAAACAAUCAAAUUUACAAACUAUUGUUUUCAUUUAAAAAAGAGCAAAAAAAACAAAAAACAGAAAAUCAUUUAGUUUAGACAACUCAUUCAAUAAGCCACUUGGCAUGGUCCUCGUGGAGAGGAAGCAAAAUGGAACGACCAAAUAAUUGGAAUACCUUGGAGCGUGGGACAGUCUCCACCGUCGAUUCCAACCUCGUUCAUCGUGGCCGUUCCAAGAACAUGGAGAAAGCAAGCAAGCAAUCAAUUAUGUCUCUUUUCGCAACCACUUGCCACAUCGAACGUGUCAUAAUUCGAUGGCGCUGCGCUGGUCCUCCCUCCAAGGCCGCACGUGUAACGGGCAGAAAAAGUAACAGCUGCCCGCAGGCCACGGGUAGUGGGUGCGGGCCCGGGAGACAAGGACCUGGGAAGUAGAGCCAGUAUGGUCCUGAGCCAGGUGGGUCCUACGCUUUGAUGGUUUUGUUAUUGUGGGUCCGCCUCCGAGUCAGCUCCACGGUUGGGUCAUAAUUCUUUUAGGGAGAUUUUGGAAAAGCCCAAAGGAGAGAGAAAAUUUUUAAAAGAAGCAAAAAUGGACAAAAUUGCCCUUAUUUAUUUUUUGAUUUCCUAAGAAAUCCUUUACAUUUGCAUGUCUUUGGUUUGAAAGUUGAGAGGUUAUUCUGUCUUUUUUCAAAAAGCUUUGGCUUUUUCCAAAAGUGAAAGUUUUUUUAUGAGUAAAACCUAAAUUUACUAUUCUUUUAUUGGUUUCUUUUGGGCAAUGGGGCCAAGUGUUCGCUAAAAUGCUAGUGGUCCAAGUUGUAGAGAGAUCUUGUAGGUUGACUUCAAUGCCCUUAUGCGUUGCUCAUAUCUACAAAGCUUGCCCUCCAGAGUGGUGUUGCUCUAGCAAUCAGUUGCUGGUGCUGUUGUAAUUGCCAAUAGAUUACAAGGGUAAUUUGAGAAGAUCGGGUUAUAUAUCAUUGAUUUUCUUUUGACAUGUGUCCCAAAGAUUUGGCAAAUCUUUUUUCUGCCCCUAAUUUUCCCCUAUUUUCCAUUUCUUGGUUAAUUUUAAUGAGUCAUUAUUUAUCAAUCAUGAAUAUGUAAUUCGAACUUAAAACAUCUCAAACGGUAGUUGCAAAUUGAACUUUUUAAAUUAAAGUUUGUUGACUUAUAUAACAAUUUGAAAAAUUUUAUUUGCUACUUAAUAAUUUCAAUGAAUACAAUAUUAUGAAAAAAAAAUUAAACAAAGUAUGAAAACAUAUGAAGAAAGUCUAUAUAUUUAUUAUUUGACAAGAAAAAACAUAUGUUUUUAGGAUUUUAAAUGUAGGUUUUCUUCUUUCAAAGUAAAAUUAUAUGUUUUGAAGAGUCAAAAUCAACUUGUUGGUUCUAAAAAGAUAGAAAUGGGUUGCAUAUUUGGUCACUAAAUUUGACAAGUCUGUUGUAUAAUCUUGAUUUGAAAGUUUUAUCUUCUAUUUAUUUACUCAAUGAAAAAUAAACAGAGUAAAAUAUGAAGAUAAACGAAUCCACUAAAGACACCUCAGUCAAUUUCCCAAGAGCACUACCACUAGAUUUUACCUAUGAGCUAGAUACCAUAUCCUAUUUUAAGAUCACAUCUCACAUGCACCAUUUAUAGCUAAUACUAAAACAUGUCUAGAAACGAAGAAGGAAAAUACAUUAAACAUUGAAACUAAACAUAUCUUUUUCGUACAUAAACUUUGCUCUUAAAAGGAAGAACACAUAAAAAACAAGAAACCGUCCUUUGAUUCUCAUACCAAGUAAAAUAGUAUAUGGUACUUAAUCUUAGCAAUCAGAAAAGAAAUUGGUACCAUUAGAUUAAUUAACCCCUCCCAUUACAAAUAGUCUAGGGGAAAAGAACCUACAAUUAAAAUAAAUACUAAAAUUCAUGGAUGUACUAAAAAUACCCAACACAAAAGGACCAAAUGCUAAAAAAGGCAAAAUGUGGCAAAAAAUAAAGGAAAAAGAGAUGCUGAUGCAUGCACUGCAGGCUGCAGCCAAUAGAUUGAAACACCAUGGAAUCUCAAAACCACCCAUUGUUUUUAUUUAAUCAAGUAUUUCUUGGACCAAAAUGCCCUUCUACUUCCAACCAAUUAGAACCACAGGUUUUGCAUAACAAUCUAGAAGUUGACUCUGGGAAGGAAUCUGAUUGGUGUAGACCACUUGUUCAAAUAAACCCACUUGUACCUUAUUCCAUCAAGUCCACCCAGCAAGUCUUUAUAUAGGCCAGCACUUGCUCAUCAAUUUCCUCCCCUCAAUUUCACAUUCUUUUGAGCAAUCAGUCAUUCAAGCCCUCAGCUCCUCUAAUAUUAUUUUUUCCCACUAUGAGGACUGGCAUGUUCUCCUACACCACUUACGAAGAUCAGCAAAUUGAGCCUCAUUUCCUUGAUGCUUGUUUUCUUUGCAGAAAACCACUUGGAAAUAACUCAGACAUCUUCAUGUACAGGUAAUUUCAUGACCCAAUUCCUGAAUUUUUACUCCAAGAAAUUAUGGUUUUUUUCUUACAGUUAAAUUUGGCUUCAGAUUUAUUUUUUUUGUGUUUGUGGUCGUGUUCUGAUGUAAACUAUGGUGGAAUUUUGCAGGGGAAACACACCGUUUUGUAGCAAAGAUUGUAGACAAGAACAGAUACAGGUAGAUGAGGCUAAACAGAAGAGCUGGAAAGUGUCCUCUUCUUCUUCUUCCAGUAGGGGAGCCCUCAGAAAAUCAGACACCAACAAUAACCCUACCCCCGACAAAAGUGUACGGAGGACAGGCACCGUUGCUGUAGCCUGAUCUGAGAGUUUAUAUGCUGUUUAUAAUCUCUUACAGUUCCACGUGGCAAGAUCAUGGGGGGUUGAAUUUUGAUCAAGGGGUUCAAACACUGGGGUUGUGACUUGUAAAGGUGAGGUGGGAUUGAGGGGAAGAAUAUAGGAAGUUGUGACGAAUGUGUUGAAUAUCGAUGAUUUCGGAAAUAUCGGCGGUCCAAAAAUUUGGAAAUAUUGACGAAUUGGGAAAUAGAAAAGGGGAAGAAAUCAAGAAUACCCACCUAAGAGUUUUGUUUUGUUCUGUUUGUUUUGUUUUGGUCUGUGUUUACAAGGAAGAGCCUCCUUUGGUAUAUAGGAUGGUUUGUAAAUUUUUUGUAAUGAUCUUUGUUCACUUCUCAAAGGAUUUUGAGACAUUGAAAAGUUUCAAAGAGACUUGAUCAAAUCUUCACUCACGUUUUAUGAUUUCAUUUUUGUUUUAUUUAUUUUUCUUUGCUCUUUUUAAUUGAUUGAAGACUUAAAAAGUGCUUUGAAUCAUCAUAAAUUACGCUUUUUCUCUACUUUUUUCUGCUUUCUGUAUCAACGGAAAAUAUCUCAACUUUUUUCUGCUUUGUGUAUCAACGGAAAAUAUCUAAUCACUUUACAUUAUCAUAGGAAGAAAAAAGAAAGAAAUGGUUGAAGACUUAAUUUGGAAAUGGUUUAAGGACGAAUCAAAUGGGGAUGCCUCAAUAACCAUGAAACAUCCUCUCCUUCCUGUUUUAAUACAAAAUUCCGAACAGACUUCAUUUGCACGUCUCAAUUGCUCUAGUUUUUCUGUGAAGAUCUGAACUGUUUUCAACAGUACUUCAGUUUUGGAAGAGUUGAGCACUUUCUGGCAAAGGACAAGGGCUAGGCAAAGGUUGUUACUAUUCACAUGGAUAGUGGCAGUCAUUGCAUAAGGUUGUGGUGUUUUCACGCAUUGUCAUGACAAUAACUAUUCAUAUGAAAUAUUAUGAGAGGAAUUUGUAUAGAGUUUUGGUGUGGGAAGUAAAAAAUAUGACUAAGUAUUUAUUAUAAUAAAAAAUCUAAAAAUUUUAGUAUUUUUUAAGAUUUUUUAUAAUUUUUUUUGGCUGCUAAUGUCAUCACUGACGUCAGCAAAUUCAGGCUAGAAGUCAAGCUGGUUUGGCCUGUGGGCUAGCCCAGUCUCAUGGGACCCAAGACUUGCCAGGGCAAGCUUGGCCCGUUGGAAAUUGUUGCCUGGGCUCGGGCCCUGUCCUGUCAGGGCUGGGGUUUAUUGCUUAAAAUGCUCUUAAAAGCGUUUCAAGACAACUAAAAUACUUAAUAUAAUGUUUACCAUAAGGCUACUCUUAACUAUACUAUAAUUAGGGGUGGCAUUUUAGAUCGAAAAACUGAAAAACCUCAAAAAUCAACCGACAUUAUACCGCAUUGGAAUCGCAAUAGCUAAAAAUCGACUGAAAAUUGCGGUUGCGGUAUGUGAUUUUGGCAACUCGCGGUUACCGCAAACCGCAAAUAUAUAUUUUUUAAAAUUGCAUUUUAGUAGUUAGACGUUGUGUUUUAAUUUAGUUAAGUUUAAUCUAUUAUUAAUAUGCUUUUAUGUUGUGUUAUAGAUGGAGUCUAGCCACUCUAACACACCUAAUGCCUCUAAUCUCCCAAACACAAACUGAUACACCCGAAACACAACCUCCACUCCAACUCAUAAAGAAGGGCUUCUUCUUAUAAUAAAAUCCACUCACCACCACCUACACUUUAGUUCUCCUUUUGGUUUGUAACUUUAAUUAACUUUAAAUUGGUUUUUUUCUUUAGGUUGUGAAUACUUAAGAAGUUGAGGUUGAGGUUGUGAAUUUAUAUAUGCUUGAGAAGUUGAGGUUGUGAAUUUAUUUCUUUAGGUUGUAAAUUUAUAUAUGCUUGAGAAGUUGAGGUUUUGAAUUUAUUUCUUUACGUUGCGAAUUUAUAUUUUUUUUGUUAAAGUAUGCUUGAACUCAAAAAGCUUUAAAAGAAGCAUCAAACCUAGGCUUAAAAGUGUGGAAAAUUGAAUUUUUAUGACACAAAAAGACCACACUUAAAGAUCUAAAAGCAGUACAUUUGUGGUUUCAAAAAUCACCUCACCGCAAAGAGUCGAUUAGUUAGUGGUUCGGGAAAAAAUUCGCGGUUACCGAACCGCAACCACCCUUAACUAUAAUUGUCAAUUUAACUAUUAAAUUUUAUUUUCUGUAAAUUAAGUAUUUAACUAUACAAAAAUGUCCAAUUCGGAACUCGCCUUCAAUUUUUUGGAUAUCUAUCCAAAUUUGAGUCCAUUUAAGGGAAAAAUUCAUAAUUUUAAAAGAAAAUCAUAAUAAUAAGAUAUUUUAAAAAUCAGAAGAAAAAAAAAAAAAAACCCUCAUCUCCAUAAGCCACAUGACCAUUGACGCCCACCCCUCCCCACCCAACCACCUCUUUCCCCCACGAUAACCCAACAUCCACCUCCAGCACAACCCCUACGUACUCUCUUAAUCCACCUCCUCCCUCGAAGCCCAGCAUCGACCCCAACCCACCGAAAAAUGAGAUUAUAAUAAUUGGAGUGCCACUCAUGUUUGGGAGUGCUUCUCAAUGGCCAAAAUCGCUUUUUGAUAACUAAAAGCGCUUCUAACAGCGUUUGCAAGAAAAGUUUAGAACUGCUUCUGGGUUAUAGAAGCGCUUCCUGGAGAAGCACCUGCUAUGUGCUUCUUCAGGAAGCACUCCCAAGUGCUUUUCCAUGAAGCACUUUAAUUUUUUUUAUGAAAAUUCAGGAUUUUUAUAAUAAAAGCACUUUUUUUAGAAGUGCUUAUGAGCAGAAGCACUUCCUAGAGAAACAGUCCCAAACGAGCCGUAAAUCUCUAUAUGUCACAAACAUGAUUGCAACUUAGAUAUGGAUGGGCCUAUAUCAUGAGGUACAAUUAUAACUUUUUAUUGAUAUAAAUAAUAGACUAAAUUACUUUAAAUUAAUCUACAUCUGUAUUGAGCUGUUUUAUAUCUUAAAUUUACUUUUUGUUGAUUCUCUUUAAUAAUUUAUAAGCAGUCCCAUAACUUUAGUUGCAAACAGUUAGCAAGCUACGUAUGUUGAAUUGUGAAAUCUAAAACUAGAAGCACAAAUGUGUAGCUUAGCCCAAAAUAUUCAAGAACCAAAGCUGUAAUUAACCAAGAAAAGAAGAAGAGAAAAACACAAAUAGGAAAAGAGAUACUAAAACCUUUAAAACAAACUUGGACAAAUAAGAACAAUUGGUUUUAAAAAAAUUAAAAUGUGAAAAGGCCAUUAGUCUAUAACACUAGAGCUCGUUUGCAUAGGCUAUAAUUCCUUCCCUCCAUUAGUCCCAUCUGUGUUUUGUUUGUUCCCACGAUGUUGAAACUUUGGAUCAUCUUUUUAGCACUUUUUCUUUUGCUCGUGAAGUUUGACAGUGUUAUAAUGGUUGUCCUUGUCCUCCUGUACGCGUCAAUAGUAUUUGUGGGCUUUUGGUGAGAUGCGAUGUGUUGCUUCUUGGUUAAGAAAAGCUAGUUUGGACCUUUAGGUUGGGCUCAACGUUGGCCUUUUCUUUAUAUGCGUUAGGUGUGUCACUACUAGUGUUUUACUCUUCUAGUAGGAAGAGAAGAUGAAUGAUUAGGUAAUGUGAAGAUAGUGUUGCGCUCGUUGACCUUAACCUCUAAUCAAAGCCAUUGUGCUUCAAAUGGAGAAUCUGGCUUGGAUAGGUUCUUUUUUAUGCCUCAAUUAAGAGGACUUAACUAUUUCACUUGUUAUGGAAUAAAACUUAGAAGAAGUAACAACUUUAAACUAAUAUUGGACAGAAAGUAUAAUACAAGUUCAAAGACAAAAGUGUCAGAAAGACAUAAUAUCGUUACAAGAAAGCAAACGCAAGUUCAUGCAGACCUAAAUACACUUAAUAAAAAUAAUAAGUAGCCUAACAGAACCUAAAAAUACUGAUGUGACAAAACAAAUGAGAUUUGCCUACUCUUUUAGCUCUUCCUUGAAAAUGCUCUAAGCAUUAAUUGAUUUCUAUAAUCUUAAUUGGACAUACUUUGUCCUAUGAAUCCUUGUUUUUUCUGGUUGACCAAUUGUUGGUCAAUGUUUCUUUUUGGGCCUUUGGACAUGCAUGUGUUAAGUCUGGUACUUAGGUUGAUGAUGGCGACGUAAUAGGUUGUGUUGAUAUUUACAAACAAUCUGCUUUUGAUCAUCCUCUUUUUAAGAAUCACACUAUACAGGUUUGCUUUCAAUUUUUGAAUUUUAUUUGAUUCAUCGUAUGAGAUUAAAUAAAAAAUAAAAAAAUUUGUACACCUGAUAUACAACACCUUUUCUCCAAGCCCUAUAUAUAAAUACAUAAAUAUAUAUGUUUUAUUUAUUUAAUAAUUAACAUUAUGAGAUUUGAACUCUCAUUAUACAGAAAGACUAAAUGCCACUACUAUUUUUGACCAAUAAUUAGGUUCCUGUUUUUGAGAAAAAUGUGAUAGAUUGUGUUCAUAAUUCAUGCUGAAAGGUCGUCAGUCAUAAGGACCAAUACAAAUAUAAAAGCUCAUGAGCAACAAGAAGUGCACAAGAUUUACAUCCGCUCAUAGCCACAUAUGGACUGUGAAAUUCUAGAAAGUCCGGAAAAACCAUACAAAUAGCUCAUCACAACAAACUACAAAAACUGAAAAGGAGUUUAUGCACUUAUUCAACUAAAAAAACUGCAACACAAAACAAGUAAAACAAAACUUGAUCUACCACCAUGUUGUCGCCAAGACAACCAAACAACCAUCAAACUCAGCCCAAGACGGUAGCGUUGGAGGCAAUGAGCGAGGAUAAGAAGUGGAGAGGGUAGGGGAAGGUCUAGGAGGGUAAGGAGGGGAGGGAUAGAGGCCACCGACUCCAAAGGAGAAUGGCGGCUGAAACUUUUCUGUCUUGUGAUUUUUUCAAAGCUCCUUGAUUAUUAGUUGUGUGAUUUACUUUCAAUUACAACAUUAAUUCGUGGCUACAGAUAUUGGAACCCAGUUUUAGUCCAAGUAAAGUAAAAACAGCAAACAAGCAAGCAAGCCAACGUUUUCCAAGAUUGGUUCAACAACGUAGAAUGCCCUGCAGGAACAAUCCCUCUAAUUAGGCCACCAAGAUCACAUGAUUAUAAUUGGAGUGCCCCAAUAAAGUCCUAUACGGCAAUGGCACAGCACGGUUCUUCAUACUCUGGACAGUAAGUUUAUAAGGGGGCAAAUAAUGUCUAUUCAUACGGUAUAUUUUUAUUCGUGACCCUAACAAAUUUCAUGUGGUUGAAAGAAGGAUAAAUAUAGACACGCUUGCUACAAUGUUGAAUGCGCUGGUUUUGUGCAAACCAACCAUAAAUUUGUCUUGAAUUCUGUCUUACGACCUCUUUCCAAAUACAAUGGGGAGCAAUUUGGUAUGGAUAUCACUAUAUUGAAGGUAACUCACACACGUAUAGUUCUAUUCUAUUGAGGGAUCGUUUAAGGAAUUAACGCAGAUGACAAAAUGAGUUUUAUAGUGAAAGUCAAAGACAAGAUAAUCCUGAUUGAUGAUGAUUUACACUUUUAAAUUUAACCGGAAGGUGGAGAAUAGAUGUUGGUGGCUCCUAGUGCAUGGCGAGCCAAUAGGGUAUUGGCCUCUUCGAAUUUUCUCAACGUUGGCUGAUAGUGCUACAGUCUACAGAGAUACAUUGGGGUGGGGUGGAUACUCAAAAGAUUGUCCAACUUAGCAAUAAUGAAAAGGGAAAAAUAGGACGAGAGAGUAAUUCCAUAUUGAAAUAAAUAAAGUCUAAUGACGAAAGAGAUUAAGAUGAGUUGUUCUAUGAAGAAUAUUACAUUGGGAGCACUAGUAUGUAUGAUAUAUGUAAGUUCCAAAAUAUUUUGAAAAUUUAUAUUUCCAGUAAUUUUUCGAAACAGAAUUGAUGUCGAUUUUUUUAUAUUUUAUGUUAUGUUACCAAUUUGGAAGAAUGAUUUCAUUAUUAAAUAACCUAUACGUGGAAAAGGCUGAUUCUUACAGAACCUACAUUAGAAUUGUCUGAUGGCAUUAUCAACUUCACAAAAAUAGCCAUCCAAUUUAGCUCACUUAUGCUCUUUCACCUUUUCUGAAGUAGUUUUCUAAUCCUUUGUUCUCAAAAACAACCCUGCCAUUGAAACAAGAUUCAGCAAAGCUGAACGAAACACCAUCAAGUGACCUUUGCCCUCUGCAUGAUCAUGAAUCUUCUUCUGCUAGCACUCUCCACUUGCUCACCUAGUUUGGCCAAGUGAUUCAUUCGUCUCUUCCAUGACUCCGAGGCCCCCAAUUGGCUCUGCUUUUUUACUGAGUCAACUUGCUCAUUUUCAACAGGUUCAGGACUUCUCUCAGAUGUAUUUCCUUCUUCUGUUUCUUGAAUAAUCUUCUUCAAUGUGUCUACUACCUGACUCAUUGUUGGCCGAUCUUUUGCACUCUUCGACAGACAACUAUCAGCCAACCUAGCGAUUUUUCUUGCUGCGCUGAUCGAAUACUUGUUUUCAAGCCGGCUAUCCAUUAUCAAGCCAAACUUUUUGCCAUCAUGAGGGAAUUGUUUCACCCAUUCUAAGAGUCUCUGCUCUGUUCUUGGACGGUUUCUCUCCAAUGACCGUCUGCCUGUAAGAAUCUCAUACAGCACCACACCGAAACCCCAUACGUCACUCUUAGUUGUGAGAUGGCCUGUCUCAACGUAAUCUGGUGCAGCAUACCCGAAUGUCCCCACUACCUGAUCACGAAACAAAUUCCCAUUAGCAUUACAAUAGUCUUUAAAAUUUAAAUGCAUUUAAUGCAGUGACUUUGCAAGCCGUAACAGUUUAGUAUGAAGCAGUAUACAAAUGCUCUUUGCUUCAAAGUUGGUGUUUUAAUAUGCACGGCUUGUCCAUCACUUGAUUGCUUUCUUGUAUUUUCCAGACUUAAUCUCACCAUAUUUCUAGAACUUUCACUAAUGCAAGAUAAAGUUCCAAUAUGUUUAUUGCAUGAAUUUAGUGUAUGAGUUUGAGUCGCGAUAAAGUUGGGACCAGGUGCACGCUACAAAUGCUAGUGAGAAAUAAGAGCACUUACUGCAGUUGAAACAUGAGUAUGACCAACCAUUGGCCCCUCCCUUGCAAGCCCAAAGUCAGAAAGCUUUGGUUUAAAAUUCUCAUCCAGUAACACAUUCGCGCAUUUAAGAUCUCGAUAUAUUACCUUCAUCAAUAGCAUAAGAAAAAAAUCAGAAUAAUAAUGGUUAAGACUAAGCUUGAAUGCUGAAAAUAACAAGUAGAUGAUGUAGAGAAUAAACUAAUGGAACAGUUCCAUUUUAAUGUGGUCUUGGGCACCCCUCAGUCACAAAGUAAAUGCAGAAGCGCAUUCGCGGGGAAGGGGGUGCAGAGGUUAGGGCAUAGAUGAAAAAUCGAUGUGGGAAUGUGGGGUCAUGGCCAUGAAAAAGUUCAGGGUUGACCUUAUGCAAAGAAAGAAGAUAUUUUCUCAAAUUUGGACAUCUGCCUACUCCCAGAACCAGAAGUGAAUGUGUAUAUCUUGUUGGAUUAUGACUAGUUUGUUGACUUGUUAAGCAUGCUGGAUUAUGACUAGUUAGUUGACUUGAUAAGUUGUUAUCUUGUGACAACUUAUCAAGUCAACUAACUUGUCAUAAUCCAACAUAUCUGCCGCAGGAGAAAGUAUACAAUCUGUGAUGAGUAGUAGUACUAUAUAUUCGAUAUAUAUGCCCGGUGCCAACAAGCUCUAGCUCAGAACCUGGAUAUCCCCAACAAAAUGAGAUAAAACAGCUGAUUUUAAGCUUCAAGUAUAAAAGUGGGAUUGUAUGUAGAAACUAAUGGUUAAUAUCAAUGCUUAGAGCUAACCUGAAUUUCCAAUCCUUCAUGAAGAUAAACUAAUCCUUCAGCUGCUCCUAGUGUUAUCUGCAAUCUUGUCUCCCAAGGAAUAGCUGGGUAUGCCUUGUUAAAUAGAUGGUCUUCCAAACUUCUGUUUGGCAUAUAUUCAUAGACUAGUAGUCGUUGAAUCCCUCUUUCUCCAUCCACAGCACAGUAUCCUAUUAGUUUGACAAGAUUUGGGUGCUCCACAACACUGAGAAAUUGAACUUCUGCCACCCAUUGUUUGUGACCCUGUAGAAAUGAUAUUAAAAAAGAGAGAGAAAUCGAUCAUGAAGUCACAAACAUCCAUAUCAUCCACCUCUAGUUUGCCUCUAGAUCACUUUCCAUCCUUUGAAAUAGGGAACGAUUACCAUUCCAACUAGACGAAAAUCUCAACACUGAAAAGGAGCCACAAAUAGGCAAAGUUGCUCCCAACAAAAAGUUCACUAUGAAAAACAGGUUGAUACAAAUAUGCUAAGAGAAAACAUUGUCCAUCUUAAUCCCCAUAUUAUUAUGGAAGGAUUCUAGGGGGAAAAUUUGUGACCCACAGAGGAAGAUACACAUAAUUAAAUACCAUCUUAUCUAAUGGAUGUCAUUCUCCAUGACAGAGAAAGAUACAGGUUUGGCUGCAUAAAGACAACAAAAUCUAGGUAUUCUCUCUUGCAAAAAUAAAUGGAGCCAUGUAUGCAUAUAUAAAACAAAUUUCAGAAGAAAUAUUUCACUGACUAGCUUCAAAUUCCCUUUAAAGGAAAGAAAAAAAUGCUGUCAUAGAAAGAGACUGAACAGAAGUGUAAAGAGAGGAGGGCCAGAGGACUCAGAAAAAAUCAAUUAACUAUAUUUUAGACAGCAGUUUAGCUACUUUGAGCAUAAAUAUUCAAGGAGAAUAAGCCAACAAAAUGUUUCUUAAGCACAUUUAAUAAUAAUGGGAAAGGAAAAAACUCUUGAGGGCCUUGUUUAACAAUUCAAUUUAAUAGGAAGAUGCUUAAACCACCAUACCUGUAAGCCAUCAUUGUUAAGCUUUUUAAUGGCGACCACGAUUGGAUCGCCCUUGGCAUCAGCAGGCUUAAUUGAACCUUUAUAAACAUUCCCAAAUCCACCUUCUCCAAUCUUAAGCAGCCUGCUGAAAUCGUUUGUCGCAUGCCUGAGCUCUUGGAAAGUAAAUACUCGCAAAUUAUGAGCCUUCUCUUCAUACAAUUCGGGUAUACCGCGCGGUGAAUUUUCUGAGCAGGAAGACUGAAUCACCCUCUCAGCUCCUGAAUAAUCAGAUUUCCUCUGUUCUUUCAGUUCUGGAGCUGAUUUUUGUUCCCUGCCCCUUGUUUUGUCCUUGAAGUAGUAGAAGCACUUCAUUGCAUAAAAUCCUAUAUCAACUCCCUACCAAGAUUUGAAUGUGAUCUUCCUUUGCUGCCAUUGAAUCAAGUUCAGAAAGUUAAAGCCUGCCACUGAAUUGUCACAUGAAUAUAAGAAGUAUCAGCAUCUUCAUACAAACAUAAUUAAAAUUCCCAAAGGGUUUGAAACUGCUAAAAGAAGAAAGAGUAUAAUCACAGAGAAAAUGUUCACUGGCCAAAGAAAUGUUUAAUUCAAUGAAACCACAAAUUGAACAAGAAUUUAAAAAGUUUAAAUAGAUGGCAGCGCCCUAGAUUUGAAUGCAAACAGAGGAAUCAUGCAAAGAUAAGGAAGGCCCUGAUGAGAAAUAGAUACAAGAGAUUGAAAUUCAAAGAAAUCAUAGAUGAGAUGACGAAUUGCUUGGCAGAAUAAAAAGAGUGAUCAAAACAGUGAAAUCCCAGAUGGGAAUUCAGAAUGGAAUUAUAAAUUAACUUACAGAAAAUCAGCAGACAGAAAUGGAAAUGGAACUGGAUAUUCAAGGCAGGGCAAUCCUGACCCAGAUGAACAAAAACAAAGACAAGAACAAUGAAUGAACCAAUAAAUCCAAAUCAUAAAGGCAAUACCUUCACCAAUAUCAAUUCUCUUUCAAAGAAAUUUCAAAGGGUUUGGGGGGUUGAAGGUUGGAGAGACCUUCACGGGUUUCUUUUCUUGUUUGGCUUCUCUCUCUCUUUGAGAUGGUAUUGAUAGUCUCUGUGAAAAAAGUGGCUAGCUUUAAAUGGUUUGGCAAUUGUUUGCUUGUGGAAUUCAACAUUGUAUAUAUUAAAUAGAAUUCAACCAACUUGUCAGUUGACAAUAACGAGUAGUUCCAGAAACUCCAUCUUUCUCUCUCACACAGAUUGAAACGAAACAAAACCUGUCCAGAAUAUGGACUCUAUAGUCAAAGCCAAAAACAAAGAAUAUGUUAUUCUAUCACGUACAACUAAUAAACGGGUCAACGCUUUGAGGAGACUGUUUAAGAAAUUUUCAUUAUCAUUUUCUUUUGAGAAUCUACUUUUUCAUAAUUCAAGGAAAAUGGAGAAAUUUUCGUGCGUGAACCUAGAAUUAUGUGGUAUUUUGACGUGUGAUUUAUAAGUUUACUCAAAUUAUAGCAUGAGUAUCUAGUAUGUGUAUACAUGUGAUCGGAGUAAAUUUAUAACACCGCAUCAAUACUUUACGCGAUGGUAUGAUCACACCGAAAUACUACUAUGAUCGGUAUACAAGUGCUUGUAUGAAAUUCAAUAACAAAAUUGGCAGAUUAAACAUUCUAUUCAGCAACAAAAUAGUGAAAUUUACGAUAAAAGCUAAUAAAAAAUUGAUUACCAAAACUCACCACCUAACAUUUCCGUUAGUUAAUUAAAGUUUUGGGAUAGGGUUGAUAGGGAUACAAAACCAUCAAUUUGUGUAAAUUAUAAUAAAUAAAUAUAUGUACGUAUUUAUCUUAGCAAAGAAGUUUGCAGAGAGACCCAUAAAAUCGGAUUGGAAAGUGACUUUAAGGACAAAUGAGACCUCUAAAAUUGACCAAUAUGCCUAAUUAAAGCAAAGUUGGAAUAUCCACAUUAUUUAUUUGUUCACGUUUGUUGAGAAAUUUGCACAUGAGCUUCAACUUGACCAUGCAACCUAUCCUUUACAAGGCUCCCAAUCCCAUCUGCAUUAAAAUUGGAGCUAUGUGACUCCUGUCUCCACAUUGACAAUGACCCAAGCCUUGGACAAAACAAAAUGGUAGGGAACCCAUUUGGGAUUUUAAAAGGAAGUCAACAAAACAACCUUGUUUGAGGGUCAUAUUGGUCAACAAAUUUAGGUCUUGCUCAUGUCACUUCUUUGUUUUUUUUUCAGAUUUACUUGGUAAAGAUAUAUAUUUUUUUCUUUUUGCCAUUAAAUACAAAAUAAAAUCCCCAAAGGGCACCGAUGACCGUACAAGUUUCAAUGGGAUACAAGAGGUAAACUUAUAUGGUACUCAACCAACGACCCAAGCGUUACCAAGUUGGCCCAAAGCAUAAAGGCAGAUGUGGUAUUCCCCAUACACGGCUUCAAGGGCUACCAAAAACUGGUACACAACCAGUAAGUUUGAAUCACCCAAGCAACACAGCAACCCACAUACAGUGAAACUCUCUUUAAGAGAAACCAAAGAAACCGACUAACAAACUCGCACCACAACCGCAAACCAACAGCCCAACCACUGUCGAACUCCACAGUCUAAUGCCCACAACCACAUGUCGACCAUUGGCACCAAAUAGAUCCACCAUCGCAGCUCCAACCUGCAACCCAAAAGGCACAAAUAUGCAUAUCUACGAAUCAGGACUUAUUGGUAACAUUUCCUUCAUUCAUUUUUUUUUUCUUCUUCUUAUUUUUAUUUUUAUGAACUUAUUCAAUCUCUGGAUUAAAUAUGGUAUAUGAUAACCGUCAAUAUAAUUAAGACAAUAAACCCAUUGUUACGCUUGAAUAUCAAUAUUAUCAAUUUUAUAAGUAGGGUUGUCAUGUUCAAUACUUCGUGAAUUUUGAUCCGAUUUGCAUUUUGGUUCCUCAAUUUUCAAAAUCGUUCCCGUGGUCAUCAACUUUAGUUUCGUUAGGACAAAUGGUCUUGCCUUUAGUUUUGUUAACUUUUUCUGUUGAAUACAGAGGCAAAAUAAUUUUUUUGUAUUAUUUUUAAUUUUCACCAUCUGAAUAUUCCAACAAAGCCAUGGACAACCUCCACCCGACACCAAGCCAAUUAACCCACCACCCCAGUAACAACUGAUGGCGCUCCUACAACACACACCCACAUCCCUACCCAAACCAUACCCACCCUCCUUGUGAUAGCUAGGAUAGGAAGAAGGUUUUUAAGUUUUUAUUUGUACGUUUUAGGUGAAAUGAAUAUUCAGAUAGUGAAAGCUAAAAAUAAUAUAAAAAUACCAUUUUGCUCUUGCAUUUAACAGAAAAUUUAACAAAAUUAACGUCAAGACUAUUUAUCCUAACGAAAGUAAAGUUGAAGGACCAUGAGAAUGAUUUUUGAAAUUGAUGGACAAAAAUGUGAAUCAAGUCAAAGUUUAAGGACCAUUAGCCAUUUAUAAGUAUCAUAUCAAAUCUAAAAGUCGCUUUUUAAAAAAAUAAGAAAUUAAAAAAUUAUUAACCUUUGACUCUGUCGCUUUCUACACACAUAUAUAAACCUUCAUUAGAUUGUAUAAAAUUCAAUUAUACCAAAGAAUAUACCAACCAAUAUGAUUCAAAAAGGGUGCAUGUGUUGCCAUUGUAUUAAUAAUAUUUUGAUCAAAUUAUGGGUUUGGUGGGUUUAUGAGAUAUAGAGAAGAAAGAACUAAACUAUAAAUCCAAUGCAUUGUCAUCUGUCCCAAAAAAAAAAGGAAGAAUAAAUGACAUAAUUAUGUAUAUAAUUGUAUAAAUAUUCUAUUUGACAAGUAGCAGGAGGGAUCUUAAAAUUCCCCAUAACAUACAUUGAAAUCCCAACGAUAAUUCACUCAUUAUUAUUAAAAAAAAAUUAUUGGUAUCACGUAUCAACGUCAAAUUAUUUUUGGUGCAUUGGCGGUGGUCCCUUAAAGCUUGGACAUUCUCUGGAAGCUGUACUUAUUUGUUCAUGUUUUCUUUCGAGAAUUAUGUUAUUAUGGUGAAUUCCCAGAAUGAUGGCUGCCAAUCACAUACCAAGCAGCUUUGUUGAAAGUGAUAGCUUCCAAAUGGUUUGGACUGUGCACUAAUAGCACAUCAACAUAUGUCUCAACUUUUUGGUAAGUGAAUGAUUUCGUUAUAAAAGUUUCUCUGCAAAUAUUUUAUGGCUUGUAAAAGAAAACUGUUUUAUAAGGCCUUUUUUUUUUUUUUUUUUUUUUUGGAAGUUAGGAAUUUGAGAAAUAAAUAGCAUAAUUUUCUUUACAAGACGCCAAUAUUGAGUGGCUAAGAUAAAACAUAGAGAGAUGCUAAGAUAAAACAAGAAAUAAGAGAACAUUCAUUAAUUUAUUUAUAAAAAAAAUUAGUGUAUAGUGAUUAAAAACUUUAAUAAUUAGGAUAUCAUAAAUUAAGUAUUUUGGUUUUGAAUUUGGUGAAUGAGUUUUGAAUUUUUCUUUAUAAUAGGUCAAUAAGGUGGCCCAUCUAAAUUUAUAGGGAAAAUACUAUUUUACCCCUUUUAGUUUAAGAGAGCACCAUCGCCGCAUGGACCAUGAUAAGAUCCAAUCCAAAUUCCACUUUGGAAUAUGAACCGAAUCCUGUGCGUGUCCGACACCUGGCAGGUGUUGGCCACACUUGACCAAAUUGCCCUUCUAACCUAAAGUUCAAAAGUUUCUUUAGGGUUUGACUUCUGCCGAAAAUUCGGCAAAGUCUCCCUUAUAAAUUGCUCAUUUUCCAAAAUUACCUAUACAACAACAAUUCAAAUAUCCACAACCAUUCUGCAAUUCAAAUAACCAAGAAUUAAAGAAUAUACAGAGAGGUAAACGACGCUCCUUAUUUCUUAAUCUGAGCCCCUAACAAAGCAAGAAGGACCAAGAUCGACCUCUUAGUAUGACAAACUUCCAACGUAAGGUCAUCAAAACAAGAAUGUUUAUCAAAUGCCAAGCUCACAAACAUUCCAACGGACACCUCAGGGAGACCCAUCUAGGCUGGUCUUCUGCACCUUAUCAGCAAUACUCUCACCAGAAGAAAACAUGAGCACAAGGAAUCCCCCAAAAAAUUUCUCAAGGUCAUUAAAGACUUUAACACCACCAGACUCCGCAAUCCCCAUCACAUGAUAAUCAAACAAGUACGUAGAGAUGGGUAGAAGGAUUAUACCCAAAAACUCGAGCCGCCGAAAUCCUUGCGCAACACUGAGAGAAAGAGAAUCGAAACCACAGCCCCUAGACUCCAAAAACUAUGGAACCACAACAUGCACCACCAACAACUAGUAUCAAAAGCCUUCCAUGUACAAUAAGGAAACAACUACUCAAAAAACCACCCCCACAUCCACACAGAGAACCGAGGAACCUUAGUCGUCAUCCCCAAUUCAUCGGAGCGAACCAACACCACUGCAAGGCAAGCCUGAUUAGGACGAAACACGAAGGAGGAAGUAGAAGACCAAACCAUUGAGACCAGACAAAACCCUUGAUGUCGUUGCUCUGGAGAGUCACAUCAAAACCAAACAAGACCAGACGAUACCCCCUCUCUCGGCAUACAAAGAAGAAUACCAAGAAUCAUUGUAUUAGGAUGAACAAAAUCACAGCGAAACCUUGGAGUUAGAACGAUGAAUGCCAGUGGCAGCUCAACGUGAGAAGAAAAAAAUCUAAGUGGUUUUGUUAGGUGUUUUUAUUUUUUGGAAGAUGAACCAAUAUAUAUAUAUAUAUAUAUAUAUAUAUAUACAUUGUGCAUUUUCUAUUAUAAACCUAAAAAGAAUACCAAUAUAAGAGUACUAUAAAACUACACACUAUGGCCCGUUUGGGAUUGCUUUUUUUGGCCAAAAAUCUGCUUCACUUUAAAGUUAAGCAAUUUAAGGUGUUUGGUAAAAAUAAAAUAUCCUGAUUAUUUUAAAAGCAUGGCCUUUUAACAACAGCUUUUAAAAGCAGGCUCUGGGUUGCUUUUCAAAGCUGCUUUCAAAAGAAGCAGAGAUAAACCUUUAAUGAAUUUUUUUAAUUCCUAAAAUAUCAUAAUUCAUUUUAAAAAAUGACACUACCUCCACUUCCACAUCCAACUUCACCACUUGCACCACCACAUUCACAACCUCCACAACCACCGCCACUGCCACCACCACCACAUCCUUCUUUUCCUCAUCCUCCGCCACUACCUCCACAACCACCACCUCAUCCACCUCCACCUCCACCACCACCAGCACCAUCACCUUCCACCACCNNNNNNNNNNNNNNNNNNNNNNNNNNNNNNNNNNNNNNNNNNNNNNNNNNNNNNNNNNNNNNNNNNNNNNNNNNNNNNNNNNNNNNNNNNNNNNNNNNNNUGUAAUAAUACUGAGAGAAUAGAUAAAAUAGUAAGAAAAGAUGAAAAGGAGGGAGGACCACCACCUCCACCACCUCCACAACCGCCAUCCCCACCACCACCACUACCACAACCACCAACUCCACUGUCAUCACCACCACCACCACCACUCCAUCACUACCACUACUACCACAUGAUUAGUAUAUAACACUUUUAACAUCAUGUCUAUUUUAGUCAUUAUUCAUAGUUACAACAAUUUUAUAUUAAAAUUUACCAAACUGUUUUGACACUACUUUUUGUACUAACAACACUUUAAAAAUACUGUUUACCAAACAUGGAGCUGUUUUACUUUAUAGCUAAUUAUUUUCAAAGCACAGCAUAAGCAACUUUUUUUAAAAGUGACAGCAAUCCCAAACUUGGCCUAUAUCGUAGUUUCUAUUCUAUAAACAUUUUAUUGUUAAUAUAAAUAUUUUGUAAAUGAACAAAUAUCACAAACAUAAGGUUGGUGUAGUGUAGUGGUUUGUAAUUGAACCUUCUCUUUUGAGAGUCAAGAUUUGAGUCCGUUCAAGUACACAAAAUUUACUAUCUUUUAGGGUGAAUAAAAAUAAAGUCUAUGUAAAUCUAAGCAACAUUGUCAAUGGAUCCAUAGUUCAGUUGUAAGAGCAUUUGCUUUCAUAUAAAUAGUCUCAUAUUCGAACUCCAAUAAAACCUCCCUCUUUCCAAACUUUGACAACAAAAGAAUAUCUAGCUUUGCAGAUUUUUUUAUAUCAUUUUUGUAUUCAGAGAGGAGAGGCUAAAAAUGACAUUCGUUGAUGUUGUUUUGUCACAUAUCUGAUCAUUCAUAUUCCAAAUCAAAUGAACUUAUUAAUCAACCUAUUACCCUCUAAAUCUAACUGUGAAGUAAUAAUUAUUUUUCUGUAAAAGUUGAAAUAGUAAUUUUAAAGGGUGAAUUAUAAAAUUACACGAGAAACUUAUGCGUGAAAGGAAAACAAAAUUAGAAUAAAAUUAUCCAUUACAAGAAAUAAAUCAAUAAAACCUAAACCAUGUUAAUCCAUCUAGUCAUUCAAGCUAAAAUGAAUAAGAAAAAAGAAACCAAAUUUGGCGAAUAUUCGAGAAAAUUCCCCCUCACCAUUUUAACUUUAAUAUUUUUAGGGUUUGCCACCAGUGAUACACUUGAAAAACUGAAAAAAAAAAUUUUAAGGUACACUUGAAAAACACAUUCCUUCCUAUUCGGUGGCCUUGUCUUUUGAAUUUCACAAAUGCUUGAUGAAGUUGUAAAGAGGUUUUUUAAGGUACAUUUUCCAGUGAGUUAAUUAUGCCACCAAAUCUUUGGGAAGUAGAGACAAAUACGUGGGAUUGUGGCAUGAUUCUUCAGUAUCUCUUGGGAUACUAAUUAUAUUCAUAGGACAUGCAAUAUUUCUUUGAACACACCACACGUACUUGAUGCUUUGAUGCUUUGAUUUGAGGAUUUUUGUCAAUAUGUGAUAAAAACUGAUGCAGAUCGAAAAGAAAAUAAUAAAAUUCUACAGUUGACAGCAUGACAUAUUGUCCUUCUCCUCCAGUACCGCUAAAUCAUGAUAUUGAUGUAUAAUUAAUGCAUUGGAAUAAGUUGUAUAGAAAACAUGGUCAGUUACACGUUUUACUUGCGUGGUUUGGAGUAUGAGACAAUUUAGCUCUAUUUUGCCCUCCCAACUUACAAUUUGGAUUUGAGUCCCCUUAAACUUUCAGUUCAUGUUAAUUCCCUCCUAAUCGUCAAUUAUGUCACAAAUUUCCCUUUGUUUUCAUCACGCGCAACUCACGCGACUAACAUUUAGGGGCAUAUACGUCAGUUGAUGUCGCAACCAGGCAUUGACCCCAUUUUGUGCCUUGGGGGGGAUCUAGUUGAGCGCCAAAGGCUGGAGGGAAAUGACCCUCAAUUUGAUAAAAUGAUUGACAUAACUAACGGCGGAGAUACUGUGGCACAAAUUGAAAGUUUAGGGAGCUUCAAACCAAAUUGAAAGUUCAGAUGAAGUGGAAUACGACCUCUAAUUCAAGGGGCAUAGUUAAAUUCUUCCCUUUUAAAAAUUGACUAAAACAACCGUAAAAUUUUGAAUCUUUAUUCUAUUGGUCACUCUAUUGGUUUUUAAUUUUGUUGUUGUUGAAAGCUUUGUUUAAAAAAUAAUAACAAUAAGCACUAUAAGAGUGUACAACAUAUAGCACUGAACUAGUCAAUACUAUUCAAAACUCAAUCAUAAGAGACAGGAACAAAUGCGUAAUCUUAAAAAAGAUUCGCUCCUAAAUAACUUGACAAGAAAAGAGAAGAAAGAAGUGGUAAGAACAAGGAGAAAGAAGAAAGAAGAGGAAGCAUGAACACCCCUUCGAUCUGCACAUCAAAAAAACCUUGGCAGCACCAGAAGCUUGCAGCCUACAACAAAGCACAAAAUCAGAAAAAACGAGCAAAAAGUAAAAUAAUGAAUAAGAAAAGAAACUAAAAAGUAAAAUAACAAAUAAAGAAAAAACCUAAAACAACACAAAUAAACAGUGAGAAAAAGAAAACUAGCCAAAGCCAACCAGACAGACACAAUACAAAGCCCAAUAAAAAAGCUAAAGAGAAAGAACACUAGACUGAUGUUAUGUGGAUAUAAGGAGAGAUGAAGAAUGGACUCCACUGCAUCAAUAAUGUUCAUAUAAACAAAAAUGGGUCCCCAAGUGCCACGUCAAAGCAUAGCAAUUAAACUAUAAGGAUGCUUUGACCAUAAUAAUAAAAAGGUAUAAACAUCUAAUUGUGCACCUAAUUUUUUUUUUUUAAUCUUCGGGACUCUAGCGUUAAAUACAAAAAUUCAACUCUUAUCCUCAAAUUUCUCUAUUUUUUUUUUUUUAUAAUUAAUGACUGUCAUCCAUCAUAUCUAAAGUUAGAAUCUGUUUGAACAAAAUAGAGAUUGAUGCCAUUAGGACAAAUUUUCCUUGGCAACUUCUCUACUUUAAAUAAAUUAUUCUACAGAAUGAAAAAACAUGUUUUGGGCCCAUAGAGGGUGAGAGGGUGAGAGGGUGAGAGGCAGACCAGUUGGUGAGAGGCAGACCAGUUGGUUUUAAAUUUGUCUCAUGUAAUGAGUGUACCUUUAUGCAUGGUUUAGAAUAGUUAUAGCCACCCAAAACAAAAAGGGAAGAUUUUCCUUUCUUUUUUUGGGUUAGAGUGAGGAAGGGGAAGGCUGUUUUCUCAAAUGUUAGAAUAGUCAUUGUUAAUGUGUUAUGAAAGUUCGAACAUGAGACUACUAAUAUACAAAUCGAGAUUUUUUUUCACUAAAUUAUACUUCAUUGGCAAAACGAAAAUAGAAGAUUACUUUCCCUCAAACCAUUAAAAUGCAUGGAAUAUCACCAAUCUCAAUGAUUCUUAUUUUGUCAAUGCGAAUGAUUGUACAUAAAGUGGUUUUCUGCAUAAACAAAACAAUAUAUUGAGCCAAAGUUAACCUCUGGAGAUUAUGUGGUUCUUUCGAUCUUGUCACAGUUCAAAAUUAUUUUUGAGCCAUCACCUUCCAAAUACUGCCAUGUCUACUUUCAAUUAUAUUGAUCAAUGAAUCAUUAUAGGUAGAGGUUUUUCUAGUAAAAGUACUCAUGGAGAACACUGGGGGAUUUGUGUUGAUUUCUGUAUGGAGAAAUUUUUUUCUCUUUAGGGAACUUGGAUAGAUAAAUUUUCUUCCAGUAUUGUUAGCCACAUGCAUUUUUGAGCAGGGAAGUGAUUCCACCAAAUUAAAAUGCAACAAAACAAACCCAUGUGAUGUAAUAUGACCAUUCAUGUAUGUGGUUUCCAUUGACAUAUAAUUCACUAUCAGAUUAGACCACCAUGAUCAUUAUGAUUUAGAAUAAUAAUGCAGCCUGGGCCCUUAAGGUGGGUAGCAAAAGUUUUGGCUUCAUAUCAGAUAUUAUAAGUGUUUGCUCCUCAACUAUAUUAUUUGAGAGAGAGAGAGAGAGAGAGAGAGAGAGAGAGAGAGAGAGAGAGAGAGAGAGAGAGAUAAACAUACAUGGAAAAUUUAACACUUCUGGCAGUAAAUACUGACUUCUUCUAUGAAGUAAAUGUCUCUUUCACUCUGCAAUGAUGGGUUUUGAAGCUGGGAUGAGUGCUUCUCUGAUGUGUUGUUGAUCCUCCAAAUCAUCAGAUACUUGCUUGGGCGGCUUAGAUGGUUUCCAGUAUAUUGCAUAGAGAAUCAGCUGAGCAGUACCAAAUAAAAAUCCAGUCCCAUUUGGAAUCUGCAAAUGAUUGAACAAUAUGUGGGACAAAAUAUUUAUUAGAAUCAAUGAGUAUUUCAUAGGAUAGGUGAUGUUGGUAGGAAACUUACUCCAACAAACAAGUCUUUUGCAAGAAUGGCAUAGAGUGUCCAAAUCCCUCCAUUGAGGAAAAGGAUGAAUGAGAGAAGAAAAGGCAUGUAUUCCACACUCUUUAGUGCCACCACAGUUUUCUGUACAUUAAUACAAAGUUUAACAUACGGAUGUUAAUAGAUCUUAACCGGUUAGUAAGUUAAUACGAAAAACAGUACUCACUCGAGAGGAACAACACAACAGUUCAUAUUUGCCAUAGUAUGUAACAAGUCUAAGAAUCUGAAAACUUAUCAGUUGAUGUUUCUCCUACCAUGGCUGAAAGAGGGGAAGCAUAUGCAAUCAUGCUGAAGACGGAACACAAAAGUCCUGCUGCGUCGAUCCGCUGAUCUCCAUGUAGCAGAAACUGAGUAAGCAAAAUUGCUGCUGCUGGAAAGGCUACAUUAAGAGCUACAACAAGCAUGGCAGUCCUGGCCUAAGAUCAUAUACCACCAUGAAACAGAUCAAUGCAAGAGCAACUUGAACAGUAAUUAAUCUCAAAUACUUUGUAUGGUAGAAAUAGAUAAAACUUACCUUCAUUCUUGGUGGUGCAAAAAGUAGAAAUAUGGUAAGAAAAACGAUCUCCACAACGGCACCAAAAAUAUUGACCGUGGCCACCAGCACGCUAUUUGGCUUAAUAAGUCCAUAGUAAACCCAGAAAUAGGCGUUCAAUAACUUGCUAACAUAAGGAACACUCUCAAAUUCCUCAGUUGAUCUACGCCUCAGAAUUCGCACGAACACAUUUCUACAUCAAUUCCAAAAACAAAAACAAAAAAUCAUUGAAAUCAAAUCUGCACAAAAACUAACAAAACCAAGAUGUUGUAAAUUGCAAAAUCAAAGAGCUCACGCAGGAGAGACGUAGACUAAUCCCGACAUAAUGUUACCUGAAAAUACACAUGCAGAUUAAUACAUAUUUACAUCAAUUCAUAUGAACUCCAAAACAAAAAAAACAGAAGAGAGCUGUAUUGCUAAUACUUACCUAGCAACCCAAAAAUGACAACGAAAUUUAUUGCCAUGUUGAGGAAGAUUGAUGAAGAACUAAGGCUCAAUCCUGCCAGAAAUAGGAAAGAAGAAAGCUAUAUUUCUGGGGCAGGAAUUAAGACUUCUGUUUAAUCUGCCGGGCUUGAAGAGUAGCACUGGAGCUGUUUUAUUGACUUCUCUUCUUUGGAAUCUAAAGUCGCUGCAGUUAACUUGAGUUAGUGAGAGCAUGAUGCUGUCUGUACGUCCUUCUGAUUUUGUGCCUGAUUGCUGUGCUGAUGUUGCUUUAUCAAAUUAUUAGUUGUCAUUUUAACUUUUCUUCGCUACAUAUACAUAAUUAAUUUACUCUGCAUGGGUCGCUUUUUUAUCAACUCGCAGCGCACACCAAUCUGUCUUAGUCUAGCUGUUUUUGACCACACUACUUGCAAAUAAUAUUAUGUGACUGCGGUAUUUGUCUUCACUUGGUUGGAGGAGGUGUCAGAUUCGACUCAAAUACACGACGUCAAAGACGAAAUACAUAUUAGAUAGUGUAUUGACCUGUUAUAAAAGUAUCAUGUAAUUAUCCUAUUGUUUAUCAAAAUAAAAAAGACACAACGAAUUCUUAACCAAGCUUUUGUCUUUUAUAACGGUUAAACAAAACAAAAUGUAAGUAAACAAAGGGAAAAAGAAAAAGUUGCUCGGUCUUUUACUGGACUGAGACAGAAUCGCUUGCAUUGUGCCAUUAGUUAAGGGGGAAGCUUUAUUGUCUGCGAUUGUCAUCCAGGUGAGCUGCUGAGGCCAAACACUUAGUCGUGUGGCGCUUUACGCUUUACUUUGGUUCACUGAUAUGUCUGACCAAUCUGGUCUUUGCAUGGAAACAGAAACAGAGGGGGAGAAGGAGGUGAUUACUUGGUAAGCAUCCAUCACAUAAUCCCAAAAGAAAAAAAACAAAAAACAAAAAACAAAGUGAUGUGCCCCAGGAUCAAUGGAAAAGCAAUACCACCACCAGACUUGGAUUACGAUGAUUUAGAGGACAAAACACAGGGAGAGAAGGAGGUGAGAAGAGAAAUGAUAUUACAAACAUUAAAAAAUUCUAUUAUGGUAUCUGUAUCAAUGUGCUUUGAUUAAUUAAAAAGCAUCAAUAAUUCAUUUCAGACACAAUCUCAAACUUAAUGUCUUUUGAUUAGUAGUUUGCAAUGAUUGUCAUAAUGAGCGUAAAAAUUUUGUGUCCACUAUGAAUAAAAAAAUACAAUUCUCUUUUAUGUUCACUUCUAUUGAGAGAUUCUCAAAUGACUUUGUUUGAGAGAUAUCUUUCAUCAAUUGAGAAUUUUAUUUCAGCGAUUCGAAUCGUUUAAUUUUAGGGCUUUAUUCAUAGAUCAUGUUUGUAAAAAAUUAGACAAACCAAACGCCAUAUAGUUGUGAGCAAUAAAAUAGACGAACAUGGUGCUUUAAGAAAAUACUAAAAUGACAAAAAAAUUAAUUAAAUAGUCAAAUAGUUUCAAAUUCAAGUGAUUUUCUGCAAAAAUAAUCUCUAAGGACUGCUAAAAAAUAGAUUGUUCAGAUAACUGAAGUUCUAUGAUAGAAAACAACAAACUAACAUACAAGAAAGAUACUCAACAAACCACUAUUGGGGGCUUCUUGUCUUCAACUGCCAUCUUGGCUUUGGGACUUAUGGGAACUCCUCCAGAGGUAAAGUCAAAGCAGUGUUACGAAAUAAGAUAAUGGAGAGUUGUGUAGUUUUGGGGUUCUGUUAUCUCAAUUUUAAGACUCAUUUGGUUUUUGAGAUAUGUUGUGAAUUUAGCGUAUAAUACUAGAUACGCAUUUUUUAUAUAUAAACGAUAUAUUAUUUUAAUUUAAUAUAAAUUACAAAGAUGGGGAUUCAAACUCGAGUGCAAAGUGAAGUACACAUCCUUUCUAACCAACUUGGCUUAGCUCAUAAGAUACCCGUUUUAUAACAUGAGUAGAUUGAAAACAUUACACGGUGACAUAACUGUUACACUAUGUGACUGGAGAAAAUCUGCUAUUCUAUUCCUACCACGUGGCUUGUUUAUAUUAACCCACAUGGCAUGAACAAUCUCCCGUAAAUUUUUCUCCUGAGACUAGAGCGCAUGAAGUACACGCAGGAUCAGCAAAAUACCAAUAAAAGGCACAGAGAGGAAAAAAAAAAAAAAAAAAAGCAGCAACGUCAGGUCACUCUCGUUGGUCGUUGCCAUGUCACUCUUAUCUGAGUGAGCUCCACAAACUUUUAAAUCAAGAAUGAUGUUCCUCAAGAAUUUUUUAGCCUCUUGACAAUUCAAUUACAUUUCCACACAAAAAAACAAACAAAGAAGAAAAAAAAAACCACUCAAUUAGAUAUGUCGUUGCUGAUGGUGAUAUGAAGCUGAAUAUAAACCAACCACAUGCUCAUUUUACGUAUUGACUUGUUUUCCAACUCAUGGCCAUAUGAUUUGAUUGGUUGAGAUACAUUACAGCUCAAGUAAUUUUUUUCCCUAGAACAUCUUCAUAUACUUCAAAAACGUUUUUUCUAGUUCCAUUAGGAGGAAAGACAACCCUGGAGUUUCGAACCUGGGUGCCAAGUAUGGGAGAAGGAAGGGCCACAACCACUGUAGUAAAUCCGCUUGACUACUUCCAGUGGCGUAGCCACCAUAGGGUCAAUUACGACCCCAUGACAGCCAUAAGAAUAGGCUUGGAGGUCCCUAUUUGCUGGUGGUGCGACCCCAUGCACAGAAGCUGCUAAAAGUCCUAAAGGACAGCCAUGAGAAUAGGCUUGGACGUCCUUUUGCAUGAAGGCCUUGCAGCGCUGUGAGGCUCUUUUGUUCUUAAAUCGCCUGGAAAACGACGUCGUUCUGCAGGCUCUUCAUCUUUUUUUCAUGACUGACCUCAAAACUUGGUCGUUUUGAGCCAACAAAAAAAAAAAAGACACCCACCACACCCCUCUUUAGUCUUUACCCGACUCCACACCCCAAAAAUUCCCAAAUUAUUUCACACUCCCACUCCCUCUCAAACACUAAGCACCAACCUCCACCCCCCUUAAUUCCCAAUGACAUCAUGACAUGGAUGGUUUCUUAGAUGAGAACCUAGAGGUCCUUCACACUCUUCUAAUAAAGGUAAAACCUGAAAGUUUUUUGUUCUGUAUUAUCUCUUUUUAAUUCUUGUUGUUUUGAAAUCCUUGUAGAAUUGUAAUCUUUUAUAUGUUAGACAACCUUAUCUAUGGUUUCAAUUUCAAAUUAAUUCCAGACUUUGGCUAAGGCUUGCUAGCUUUUUUCUGACUUGUUCAACUUCAUUUGAUAAGGUUGUAGUUUGAGUUUCAAAUACCUACCGUGUAAAAAGGGCUUGAUGUAAUAUGUUACCUAAUGUACUCAACUUGUGCAAUAUAAAUAUCCAGCUCGAUCACAAUGAUGGUUUGCUAAUUUGAUCAAAACUCUUCCCUGUGAAGUUCAUUCUUUCAGUAUACUUGUUCUGGACUUGGCUAGAAAAGUUCCGUCCAAGUCGUUUCUAACACUGGAAUGUAGGUUUUGUGUGUUUGAUUAGUUGAAAGUGUUAUCAUUUAAUUUUUCAAUGUUAUUUAAUUUUAUUUUUUAAAUUAUAAUUUUUACACUAUAAGCUUAUGACCUAAGAAUCCUGGAUCCGCCACUGACUACUUCAAACACUUUUUAAAAACUUAAUUAGCCCCUUUUUGUGACUUUUGUUUUUGUUUUUGUUUUUUACUUUCAAAUUUUAAUUAAAGGUGAAAAAGGGUAAAUGAGAGGAUAGUGAGAAGAGAGAUGAUUCCUUGAAGAUAUAUAGCUUACAGAUUAUUGUUGUCAUUAAUAAUCUCCUACGUACACACUACUCAAAAAAAAUAAAAAUUCUCGACGGGUAUGGGUAUUGAUGCUCAUAAAAGGGGUUUGUAUUGGUAUUUUGGUGCUCAAUAAGCUAUGUCACAUAUACGGAUAUAGUGAUAUGGAUACACGACACAGAGAUAUAGAGAAAAGACAAAUCUCAAAAAACUAGGACACGGAGACACGACAAUUAAAAUUAUAAUAAUACUUAUAUAUAUUUUAAAACAAAUAUUGAUGUUCAUACUCCAAUUCCACAAUACUAUACAGUGAAAUUCAAGCUUUCCAAUGCCUUUAAAUAUAGUUUAUUAAUUUGAUAUGAAUUAUAAUUGAAUUAACAUAUUAGUUGACCUUGAGUAUGAAUUGACCCGUAUCGUUAGAGUGUCUUGACCAUGUAUGUGAAGUGUCUUGACCAUGAACACGGUGUUGACCAUUGGACAUGAGUUUCUGUUUUGGAGUUAGGGAUAGGAAACACCUGCAAGUGGGAAAAGAAAUUCCCACUCAACUUACACCAUGACACAUGGUCACAUGUCUCCCAAAUACCCCUCAACCCAAAGCACCAAUUAGAGCAACUCCACCCCUUAGGGCAAAGUCUAAGGCAAGGGCAAGCAAGGGCUGACACUAUUCAUGUGAAUAGUGUCAGUCUUACCAUUUGUGGUUCCACCCACAAGGGCAAAGUCUAGGGCAAUUACUAUUCAUUGUACUUUAUUUCCUAUUUUUUUAUACUUUAAAUCAUUAAUUUUGAUAAUCUUUUGUAAUUAAAUUUUCGGAUAAGAUUUUCGAAUGUGAAUCUCGGUUGCCACGUGUCUUAUUCCAGAUAAAAUUUUCGGAUAUUCAUUAAUAAAAAUUAUAAUCUCAGAUUUCCGAUAAAAUUUUCACCCUCUAAAAUUGUGCCACGUGUCCCAUGUCAGAUAAGAUUUUCAGAUAUUUUUAAAAAAUUAUAAUCUCAUAUUUCAGAUAAGAUUUUCACCCUCUAAAAUUGUGCCACGUGUCCCAUGUCUGAUAAGAUUUUCAGAUAUUUUUUUACAAAUAGUGAUCUCAGAUUUCAGAUAAGAUUUUCACCCUCUAAAAUUGUGCCACGUGUCAUCUCUAUCUUCUGAAUCCCUCUAUAUAACUACAUCAUCAACACCACUCCUCUCACACCAUCUCUGAUAUAUUCCUUCAUUUCUCAGAUUUUACAAAACACAUUAUACUCUCAAUGUCAAACUUUAGGAGGGUGUUGGAGAGGCAACAGAAAGAAUGGGAAGAAAUCCGACGUAGACGUGAGGAAGAAGAUCGGGACACCGAUGAAGAAGAGGAAGAAAUGCUUGAAGUAGCGGCGGUGUGUAUGAUGAAUCAAUCAAGCCAACACCAUCGUCGUCGUGCUCCGAAUGUGGACAGACACAGAGAGUCUCGGGGUAAGAAUCUCUUGGAGGAUUACUUUAUCCCAAAUUCGUUAUAUCCUGCUCAUAAGUUUCGAGAGAGAUAUAGAAUGCAGCCACAUUUGUUCCAAAAAAUCAUGCAUGAUAUUUGUAAUUACGACACAUACUUCAUUCAAAAGCAUGAUGCUGUUGGAGUUUUGGGUUUUAUCUCGGAGCAAAAACUUACAGCUGCUUUGCGGAUGCUUGCUUAUGGGGCAUCUGCAGAGCAGGUGGAUGAGAUUGCAAGGAUGGGAAAAUCUACUAUCCUAGAGUGCCUGGUGAGAUUCUGUGAUGCAGUGGAAAAUUUGUACACGAGGGAGUACCUUCGCAAACCCACUCCGAGGGACCUACAAAGGCUUCUACAAAAAGGCGAGGCUCGAGGUUUCCCAGGAAUGAUCGGAAGCAUCGAUUGCAUGCAUUGGCAGUGGAAGAAUUGUCUUACUGCGUGGCAAGGAGAGUAUGGGAAUCGGAAGGGCCAAAAAAGUAUCAUUUUGGAGGCCGUAGCUUCAUUCGACACUUGGGUUUGGCAUGCCUUUUUUGGGGUUGCCGGAUCUCAGAAUGACCUCAAUGUCCUUGGUCAAUCCCCGGUGUUCGACGAGGUAUUGCGAGGUCAUUCCCCUCAGGUCACAUACCAAAUCAACAAUACCGUAUACUCUGGUGCGUACUACCUUGCCAACGGAAUUUAUCCUAGGUGGACGACAUUCGUGAAAACAAUUCCGAAUCCCCAAUCCGAGGAGGAAAGAAGCUUUGCUUCCUUUCAAGAAGGUUACAGGAAAGACGUGAAAAGGUGUUUCGGUAUCUUGCAAGCUCGUUGGGCAAUUAUCAGGGGUGCUGCUCGGAUGCUAGACGAGGAGGUGCUGAGGAGUAUUAUGAUGACUUGCAUCAUCCUCCACAACAUGAUUGUGGAGGAUGAGUAUGACUACGAUGCUCCAGAGGUGUUUGAACCCGAUCCUAUGAACACGGCGUUGACAAGAAUAUAUGAAAGGUCGAUGAGACCAAAUGGACUACCAAUGGAGCCCAAACCUUUAGUUCAGGAUGGUCGAUUCAACAACCCCAUGAUUGAUCGUUAUCAAGAAAUGCAAUCUUCAUAUGUUCACGAAAGACGUCAAGUUGACUUGAUCGAGCACUUGUGGCAGAUGAAAGGCAAUCACAAUGGAUGAAGGCUAGAUUCGUGCUUUGUUUGGAAUUAUGCUUUGUUUUUAAUUAUGCUUUGUUUUUGUGUGUUGUGUUUUGUGGAAUUAUUGCGAGGUCUUUUUUUAUUAUUAUGCUUAUGUAUGGUUUGUUUUGUGUGUUGUUUGCAAUAAAUGAAGGUUUGUUUUUAAUUAAUCUUUGUGAGGAAUGCUCAAAUGUUUUUAAUAAUACAACAUUAGAGAAUGCUUUUUUGAUUGAAUAAAAAAGAAACAAUACAACAAAUUAAAGGAUAAUACAACAAUUUAAAAAAAAUACAACAAUUAUAAAAAAAUACAACAAUACAAUAUAAUGGUUUUCAUCAUUUAGCCAAUCCGUAUUGCUAGGUCCGUCGUCAUGGAAAAGUUUUCUUCUCAUCACAUCCCUUCGUUUAUGCUUCCAAUAGGCCUUUGUUUCAGGAGACAUAUGGCUCGUAUCCAUGGCCAUCAUUUUCAUCUCUCUUUCAUCGUCUUCUUUUUCUUUUGCAUGUUGCUUUUCAAUUGCAAAGGCUUCCAAUCGUGCCUUGUCCGCUUCAUCUCUCCUCAAGUCUUUCUCCAAUCUUAGAGAGUUGUUCUUAGCUAUUUGCUCGAAUAUUUGAACACAAUCAAUGUUCGAAGUGGCCCCUCUCUUGGCCUUUGCCGCCUUUCUCCCAAUAGGUCUCGGCGGACGUGGGAGUGGUGACUCCGUUUCCAUUGGGGAGUCUAAUGGCGAAUCGGUUGAUGGCGAUUCUUGGAGCGGCAUCUCAUGCAACACAACCGGGGGUGCGGUAGGAAUAAUUUUGAAUCUGAAACAAUCCUUGACAAUUUCCCAACAUUGGAAAUGCACAAAACUUUUUUUCCCUUACCCCGUGGCACCGAACCACAUUUGUGCUUGUAUGAUCUAUUCAAAAUAAAUAAUUGGAAGUGCAUUAAAAAAAUAUACAAUGCAAUAAAUUAUAAACUAUUUUGAAAUGCAAGAAUAAAAUUGAUUAUGUAAAUAAAUAUAGACAAAUUGAAAAUGCAAAAACAAAAAUAAAGAUUAUGCAUGAAAUUAUAAACUAUUUUGAAAUGCAAGAAUAAAAUUGAUUAUGUAAAUAAAUAAAGCCAAUUAGGAAAUACAAAAAUAAAAUAAACAUUGUGCAACAAAAAAGAAAUAGAAUAUGCAAUAAAAAAAAGUUAUCCCAAAUUGAUUAAAAUGGCAAUUAAAAAUAUUUUACCUCAUCGGAAAGAUUCACACCGCUCCGAAUGUUCUCCUUUGCUUUUGUCAAGGCAUUUCUCCAUUUCCCUAACUCUUUGUUUAGAAUUUUCCAUCUACUAGACAAAGUCAUUUCGGUCCGAAUGGAACCCGAUCUUUGACAAAAUUCUCCAUGAAUUUUGCUCCACAUAUGAUGGAACUUCAUCUCAUUGCCCGUGAUAGGGUCAUGACUAACGUUCACCCAAGACUCGCACAACGCAAUAUCUUCCUGGGUUGACCACGAGCCUCCGAUUUCAACAGAAGAUGCCAUUUGUUUAUUUUCUACAAAUGGAAAGUAGUACAAAAAUGUGAGUGGAUAGUAAAAAAAUAUUGGAAGGAGAAGAGUUUGUAUGGAAUUGGUGUGAAAAGUGGAAAAUAUGAGUAGAGAAUAAAAAAUAUUGGAAUGAGUUUGUAUGGAGAUUUGGUGUGGAAAAUGAAUUAUGUGAGUGGAUAGUAGAAAAUAUUGUAUGGAGAAGAAAUUGUAUGAAGAUUUGGUGUUGAAAGUAGAUAAAAUGGUUAGGUAUUUAUAGGGAAAAAAUACAUACAUUUUUGGUAUUUUUUUUAAAAAAAUUUCAGAAUUUUUUCGACUUUUUUCGGAUUUUUUAGGAUUUUUUUUUAAAUUUUUUUGGCCAAAAAAAUGAGAACCGUAGGAUUUCUGAAAAAAAAUCCAAUCGGAGCCACCCGGUGCCGACACGUGGCAGGUAACCGUUGGUGCUGACGUCAGCGCACUUCAGUCAAAUUUUUUUACCGUUGGCGCGUGUAAUACACGCGCCAACGGUAAAAAAAUUUGAAUUUACUGCGCUGACGUCGUCGUGACGUCAGCUGAACUCGGGCUCGAGCCCAGUCGAUUUUCGCCCUUGGGCCUGCCAGGGCUCGUGGGACCCGCAGCUUGCCCGGGAUGCAUUGCUCGCAUUGGAGCUGGACUUGGGCUGAUUUUUGCCUUUUGCCUGGGCCAACCCCUGGCGCUGUACAUGCUCUUAAUAGUAGACACAAAAAAAAAAAAAUAAACAGCGCCACUCCUCAACACAAAGAUUUGAUGGAGAUCUACCUCAAAUUGCAAGAACAAUACAACAUAAGCCAAAAAAAGAUUGAUCUACACCAAUUUGCAAAUAUCCAAUAGAUUGGUAGGAAGACCCUAGAACAACUAGGGGUGAGACAAACCUGGCAAUACACAAGGAAAACAAAAGCCUAGCACAAAAUUGGCUAGGAAAAAAUGCCCUCCAGAAAUACGGGGGGAGAUAAUCCGGUUUAUUCAUACGAUGAGAUGAUUCUACUGGGAAUGAACGUAUAAAGGAGAGGGAAGAAGAGAGAGAGAAAGGGGGAGGAGACUGUAUGCAGCUAGGUUUUCUUUUUCCUCUUUGCUAAUUUUCAUUGAUGGGACAUGAUUUACCAUUGGAUCUAUAUAAUUGUCUAUUAAAAUUACAAAUGAUAAAAAGAAAACGGAUUUUUAUCACAAGCGGUCCUUAUUUUUAAAAGUCUUUAAGCUUCCCAAUCAAUAAAUGUGGUUCUUUAUCUUUUGGUCUACACACCAAUUUGGUCCAUAUUACCUCAUUUCGACAAAAUUUUCAUUAAAUUUAAUCAUGUGACUAACUUUAAAGGGGUACUUUCACCAAAGUAUAGCUCUUGGUAGUCCUAAAACUCACAUUUUUUCUCAACAAGGCCAUCUUCACUCUGUUUAUGGUUUUACAUUUGGGUUACAUAAAGGAGAAUAGAUAACAUUAUUGACAAAAUACGUGAGAUUUACUUUUUGUCAUGUGUAGAUAGGUUAUAUUAUGACGAAAAUACCAUUUUAAAGUAAGUUAUAAGUGUCAUCACGUGAACAGUUUUAACAAAUAUUUUUCCCGAAUGUGAUGUGAGGGAUCAAACUGAUGUGUACACCAAAAAAAUAAAGGACCACAUUGAUUGAUUUGAAAGUUUAAGAACCCAAAUGAAGAUUUUGAAAAAUUCAAAAACUGUUUGUGAUAAAAACUCAAAGAAAAGAUUGAGGAAUGUAUCACUAAUUUGGGUCAUUUUCAGCAAUCUAUAAACGGUAUCAAUCUGAAUACCGUUUGGAGUGCCAACUUUUUUACAUUAAACACAGUAGAAAUUGACCAAGUGCUUUCCUUUCGUAUUCAUCUUCCUCCUCUUCGUCCCCCUUAACCUCCUAUACCAGUGCAAGUGGUGGCCCAUGUCAUGGUGGAGGAGUUCUUUUUCCAUCCCUUAUAUUUGUUUAUGAAAUUCACAAAUUAAUUUAUAAUAAAAAUUUCGUUAACAAGUAAUUGAGUAGUUAUCGGAAUUUUGGUUUGCAUCUGUGAAAAGCACCAAAAUGGUGUUUUUGUCAGGCUAUAAACCCACAAGGCCCAACCAAAUAGUGUGUAUACUUUGUAUAGCAAAUUAAUUAAUUAAUUAAUUUUCAUUUUUUAAGUACAUCAAAAUAAGGCCUAACAAAAUAAGACCAACGAAUGCUUUUGGACUAUCCGUAUCUUCCCUAAACAAUGGUCCUCUUUUCUUUGUGUUACACAAGCCCAAUUCGUUUUCAAAACCAGACUUGAAAAAGAGAAUUCAUGGAUCAUGAAUCAUGAAAUCAAGAAUAAGGGACAAACCAAAAGGGUAUGGGAUCGAUAACUUCAAACUUUUUUUUUUUUUUUUAAAGCUCUCCAGGGUUUAAUCCCUAAACACAAAAAAAAUUAAAUGGCAAAAACAGUACGAGUUUUAAGAAAUCAAGAAUAAGGGACAAACCAAAAGGGUAUGGGAUCGAUAACUUCAAACUUUUUUUUUUUUUUUUAAAAGCUCUCCGGGGUUUAAUCCCUAAACACAAAAAAAAUUAAAUGACAAAGACAGUACGAGUUUUAAGAAUUCUUAAUAAAUCAUCAUCAAAUGUAGCUUCAACCUACUAGGAAUCUCAUCAAGCACAACGAAUCCCAAAUUAAAAUUAUAGCCCACCUUUGCUAAACAAUUAGCCACCUUGUUUUUCUCCUUAUAGAUGUGGUUAAUCACACAAUUACCCAUUUGUCCCAUAAGAGCGUAGCAACUAGACAACAAAGAUGCCAUUAGAUGUAGAAUAAAGAGAAGAUUUUUGGAGAUGCCCCUUUGGAUAGUAAGUUUCAAAACCAAAGAACAACCAUCAUAUUUCAAUUGCUAGGAUGUCACCGCUCCCCUUAUUGGCCACAAAACCACCAAUCCAAUUCCCUUUAUCAUCGCGGAUUACUCCCCCAACACCAAUGACUCCAGACGCACAUUGGCACGACCCAUCAACAUUAAUCUUGAACUGACCAGUAUCAGGAGGAUCCCAAACAAGAAAAAUUUGAGUUGUGUUAAUUGGCAUAUGAACAGUAGAACUAGCCUUUACCCAUUCCUAAGUAGUAGUAAAAAUAAUAUUUCUGAUAUCAAAAACCAAAUCCUCUUCUUUGCCAAACACUUUCUUAUUGAGCCAUUUCCAGAUCUGCCAACAUGUAAAAGCAAAAGCGAUGUUCCACGAAAUUCCAUAUUGGCAAUGGGACUUAGUUAACAAAUUAACCCUCAACCAAGGCUGAAAAUCCAAUAGAAAAAAUUGCAAACUUAGAUUGUUUGGAAGAAAUAAGCUCCAAACACUUAUAGCCUCUCACAGUCAUGUAGGAUAUGAAAGACAUAUUCAAUAGGCCAACCACACAAACUGCAGGAAUGAUCAAUAGUUAGUUGCCUUUUGACCCGUUGCUCAUUAGAAAGAAUUUUACCUUAAAAUACAAGCAAGAAAAAAAUCUGCAACUUAGGAGGAAUAUUGAUAUCCCAUAUGAACUUCCAAGGACUAUUAGACCAUUCAAAUGGUUUUAAAAAAUAUACUAUAAGCAGGCUUCAGCAAGCACCAUUAUGAGUUUGUCAAUAUCCCACCAACCUCCCUCAAAGAAGUGAGAUACAUGACAAUUCAAAUCAAAGACAUAAGCAUUACCAUGGUGCUUAAGCAUAGGCUCAUCAUUCAGCCAUUUAUCUUGCCAAAACUUCACUUGAUCUCCAUUGCCAAUUCUCCACCCCAUACCCUUCAUUAGCAGAUCAGCACCAUGGAGGAUACCUCUCCAUGUAGAAGAAGAGUUAGGCCUUGAAAUCAGCGAGGGAUCCAUGAUGUCCUCACCUUGCAGAUACUUAGCCUCAUAAAUUUUGGCCCAUAAUCCACUAUCUUUAUUAUGAAGCCUCCACCCAAUCUUGGCCAACAAACUCUAGUUCAUAUGAGUUGUUUGCUUAAAACCUAAACCACCUUUGCUCUUGGGUGUACAUGCCAAAUUCCAUAGGCAUAAAUGGAUUUUGUUUUUCUUUUCAUUGCCUCCCCAAAAGAAGUUACGAUUAAGCUUAUCAAGCUCCUUACAAACACUUGCAAGCAAUUUAGUCGUUUGCAUAGUAUAAACUGGGAUAGAAGCAGUAACUGCCUUAAUAAGAGUGGCUCGCCCAGCUAAAGAAAAAAGUUUCCCUUUCCAUCCAACAAGUCUUCUGUGUACUUUGUCAAGAAGCCCAUUAAAAGUAGCUUUAUUAGGCCCAUAGUGUAAUAAAGGCACACCCAGAUAUUUGCCCAGAUUAUCGGUUAAAGGGGAACCACAAAUAUUACUGAUUUCUUGAGCAGUAUCCUUGCAGGUAUUAGGAGAUCAGAAAAUAGCAGAUUUAUCAAAGUUAACAGCUUGUCCCGAUGCUUGGCAAAAAAACCUUCAAAUAGUCUUUCAUGAUCUUGGCUUGUUGGGGACUAGUUUCAGCGAAAAGAACAAGGUCGUCAGCGAAAAAAAGAUGGGAAACAACUAGCCCAGAUUGAGAGGAUUUCAUAGGCUUCCAUAUAACCCUGUUAACAGUAUCAAAUAUAAGGAAGCGAGGGAACCAAAUUUGAUAGUGGACAGACUGGACACAACUCAUUACUAAUUGAAGAACCAUGUGUGGUAACCCCAUCUCACCAAGUACUUGCUCAAUGAAGUCCCAAUUAAGUCUAUCAUAAGCCUUUGAUAGAUCGACUUUCCAAGCAAUGAAACUUUUUUUGCCUUUGGAAAGUUUGAAUUUAUGCAUAAGCUCUUGAGCAAUUAGAAUAUUAUCGGUGAUAUGUUUACCUAGGACAAAACUAACUUGGUUAGGACUGAUGAGGCUAGAUAAAACAUGUAACAUCUCGGUCCUAAAUAAAUUUUAAAUUAUUAAUUUAUUCAGAUAAAAUACUAUUUUGCCCAGAAAUAUUUUAAUGGUAUAAAAGUUGACUUUUUGACCGGAAAGGAAUUUGAGAAUUUCAAUUAUACUAUUGCGUAGAGCACGUUGAUACGAGUUCGUAGACAUGUAAUGGGCCCGAAUCAGAGUUAUAACGAAGAAAAUACAAUUAAGAUAUGGUGAGGGGCAAAAUGAUAAUUUGUCAGAUCAGAUUUUAAAACCAUUAUCUCUCUCCAUGCGACACAUUCUCUCUCUCCUAAAUGACUCUCACUCUCUCUUCGAACCACCGCCUCCGACCACGAUGGCAAAUGAGACCGGUGCCAAAAGGACCAGCCCAACCCCACCGUCAAACCUCGGCCCUUCCCCGAUGGCAGCUGCAGUCUGUUUCGCCGGAAAGAGCCUGAGAACGACCAAUUUUUCACUGGCCUCGAUCUCUCUCCUCCAAUCUCUAUUUCUGGCAAGAAAGGUAUGGAAUCUCAUCUACUCUUCAAGCUCUCGCUGAUGGUUGGGUAGGAUUUGAUCAAUUUCUAGUGUUAAUAGUUCGAUUUUGGAUUCAAAGUUUGGUCGAAUUUUGAGUUGAGAUUCCAGCCACUUCCGGCCAUUUUUCAGGGUAGGUCCAAGAAUAAAAGUGGUUCCAAAUAGGGUGUUACACCUAGAGUAGGAGUCAUGAGCCGUGAUUUUGAGAUUUUCCGGCGAAGCGUUAUCACUUUGGGCACCACGAGUUGCCGGCGAGUGUGGCGGCCCGUGGGCACUGUGGCAAAGGGGCAUUGUGUCCCAAAACGAUCUCCUAGUUAUCAUGAGCAAGUAGGUGUGCUCGGAUUCCAUUUUGGAUACCAUUUGAGUGUCGAACGGAUUUCGCCUAUUGUGCGAUUUUCGGGUUCCAUAGGUCCGGACCGUUGGAUCAAACUCGAGUUCAUGUAUGUUGAUGCCAACCCUAGGGCUAGGUUUAUGGUAAUUAUCCGAUCGUGCGAUCGUGGGUAAUCCGACUGUCCAAUCGAGACCAAACUCUCGGGACAUGUGUCAUAGGCAUAUUGGAACCUCUAGGAACUCUAGGAUUAGAAUUUUGAGGUCGUGGACCCCACGAGGUCCCAUGUCGACUUUUGAGACUUUUAUCGAUUUUUGAGUCCCGAGCCACUUCUAGACCAUUCCAAAGAUGAGAAAAGCUUUUGUGGACAAAGUUGUGAUAAUUCUGAAAUAUGAGUUUCAAACCCACCGUAGGAGUACCUCCUAGUGGCCUUGAAACAAUUUGGUUAUUUCUGAUAAUGCCUCAUGAGUUUGGGGGACGCCUGGACUGUGUGGUGCGAGAAUUGAGGCCGAGGUUGACUUUGUGUCUCUGAGGCCUGCGUGGAAUGCGGCUAAUGCCUGCGAGGAUUGAGGCUGAGGUUGACUUGGUGUCUCUGAGGCUUGCGAGGAAUGCAGCUGAUGCCUGCGAGGAUUGCGGCCCAGGUUGACUUGGUGUCUUUGAGGCCUGCGAGGGAUGCGGCUGAUGCCUGCGAGGAUUGCGGCUCUGAGGCCUACGAGGAUGGAAUUAACGGUAUUAAUGGAAUUGACGGAUCAGGAUUAGGGGUAUGCCUAGGUGGAGAGAAUUUCAGUUCUGAGAUAUUCUUAAACUAAAAUAAAGGGAGUUCAAUGUAUGACAGAUUUAUAUUCAGUAUAUGAUUGAUGCGAGUAUUAAAAAGAACUACGUAUGGCUUGAUCCCUCAAUAAGGGUACAUAGGCAGCCUAAUGUCACAAGGUGCAACCACGAGUUGAAGUGUUUGAAAUUGCUAAUUGUACUAUUGAUGUUCUGGAAGUUGAGAUGAAUUUUGUUAGCAAAAUGUUGGAUGUGAUUUGUUGAGGCCUGAGGCCAGAAUGAUAUGAUGCUUGAUUGCUUGGUUAUAAUUUAAUGUAUGCUGGCAGUUGGGUUAUAUAAACAUAUAUGUUUGUUGACAGGUGGAAACUUUUGGGGAAAUGAGCAGAUUAGAGGGGAGACUCUGCUGAAUUUUCGGCAGAAGUCUAGCUGAUAGAUAAAUUGGUUUCUAGUUAGAAGGGCAAUUUGGUCAAAUAUGUUCGGCAACCGCCAGGUGUCAGACACACACAUGGUUCGACUCAGAUUCCAAAGUGAAAUUUGGGUCGGGUUAUGUCCAAACAGGUCUUAAUCGAGCAACAAUAACUUUAGAGAUAACUUUAUAAAGUGUGGAACAUAGGCUAAUGGGCUUAAACUGCAACAUACUGUAAGGAUUCUCCACUUUAGGAAUAAGGAUAAUUAAAGUAUUAUUGAGUUUGUAUGGUACCCUAAAAUUAUGGAAAACAGACAACACCAAACUACAAAUGUCAUUACCACAUUGCGUCCACUGAGUUUGGUAGAAACAUGCAAGAAAGCCAUCUAUUCUAGGAGCCUUUAAACCACGAAUCUAAAAGAGACUUUCCUCUACUUCCUCUAGUUCAACAGGAUUACUAAGAGAUACCAUAUCUGCAGCAAAGAUGCUAGGAAAGAGCUAAGACAAAGAGUUACGAAAAGGACUUGCAAAGGCAUUGGAAAAAAGGUUAAUGAAAUACUUUACCGCAGGAGCUUUUAUACCUUCAGAUUAAAUUCAAAACACAUUUAAGUUCAUGAGCAGUUGCAACAUUCCCAUAAACUUGCAAAAAUUAUUAAGAAAUCGAAUUAUGAAACAAGAAACUGCACUACAAUUUUUGGUAUAAAAAAACUGCAGUGUAGUUUAUGAAUGCUCAAAGAACAAUUGACAACAUACAAGUAAUUUGACACAAAACAGUAAACAUAAACUGCAAUGCAGAGUACACAAAAUACCAGCAAUAUUACACAGAAUAGUAAUGCAGAUUACAGAAAAAUCCAAUACAGUAUAGUAACCAUACCUUGAUUCCCAUUCUUUCUGGAAGCACAAAGAAGAUGCCCAUUGUACUUGUUCUUCAAGAAUGUAGCAUUAAUGAACAAGAAGGGUGUGCAAUAUUGAAAUCUAGCAAUGGAACCACCAAACGAUACAAAAAACCGUAUGAAGCGAUUAAUUCCGGCUUCACAUUCAAGCUUGCAUAGAGAACUACUGUUAGUUUCCUUUACGGCGUCCGUAUGCCACACUAACUCGUUGAAGGACUUCGACUCAUCACCAUGAACGUCCAGUUUAGCUAACUCUUUGCAAAACCAUGCGUGGUAGUAUGAAAUGUCUAUACCAUAAUAAUAUUUGAACUCGUGUAUAAUCUCAAGGCUUCAACUAUGGUUUUGCACGAAUUCUGUCCACAAAGAGAGACGACACCACACGAGACCUCAUCAUCUUACUCUUUGAUUCCCGUAUCCAACUCGCACAUGUAUGCACAUUAUUUAACGUCCGAAUUACAAAACAGCCAAUAGCUUCACAACGAGAUGCAUAAACACGCCAACUACAACCCUCAAACUUCUUAUUCGAACAAACAGCAAUCACCCGCCUCUUGUCAUUGUCGACAUAUAAAAAAUUAAAUCCUACUUCAAGAGCAUACUUGCACAAUUUCAACCGGAACUCCUCUGCACCACCGUCAAACUUCUGCCCGACAUGAUGUAUAUACGUCUCCCACUCAUUCGACAACAAAGGCUUAGCACUUGCUCUCUUCGACCUGCCCAAAAAUUCAUUUAUGUCUUCGACAAUACUAGAACACGAUGACUUGCCCUUUUCACAUGCUAUCAACUCCUCAUUUCCACAAAAAUCACCAUUAUACUCAUUGCUCCAGCAUAAAUCCUUAACUAAAAUAUCCACACUCUUCGCAUUUGAUAUCGACAAAUAUGCCAUCAUCAUGUCUAAAUCACUAUCUGUUUCUAGUAAACAACUCGAAUAACCAGGCAGCGAAUACUGUAACUUGAAACUACCCAACUGCAAACCCCUAAAUCUUAGACACAAAGUCUUCGAAACAUCAACCAUGGAUGACUUUGAUGAAACUGAAAACAUAAUGGUUUCCGACUUAUAUGUGCACUUGGCUAUCACAUGGACCUCCAUUUGCUUUGAAAAUGCAAAUAAAACAACAAACAAAAACAGAAAACAAUUCAAAUAAGUAAAUAAUGUAGAUUAGCAGUUGUAACAUUCUCAUAUACUUGCAAAUAUUAGUCUGAAAUUGAAUUAUGAAACAAGAAACUGCACUGCAGUUUUUGUAAAAAACUACAACAAAUGGAAACUGUAUGACAAAACAUAUGCUCAAAUUUGAAUACAAACCAAAAGGAAAAGCCAUGUUCAAAGUCCUAAAACUCAGUUCAAAACACAUUCAAGUCCAUAAGCAGUUGUAACAUUGCUAUACACUUGCAAUGCAGUUUAUGAAACCAGAAACUGCAAUAAACAGAAAUGGCAAUGCAAUUUACGACAGAAAAUCAAAAAACUUUGAAUAGAAACCAAAAGGAAACCACAAUCAAAGUACUAAACCAAAAUCCCAAAAACAUAUAAGUCGAUAUAAACGAAAAAGGUUCUAAAGUACUCAUCCCUCAACACCUAGGAUUGCCAAAAAUCUCCCCAACCAAAGAGUAGCUCAAAAUCAAAUCUGAAAACAAAACGAAGAAGAUAUGGUUUAGCAUUGAACGCCACAAGAUCGCGCCACCAAAUCGCGCCACAAAACUGAGUUUGAAAUACCUGAAUUAAGGAGAACAGAAAUCACCCAAAACUGACCGUCAUUUCGCAUGCAAACUAAACUAAAACGUAGCAGAAAAACGAAAACAGAAAGACAAAGAAAAUUGAACGAAAACCUACCAGAAAAUUAAAGCUCCAAUUGCAGAAUGAGAACUUGAGCUCCAAAACCUCAAAGCCGAAUGAAAACGAAAGAGAAAGACCAAAUCGCGCGUAGUUUAAAUAGCAAGGGGUAAAAGAGUCAUUUACUUUGUAAGGUUUAAAGAUGGGCCAGGCUUUUUAAGAAGAAGGGUAGUAUUGUCUUUUUAGUUUUAAUUUUUUUGCUGGCCCAACGAAUCUAAGCCUCCUCUUUAGCCUAAUCCAAAAUAACAAUUCUUUCCUAAGUAUGUAUGUGUAUAAUAGAAAAUUAGCCACACACGUGAAUUAAAUUGGCACAUGGGCUCCAUGCACUAAUCUCUUCAAUUUCUUUCCUUUUUUCUUGAGCUUUAUUUUUGGGUUGCUUAGUGAGGUGGGUUACAACGCUCUAGUGAGAGAGAGGGGAUACCUAAUGGGAAAGAAAAGAAUGGUAAAAUUGAGUAGUAAAGAAAUAAUAUUUUGAAAAAGGAGAAAUUGAACGGUAACUAAAAAGAAGUAAAUAAUAAUUAAAUAAUUAAAUUACAAAAAGAGGGGUAAAAAAGAACAAGACCCAUUCGAUUUUGUGAUUUCUGAUCUCCUAAAAAACCUACCUUUUGACCACCUGACGGGUCAGUUUGUUACCACAAUCACCCACCCUUUCUCUCUCCUCCUCCCCCUUCUCUCUUACCAAAACACCAAAACACCCCAUUUUUUGCUUCUCUCUCUCUUUCUUUCUCUUUCUCUGUUUUAAGUUUUCAUCACUCUGCGCUUUCUCAUGGUGUCCCAAUAAAACCCUAAUAUUUACUCCUACUCUCUCUCCGCAGGUACACUAAUCAAACCCUAACCACUCCUAUAUUCACUUGGGUUAUUAUGUAAACACGAUAAAUAUCUAUGUGUUUGUAUAUUUCUGGCCUUUUAGGGUUUGUUUGAUUUGAUUUGGGUUUUGUGGAUCUGCGUGGUGUGUUGCAGAGAACAAAAAGGACUUAAAUUUGAACGAGAAAUUGGGAAUUAAGGAUAGGAAUAUAUGUCCUUCAAUCAAUCAAGGUCGGAUAAGAACGAGACGCAGUAUCGGAAAACAGGGCGAUCCGCAAGCUCUAAUCAGCAGCACAGGGGAUACUCACCCGUGUACCCUAAGGGCACCGCCGCCGGCGCCGGUGGGCCCGCCCCCUCCAUCUCCUCCAACCGCAGGUGCUUAUAGGUGUAUUAUAUGGAGUUAUAUAUAUAUAUAUAUGUAUAUGUGUAGGGUUUGUUUGUUUCUGAUCAGUUUCAGUUUACUUUUAAUAAUCUUUGGACUGUGAUUCUUAAUUUGGGUUUGUUUUAUUUUUUUCUGUGUGUUUUUUAAUAAUGAGCAUGUUGGAAAUUAGGGUUUGCUGAUUUUUAUUUUAAAUAUUCAGUUUUAAGAAGAAUAAUAACAAUGCACAAGGAGGGCAAUCCAGGGGAAGUGUAACCACGGUAAAUCCUCUGGAUUCUGGUAUUGCUUCUACACAACGUGGUGGUGUACAGAAUGGAGCGCAUGUACAGCCCCAAUUGCACGGUACAGAAUUCAAAGUUCCAAUUUUCUUUCAGUCCAGAAAUUUAUGUGAUAAUUCAAAGUUCUCUUUUACAAUAUGUUUUCCUCAUUUGGCUUGAUUUUCAUGUCCUGCAACUUUUUCUUCUGAUUAUUUUAAUGUAGGAGGCUCUGAUGCACUGGUUGCAACCACAGCUCCCAGGACUACUGAUGCAUCAGCCCCUCAGAGAAGCACCCGAACUGUUCCAAAGGCUCCAACUUCUCAAUCUGCCUCCGUGACUUCCGACACAAGAACGCCCACUACACCAGCUAAGAGUAAGCUAAUACUAUGGACCAUGGAUUUUCUUGUUCUUGAUUUUGGGGAUGUUGGCAUAUUUUCAGAGUCACAUAAUAAUGUUAUGUUCUGUUGGUUUAGUCCCAGGAGAUGCUUCCCAGGGAUUUGCCUUUCAGUUUGGGUCUAUAAGUCCUGGUUUCAUGAAUGGGAUGCAGGUAUUGUCAUAUGCUUGUGAACUUUUGAUGAAAAUUCUCUUGUUUCCUAUAUAUCUAAGUGCUGGACGACUUUAUACUAUGUUUUUAAAAGUUGAAAGGUUGUGUUCCUUGUAGAUUCCUGCUCGAACUAGCUCAGCACCCCCAAAUUUGGAUGAGCAGAAACGUGAUCAGGUUAGCAUGUUUCCUUCUCUCUCCCCUGGUUGUGUACUUGUAAAUAAAUAGUCCGGUGAAUUUUUCCCAUGAUAUUUUUUGACCGAAUCCAGCCAGCAGGUGGUUUCUUCCUAUAAUUCCCUUCUCUUUGCAAAUAAGAUGAAUUUUUUUUUUAUUAGUUAAAUCAUUUUGUUAUAGAUUGUCUGAUUGCCUUUGUAUUUAGAUUCAAUAUUCCCCCCACGAUAUUUAAUUUCUAUGAGUAAUUGGGUCACAUUGGGUAGAGUUGAUAUUUUAUCGCUGAUAAUACUUUGUAAUUUUUGUUAUUAAUUUGUGAAAUGAUUAUACUAUGUUUGAACAUGUAGGCGCGCCAUGAUUUGUAUAGAACCGUGCCCUCAGUGCCAACUCCUAAUAUUCCUAAGCAGCAAUUACCAAGGAAAGAUCCAGCUUCCAUGGAUCAACCUAAUGCUUCUGAGGCUCAUCUGGUGCCCAAGGUUAAAAAGGAUGUGCAACCCUCACAUGCAACCCCUGCUAGUCAAACUCAGAAACCUUCUGCUCUACCAAUGGCUGGGAUAUCCAUGCCAAUGCCAUUUCAUCAGCAACAGGUUUCCGUGCAAUUUGGUGGCCCUAACCAGCAGAUUCAGUCUCAGGGUAUGAGUGCCAAUUCAGUUCAAAUUCCAAUGCCUAUGUCAGUACCAAUUGGUAGCAAUCAAGUACAGCAGCCGGUGUUUGUUCCAGGUCUGCAACCCCAUCCAAUGCAGCACCAGGGAAUUAUGCAUCAGGGCCCUUUUACCCCCCAAAUGGGUCCUCAGGUGCCUCAGUUAGGCAGCAUGGGGAUCAGCAUAGCGCCACAAUACCCCCAACAACAGGGUGGGAAGUUUGGUGGCCCUCGUAAAACUUCUGUCAAGAUUACACAUCCAGAUACACAUGAAGAGUUGAGGCUUGAUAAACGAACCGAUUCAUAUUCAGAUGGUGGGCCAUCUGCCCCCAGGACUCACCCUAAUGUUCCUCCUCAAUCCCAGCCUAUACAAUCAUUUGCCCCUUCCCAUCAUAGCAGCUAUUAUGCCAAUUCUUAUUCUGGUUCCCUAUUUUUUCCAGCUCCAAAUUCUCAUCCUUUAACGAGUAGUCAUAUGCCACCCAGUUCACAGGCACCAAGAUUUAGCUAUCCAGUGAGCCAGGGUCCCCAAAAUGUACCCUUCAUUAAUCCGCCAGCUCAUAAUGCCCUCCCUGUUAAUAAGGCUGGGCCCCCUAUGCACAAUGUUGUGGAUCCACCCAACGUGGAACAUGCACGUGAUAUACAUAAUGUACCUGCCGCUGUUCCAUCAGCAACUAUUCCCGUCGUAGUUAAAGCGGCUGUUGGAACUGUUGGAGAGAAGGCUGUCGACCCAGUACCAAACAGCUCCGCUGCUGUUGAAAAAGGUGAACUUCCCAAGCCUUCGAAAUCAUCUGGAGAAAUUAGUCAAUCUCAUCCUCAGAGGUACUCUGAGCUUUCAACUGAUGGCUUAAUGCACAGUGACCAAUCAAUCCUCAAAUCAUUGCCAGUGACAGCAAAAGCAUCUGCAGGUAAUCCUGCUGCUGUAUUAAUUGAAAGCCAGGUAUCAAAUCCUUUGUCCUCUGCUUCAGCUGCUCCAACUGAGGAGUCUGUACCAGUUGUGACCACCACCGAGCCCAGAAGAAAGGAAACGCUUAGCCGUUCAAACUCAAUUAAAGAUCAGCUGAAGAAGCCAGGCAAGAAAGGAAAUAAUCAAACACAGCAUCAGGUACUUAUUUUCUGUACUUUCAUAUAACCUUCCUUUUUCUUCUCUUCACUAUUUUGAAGGAAAAAAAUCUGAGUUUCAUCUGUUGCUUAUAAUUUUUGUUGGCAUGAAUGUACACCCUUGAUCACAGGUUGUUGGGCAGUCUAUCUCUACAUCAAGCACUCCCUCUCGGGCUUCAGAACAUGGUAUAUCUUCUAGUAGUGAUGGUUCUGGAACUGUAGAAACUAAUACAACUCUUGCUCCAGUAAGUGGUGAUUCUGUGUCUGAAUCAGUGAAGGAAUUACUCUCGAAUGUUAGUGCUGCUACAUCUGAUGGUUCUGAAUCAAAGGCUGAAGCAAUUGGGGAAGGCAUUCUCCCCCUCUCUUCUGAAAUAUCUGGUGCUGUGGUUGUUGGCAGUUCUUCAGAUUCUAUUCAUCAUGGUCAACUAGACAAUUCUUUACCGCUAGUUAAACAGGGAAAACAUGACUUGGGGGGAGCAGAAAAACAGGCAGAACAAAGUUUGUCUGAAAAUUACAGACAGGAUACUAAUAGUCGUGAUAUUUCUGCAGAACCUAUCUCCAUAAAACCUCUGGAACCUGUUAAAGAAGAUGCAGAGAAUUCUAAAGGCAGUGCUGUCGCAACCUCAGAAACUGCACAAGGAGGGCAGGCCCAACAUGAGAGUUGCCAUGCAGAUUUUGACGGAAAGGAUGCCUCUUCAAGCAGAAGUGAUACCAUGGGUAGUAAAGAAGUUGCUGUUUCAAAGUGCAGCAAAUUAGACCAGCAGUAUGCUCCUGUUCAAACUACAGAAGUUUCAGGUACAACUACGACAAAUGAAGGGAUAAAUGUGGAGAAUACUGGUGGCGGUGGGGGAAGUAUUGAGAAUAUUGGUAGUGGCGGGGAUCCACUUACAGUGUCAGGCUCCAAGGACAAACCCCUUCCUGAACUGAGUAGACAGAAGAGUACUACUUCAAAAGGGAAGAAGAAAAGAAAAGAAAUUCUAUCCAAGGCAGAUGCUGCUGGUGUGACGUCUGAUCUUUAUGGGGCAUAUAAAAACCCUGAAGAAAAGAAAGGUAUUGCCUCUCCUGAAAGCAUGGAAAGCACUACUGGCAUAGUUUCAAAGCAGGUAGCUACUGAUGCUCCUCAGCAAGAUGCUGUUGGGAGAGAAGAAGAUGCACCGAGUAAAGCUGAGCCAGAUGAUUGGGAAGACGCUGCUGACAUCUCUACCCCAAAACUGGAAGCCUCAGAUAAUGGAGAACAGGUCCGGGGAGGAGGGGUGCAUUCUGACAAAGAUGGACAUGGGCAUGGGGCAAAGAAGUAUUCCAGAGAUUUUCUUUUGAAGUUUUCUAUGCAAUUUACUGAGCUUCCAGAAGGUUUUGAAAUAAUGUCUGAUGUAGCAGAGAUUUUGAAUGCCCAUAUCAAUACUUCUCCUUCUAUUGAUUAUGAUUCACUCCCUAGUCCGGGAAGAAUUAUUGACAGGCAGGGAGGGGCGAUAAGACUUGAUCGUCGUGGGAGUGGAUUGAUUGAUGAUGAUAGAUGGAAUAAGGGCGGUGCUGCCAAUUUCCGAGCUGGCCAAGGAGUAAAUUUUGGUGUUUUGAGGAAUCCACGUCCAUCGACACCAGUUCAGCAGCAUGUUAGAGGGAUCCUUCCUGGGCCUACUCAGUCUGUUGGUCCUCAGGGGGGGAUGCAAAGAAAUAAUUCUGAUGCUGACAGGUGGCAGAGAGCUUCGAAUUUUCAACCAAAGGGUUUGAUGCCUUAUCCUCAUACUCCAUUACAGGUGAUGCACAAAGCUGAGAGGAAGUAUGAAGUGGGUAAAGUGAGUGACGAAGAGCAGGCCAAGCAAAGGCAGUUAAAGGCUAUAUUAAACAAGCUAACUCCACAAAAUUUUGAAAAACUAUUUGAGCAAGUAAAAGCUGUUAAUAUCGAUAAUGCGACAACACUAACUGGUGUCAUCUCACAGAUAUUUGACAAGGCUCUUAUGGAGCCUACUUUUUGUGAGAUGUAUGCUAACUUCUGUUUUUAUCUUGCGGGAGAGUUACCUGAUUUCAGUGAAGACAAUGAAAAGAUAACUUUUAAGAGAUUGCUUUUGAACAAGUGCCAGGAGGAAUUUGAGAGAGGAGAAAGAGAGCAAGAGGAAGCCAAUAAGGCUGAUGAGGAAGGUGAGGUGAAACAGUCUGAAGAGGAAAGAGAAGAGAAAAGAAUUAAGGCGCGAAGACGAAUGUUGGGUAACAUUAGAUUAAUCGGUGAGCUAUACAAGAAAAAAAUGUUGACAGAGAGGAUUAUGCACGAAUGCAUUAAGAAGUUGUUAGGUCAGCAACUGACUCCAGAUGAGGAAGAUAUUGAAGCUUUGUGCAAACUAAUGAGCACAAUUGGGGAGAUGAUUGAUCAUCCCAAAGCCAAGGAGCACAUAGAUGCAUAUUUUGACAGGAUGAAAAGCUUAUCGAAUAACGUGAAAUUAUCUUCUAGAGUUAGGUUCAUGUUGAAGGAUUCAAUUGACUUGAGAAAGAAUAAAUGGCAGCAGAGGAGGAAAGUUGAGGGUCCGAAAAAGAUUGAGGAACUGCACAGAGAUGCUGCACAAGAACGACAGGCACAGGCUAGUAGGCUAGGCCGUGGUCCAGGAAUGAACCCAUCAGCUAGAAGGACUCCUAUGGAUUUUAGUCCAAGAGGAUCAACUAUGUUAUCUUCACCAAAUCCCCAGAUGGGUGGUUUCCGUGGGAUGCCUGCUCAGGUCCGUGGUUAUGGUAGUCAGGAUGUCCGUGCAGAUGAAAGACAUUCUUAUGAGGGUAGGACCUUGUCAGUUCCCUUGACUCAAAGACCCAUCGGUGAUGAAUCUAUUACUUUGGGUCCCCAGGGUGGUCUUGCUAGAGGAAUGUCCAUAAGAGGACCACCAUCAAUGUCAGCUGCUCCUCAUGCUGAACUAUCUCCCAGUGUCGGAGACUCCAGAAGGAUGACAGCUGGUUUGAAUGGUUUCAGUUCUCUUUCAGAGCGUCCAACUUACAACCCAAGGGAUGAACAUAUGCCAAGACAUUUGCCAGAUAGAUUUGCAGGUCCAGCUGCUUAUGAUCAGUCAAAUGCACCGGAGCGUAAUGUAAAUUUUGGUGGUAGGGACCCAAGGAAUUUGGAUCGUAGUUUCGAUAGAUCUCGUCCAGCUUCACCAGCCACGCGUGCACAUGCUCCAGCUUUAACACAAAAUGUUCCUCAAGAAAAGGUGUUGACUGAAGACCGUCUCAGAGAUAUGUCCUUGGCAGCAAUUAAAGAAUUUUACAGGUAUGUCCUUAUCUCAUGCAUAUGCUUCUGUUCUGAUGUAUUUGUGUUAUUUUCUUAGGUUGAUAUUUCUCAGAUGCGAUAGUUUUUUAGGUGCUUGCUCAAAAUCUGUGUAUAUGUAGAGUGUGAUUUGUGUUGUAUCUGUGAAAGAAAAGUAGAGCAUGUGUGCUGUGCUUAGGGGAAUGGAUGGGACUUAGGACCAAUGGUUGGUAAACUUCCUUUUGCAUAAAUAGAACCUAGUAUGUACUUGCUUGUUUCUAUGGCUUUGAAACUGACGUCACAGGCAAUUAAGUCUGUGGUGGAUGUAUUUUUUCUUCUCCCCUAGGGCAUAAAGCAGUGAUUUCUACUUACUCUCGCAUUCUUCUUGAUAACCAACUUAUCUACAAUUGUUUGAUUUGAGUUGGAAAAUUCACUUCCUAUGCAGUUGGUCAAUUGUUUUAGUUGUGGUCUUGGUUGAACCGGAUACUUGCAUUUGUUUAAAUCUUUAUGGUUUUCCAUGUCUAUCUUGAAAAUUGGGCUUCAAGUGCUAAUGUAGAGUGUUUUGGGAGCUUAGUUUUUAUGCACAGCUUAGGAAAAUUUGGAAAUAAAGAAUUUGGACCAUUUAGCAUGUAGCUACUAGCCACACAGGUUUAUAUGCGGGUGAAGAGAAUCAUAAUGCUAAUGUUUCUCAAAUUUUUGGGAUGGCUCUCUCUCCCUCUCUCUCUCUCAGAGAAAUUGGACUUCACCUCACUAUUAUCAGAGUGCAAUUGUGACUCGUUUAAAACGAGCACAAAUGUGAAAUUUAUGGUUUUGCAUUCAUGGGUCUGAGAAACUCUGGGAAGUUAUUUUGCAAGGAGAGAUUGUAGACUAUAGUGUUAACCUGCUUCUUUGGUAACAUCAUUUCAAAAAUCUUGAAUAAUGUGAUCACUAAAGAUCUGUAUUUAAUUAGUUGUAUCCAUUCUUGUUUCUGUUCCUCAUACUUGAUACUAGAGUCAGACCCAUCUAUGGUGGCUGCUUAUCAGUCUUUGACAUUAAAGAAAUUAAUACAAUAUCGUUGAUGUCCAAAGUCUACUCAUCGGCUUUCUAAGAAUUCAUGUUAGACAAGAUUCUAUGCUUUGGUCUGUGUAUUGAAAUUAUUCACUUUUGGGAUAGAGUAAAAGCAUGGAUCCAUUUAGGAGUAGUAGCUAGACAGUGGUUUUAUUUUAUUUACGCACCUAAUCUAUGGUUUAUAUUGUUUAUAGCUGUAAUUGUAGCAUGUUGGUUUGCGAAGACUAAUUCCUUGUUUGUAUUAACAACUGAAACCCAUUGAAGUAAACUGGAAUUUAGUUAACACUACCGGUUUUAUAUUACUGUUAAAAUAAUGAAGCACAUAGAUGAAUCGAGGUUCUUUUCAACAACAAAAAAAGGUUCUAUGGUGACUUUCAUUGAAAUACAUUGUUUAUUAUUCACCUCUCAUAUUAUUAGAUGGGUGCAAUAUAUUUUUGUGCCUAUUAUGUGGGGGAAACUUUUGAAAUGUUUUGUAGAACUUGUGAUAUGUUAUCUGUUAACUCUUGUUAAGAUUUUCAUAAGCUUUUUCUUAAUUUAUUUAUUUUUCUUCAUAUUUCAGUGCCCGAGAUGAGAAAGAGGUUGUUUUAUGCAUCAAAGAGUUGAACUCACCAAGCUUCCAUCCAUCAAUGAUAUCUCUUUGGGUCACAGACUCUUUUGAGAGGAAGGACACGGAAAGAGAUCUCUUGGCAAAGCUUCUAGUGAACCUUACAAAGUCCCAUGAUGGCACUUUGAGUCAAUCCCAGCUCAUCAAAGGGUAGGAAAGUUUACUUUUUCAUUUGGUUAUCGAAAUUGAUGGCCUUCUGUAUAGUGUGGGUUUUUCUUUUAUUUAAUUUCUUAUUCAUCUGCCCAGGUUUGAAACUGUUCUCUCUACCUUGGAGGAUGCCGUGAAUGAUGCCCCUAAGGCACCGGAGUUUCUUGGCCUCAUCUUUGCCAAAGUCAUUCUAGAAAACGUUGUUGCCUUGAAACAGAUUGGGCAAAUAAUAUAUGAAGGUGGAGAGGAGCCAGGGCAUCUUCUGGAAGUUGGGCUUGCGGGCGAUGUUCUUGGAAAUAUCCUGGAGAUUAUCAAAUUAGAGAAAGGAGAUAGUGUUUUGAAUGAGAUUCGUACGGCCUCCAGCUUGCGGUUGGAGACUUUUCGGCCUCCAGAUCCUCGCAGAUCAAGGAUACUAGAAAAGUUUAUUUAGAGAGGUAGUGAUGCUCAUUGUAAUCCUGCUAGAAAAAUUCAUGGCUAGUGCUUUUAGGGUUCUAAAUGAAUUUGCAAAAAUAUAUAUAUAUUUUUCUUGGUGGAGGCAGGGUGGGAAUUUAUGUAUGGAGUUAUCAUUCUCCAUGUUUUAAUGUUAUUUCUUAAAAAUAUUUACUGCAGUUAUGAAAGGUUCAAUUGAGCAUCGCAUUUUAUGGCCUCUCUUGUGAUUGCCCUUCUGUUGUUCUGGUUGGACUCAUAACAAGCUAGCUAUUUUUGUGAAAACUACUCUAAAGCAUUCGGCCCUGUAAAAUUUCGUUGGAAUUAUAAUUAUGUAUCCAAUUUGUAGAACACAAUGUUGGUUUUCAAAGACAUGAUUUGGAUGUCUCAUAAGGCUAGUUUUCCUAUAAAAACUAGAAAGCAUCAUAUUAGAUGGAAUUGAAAUAACAAAUUGGUAUGUAAAUAUUAGAUUGAGUGGAUUUGAAACUAAGUGCCCGUUUGACAUUGCUUUUUUGGGGUGAUAAGUGAUUUUUUUAAAAAAAUUAGGAAGUCCAGCUCGUUUGGUAAACUACGAAAAAAUCAUUUAUUGUUAAAAAUUGUUGUGAGAGAAAGCUAUAAGGGAAAACAACUAAUAAGAUGCUUUUAUUUUCUGAUUAUGCAUGAAUCAAUUUAGAAGAGGCUGAGUUUGAUGAUUAUGCAGGAAUCAUUUUUUAAUUAUGAGGAAAUCAGUACCAACAACACUUUUUAACAAAAAAUUUAUUGAACGCCAAACUGCUUUCUCUCACAGUUGAUUUCUCUCAAAGCAAAUCUGAUAGCAACUAUUUUCACAACACAACAAUGCCAAACUAGUCCUAAUAUAUGAAGUAGUACAUUGGAAAUAAUUAUAUGCAAAGAAUCAUUUGAAAUUUGUUCAUGUUUUUUUUUUUUUUUCAUUUUCUUCUCAUUUAAAUCUUAACAUGUAUGGAUUGAUUGUCAAAACAAACAAUUUAAUUUUUGUACGUUCGGGGUACACCUAUACCAUCCAAUACACAUGAGACAUGUGGAAAUAUUUUCCAAUACACAUAGGAUAGAAAAAUAAAAUAUUUCUAUGCAUAUUAGAUGGUACAAGUGUACCCGAAACAUACAAAAAAUUUCUCCUAAAUGAGCCCUAAAAGAAGCCGAACGAUUUGAGUAAUUUUCUUUCUUGCUUAAAGUUUAAGCUUCGUAUAUAUCUCAGAAGAAAGUUAAAGCUUUGUAUGGAAAAAGUAGGUGAAGUGUAGCCAAAUCUUACAGUAAUGUGCUUUUCAUGCUCUACACGUCAUAAAGUGGGCAUGAACACUUUCUGAGAGGUACUUGCAAAUUUGCAAUCCAUUUUAUCAAGACAUACAAAGCAUAUAUAUAUAUAUAUAUAUAUAUAUAUAUAUAUGGGAUGGUACAAAAAGCAUUAAGAUUUCUAUGCUUUAGGGUCGACCAAUGCUCACUAAAAGAUUUAAAGAUUCUGUUCUUCUUCUGGCUAUGGUGUUAAAAAAUCUUUUCUUCACUUGCCCACUAAGUUUCUUUUGGAUACAAAGCAAGAGCACUUGCAGCAGCAAAGAGGGCAUUGAUGGUUUCUUAGCGUUCGAUUGCCUCAAGUACAGUCAUGCUGUGGCUUUACUGGGAAGAAAAUAUGAUGUCCAGUUCAUGUUCGAGACCUUUUGCAUAUGGAAUUCCAUAUGGUACGUUUAAUUUGUUUAUAUUAGUGACAUGACUGCAAAAUUUGUUGUUUGUUUACAUCAUUUUUAUGAGUCCUCCAUUAUCUCUUUUACUGUCUUAUUUAUUUCCCCCUCUUCAAUAAUUUUUUUUUAUUUAACCAAAAGCAAAAACCGUGUCUUCCUCUUCUAACAGCAAAUAAUUAAGUGCCUAAUUCUUUCAUUGCUUAAACAAGCAAAGAGAACUCCAAACUUUUAUAAACGAAAAUGACAAAAAGCCAUUAAUUUCAGAAUUUCUAUAUGAUAAAAUAAACAAAUAUAUAUUACUUAUUAUUAUUAAUAAAAAUAUUAUCUGUUUUUUUUCUUCUCUAAAAUUCUCCCCAAAUGGCCAUAGAAUCAUACUAGUUUUUUCUUUUUCCCCAUAAUCUAACCCGAGACAAAGUCCUAAAACAAUCAAUUUAAACGAUAACACAAACAGAGUUUGUUUCGCUGUGGUUGUGCUUUGACAUUCAAAGUGCUAGUCGGUGGGUGUACAAGAAUUUUGCUUAACACUAAAUUUUUAAUACCAGAAAAGUAAGAUGUAGACACACGGUUCAAAAAAUCUAUAGCCUAAAAUAGUAUAGGAAGAAUCUAUUUAUUACUCAUCAAAGGAGUUGUAUCAUCAAGAAUGUAUAGCCUAAAAUACGUUCUCUGAAAAGUAAUAUCUGUUAAUCAUAUAGACAGAAAAAAUUAUAGGGAGAAAGGCUUUGUAUACACAUCGAAUGGCUCGCAGGCAGUUAAUUGCGGCUCCUGCAACAAAGCAAAACAGAAUGGUACAUCAGUCUCUAUAAAUUCAUUAAAACCAACGAGUUGGAUGCCAAUACACUAACGAGCCUGUCACAAGAUCAUUUGGUGCGUGCUCAUGCCUUGAAGUCAAGUGCAAAUUGAACUUGUCUCUAUGCUUUCCUAUAGAAAACUCGAGUGGAAAUUUACCCCUAUUUCCAUAUGUUGGUAUUACUAUAUCAUCAUUUAAUUUCAAAAACUACUAAAAACAAGUCGUGCAAGCUGAUACCUGUCUCAACCCGCCAGUGUCACUGCCUCCUGUCAGAAGCAUCCCAAGGAGAGAUGUAACACCACCACCACCACCACCAAGGAGAGAUGUAACACCACCACCAAGGCCACUACCACUACCUGUACUUCGAAGAGUAGAACGCAUAGAAUUGAGUAUGCUUCCAUAUGUGCCCGCUUGUCCACGUUCAAUUGCUUGGAUGAAGCAGAAAGUCAUGGCACCUGUUGACGUGAUCUUUGAUAGAGCCUGUUCCCAAUAAAGCAUGAGAUCAGACAUGCUCUACUUGAGAUUUAAACUAUAAUUUUAUAAACUCUAGACCUCUUUUAUCUUUUCAAACUUACAGAUGUAUCAGCAGAAGUCUGAUCAUCAUCACAACCACUGAACGAAAUGACUUCUCCUCCACUUGUGCCUUUCCAUACACCUGAUCGAGGGCGAUGAUCCUCCCAUACAUAUCGUCCAUUCCUAAAUCAAGAAAGGAAAUUUAUCCGUAGUAAGAAAUCCCUACUUUAGACAAGGAGUAAUCAAGUAGGUAGACACAGAAAGGAAACUUAUCCAUAGUAAGAAAUCCCUACCUAUUGCAGAUUGUUAAAAAAAUUUAAUGGAAAGGAAACUAACCUGUCCAUUCGACAAAGGAAUGGCAAAUCUAGUACAGUGCCGCUAUGACAAGCAUCUAUUAUUGCAUGAAGCUUAACCCCAUGAGGAAUGGGCCUUACAAUCACUGCAUUUAUCUCAUCAUCAACAAUCAUACCCUGAGUUUCGAAGUCAAGGGGACAAAGGGUUUCAUCAUAUCCAUCUACUUCAUCACCAUUAUAAUUCCUCUGUCGUGAACCAUGACCAGAGUAAUGAAACAGGAGGGAGUCACCAGGUUGACAGCCUUGUACAAGCCAAUGUAAUGCCAUUCUAAUGUUGUAUUUGUUUGGAAUCUUGGAUGGGUGAGUUUCUUCUUCUGCAGUUCAAAAUAUGGGUACAAAUUAUGAGUAGACAUGUUAUUAAACAUAAGAAAAAGAAAUAUAUUCACCAAAGGGUUUGGAAAUUGAAUUAGAGCAUCAAGAAAAAUUGAAAAUUACUGUGUAUUUGAAUGCUAAUUAUUCUAUAUUGAAAAGACAAGAACUUUCAAAAAGAAAAAUGGAAUCAAACUACUUCUUUAAAACUUUUAGCAGAUCAGUUCCUACACAAACAUUUUCUCUGUGUCACUUUGUCAGAAGAAGAAGGAGAGAAAUUCUGAUAUUGGGAGGGCAAAAGACUAUCGAAGAAAUAUAUAUUAUAUAAAUCAUUAGUGUUACAUAUAUAUAUAUAUAUAUAUAUAUACAUACACAUAUAUACACAUAUGAAGACACCUACAAAAUGAUACACCAGCAGAAAUGUUCCUUUUUAUCAACUACCGAUGAUGAGCAGAGUGAAGCCACAUGACAAAAAACUACUUAACGUGAUUUUAGUGCUUUCAACUGUUAAAUGACAACAAUACAAAAGCUGCAAAAUUUUAAUUCUGAUAGAACCAAAAAAAAAAAAAAAAAGAUCCUGUAAAUACUCAAGCCGUCUGCCUGCCUUCAGUUGGAAUAAAUGUUCCCCAUGCACAUAUCUACUACUCGCCAUAGGCCAUCUCAAGUUUUAUUCUCUUAGUUAUUUUUCAGAAGUGCACUAAGCCAAAUAUCACACACAGCCAUAGGGCACUCUACGUCCUAGAUCAGCUCUGUGAUAUCCUACAAACAAGAUCUACACGGUUCCUGUGAACUGUACAAGCUCAGCUUGAGAGAGUCACAAAAAGAUCCAAGGUCCAGAAAAGAAUUAAGUCCAUUGAUGAUCUAACUAUCAAAUCAUGCACAACAAAUUGUACCUACAAGUUCCCAUACAACACGCCUUUUAUCAGGCUAAUUGUCAGUAACUGAUUUGUUCAGCUAGACAGCACCUUAAGUUUAUCGUUUUCCAGAUAAGUAAUUUCUUGUGAUGUUCUUGAAAGAAGCUCAAGAGUCAUAGAAUGAUUACUAAAAUCAAAGUGUCUUCUACAAUUAGUUAGGUACAUAAUAUACCAUAUAUAAUGCACGCAUUGCGAAUUCAACUCCUAGUUGUUAACAGAAUUUUGGGUUGUUCUUUCUUCUUUAUCCCCACAAGCACAAAUUUCCCUUUAAAUGCCCAAAAACCCUUCACUAAUAUCUUCACUUCUCUGCUAAGUUAAAUGGCCAAACAUCCUAUUUGGAACUUCUAAUUGAUAGGAUUCACAGCUGCUUUUCUCAUCCAAACCUUCUUCUCACAAACACUAGCCAAACAUAUCAUAAAUGAUCCACUUUCCUACUUGAAACUUGUACCUGCAAUAUUCAGCUGCAUAUCUCAUCCUAACUGAUGCAGGAGCAUCUACAAGGCUGUCCAAGACUGCUUGAGCCCACUAGCGAACUAGGUUAGGGUUCUAGUUAAUUUGGGGAUUUUAAUUACUUUAUUAUCUUCUUAUUUGUCACAUUUGCUUUUAUGCCUUACGUUAUUGAAGUAGUCGUAGUAGGGCUAGGAUUUAUUUAAGUAGUCCUAGCAGAACUAGGAUUAGUAAGUUUCUUAAUAGCUAAAAAACAGACUAUUAAGAGAGACUCUGUAUACAGUUUUUAUCAAUUUCAUUUAAAAAAAUCAGAUUAAAGAUCCAUGCAGACAUGGAUACAGAAAAUUAGACCUCAUAAAUUCUGUAACCAAUAAAAGAUCCAAUUCAGUUAUACGUAAAAUCAGGCAAAAAGGCUCUCCACCCCUAUAUAUUUCCUACCCAUCAUAGUAUGGCCAAGGUUGGCUUUAUAUUUUCCUGAUUCUGAAGACAUGCGCUUCCUUUGCCAUAUUGUGUCCAAAAAGCAUUUGAAAAUGAAAGUUGCCAGUACUUUUCAGUAGAAUUACUGAACACAAUUACAAAGUUUUAACCUUUAAGGAACAUAUUUCUUAACUCAUCAUUGGAUUUUGGCUUUUCAUCACCCUGUUCCUCAGUUUUUGGUUUAUUUGCAGUCUGACCAAGUGAAAGGAUAUUCCUGGGAGUUGCAAAUGUGUUCCUACCCCUCAGCUGGACAUUGUCGCUUCCUCGAGUAUGAGUAGACUGCAGUGCUCGAUGUGCCCUAGAUCCAUUGGAGGUCUCAGCAGAUUCCCUAGACUCAGAUCCCCUGGCAUGUUCUUUUUUCCCCUGCUUCGGAUCUGAUCAUGCAAUGCUCAGCUUCUUUCCAAGGAGCCUUUGCUUAUUUUUUGCUACAGCUGCAACGAGGUGUGCAUCAUCUGAAAAAUCCACAAAUGCCAUUUCCCUUGGCUUUCCAGUGAACUUGUCAUGCAGUAUUCUAAUAGCAACCACUCCCCCAACAUCACCGAAGAUUUGAUGCAGAUGUUCUUCAUUUGCCUUAGAGGGAAAAUUUAAUACAAAUGCAGUGCACUGAUCAGCAUGUACUUUUGUUUUCUCUGAAACAGGCUCUUUCAUCGGUUGCUCAUUUUCUACAUCUGGUUUGUCACCCUUGGCUUUGAUCUUUUCCUCUGUAUUUUGUUCAAAGGAGUUCAGAAUCUCAGAAUCCUUCCCAUGUGCUUUCUUUAUCUUUUGAGCUGCAUUCUUUUGCCACUUUGCUGGAUAUUGUUCAUCAGGUAUCUCUGAAACUUGCUUUCUCUUGUCACAAGCAUUCUUCUUGAAAUAAUCAUCCCCCUCGCCUGUAAAUUUGGUUUCUUGUUGUGACUUAAAUAAUUGUUGCCCUUCCAGACGAGGAGAGACCUUUUGUACAGCAUGGUCAAAAUCAUCCAACGAACCAAACUCCCUCUCAAAGCAUAACCACAAGUGGCAGAUGUCCUCUGAACCAGUUGCGGGAAAUCUUUUAGCAUCUCCUACAUAGAGACUGAACUGCAUUCACAUGCCCCAAUUCAGUUUCCAUUGCUAUAUAACCUUGCCAUGCUUCCAGCAUUGAAUCACGAAUCUUAAGUAAACUUUCCCAAACUUCGCGAGCUGCCAGUAAGUCCUUAGGUAGAUUUAGCUCUAGACAGGCCCAAUAAGCAUGCAAACGUAACAAACCAUCUGUGAUCUUCAGGUUUGCUGAAAAGUAAUCUGAAGCAUUCUGAAAGGUUUCCCUUAUUAAUGAAUAAUCCAAGACGUUCUCUCCUUCAACUGGGCAUGAGAGUCUUCUUCUUAGGCCAUCUACGCGGGUGAGGUAUAAAUUCAGGUACUCAUUGAGGGUUAAAAUGCAUUGCAGGGACUUCUCAAACACGGUAGAAAUCUCUUUCUCAGAAGCAUGACCACGCUCUAACAAAAGCAAAUAUCGGACACAAAGUUCUCCAACACAUGGGCAAUUCUUUACGGCCCUGGAAUAAACGUUGGUUAUAAUACUUCCAACCUUCAAUGUUUCAUCCAAAUAGUGAGUAUAUUCAAGCCAGAGAUAACUGGAUAUAGGAAAGUCAGUAAUAGCACGUUCAUACAACAUAUCCUGCCGAAGCAGUUAAUGAAAUUUUGAAGUCCUUCUGAGUCAGACAUACCUUGCCGACAAAUCUGUUUUUCAAGAUGAAAGCUAGCAUUAUACAAUUCCAACGCUUUUUGGUAUACUGAGGCAACAUGGGAUGAAAUCCCAUCCAGGUCACUGGAGCCAGCAUCAAGAAUGUUUCCUCGUUCCACUUCCCAUGCCUUGUAAUCCAAAAGUGUUGACCUCAUAUCAACAUGGGGGACUGACAACUGAUGGUGGAAUAAAUUACGAAUGAGCUGAAUUUGCUUUUCUCUUGCCUGAUUGUCAGUCUCAUAACAAAAUAUAGCUUGUUCAAAUUCCCUGUACCCUUCCCAUAGUUUAUUGCCUUCAGAAACAUGCAAACCAGCUGCAGUAAGAGCCCGUUCAAAUAGGUUUCUUGCCUUCAAAAUACCAGCAGACGAACAUUCUCUUACUGAGGGAUCAUUUUGUUGAACAAAAUACAAGUAGUCAUGCCAAAGAGAGAUGGACAGAUACUCAAAGACUCCUUGCUCAUAAAGCUUUUCAAUAGCAGGAAAAGCAUGAGACCCUGUGGACCCAAUCCUGCCACAUAGAAGGGGUUAACGGAAACAGCUCAUUCAUGGCUUCCAUUGCUUGCCUCAGCUUUACAAUGUCGGCCAUUUGCCUCAAAAUCUUUAUGUAUUGGACAUGACCAUUGUAGUUGCCACGAUUGAUCGAGAGCUCGGCUUCUAGGGUUUGGAGCUGCAGGUUUUUCUGGGCUUGGUCCCCGUCCUCCAAGCCAGAAUCAGAGUCAGAAUCUGAGGAGCUAGGGUCUUGGUCAGGGAGGUCCGGCAUGGGUUGUUCUCCAUUGUUGUCUUCUUCGGAAGUACCGGUCUGUGGUUCAGGGUUUACAGUUUCUUCUUCCAUCUAUGAUCUCACUUGGUAUUGUUUCUUUCUUUCUUCCACUGAGACCAAAUUGUAAGCUUUUUACUUUUAUGUCUUAUGUUCUUUAAGCAGUCCUAGUAGGGCUAGGAAUUAUCAAGUAGUCCUAGUAGAACUAAGAUUUAUUAGGUUUCUUGCGCUAGAACUCAAUUAUUUCCAUUCACGGUUUGAUUUUACAGCCGCUGAAAAGCAGCUCAGCCCUACUGCCCUGCACCCCUAACCUUUUUUCUCACAAACAUUACCCCUAAAGCCUCAACCUUUAUGGCCUAAAAUAUCUAAAUCAAAAGUUUUUUUCAAUUGGGCAUCUUCAAAACAUAUGAAAUCAAAUCACACCACCAGAGACCAAAUCAAAUCACAUUGCAAAAUUUGCAGUCAAUCAAAACAGAACAUAUAUUCACAUGCACAAGAAGAACCCAUAUUCACAAUUACUACACAACUAUGUUUAUGUUAUGCAUAUGCAAACUGAAUAUACCAGUGAGCAUGACAAUGGAAUCUUCUGGAAAGUGGAACUUGUUGAUGAGGAGAAACCGCAUGCACUUGGCAUCAUUGAUGCAACCCUUUAGCUCGUGUCUCGAGUAUUUGUACGAGAUCCCACAGAUCACAGCCUUCUUCCGGCCGUGCGCGUUGGGGGGAGGGCCUGGCGGCGCGUGGGAGUAAGGGGAAGGAGGGGGAGGCGCUUGAGAGUAUGGUGAGUGAUGGGAAGGCGCGUGUGAGUAUGAAGAUGGAGGUGUAGGCGCGUGGGAGGAGGCAGGUGGUGGGAGGGUGCGUGGGUCGGCGAUUAGGGUGACAGCCUGGCAGAGGGCGCAGCGGAUGGACUCGGCGCCGGGGGGCAGCUGGAGCGGAGUGCGGCAGUUGGAGCAGUUCACCAGCAUAUACAUGGUCGCCGCCAAAUUGGAAUUUUGAGAGAAGGGUAGGAGUAGAAUGGGAAUGCAAUUGAAUUUAUGGAUUCUUGUGAUUGUUCAGAGAGAGAUGUAAACUGGGUUUUGGAUUGGAAACUACGGUGACUGCAAAAUUGGAUUAUUAGAGAGAGAGAGAGAUGCGGGAUUUCAUUUUCUUUUUUGUAAAUCAUGUCAUGUGUUAAUUAAGUACCAAACAUCCAUUUGUAUAUUCAAAUACAAACCAAACUUUAAUAUUUGACACGAUAAACCCAUUGAACCGUAUUACUCGAUGAAAGCAAUCAUUAUCUACAUUUCACGAGACGUGCACGACUUAUAGGUUUGAUGUAAAGAAAAAGAAAACAAUAGCCUAAUGUUUAAGGUUAUUUAUGAGAUAAAAUUUGAAAUGGCAUGACUUGAUUCAAAAACAAAUAAAAAUCAAGGAUUAAAUGUUAAAAUAGUCUUUGUGUUUUAUAAUAUUGGUCAAUUUAAUUUAUGUAUUUUUAAUUUGGCACCUGUGUUUAGGACAGUUAAUCAAUGUGAUCAAAUCCAUUAAAUUUAUAUUUUUUAAAAAUAUAAAAAUUAUUUAAAUAUUAAUAUAUACUAGUCUCUCCGCACGUGCUUCCGUUUCUGAUAUAUAUACGUAUAGUCCCUUCCUAUUGAGAGAUUUUUUAAAUAAUUUUAUUUGAGGGAUGCCCUUUAGGGUACCUUAUAAUUUUUUUUCCAAUGAUCCAAACCAUAUAUUUUUUAGGUCUUCAUUCAUAGAUCAUCCUUACAAAAAAUUAGACAAAUCGAAAACUGUUUUGACAUCCAAUUGUGUCCUACAAAACUAAUGAACACAGUGCUUCAAGAAAGUACUAAAAUUUCAAUAACUCAAUUGAAUGGUCAAAUGAUAUCGGAUUCAAGUGAUUUUUUUGUAGAGAUGAUCUUUGAAUGAGUAUCUACAAAAUAGACGAUUUGGAUUAGUGAAAUACAAUCUGUAGUGGACCUUAUAAAGAGUGUCCCUCAAUAGAAACUCUCUGUAUAUAUAUAUAUAUAUUGAAUUCAAUAAAUCAAUAAAUACAAAAAAUCAACAAAAGAGCCACAUCGCAAAUUCAUAAGGUCAUAAAAAAAUAAUUAAAAACUUGAAUUUUUGAUAAUUUAAUCAAGUAAUUGCAGUUUGCAAUUUUUACAUGUAUAUUUUUAUAUAAAAAUAGUGAUUAUAUUUUGCCGCUUUAUAUAUAUAUAUAUAUAUAUAUAUAUAUAUGAAGAUUGAGAAAGAUAAAUAGAAAAUGAAGAAAAUGAAGAAGAAACAAAGAAACGAGUUGGUAAUUUGGUGUGUAUUACACAGAUUGACACAAUUUAUUUAAUAAUUGGGUUACAUAGGUAUUUUAUUGGGUUGAUCCAAAAUCCACCAGUUUAUUAAACAGGUCAUGGUGAGUUGACCUGAAAAUGACCCGAAAAUUUAAUAAUGCAAGUUGACUUACUAAUUUUCCAUGCGAUUUCGAGUCUUGUAUCGGGUCGUAUCAUAAAUUGUUAGCUAGAAAAUUGAAAUAAGUUAAUUUAUUCUUCUACCAUUCUCUUUUUUAUACAAGAGAUAUUAUCUUUUAAACUAAUUUAAACUAUGGGGAAGGGGAUUCGAACGAAGGUGCAAAAUGGGGAGUACAUCCGCUAUAGCCAACUUGACUAAUCCCAUGUCUGCUUCUUAUACCAUUCUUGAUAAAUAAACAUGUCAUCAGUUUAUCCGUAACAACCAACGAUUGUUCUCAAAUAAUUCACUAAAAUUAGUAGUUCAAAUAUGGGAGAGGGAUUUGCUCACAUACACACUAUCCAUGUACUACUAGAGUUCGACCCUGAGUGGUCUCAAAAAAAGUUUUAUUUUUAUUUUUAUACAAGUCAAUACUAUUUUCCUCUAGGCUAAACCUCUUUGGCAUUCCAAAAAAAAAAAAAUUUAUCCUUUCAGUGUAGAUUAAAUUUUGGCCAAAAGUCACUUUUGGUCCUUGUAGUUUGGUACUUCAAUUACUUUUGACCAUGUAGUUUCAAUUUCGUCAAUUUUUUCAUUGUAGUUUCGUCUUUGUAGCAAUUCAAGGACAAAUUAGUAUUCUUAUUAAUUUCUUUGACGAUGCAAGGGACAAUUUUGUCAAUCCAAAAUCCUUCAGCAUAAAAUGUCGUCUCCCCAUUUCAUAUUAGGGUUUGAAAUUCAACCACUAAUCCCAAUUUUUGAAGAACCCUAAACCCAAAUGGCCAAUUGCAAGCCUUAACAUGAAAUGGGGAGAGUUUCAGAUGAGCUUUUACGCUCAAGGGUUUUGGGUUGACCAAAUUGCCCCUGGCACCAUCAAAAAAAUUGACUGGAAUACUAACUUGUCCUUGAAUUGCUAUGAAACUACAUAGUCAAAAAAAUGAAGGAAUUGAUACUACAUGGUCAAAAAUGGUUAAAGUACCAAACAAUAAGGACCAAAAAUGAAUUUUAACCUUAAAUUUUUAUCUUUAUUUUUUCGUGGGUUAGAAAACUUGAAUAUGUUUUACAAUUUUUGUUGUUGCUAAAAGUCACUUUUGGUCCCUGUAGUUUGACACUUCAACCACUUUUGACCAUGUAGUUUCAAUUCCGUCAAUUUUGCCAUUGUAGUUUUGUAUUUGUCGCAAUUCAAAGACAUAUUAGUAUUCUCGUCAAUUUCUUGAACGAUGUAAGGGCCAAUUUCGUCAACCCAAAACCCUUUAGCGUAAAAGCUUGUUUAAAAUUCUCCCCAUUUCAUAUUAGGGCUCGAAAUUCAACCACUAAUCCUAAUUUUUGAAGAACCCUAAACCCAAAUGACCAAUUUCAAGCCCUAAUAUUAAAUUAGGGGAGUUUCAAACGAGUUUUUAUGCUCAAGGAUUUUGGGUUGACGAAAUUGUCCCUUGCAUCGUCAAAGAAAUUGACAGGAAUACUAAGUUGUCAUUGAAUUGAUACAAAUACGAAACUACAAGGUCAAAAUUGACGAAAUUGAAACUACAUGGUCAAAAAUGAUUGAAGUACCAAACUACAUGGACCAAAAAUGACUUUUAGCCUUCUUUUUUUUUCGUCUAUUGGACUAACUAGACUACGAAGGCCCAAAAGAAAUAAAAAGCCCUAAAGACAUGUUCUGAGGGGAGGGAUAAGCCGGAGGGAGGCCACUAUAUAAAACGCUAUAGAAACGAGGGUAAAGAGCUCGGGCUGCAAAGUGACAGAGAUUUCUAGGGUUUAGCUCCUCCAUUUCCAUAACCCAAAAUGGUACGUUUUGUUUGUUUCGCAACUAUAUUGCAUAGGUUUGUGCAUUUGAAAUCUGUUGAUGAGCAGCCGUCUCGAAAUAGAUCUGUUUUUGUAUUGUUUCAUUGUGGUUGGGGAAAUUGUGCAUUCAAAUCACAUAUUUUUUGUACUGUAUUUCUUUUCGAUUUUGAUUUAUGGGUUCAAAUGGGAAUUGCAAAACUGGAAGAUAUAGAGGGGUGGAAGUAAUUUUUGACUCAGAGAGCAAAACAAAUAUUGGGUUAAGUCCUUCAAAAUAUUUAGCUGUCUAAGCAUUCUGGUGGGUUGUUCAUGCUUUUUCCCCCAAUUAGUGUGGUUGUCAAAUGGGGUUUUCUCUCUGUUGCACUGUGAGAUGUAGAAGUAAACUGUGACCUUAGAUCUUGAUAUAGAUUGUUGAAAAGGAAAGCUUUGCUGAUUCUUUGUGUUAUAGUCCAAGAGUUUAGUUUCAUGGUUUGAAGAUUUAUGGGUACAUCAUUGUAGGUAGAGGACUUGGAGUUAAAAAAUAGUUGUUGCAUUUACCCUUGUUUUUAGCAUCUGUGCCUUGUACCUUGUGUUCUACUUUGGUUUAGAAGAAAAUUCAUCAAGUGUGGCUUAAUAGUAUCCUUGCUAGUUUUGCCUUGGUGAUUGCAUCUCAAUUGAUAUGGAUCGUGUAUAUGAAUGGCUUUAGCUUUAUGGUUAUAGAUUGUGUUUUUAUUUUUUCUUCUUUUUCUAAAUAUUCCACUACCAACUUGGAUUUGAUUUUUUACUUUCCACUUUUUUUCCUCUGUUGUUGUGCAGACAAAGAGAACCAAGAAGGCCGGUAUUGUUGGGAAGUAUGGUAUGUUCCCGUUGCUUUUUUUUUUCUUCCUUCAUUUUAAUUUCAUUGGAAACGAAAUACCGCGGGGGAAUCAGUUUAGUUUAUGCAAACAGGAAUGCAGAGAGUAGUGCUGAAUGAUUAUUCUAGUUUAGGUUUAUUACGAUUUUGAAAAACAAUCAAGCUGUAUUAUUGCAGAGACUAGUGCUGAAUGAUUAUUCUAGUUUAGGUUUAUAACGAUUUUGAAAAACAAGCUGUAUUAUUAACAAAAAAAAAGGAUUUAGAACUUUUGAGUGCUAUUGCCAAAGAUUGUAUUAGUAAACAAGGGAAGCGCUGUUGCUGGUAUGGUAUGUCACAAUAAUUAAAAUUUAAUGUUUUGUUUGACCUACAAAGGUGGCCUUAUUUUGUAUCUAUUCAGGCACCCGAUAUGGUGCUAGUCUGAGGAAGCAAAUCAAGAAGAUGGAAGUUUCUCAGCACAGCAAGUACUUCUGUGAGUUUUGUGGGAAGGUAGUUACCCUACUCUAUUAUUUUAUGAUUAUUCUUGACAGUCUUAUGGUUUUUGUAAGAGUAGUUGGUUUUAUGAGCCAUGGAAAAACUGUUUAAAGUAAAAAUAGGUUUCUAUAUGUAUGCAAUCAUUCUUACGAAAAGCGCACCAUUGCAGUAUGCGGUGAAGCGCAAGGCUGUCGGAAUCUGGGGUUGCAAAGAUUGUGGAAAAGUGAAAGCCGGUGGCGCCUACACCCUAAAGUGAGGACUAUGCCAUUAUGGGCUUUGUUUGUAACAUAUAUUCCUGUCAUUCUGUACUUGGAUUAUAAUUCUUGUGUUUUGGUAUAUGUUGCAGUACCGCAAGUGCCGUGACUGUUAGGAGUACCAUCCGAAGGCUCAGGGAGCAGACUGAGAGUUAGAUCUGCAGACUUCUUCUGUUUUCCUUGAAAUCUAUCUUUUUCAUGAUGCAAUAUGUAAACCUAGUUAACCAUCCUUUUCUUAAUGUUCUAUUUACAUUCUGUUAUGUACUUGUACGCGGAGCUUUGUCUUUGACAAAGCGGAGUAAGUGGUUAUUGAGUAAAUUAUAGUUGUUUUCGUUAAGAUUACAGAGCCAUUGCAAAGUUAAGUUUUCUUGUGGGUGAUAUUGCAUUCUAUGAUUGAAUGAAAAGGUCGUUCGUUCUCGAUUCUUUCAUUUAUUAAAUUUUGUACAUAUGAAAGAAAUAUACGAACCCCUUUCAUACAAAAGCUCAAAAAGGAACACUUCUUUGGUUGACAAGGAAAAUUGCCUUGGACAUCUGUAUGAAUUAUUUGUAGAGGUGAAACUUACAGAUAAGUUUUCUGAAGCGCAAAGCCCGCUCCUCUAUUAGUUGUCAUUCCCAAACCGGCAAAUUUCAGCAACCCUACUAAGUUUGACAGAGACAAUUUUUUGAUGAACUUUGACAGAGAAAUCAAGUAAAAAUAGAAAUUUGUUAAAUUAUAGCUCUCUGGAUCCAGCUUUCUUCACCCACAAAUAGCUCAAAAUUACUUAAUUUAAAAGAAGGGUAAACUGUCGAUAUGUCCCUAGAACUUGUACUUAAUUGUUAACUUAUCAUCUAAUUUGCCAUUAAAUAUGAAACCAAAUUGGUCAUUUCAUAUGUUAAAAAUAAUUAAAUACUGUAAAAUAAAAUAGUAUGACAUAUAAAAUGAAAAACAAUCAUUUUAAUAAACAGAGGGGAGGGACCCACCCACCCUUUCUUCUCUCUCUCUGCGACCAAGCCCAUUCUUCCCCCUCUCUCUACGACUCUCUCUCUCUCUCUCUCUCUCUCUCUCUGCGACCAAACCCAUCAGCCCCAUUUUAUUCAGAUCUUGAAUCCAUUGAUGAGUUGUGCGAUUUGGGGUCGAGAUUUGGGGUGAAGGGGCAAUGAACCUGUGAGGUGAAGAGGUCUGGACCUUUAAGGCCAUGGGGGAAAAAUCAUAGGGAAAAUGGCGCGAAUGAGUUUGGGUUUGUGGGUAGGAAUAGGGUUUUCUUUUAUGUUUUUUUGGAUGUAGGGUGGGUUGCAGGUAGGGAAGAGGCUGGGUCACUGGCUGCUGUGAUUUCAAUCGAGGAUUGGAGUGACUGAGCUGGGGGAUGGGGAGGAGUUGUUUUGGGUUGGUGAGAUGAGGGGCUGGCUGUGGUGAUGAGGAGAGGUGUGAUGGCGAUGGUGGGAAGAAAGGUGAUGGCUGUAGGGAGGUUUUUGUUUUAUUUUGUUUUUCCUUUAAUUUUUUCCAAAAAUAAAUUUAUUUUUAAUCAUUUAACUGAAAAUUGAAUGAAAUGUUGAGAAUUUGGAUUGCAGGUGGGAAAUUGCGGAUAAAAUUUAGUUCGAGUCCUUAAUUUUGUAACAAAGAAAGUCAUGAGGUAAAUUGAUAAUUAGGUACGAGUUCAAGGCAUAUUUCAGCAGUUUAUCCUUUAAACCAACGAACUGAUUUGGUCAAAAACCCGUUUAUAGGUUUCUUAACAACCCUAGUUUAGAACGAACUUAUGCUUCAACAACCCCGAAACUGCUAAAUAAAAACCAUGCUUCUUGUUACCAUCCCAUCAAUUUGAAUCAAGAUACAGAAAGGGCAAUUGAUUUGCACUGUUUACAUGUCGUAGUCACAAAAAUGAGCGACAAAAACUGAUACAAUAACUUGUCAUCUCAAUUGUUAAAGGUGAGAUCAAGAGGAUAUACCUGUAACUGAAAAAUCGAGGAACUUGCAUAAAACUCUCACUAUGAUUCACUUUGUGCUCAAGCUCACGAUUGGCUAUAAUAACGUAGAUUAAAAAAAGAAGAAUGCAAGUGGGUGGAAUGGUUAAUGGUUACUGAAAAUUUUCUCACCUUGUUAAAAUUACUAACAAUUCACAUACAACAGCGGCUGGGUCAAGGUUUUACCUGGGCUCCAGCACUUACAUAUUACAUCUACCUCAUCUAUACACAAGACGCACUAGGAUUGCAAAGCGAAAAUUAGUAAAGCAUCCGGAUGCCGACCAGCAUUCCCUCUUCUUUCUCUCUCUCUCUCUCUCCUUCUCCCUCCCUAUAUGUAUACACAAUCUAAGAAACAAUAUAUAUAGAUGUAAACUUUGACACUCCCCACGUAUGAGUUCAAAUACGCACCAUCCUCUCCAGGCAAGAUGCCGAAGAUGCGAACCUAAAACUUGAAGCUACAUCAGAAGGGAAACCAUAAAAGCUUCCUCGUGUUCUCACACCUCACAAACUUGCACUGAGUCCUCAUCAGGGUUUUCAUAAAAUUGGAAUUGGUAUGCUGUCACUGCUACUAUUGUGCUGCAUUUGUUUCUGGACAGCUUUCACUGCUGCUACUCUAGCUGCAUUUGCUGCCCUAUUAGCUGCUGUUACAGCCCUGUUCACUCUUUCAUCCACCUUGGCGACAUCAUAGGCUUUCUCUGCCACUAUUCGUGCUUCCUGAUUGUAACAUGAAUAAUAAAACAGAUUAAGAACAAAUUCCAUUGGCUAUUCAUAUUGUAAUAACUAAAUGUCAACCCAUUUCCCACUUCCCUAAGAACGUGACUACUGAAGAAACAAAGAUAAUCAUAAGUACUUGGGUAUGGCGCUACUUCGUUGCUAACAAGUAUUAAAAAUAAACAUGCAAACAUUUAUUGAACAUUGCAUAGGUUAGAAAUUGUGAACUAAAACGAACUCUAAGGGUCAUGCUAACUAUAAGUUUUUUGCUUGAGCACACUUCCUUAAAUUGACUCAAAGUGAUAUGAAUGAGCACUAAAACCAAACAAGUCUUGACCAGAAAUUCAUAUCCUCAUGGAACCACAAAACAACAAACUCUUUUGUAGCUGUACUGUGGGCACAAAUUUGUAACACAUCUGCUACUGUUGCAUUCCAUAGAAAACAUGUGUGCCUUAUGCAAAUAUUUGUGUAAAUAGUAAGUACCUGUACCGCAUUGAGUACUUUGGAAUGAUUAACAGCAACCGGAGAUACAGGAUAAGUUGCAUUUUGUGUGCUUGGAACAUCAAGGACUCCAUUUUGCCAGUGACCAGCCUGAGUUUCCCCAGUUCUGAAUGUGUACAUACCAAGCCCUUGCCUUCUACCCUCAUGCCAGGCUCCCUCGUACCUAUGUCCAUUUGCAAAUCGAUAGACUCCAAACCCAUGCAUUUUAUCCGCAAAAUAUUCUCCAGCAUAUGUAUCCCCAUUUCUGAAUAAAAAUAAAUAAAAGAAAUUAGCGGAAUUUCUCUCAAAAAGAAGUACUGAACAUUCAUAUAUAGGUGGAUAUUUAGCCACAACAGAGGUAUCCAUAGAUAUAAGGCCCAAACUAAACACAAAACAAAAUGCCAAUUAAAGGAGCAUGGAUGUGUAUUUGUGUGCGUACUUGUAUAGCAAGCCAUCCCAAUAUCUCAAUAUCAGAUGAAAGGCGAAGUAAACUGAAGUCUGCAUAUAUCAUUUUAUUAUUUAACAAGUAAAACUGCUCUAUCUCAAAACACAAAUGGUUAGAAAACAUGUGAAUAACAACACUAAAGUGUAUAUAUUGAUGCAACUGUCGUAAUUCAAUAAGGCACUACACUCUGUAAAAUUUUCCACCAUUGUGCCAUUAAUUUUGGUCGAUGUUAAGCAAAUCAACAGUAGGUACAAUACCUAAAAUUCAACUCCCCCCUUUUUUUUUGUGUGUGGAUUUAUAUCUUGAAUUUCCAUGAGCAUCAUUCACACCUGUUUAUUUAAAUUAAGGUAACCAUCCUUAAUUUUUUUCCCACGCUUCUCAGAAUUUCUGGCAACAAUUAUCUCAGGUGCCUACAGUAUAACAGUGAUGAACGCCCAGUCUUUUCCAGUUCUACUCUAAAGAUUAACACAAAGAACUCUGUCCCGUUCUUAAGGUUUACAAAUCCACAAAAUUCCCCAAGUAAAACCAAACGAAAGUAGUGAAAUCCACAAAACUCAACUAUCACAUCAAGUGGCGCAAUCCAUGAUUAACAACUUCUUCACAAUCAAAUCACAACCAAGUAACAGAAGAACUAAAAAAAUCAGAGACAAUAAGUGGAAAUAACAUCAUCAUCAUCAGAAUAACCCAAAAAUUAAAACAUAAACAAUGCCACAAACUCCAUUGCCAAAUUUACCUGAAAUGGUAGUGACCAAGGCCAUGCUUGACGCCCCACUUGAAUUCCCCAACAUAUCUACUCCCAUCCUCACAGGUAUGAAUUCCACACCCAUGAGUCUGCCCAUUAGACCAUUCCCCAGCAUAAACAUCACCAGUGUAAAACCUAUACACUCCAAAACCAUAUCUAAGACCCUGCCUAUACUGCCCGCGGUACCGGCUUCCUCUUGCCCAUGUCUCUACACCAUAACCAUCAUAUUUCCCAUCAACCCAGUCUCCCUCAUACCUCCCACUCAUGUAAUAGUAAUACACCCCACUUCCUGAACACUGUCCCUUGUGAAACUCACCCUCAUACACGUCUCCGUUGCCAUAAACCUGAACCCAACACCCUGAAUUUCCUCUGUUCUCGGCUUUUGGGCGAGACCCAAUUGACCAAAACACCGGCAAAGGCGGUCUAGACAAGGAAGACGAGGUCUUAAGCUUGAUUGGGAAAGACCUGGCUAGGAAAAGCCGUAUUGAUGGGAGGCGAGGGAGGGCGAGAUUGAGCGAGAACAGCAAUGCAGAAGAGAAAGCAAAAGCGGAGAGAAAGUCAAGAAAGAAAGAGUGGCUUGGGUGAGAGACCAAGAAGUAAAAGAAGGGCAGACAGAGCAAUAGGAGGAGGCGGCGGAGGCGGUUGACGCGGCGGAUGAGGCGAAAAAAGGCGGUUUUGGCGGCAAGAGAAGGGGAAAAGAGAGGUGGGUUCUUCGGGGGCGGUGGGAAUUUGUAAAGGGUUGGGGAUUUGGAGAGAGAGGAGUGGGUUUGGGUCAAAAGGGGUCGCUUGUAAGGUGUGGUUUGAGGGAUUGGAGGGUCAUUUUGGGGCAAAUGUUGAGAUGGGUAGUGAGGAAACUGAGAGAUGUGGUUGAAUUGGUGCGAAAUUGAAGAAGAGAAAGAAGGUGGCGGUGGUGGUGCUGCGCCUGAGAUUGGAUUGAAAUCGGAAGAGACGCCAAUGCUUUCUUUUCCGAUCUGAGCUUCUGAUUUCUUAUGAUGCAUUACAUAAGGAACACAAUACCAAUCAUAGCAACAACAAAAACGGCGACAAGAACAAGAAGAAGAACAGGCAGUUUCGUUUCCUCUGUUCUUAUUUGGAUUUUUGCUUUUUGGUUUUCGGUUUGAUUGUGAGGAGAGUGGUGGGGAUGUGAUUGUGGGGUUAGGCGAAUGUUUCUCUCUUUAUUUUUUUCAAUUUUUUUUUGGACUUUUGAGUAUUAUUAUGGAUGACUGGAAAGGAAGGGGAAGAUGAGAUGUUGGGAAGAGCGAUGCGUACGCUGAGUUUAUGGCUAAAGAUUGAACCAAGAGUGGAGUGUUAUACAAUCGUCCAUUUCCAAUUUUGAAAAACCAGAGAGACCAGUCUGAGAGAGAGAGAGAGAGAGAGAGAGAGAGGUCCACGUACUAUAUCUGACAACUCAAAGCGACAAAUAAUUCGGUGAAAGUAAUAUAUUCUUUCCCCUCAAACAGUAAAUACGCGUAUUUUAUUCCUACGUAUUUUCUUUAAAAAAACAUGUAUCUGAAAAGAAAAAAAAACUUCUAUUUUUAAGUUUUCUUAAAUUUACAUAUUAAAUUUAUAUAUGUUUUUAGAGUAAUCGGUAUUUUGUUGAAAAGAUCAAACGGGUUUUACAAUCCUCAAAAGGAGGUCAACGGACUCCUACGACUAAUUCGUAGCACUUAUAAUAGACAAAGCGUAUCUAUAAUCUAGUAAUUCGAUACAUUAUCAUAUUAACCUUAUAUUUGAUACAAGAAUAAUUACUCAUCUAAUGCUUAUCAAGGUAAAGUAACGAAAAAUAUGAUAGAAGAAUUGCAUUCACUAUAUUGAUUCUACAACUUGUAGAAUUUGCUUUCUUUAGAAUUUGUCACUUGUGAUCAACUCUUUCACAUCGAUGCUUCUUUUUUAUAAGUGAGAUACAUCAACACAUUCCUUCUUAUCAAAGCAAACCUAAUAAGCAAGUGAAUCUUUUGUAUGUUUUGAAAAGUGUACUGUAUGCGUAUAGUAUAAUUCAAAACCGAGGUAACCAAUAGUAAUUAGUUUGACUAUCUAAAAUUGCAGUCUCGAUUUUUUGGACCACAAGAGUUCAAGAGAUUGUGGUCACCCACCGUUGGAUAUUAAUCCAAUGAUUCUGAAAAGUUUCUUAAAAGGAGUGCAAGAGUGAGUGAACCAUUGAAUUUACAUCCAACGGUGAGUGACCACAAAUUUUUUGGACCCUUGUAGUCCAAGAGAUCAGAACUGUCUAAAAUUGUAUUGUAUUUGUAUUUGGUAAUGAAGUUAUUUGUCAAAGUUUGUCAAACCUCACCCGCGCUAAUGUCAAAAUAUUAACAAAAGCAUAGCAUGUUAUUGACUAAAAUAUUAUAAUUUACAUGACUUCUCUUCAAGAUUUUUUUUGAUCUCAAUAUAAGUUAUAUAUAUUGUUGUAUUUCUAUCUUAUACACUCAUAAAUCAAAUUUUCUUAAAUUUUUCACAAUCGGUAUUUUUGGUUAAAAUUUGUUACUGUAUUUUAAAAAAAAUACCAAGUUAUAUACUUUAGGUAUUUCUGGUUCCAUAUAUAGUAACCUUGCUCUCACAUCAGACCCCUCAGUAACAUUGUAUUUGCUCCCUCCCUACUUCAUAACAUUUCACCUCCUUUCAACCCAAAAAAAAAAAAAAAAAAAAAGCAUUUCACUUCCUCCCCAGAAAAAUGUGAAGCCUAUCAAGCAUAAUCCCCUUAUCCAUGAUUUGGCAUGAAAUGACAAGGGAAAUCAACUAAACCUACAGAUAAAGAGCUCACAGAUAUUUUAUAUUUAUCAGUAAAUCUAGAAAUAACCAAAUCAUGUUCACAUGAGCUACAGACGCAUAUGGUGGCACUUUAACAUAUCUGUGAAGCUUUUUGUUACGGAUGCAAUUUUAAAUGAGGUAAAAUGUAUGCGCAACUUGGCCAUAUGCCCAUACUUUAGCUACUUUCUUUUUGGGUAAAAUGCAUUUUUGGUUAUUGUGUGUUUUGUUUUGUAUCAAUUGCAGUUUUGGUUUAGAUCUCAACAAUUUGUUUGUUUUUUUAUAAUAAUAAAAAAAUGUUGUUGGGGGUUUGAAAGACCGUGGGCCUUCUAAAACUAAUUUUAAUAUUAACUUUCGUGUUUAUUAAUAGAGAAAUCGAGUCUCCAACAAUUUUCACAGUUUUAAGUUUCCAAUAAUUUUUACAGUUUUAACUCCACGUUUGAAUUUUUUGAUUUAUUGUUUGAAAUUGAGAUUCAAGGCUAUAACCAUGAUUUUCAACCAUCCUUGAGUAAUAUUCACGAGUUUAAACAAGUUUUUAGUUGUCAUUUGAAGUUAAUUAGAAUUGUAUUAACAAAACGAAACACUGUGACGGCAUUGACAAAAAAUAUAAAAGUGAUCAAAAUUUAAUUCGAGGCAAAAUAAAUAACCAAAAAUUAGUUUGAACUUAUUUUUUUGUGUUAUGAAAAUAUCUACCUCAAAUCUGAUUAAAAAUAUGUAUAAUCAUAAAAAGAUUGACCUAGCCUUUUGCUUAAAAAAAAAGUUUCAACUUUACAAAAGAGUUCAUCGCCAAUAAAGUGCCAUAUGGGUGCAAAACCAAAAGGCAAAUAGGUAAUCAUUUGCCUACUGCCCUAUAUUUUAUUCAUAAGAUUCACAUUAAACUCCCAAACACUGGCAUAGUUUCAGGAAAUAAUACAAACAAGCCAAUUGAUAAUUUUGCUGAAGUAAUCAGAGAAGAAAUAUAUUAUUGAUUAUAUCACAUUUAACACAAAACAAAAGUAUAUAUGUCCACUUCCAACACUUGCCAUUUCAAUAAAGCAAAUAGAUUAUUGUUGUCUUUGUUCGUGUGCUUGAAGCAAACUCCAAUGAUUGGGCAGAUUAAGGAUGGCAGCGGGUCGGGUAGAGGUCAUGUAUGACAAUACCAUUUCUAUCUUAGCUUUUUAUCCUCGCCCCGUUUUUGAACUCAUCCCUGUUUAAUAGGUUUCGAGGAAUCUCCGUCCCUGUUUCCGUCGGGGGACUAUUCCACAUACUCGCCCCGAAUCCCCCUUUUUUUUUUUUUUUUUUACAUAAAAAAUAUUUAUCAUACAUUUUAACAUUAAGUUUCAUAUUAAAUUAUCAUUCAACACAUCCAAAUUAACUAUAAAGUUCAACUCAACUAUUUAAAAUCACAUCAAUAUGAAAUUUCAGAAAAGAUUAGGAAGAAUUUGGAGAGGGAGGUUAACUUAUGGUUAAACAUAAAUAUUAUAAUUAUUUAUUUAUUUAUUUAAAUAUAAACAUAUAUAUUUUGGGGUCGGGUCCGGGGAUGAGGACGUCAAUACCAUCAUAUGGGCUUAAUUAAGUUAGCUACAGCGAAUAUACUCUCCACUUUGCACCUGAGUUCAAAUCCACCUCCCUGUAAUUUAUGUUAAAUUAAAAUAAAAUAUCGUUUGUAUCCAAAAAAAUGUCUUACUCAAAUGAUUCGACAAGUUCAACUCAUUGAUUUUGAAGGUUUUUAGGUACCCAAAUUUGAAGAACAGAGCUGGUUGGUUUGACCCAAGACAUGAAACAUGGACGGCCAGCUAGGGCUGAUGGACAAAAUGAAUAGACAUUUGUUUGGUCAAGACUUCGAAAUAAUGGUGCUAUCUAACUAAAAUUAAAGUAUAUGUAUGUGAAUUAAUAGGUUCAUGAAUUUCAAAAUUGUGUGGAAGAAGAGUCUUUGGGUCACAUAAUAAUCAAAUCAUUGAAUGGUUCCAAUUCUUGAUGAACAAGUUAUAGGAUAUGUUGUAGUCAAAAAGAUCCAAAGACACAAGUUCGUUUAAGUAUGCCGACAGAAUCUUAUAGAGGGCAUUUUUCAAGCAUGGCAACAUUCCUUUCUAUAUAUAUGUAUAUUUUUUUUCUUCUUCUUCUUUGUUAAGGUUUUGAAUUGGACCUUUUUUUUUUUUGGUUCUAAGGGAGCCGAAGCUCAGAAAAAAAAAAUACAUAAAUAAACUUUUGAGUCUAGCAACCUCACUCAAAUCUUCCAGUAGAUAAUGUUCAAACCCUUCAAGCACACCCUCCCAAAAAUUACACCCCAAAUCUAGUUGAAUUGGACUUUGGAGAUGGAAGUUGAUGGUAAUUAAUCAAACUUGGCGGCAUGCCAAAAAAUAGUAAUGAUGUUGUCAUGUUGAUCAAUUAUUUACCCCAAAGCAGAAACCAUUUUCACGUUUAUAAGUAAAACUAUUAUUGGGAAUUUAUUACUUUUUCUCACAGCAUGGAAAAUCAUUUAUAAAGCAUUUGUUUCUUUACAACUUAUCAUUGUUGUAAACUAAAGAUACCAAUUUAAUGCGAGGGUAUUAUUGAAAAAUUGAGCAAACUUUUAAUUCUUAUUACUGCAUAAACUAAACAUAGAAAUGAGAUAAAUAAUAUUUCAUAUAUAUCAUUUUUUAGCGUUUUCAAAUAUUGGAAUGGGUUCAUUCUUAUCUUCAAAAAACGAGCAUGAAAGUUUCAUUCAUGGCAUGAGAGUUGAUAAUGAAAAAUGUUCGUCCCAAUGUUUGGAAACGUUGAAAAAUAGUAUGUAUGAAAUAUCAGAAGUUACACAUCCAAUAAGGGGUGAUUGUGAAAGUUUUCUUUUUAUCUACAAGCGGCAAUUCAAAAGGUCUCCUAAUAAGAAUAUGAAAAAAGAACUGGAGAGCCGUCCUACUUAUAUAGCUUGGGGCCAUAAUCAUAUUUUACAUAUAUUAAAUUAAACUUUUAGAAGCCCACUAGACCUACAGAACCAAAGUCGAAUAGCUGAAUUCCCAACAAUAUUUUGACCAUUUCGAUAUCGCCGCUAAGUUAGAUUGUUCCAAAGUUGGUCAUAUAAUUAUUCUAUUCUAAUAUAUUUGUUUAGUUGAAAGAAUUUUGCUGUUUUAAAUGAAUUUCGUCACACAUAUUUAGGGUAUUUAAAUAUUAUCGGGAAAUUAGUCGAUUAAAUAUUAAAAGAUUAACGACAUUUUAGUUCUUACAUAUUUAGGAAUAUUAUCGAAAUACGCCAUAGAAUUUUAAUUUCAUCAAUUUAUAUUACGGGGUUUUAAAAUAGGGUAAUUACAAGACUAUUGCAACUGGAAACUUUACUUGCAAGAGAGCCGUAAUGGCCAGCCACAACUAGGUUUCGGUUCAUCCACAACAAAAACUUCUUGCAAUUAGAUGGAGACAAUUAUCACUAAAUCAAAUAAUAGACAAUAAAAAGACAUUGUCUAUAAUAUAUAAUUACUGCCGGUCAAACCUUUACAUUUAGAUCCUCUGAAAAACGUAUAAUUUGGAGCAUAACCUCCGAAAAAGAAAAUGGAGAUUCAACACAGGGAGAGGAAAACAACCAAAAAGUUUCCAUCAGCUCUCACUUCGACAGUCACACAUAUGCCCAUAUUCUUGAGAGAUGAAAAAACAUGAAAAUGAAGUCGAAUCAAAGAGAAUACUCAAUUGCUUUGUUAUCCUUACCACAAUCCAUGUAUGUCCAUCUCCCAUUCUCAAAGUCCUAAGGGUCCCGUUUGGAUGGAAGUAUUUGGGAAGAAAAAAAAUGGAUUUGACAAUAAAGCUAAAUUUGCUAAAGAAAAUAUGAAAUUGAAUGUAUUUGAUAUAACCAGAUGUACUACAUUUGGAAGGAAUUGGAAAUUAUUAUAUGCAACACGUCAUUUGGAAUUCGUUUGUUUUGUUUCAUUUUAUUUAUUUAUUCAAAUCUUGAUAUACAUGAAGUGCAAGAAGCUGAAUAAAUAAUUUGAGCUUAUAAUCUCAUCUAAAUCUCUAGAUUUGGAAUGCCCUUAUAAGAAGAAAGUGCCAUUGCGAAGCACAAGCACAGAUGUUUAUGGGAAUGUUUGAAUGUUUUUCCAAUUAGAUGCCUCUAAUUUUAUCUUUUUCUUUGUUGGUUAAACCGCGGGUCAAGCCCAACAAAACAAGAAAUUAGCAAACAAUGUCAAGAGCCAAGGCUCGGCUUAAUGUAUCAUCCUCCAAAACACGCAGUCGAAGCACACAGAUAACUGAUGCCCCAAAUUAGCCGUAUGAUACACAUGUUUAAAACAGCCUUGACAAUCGCUACUAGUUUUAUUAUUUUGUUACAUUGGAGUUCGAACCGGGUUCUAACUGGGGCGCCAUGGGAAAGAGGGAAGCUACCACCCUGUGGUGGGAACCCAUUGGCAAUUAUUUUCAGUCGGGCAUCUGCAAUGAAAAUUUUGCUUUCAAUUAAGGAGAAAAGAAAAAGGCCAUUAAUUUAGACAGAAAUGUCAUGUAAAGCACACGCCAGACAUUAAAUCAAGGGCAAAUUGUUCUUUUACCUCAACUUCAGAAAUUGACAUUUUCAAAGUGAAAAUGUAACAUGCUUUGAUUAUAAAUGAAAUCCAAUCCAACUACGGAGUCCUAAUGGAAAAUAGAUUUAACUUCAAAAGUAUUACCAUCCUUGGCAUUACAUCCCUCAAGCAAAUGAUAGUAGUGCAUUACAUAUAUGAACAGGAAAGCUGUGGUCAAGGGGCAUAAAGAUCGGAGCAUGAUUUAUCAUAGUAAAAGGAAUGAUAAACAGGAACUGAAAAUGAAAAGCACAUUAAUCUCAAUAAAGAAAAUGAAAUAAUCUUACAAGCGCUCUGUUAAUCUCAAGAUUAAAAUUCAAAGACAGAUUUGCCCUGCUAAUACGCCAAUUUGCACUUUAAACAUUUCCAAUGGUAGAUCACCCGUAGUACUUUCUGAGCUACUGCAUUUUACCUCACUUUUUACAGCGAAUCCAUUCACCAAUGGAGUCAUGAGGCAUCACAAAAAUCCAAGGCUGGUCAAUAGAAGAUCUCAUCACAAGUGUAGCCGUUUGCAUUGUGGUUACGGCUUGUGGAGCUUGAAGCCAAAAACUCUUGGAACGUAACUCUGCGUCGCCUUUUGUGGCUUAAGGUGCCCAUAUGUCAUCAAGAAUAGGUGUGGAAAUGUUGUUCCAAAAUAAGCCCCAUCAAUAUCUUCAAAUGUCAAGGAAUUGGAAUAUAAAAUCAGAAUGCCAAACAAAACUAGAAUAUGGCAAAAAAAGUAAUGCAUUUAUAACCACCGAUAGAUAUUCAAAUGUCUGCAAACCCAGUGGUUAAAUUUCCCCAUUUCCCAUUCAAUGAUCAAAUUAAAUCAAUUUUUGAAUUCCUUGAUCCUGAUAUUGGACUUGCAAAUGAAAGGUCUAUUCUUGAUCAGCUUAGGCACAGUUCCAUACAAGACAUCUUUCAUUUUUUUGAAGAGAAACGAUACCCAUACAAGACAUCAUCAUACCACAGCCCCGCCAAAAUCCCAGCCUAAUCUUUAAGUCCUGAUUGCUACAGUCACACUAAUCCUCAUGCCAACGGCAACACCAGAAUAUAACUGCUGAAAAUUUCUAAGACCAUGAGAGCAACAUCCUAGACUCUGUCAAAUGGAAUUUAAAAGGGGAACAAAAAUCAUGCUGAUUGAAACAUUGAACUUGAACUUAGGGCUAAAAGUGACGAGCUCCUAUUGUCAAACUUCAUCGGAGUUAAGAAAUAAGGACUCAUCAAUUAAUUGGAAAGCCAAGUUUGAAAAGCAAAAUCUAUGAAAAUAACUUUAGUGCAGAUGCAAGCAUAUAAGGAUACUGCCUUGGUACUUGGAUCGAGGGUAAUAUAUAUCCUCGCAUUUGGGGCAGUAUAUUUUUACAGUGCUUGAACGAGGAAUGUCUGAUUGACCAACUGGAAGGCAGGGUUGUCCACAGCAGUAAACUCUUGGGCAUCUUCCAAAGUCAUAGUUUUUGUACUUCUCCAACUGUAGAACUUUUAAGGUCAAUAUUCUAACAAAACAAUAUAUAAUAGAAAAGAAAAAUUGCAAAGAUAAAAUAACUCAGAAUCUUACCAUUGCAGACAUUCCUUUGGUAGUCAGUAUGUAUCGAACAUGAAUAAGACCAUAUAGCAUCUCGGCUGCUGAUUCAACCAACUCAUUCUGUUCUUCAGUGAACAUAUCACCUGGACAAAAUCCGAAUGUAUUAUGUGCCUCAAUGAUAAAAGACCAACAAAGCACACUCAGGGCAGAGAACUGGCUCUCUGAUAUAUUUAUUUCAUCAUAAUCAAUACCACUAUUUUAAUAAAAUUGUCUUUAACCUUGGAAUGUGUAGUGAAAAAUGACAUAAAUGUUUCUUAUCACCACGGGCAAUAAAUCUAACCUUCUUUUAAGUUCUCAAAACUUUAGAUAAUGUAAUUGGAAUUAAGAAUUCAUAUUUCAUACUAAUAACAAUAUAUGUAGUUUUCUUAAACAAUCAUUAAAUUUUGUCGAAAUAUGAAGUAUGCAAUAUCCCACUCAAAUUGAAAAUAAAUAGUAACAAUAACAAAGAACUAAAGACUUUUUUUAGUUCUAACAACCACACUAAAAGCUAAUCUAAGAAACUUUAUUUCUCACUUUGAGUGCUAAAUGCAAAACCAAAUCAAGAAAAUAACGGUGUGAUACCAUUUAAUCUAAAUUUUAAUAUUUCAAUUUCAUAACUGAUUUAGGUUAUAUUUCACCGAAUGUGCCAGCACACAUUCUGCAGUUCUUACGUUCAGCAUACUCACAACUAUGUUCAUGAGUUUAAUAUCAAUCCAUACUCUCCUAGACUAUUGUACUCAUACUCAACUCACCAGUAUAACUGUACCAAUUUCUUUUACAUGGAACAUAAGUAAAACCCUCUUGCAUACAAGAACCUCUCCAACCAACUAAAUUACAAACACAAACCCCCUCCUCAUUUAACAUAUUACCUGUGGCUUGUCUCAAAAUCAAUUUCUAUAUUUCAACCACACAACUGCAUUCUUUUUUUUCUUCUUCGGUUACACACAAUUGUAUUCUUUGUUUCUUAUAAAUACUGUUUGAGAAAUUAAAAGAUAAACUAAAACUAACCAUUUUAAGAAGUGCCAAGUAAUGCUUGUGCAUGGAGCAUAGGUUACGUUCCGUAAAAAACUAAAAGUUUUUCAACCCAAAGAAACUUUCUAAAAGACAGUGGCCUCAGCAUUCAAUUGUCAUAAAUUUUAUUUCAACAGUUAUGUAAAGAAAAAAAUGGUUCGAAUAAAAAAUAUAUAUACGUCACCUUAAGAUUCACAAACUAAAAACCCCAUUAGCAUAGAAAAAUUCUUACCAUGUGAAGAUUCAACAUCCAAAAUCAGAUCAAGUGCGUAAUCAUAAUAUGGAACUUGACUGCUCAAACCACAGAGAUUAAAAUCAUCCUGGAUGUAUUCAUCAUCAACUUCACAAAAAAAUUCAUUUCCUCGCAAAUUGCAGAACCAUGAAAUCCAAGAUGUGUCAUCUCCAUCAGAACCACUGACGUCUGAUUCUUCACUGUCUGUUUCAGAUUCCUCUGCAUUGAAAGCAAACCAUGUAUGAAUGAGAGUGCAUUUUCUAAUCCAAGUCUUCAAGAUAGAUUUUUGUGUCUUUUUCUACAACGUCAGUGCUUAUGAGUUAUUCAUUCCACAAGUGUGAAAGACUGGAUUUGGGAAAAAAUUAAAAUUGGAAAUUGUUAGACUUAGAACUGCUAAGAAUCUCAACAAAAAUAAGCAAAAGUGAGAACUUUGAACUUUACCAAUAUCUUAGUCCUAAAAAAAAAAGGGCUUUGCAAUUGAAAAACAAAAACAGCAUACAUGAAGCGAACCCAGAUCAUAUAACAAAGUUUCUCUGACAUAAAUAACAAGAAAAUGAGUUACCAAUUAUUCAUAAACAACAAAUUCAAUAAUAAUAAAACCAAAACAAUGAGAGAGCAAAAUAAAAUGACACCAACCAUCAGAGCAUUUGUUCUUGGUGAGCGAGGCCGCAGCGGCAGCGGCAGCACGAUGAUCGAGCUGAGAUUUACCAGUGGAAGUGGAGGGCACAGAGAGCCUCUCUUUAUCUUUACUAUUAGCCAAAGCUCUCGAUGUGGAUGGGGAGGACUUCUCUAGGUGCUUGUCCAGUGCAUCAUUGAUGCGCUUGCGGUCGAGCGGCCCACCAACAAUCUCCGUUUUCGACGACCCACCCCCUCCACGUUCCCUAUACAUGGUCUAAUUUCGAACCCUUUUGGGUAAAUUUUGGCUCUUGGAUUUGGAGCGAGAGAGGAGAGUGUCAAGCUCUGUGCUGGACAUCCAUGGUGUGUUGGAGAGUUUGAAUAAAACCCUAGAUUUUUGAAAGGGGUAUAAAGGGAGGUGCUUUUGAGGUCCUGAGGAUCGGAGCGGAGAGAGAUCGAAGAUUGGAGAGAGAGAGAGAGAGAGAGAGAGAGAGAGAGCUAGGGUUUGGGGGAGGGAGAGAUGGGGCGAGAGGUACACGAGCUGUUGAGCAAAAUGCUCUUAGGUUCCCUCUGUCUCUUCUUUGUUUUCUUGUCCUUGGUUUCACCCUUCUUUCUUUUUAAAAUUUUUUUCUCCUUAUUUUUUAGGGUGGAUAUGGUUCGGUUCGGUUUAAUUUGGUUCAAAAACUAAAACUUACAUAGGGUCCAAUUUGGUUCGAUUUCCAUACAAAAUGUUUAAAAGAGUCGAAUCAACGGGACCCUAAAUGGUUCCUAUUCGGUUUAGUCGAUUUUCAGUUUGGAAGAAGACAAAAAGAGGAAAAGGUGAAGAAGACAUAAAUAAUGAAGAGAUAAAUUGGAAGAGAUAGAAAGGAUGCACAACAAGAAGUACAGUUAGGAUUCACCGAAAAGAAAAAGAAGUGGUGCUACAGUUGUUAUUUAAUUGGAUAUAAGUUGGGACUAAAGGCCAGUUUGAGAUUGUUGUCACUUUUUAAAAAAGUUUCUUCUGCCAUGCUUUGAAAACAAUCAAUUAUAAAGUAAAGCAAUUUCACAUUUGGUAAAUAAUAUUUUUUAAAGUGAUGUGAGUAUAAAAAGCAGUGUCAAUCUAUUUGGUAAAUUUUAAUAUAAAACUAUUGUAGUUGUGGAUAAUGACUAAAUUGGGCAUGAUAUUCAAAGUGGCAUGUGCUAAUAAGGUGAUGAAAAUGGAGGCUGUGACAAUGGUGGUGUUGGCGGUGGUGAUGAUAGAGGUGAAGGUGGUGUUGGUUGAGGUGAAGGUGGUGGUAGUGGAGGUGGAGGUGGAGUUGGUAGUAGUGGUGGUGGUGGAGGAGGUGGAGACGGACGUGGUGGUGGAAGAUAUUGUUCAAGGACUACAAGGAAAAGGUAGACAAUGUCAUUUAAAAACAUUAAUGAUGGUAUUACAGGAAUUGAAAAAAUUUAUUAAAGGCUCUUCUCCGCUUCUUGUGAAAGUAGCUUUCGAAAGGAUCUUAGAGGCUUCUUUUAUAAGCUGCUGUUAGGAAGCCAUUGCUUUAAAAAUAAUUUGGAUGUUUUGUUUUACAAAACACUUUAAACUGCUUAACUUUUCGGUGAAGCAAUUUUUUGCUGAAAAAGAAAUUCCAAACGAGAGGGCCUAACGUUUGUUUUCCAUUCCUACACAACCCAAACAUGAGAAAGGAACUAAAUUAGUAUUUCUUGGUCACUUGGGAAAUGAAUCUUCAAUUUCCCAUUUACUUGAAAAAUGACACAGAAAAUGAUUUCUCAUCAAAUUCUUUUCACAAACCAAAAGGGGCCCUAGAAUUGUUCACACUCUUUCACUAACAUUCUCGGUCUCUUCUUCAGUUAGAAGAAGAACUUUAUCGAAGGAAGUCAUAACCUCAUCCAUUGUACUCUACCACUCUCAAGUCCAAAUCCCCAAAUCGCCUACCAAUUUGGAAAGGAUUCAAUUUACGAGCGAAUUCCAAGAAUUGACUAUAGAAGGAAAUUCAUAAGAAGAUACAAGUUGCUCAUGAGUUUUACGAGUCACGUGUACCAGCAAUCAAGCUUGAUUAUUUUUUUUUCCUUUUUCUAACGAGCCUAAUAUUAUGUUUGAGCUGAGUUUGUUUCUCUUACAAACUGAGGUAUUAAUUGAACCAAAAAACAUACCAAAUGCAAGCCCUACCACUCACCUAGGGUUGACAUUUUUAAUUGAGAAACUCCAAAAACUAAACCGACCGUAUUUUUACCACAACGGAACUGGUAUGUCAGGAAAAUUGACACAAGUUGCAGUUUUUUGGACCGACCACAAUUUGCAAUUGGCACUACGGUUCCGCAAAUCCAAAGAUUGAUGUAUACUGCAAUAUAAUUUAAUUAAUUAUUAAAAUAAAUAUUUAUAAAUAUUUAAUAUUAACUAACAACCUUUAGAUGAAUCUAACGACUAUAAUUUAUUAUCUUCUAUCAAUCAUAGCCUUUGGACUUCAUUUGUCUCGUUAAGAUGAGAUUGAAAUUGCAAUUUAACACUAUGAACAUGAGAUUGAAAUUGCAAUUUUACAUUAAGAUAUAUUAAAUAUUGCUCUUAUCUUUGCAAAGCAAAGUGUCUUUCAGCAGUACACUUGCUGAAAUUUUCUUUUUGCUAAGGAUACAUAUUUACUUAAAGAAAUUAAAAGAAAUAUGUAGGGGCUGAUUCAACAUAGUGUAGUGCUUGUCUAUGUUAGCCAUUGACGGAUGAGCUAUGUAUGACUGUUUCAAUGGGGCACUUGAUAUUUAAGUUUCUUCCAAACUGUCUUUCAGUAGGAGUUCUUAUAGAAUAUUGCUAGUGAUGAUGGAUUUUGAAGGGUAUUUUGGGUUUGGUAAUUAUCUUUGGUAAGGGAGCUGAUUCUCUCACUCUUUUUUCUUUCAUUUACGCUCUCUUUUAUUUUUUAAUACUUUUUAAUCAAUUUUGUUGUUUUUUUAUUCUUUCUCUUUUCUAUUUUCCCAUUAUCUUUGGUGUAGUUGUGUUAAAAGAAGAUAUAUUAUCUGAUUUUUCUUUUAAUUUUAAUUUUUUUUAACAUGAAAAAGUGUGGAUGGCUUUCCCUUUGCGAUGUCAUUUCUAGGUUGCGAUUGUGCUUCCCGGUUUAUCGAUUGAUAUUGCUGUGGGGAUUUUAUCUUUCUUGUCUUCGUAUUUUAAAGGCUUCUCCCUUGUAUUUUGGCGAGGUUAAUGAAAUUAUCCUGUUUAUGACCCAAAAAAAUUCCAGUACCACCAUGGCCACCCCUCGGAAGUAUCAAUCGGAGAGAGAGAGAGAGGUGGUUGUGGCUUGGUGGGUUGGAGUGACAUGGGCGGUGGCUGGUGAGGGGAUAGGGAUGAUCAACUGGAGAGAGAAACAGAGAGAGGUGGUGGCUUGGUGGGUUGGACUGAGAUGGCCGGUGGUUGCUUGCUAUAAUAAUUUGUUUCUAUUUUUUCCAAGUUUCUUUUGUAUUUUAAUCUUAUUUUGUAUUUUUAAAUUGAAUUUUUAAAUUUUAGAUGACGGAAGUUAAAAUUUGAGCUUAAAUUUCUAAUGAAAUGAAAUACUGUGAUCAAAUUGGUAAAAUUAAAAUGUCGGUGACCAAAUAUGUUUUCGGGCUUAAAUUUAGUGACUAAAACUAUGUUUUACUUUUUAAAAUAUUUUUUUUAAAGAAUUCCUUAUUAUUUUCUUCACACAUCUGCACCAAAGUUGGGUAUCUCACUUGCUACGUCACCAAUAGUAAAAUAGGAAAGAUAAAGAACAAAGAAUAACAUUGAUUAAAAAGUAUUUAAAAAUAAAAGGAAAUGUAAAUGGAGAAAAUGAAAGUAGGGAAAUCAGCUCCCUUUGAUAAUUAUUUUUACAGUAUCUUAAAGUGGAGAUUAAUGAUAAAGAAAAAUUAGGUUUUAGACAUAAUUAACUUUAUUAAUUAGUUUGUAAGAUAUUGGAUAUUUUGGUUUUAGUUUUAAUACCUAGGAAAAAACUACUAUUUUGGAUUAGUCCAAAAAGAGGCCCAGAUUCGUUGGGCCAGGUAAAAAAUAACAACUGAUAAGACAAUUCUACCCUUCUUCUUAAAAAGCCUGGCCCAUUUGUAAACCUACAAAGUAAAUGACACUUUUGCCCCUGAAUGUUUAAACAAGGCGCGAGCGAGCCUAUUCUCUCUCUGUUUCGUUUUCGUCCUCGUUUGUUUGGCAGCAGAUUUUGUUCGUUUGGCAGACAAAUUUCGUUCGUUUGGCAGGCAGAUUUCGUUCGUUUGGCAGGCAGAUUUCGUUCGUUUUCGUUUUCGUUCUCGCCAUUGGAGCUCAAUUUUCUGGUUGGUUUUCCUUUUAUUUCUUCCUUUUUCGUUCGAUUAUCAUGCCGAAUCUGUUAGUUUUUUUGUUCGAUUAUCAUGCCGAAUCUUUUUCGUUCGAUUAUCAUGCCGCAUCCUGUUCCAAAAUUCAGUACAGUUUGUUUGUUUCCUUCUAAUUGAAUAAUCUUUCGUUCGAUUAUCAAUGUCGAAUCUGUCAGUUUUGGGUUUUUCGAGCUCAGUUUUGUGGCUCAAUUUUAUGGCGCGAUCUUGUGGCUCAGUUUUGUGGCUCGAUUUUUUUUGCCUCCUCUAUUAUAAACUGCAUCUGUUUGUUGGAGUGUUGGCAGAAACUGCAUUGCAGUUUCUGGUUUCAUAAAGGCAAUGUUACAACUGCUCAUGGAGUUAAAUGUGUUUUGAUAUUAGUUUUAGUACUUUUAACGUGGUUUCCUUUUGGUUUCUAUUCGAUUUGUUUUGCCUCCUCUGUUAUAAACUGCAUCUGUUUGUUGGAGUGUUGGCAGAAACUGCAUUGCAGUUUCUGGUUUCAUAAAGGCAAUGUUACAACUGCUCAUGGAGUUAAAUGUGUUUUUAUCUAAGUUUUAAUACUUUGAACAUGGUUUUCUUUUGGUUUCUAUUCAAAUUUAAGGGUAUGUUAUCACAUAAAGUGCAAUGUUGUUUCUGUUAUUUCAGUUUUUGACUAUAAACUGCAGUGCAGUUUCUUGUUUCAUAAUUCGAUUUCAUACUAAUAUUUGGAUUUCUAUUGGAAUGUUACAACUGCUCAUGUACAUUAUUUAGUGAUUUUAAUUAUUUUCUGUUUUUGUUUGUUGUUUUGUUUGCAUUUUCAAGGCUAAUGGAGGUGUGUGUCAUUGCCAAGUGCACAUAUAAGUCGGAAACCAUCAUGUUUUCAGUUUCAUCAGAGUCAUCCAUGGUUGAUAUUUUGAAGACUUUGUGUAUGAGGUUUAGGGGUUUACAGUUGGGUUGUUUCACAUUACGGUAUUCGGUGCCCAGUUAUCCGAGUUAUUUUCUAGAAACGGAUAGCGAUUUGGACUUGAUGAGGACAUUUUUGUUGAUAUCAAAUGAGAAGACUGUUGAUAUUUUAGUGAAGGAUUUAUGCGGGAGCAGUGAAUAUAGUGGUGAUUUUUGUGUAAAUAAGGAGUUGAUAGCAUGUGAAAAGGGCGAGUCGUCGUGUUCUAGUACUGUCGAAGACAGAAACGAGUUUUUGGGCAGGUCGAAGAGAGCAAGUGCUAAGCCUUUGUUGUCGAAUGAGUGGGAGACAUACAUACAUCAUGUGGGGCAGAAGUUUGACGGUGGUGUAGAGGAGUUCCGGUUGAAAUUGUGCAAGUACGCUCUUGAAGUAGGAUUUAAUUUUUUAUAUGCCGGCAAUGACAAGAAGCGGGUGGUUGCUGUUUGUCCGAAUAAGAAAUUGGAGGGUUGCAGCUAGCGUGUUUAUGCUUCUCGUUGUGAAGCUACUGGCAGUUUUGUAAUUCGGACGUUAAAUAAUGUUCAUACAUGUGCGGGUCGAAUACGGGAAUCAAAGAGUAAGAUGAUGAGGUCUCGUGUGGUGUCCUCCCUCAUUGUGGACAGAAUUCGUGCAAAACCAGAGCUGAAGCCAAUUGAGAUUAUACACGAGUUCAAAGAUUAUUAUGGUAUAGACAUUUCAUACUACCACGCAUGGUAUAGACAUUUUUAUAUGUUUUCAAAAUACCCUGUACAAUGAGAUUGAAUGAUUCAGAAACUGCAUUGGAUAAAAUGCAAACUGCGAUGUAGAAAACACAAACUGCAAUGCACUGUAUACAGAUUUCAAUUACCUUAUCAACAGUGUCUUCCUCUUCCCUGGUAGUUUUUCGCUUUUUAGGAGUUUUGAAAAUACCCUGUACAAUGAGAAUGAUUUAGCAUGGAUUCACAUUCAAGAUACAUUAAAACAUAACAUGCGAUAAAUUGCAUACCUCGAUGUCAUUCAAGUCCUUUAUUUGGUUGAAUCUUGUGUGGAGUUCCACAAGACUCCAUUUAAGAAUGGCAGGAGUUUCUUUCUCCUUGCCAAGGAUUGGUUGUAUGAUGUUUGUCCUCUCACACAGUAGAAACUGCACAGUUCAAAAACAAGAUAUAUCAGAAAUUAGGUUGGAAACUGCAUAGGAUAAAACAGAAACUGCGUUGCAGUUUCCAUUUAUGCAUUGCAGUAAAUGGAAACUGCAUUACACUAAAUGGAAACUGCAUUGCCUAAAACUCAAAAUGCAUUGCAUAAGCCACUGUUUACUUACCAAUAUUAGGAUAGUGCAACCCGAAACAGCUCCUAUAGAGGCUUCUCCUCCCUUCUUUGCUUUUGCUUUUGCUUUUGCGGCCAAGGAUUCAUUCAUGUAGGCUGAAACAGCUCUUGCCCACGAAUAGCUUGAAAGUGUGUCUAGAUUCACAUAGUGCUCAAAUAAUUUCCAAUGCAAAGUAGAUGAAGAGUUGGCAAAAAGGAAUGUCAUGCACAGCAGAAUCAAUAUUAGGCUGACCACCUCCUUGUCGUAAUCAACUUCUUCUUCUUCUUCUUCUUCUUCUUCUUCUUCAGCUUCUUUCUUUUCUUUUCCUUUGUUCAUUUUUUUCUUUUGCUCUGUCUUUGCCUUUUCUUUCCUCGGUUGGUUUGCCAAGGCAAUUGUCUUUUGUAAUCUGCUUCUACCUGGUUUUUUGAUGGUUUUCCUUUUUCUCCAAAGUGCCUUGUUCUGAAGGUAGCAGUGUACCUAUCAUUGACAAGUUUGACAGAUUUGCCUUCAUUUGGCAGUCCUAGAAUCUAAGUCACUGCAUUGCCUGUGAUUUGGAAUGAUUUGGUUCCAAAUGUGAAGGACUUUGUAUCCGGAUCAAAUUUCUUGAGCAGCUGUACUAAGUCAAGGUCCGACUUAUUCAUGUUAUUCAUGUCAAUUCUCUGGCGGUAAAACAGCUCGAUCAAGUUCCAGAAAGGGGUUUUCUUGAGAAGCUUCUUCUGCCUUUCAUUGAGCUUGUCCUUUAUGUCUCUAAUGAUGCUGUUGAAAGCAUAGGCAUUGCACCGAAAUUGGACAUAGUCCGGGUGCUUUGCUUUCCGAUCAUAGUUUGGCUUUGGCUUUGUUUUGAUCUUUUGAGCCAUCAUUUUGAUUCUGCGCUUUGGUUGGUUUUCAGCUUCAUUCUUUUGUGGUGACAUUUCUUGUUCCAUUUUGUGAUAUGCACGGCAGUUUAUGGUCAAAAUCUGCAACAAACAACCAGAAACUGCUGCUCAAAAUUUGAUGUGAAAAGAAACCAAAAAGGUAAAAACAGUACUGAAACUAAUAUCAGAACACAUUUAACUUCAUGAGCAGUUAUAACAUUCCCAUAAACCAUAGCAAAAAGCACUCUGAAAUUGAAUUAUGGAACCAGAAACUGCAAUGCAGUUUCUGGUCAAAAUCUGCUACAAACAACCAGAAAUCAAAAAGGCAAAAACAGUACUGAAACUAAUAUCAAAACACAUUUAACUUCAUGAGCAGUUAUAACAUUCCCAUAACCCAUAGCAAAAAGCACUCUGAAAUUGAAUUAUGGAACCAGAAACUUAAUCUGCUACAAACAACCAGAAACCAAAAAGGCAAAAACAGUAGCAAAAACGAAUAUCAAAACACAUUUAACUUCAUGAGUAGUUAUAACAUUCCCAUAAACCCUAGCAAAAAGCACUCUGAAAUUGAAUUAUGAAACCAGAAACUGCAAUGCAGUUUCUGGUCAAAAUUUGUUACAAACAACCAGAAACCAAAAAGGCAAAAACAGUAGCAAAAACUAAUAUCAAAAGACAUUUAACUUCAUGAGCAGUUAUAACAUUCCCAUAAACCCUAGCAAAAAGCACUUUGAAAUUGAAUUAUGGAACCAGAAACUGCAAUGCAGUUUCUGGUCAAAAUCUGCUACAAACAACCAGAAACCAAAAGGCAAAAACAGUAGCAAAAACUAAUAUCAAAAGACAUUUAACUUCAUGAGCAGUUAUAACAUUCCCAUAAACCCUAGCAAAAAGCACUCUGAAAUUGAAUUAUGGAACCAGAAACUGCUGCAGUUUCUGGUCAAAAUCUGCUACAAACAACCAGAAACCAAAAGUACUAAAACCAUCGUCGGUGUGAAACCUAAAAUCGAAGAGAGUACUGAUUCAUUUUCUUACGGUUUAGCUUCGGUCGUCGUCGGUGGUCGUUGCUCGUCGUCGGUGGUCGUUGCUCAUCGUCGUUGGUCGUCGUCGCCUUCGCCGUUGCUCGUCGUCUUCGUUUCUGCUCGUCUUUGUUUCUGCUCGUCGGUUGCGUUUUUGGAGUGGGAUAUGAAAGGUCGCGCGAAACCAGUUUUUGAAGUGAUUAAAUUUGAGUAGUGUCGUUUUGUGUUGUGUUUUGUGGGAAUGUUAUGUCGUUUUGACAGUUUUAAGUUUUGGUUUAUAAUUAAAUAAACUGUAUUUGACAGUUAAGCACAAUGGCAUAUGUAGUAAUUUUAGGGUUGUUGGAUGUCCUUUUGGUAAAAUUAGGUGGCUUUGGUUUUAUAUUAAUUAAGCAAAAUUCAUUAUCUUUCUUUCAAAUUAGUUAAGUUUUUUAUGGGUUAAAACUAAAAUUUUAAGUACAAAUUUUCUUAAUUUGACAAUGAAGGUUAUGUGUUGUGGAAAUACCCACCGCAAUAUACCGACAAAUGUGCUAUAUUGACAUGCUAUAUAUUGCAAUUUGUUGAUCAGUUCACAAUUUAUCUUUAUAGCAUAUGACAAUAGGGGUGGGCACGGUUCGGUUUGGACCGGUUUUUGCCUAAAAUUAGAACCGAUCCGGUACUAUUCAUCCGGUUUGGUUCGAUUCGGUUUUAAUAAAAAAAAUUUCAAAAACUGUCCGGUUCGGUUUGAACCGGUUUCGGUCCGGUUUCGAUUCCGGUUCGGUUUUGAACCGGAUUAUAAAAAUUAUUUUUUUAAAUUGUUUUUUAAUACAAUUCUCAACUGAAAUAUUAUUUUUUUUACUUGAAAAUUAACAAAUUACUCAAUUUCAUAUAAAAAAUAAAUAUUAAAGUAAGAAAAGAGAGAUAUUUUGACAUUGAACUUGGAUAAAUAUUAGGUUUUUUUAGUGAAAUUAAAAAUAUAGCAUUAAAUAUAAAUAUAUAUUGAAAUUAUAUAUUUUUUUAGUUUCACCGGUUCGGUUCGGCCCGGUUCGGUUUUUGAAGACAUAGAACCGAAUCCGGAACCGGUCCAAACCGGUCCAGUUUGGUUUUUGACCGGUUUUUGACUGUUUGGUCAACUCGGUUUUUUUCCGGUUUGGUUCGGUACGGUUCGGCUCGGAUUUCCGGUUCUCCGGUUUGAGUGCCCACCCCUAUAUGACAAUAUAUCAGUCGGUUCACAAUUUCAUUAAAAAAUUACGGAAAUCGAACUGCAGCCACCCAUACACUCUCACCUAUGCAUUUUACAACAAAAUCCUUGUCUUUGAGUUCAAUUAUUCAAUGAACAUGAAAACUCAAAUCCAAUUCCUUAUUUAAUUGUUUUAUCUAAAUGGACGGCCCAGUAUUUUAUCUUUAUUAGUUUUUACGACCCAAAAAAAGAAAUUUCUUUAUUAGUUUAUUUCUUUUUCCGAACUGCCGAGGGUGCCACUUACCAAAAAAAGUAAAAAAAAUGCAGUGGGUGCUAUAGCCAGACCGCAAGGAAAAUGAGAGAUUCAGUCUGCAGAAGAGGCCAAAAAUAGAGAACGGUUCUUGGUCCGAAGGUCUGCACAUACAUGUCUUUAUCCUGAAAAAAAAACUUAUUUAUAACGGGUAUAUUACUGUUUUGCUAUUUCUAAUUAAUAACACAAUGAUACAUAAAAAAAUUAUUAUAUGUGUCACUACAUUAUUUAUCAAGAAUAGAAAAAAGUGCUAUUCCCAUUACAUAAGAGUUUCUCUCAUUAAUCCUGUUCUUAUAAGUUGCCCAAGAAAGAAAAAACAAUUGCAAUUAUGUCAACAUUAAAUGUAUUAAUAAUGAUAGAAACAAAAAACCAAAAAAAUAGUAUCGGAAACGUCUAGACCAAUAGUAGAGGACCAUAAAGUUCAUUGCUAAAACGAGGGAAGGGAAGAAAGAGAGAAAGAAAAGUUGAAAGCAGAGGCAACAAUGGCAGCAAAGAUGAUAUUAUCAGUGUUGCUUGGUGGGUUUGUGGUACUGUUCUUAUACCUCUAUGAGUCUUUGGUUUUGAAGCCAAAGAGGCUGAGAUCAAAGCUUGAAAAGCAGGGGAUCAGAGGGCCUUCCCCUUCAUCAGUUCUCUUGGGAAAUAUCCCAGAAAUGAAGAGCAUCAAACUCAAGGUGAUGAAAAAGUCUGAAGAAGUGAGUAGCAUCAAGUCAAAGGACCACCAUCCUUCUCUUGCUCAUGAUUGGCCUUCAACCAUCUUCCCUCAUCUGGUGCAGUGGACAAAUGAAUAUGGUAAUAAACCUAGUUUUGUUUGUCAACUUAAUUUCAUAAUUUAUUUUGUAUUUUGAGUUCUAAAAUGUGAAAAUAACUGAAAAACAAACAACAUGCAAAGUUUCCAGUCUAGGUUGGGCCUGAGGAAGAUUAAUUUGCUUACAGUCUCUCUCCUCUAGAAAUCAUAGAUGCAUAACCAAACACAUUAAUUUUAGAUAAAUUAAUUGAAAAAAAAAAGACAGAGGGGGAUGAUUUUUCUUUUUCUUUUUAUUUUUUGGCUGUCUUCCUAAUUAGUAUUUGUUGGUGGCAGGGCCAAUCUUCAUGUAUUCAACUGGAAGCAUACAGCUAGUAAGUGUUACAGAUAUAGACAUGGUGAAGGAAGUUAGCCUGUGCACAUCUUUGAAGUUAGGGAAGCCUGCUUAUCUGUCUAAGGAUCGCAAGCCACUGUUAGGGCAAGGCAUUCUAGCUUCAAAUGGUCCAACUUGGUCUCACCAAAGGAAGAUUAUUGCUCCUGAAUUCUACUCUGAUAAGGUUAAGGUAAAUCAUUGAAUUUCUAUUUUUCUUUCUGUUGUUAUUUCUGAUGCAUUUCAUCCCUUUAACCAGAAUCAAAUGGGUUCAGAAUUCACUGUUUAAUUAGUAUCUAGUUAUCAAAAAAUUGCUUCAGUGUGUUGAUUAGGCGAAGGCAUAAACUUGAUAAUCUACUUUCUAAAGGAACUUGAAUAAUAAUUUAAAAAAAGCUUUUCGUUCGAUCUAGCUAACAUUUCUUCGUGCAAAUCUGUUUUAAGGGCAUGGUAAACUUGAUGGUGGACUCCACAACCUCAAUGUUAAGAUCUUGGGAGAGUAAAAUUGAAAGUGAGGGAGGAAUGGCAGUCUUUAGAGUUGACGAGGAUUUAAGAAGCUUGUCGGCAGAUAUAAUAUCAAGAACAUCAUUUGGAAGUGAUUAUUCACAAGGGAAAGAAAUUUUCUUAAAGCUCAGAACUCUUCAGAAAGUCAUGUCCCAGCUGGGGAACAUUGGGAUUCCUGGCUUAAGGUAAAUCAUCAUACUUUAUUCAUUUAAUCACCAUAAUAGGUUCUGGGGAUGGUUUUUGUUUAAGUAGUUCUUGCUGCAUAUAAUACAUUAUCACAUUGCCAAUUACGUGUCCUACAUAGGUAACCCAUUUGCAUAGGUGAGUCCUAUCACUGGCCUAUGUGGUUCUCACCUCUGUCUGAGAUGUCAUUAGUAAAUAUAGUACAAUAGUUUUAUUAUAUACAUGCUCACUAGAUCUGCAAAUUCCCCACGACAGAUACUUGCCAACGAAAGCCAACAGAGAGAUAAAGAGAUUAGAGAAAGAGAUCCACUCAAUGAUAUUAAGGGUUGCAAACCAACGCAGUACUGAGGCUACUCAUGAGAAGGACCUUCUGCAAAUGAUACUCGAGGGAGCGAAAAAGUAUGAUGAUGCAGAUAGCCUAUUUUCUGCUGGUAUCUCCCAGGAAGACUUCAUAGUGGAUAAUUGCAAAAACAUAUACUUUGCUGGCCAUGAGACCACUGCCAUCACAGCCUCCUGGAGCUUGAUGUUAUUAGCUGCAAAUCUGGAGUGGCAAGUUCGUGUUCGUGAUGAGGUGCUUGAAAUUUGUGGGGAUGGAAUUCCAGAUGCUGAUAUGCUUCGAAGCAUGAGAACAGUAUGUUACUUUAGCACAUAUACUCUGUGAAUGAACCUCUUUGGAAAAGUUUUUGGUUUUUUGCCGAUACAUGCCAAAAUCGCUUUUAAUAAUGUUUGACAUAAAUUGACAAAAAUGAUUUCUGGGAUGACAUAAGGACCAAGUGCUUACUGAAUAAGUAACAUGAUUAGAUAAGUGCUUCUCAAAAGUGCAUGCUUGCUUCUGAAGAAGCGAAUGCAAGAAAAGCACUUUGAUUUUUAGUGAAUUUUUUUGUAGACUUCCAACCAAGAGCUAAAACUGAAGCAAUUCACACAAAAGCACUCUCAAACACACACAAUUACUCUGCUAAUUCAGAAAGUAUGUUACUGUACAUGUAUUUGUAAUAGGAAUUUCUUUCCUUUCUACCAAAAUGAUAUGAAAUUCCAUUCUAAACUCGUUGUAUAAAUAUUUUGACAGUUGAAUAUGGUUAUUCAAGAAACAUUGCGUCUGUACCCACCAGCGGUGUUUGUCAUAAGACAAGCCUUGGAAGAUAUUAAGCUCAAAGAUAUUCUACUUCCCAAAGGUAUGAACAUUCAGAUUCCAAUCCCAAUACUGCAUCAGCUGCAUGAUCUAUGGGGCCCUGACGCCCUCAAUUUCAAUCCAAAAAGAUUUGAGAAUGGAGUACUUGGGGCUUGCAAGUUUCCUCAGGCUUAUAUGCCAUUCGGAGUUGGUGCUCGUGUUUGUCUUGGCCAACACUUAGCCAUGACAGAAUUGAAGGUGAUUCUGUCUCUUGUUCUAUCCAAGUUUUCCUUCUCACUCUCACCUGCGUACCAACACUGCCCAGCUUUUAGGUUGGUUAUUGAACCUGAAAAUGGAGUAAAUCUCCACGUGAGGAGAGUGUGACCUUUUUCUUUUAAAAGGUGCAAAAGAAUGUUGCAGAUGGUCGAUUUUUUUCGUAGGGAAUAAAGAGUUGGCAACUUUUACACCUGUGGUUCACUGUGAACAUUGAAAGAAAAAAGGAAAGGUUAAGGUUUUUUUCUUUCUUCUUGUAAUCUACAUGUAGGAUGCAAUGUGGGAAGGAAACAUUGUGGGCGAAUUACAUUAUUUUGUUCUGUGUUCAUGUUUUUUUAGGGGAUCAUUAAGGAGGACAUAUUCAAUUGGGAUUUUAAAAGACUAUUUUGGGAUAAAUAAGUCAUGUGGUAUUUAAUUAACACUUUUAAAUAAUUUAAAUAAGUUUUGUAGUAUUCCGUUAAGACUGUUUAGGAUUUUUAAAAGAGAGUUGAUAAAUCUAGUGGUAUUCAAUCAAGACUUUAAACAAGUAACAAAAAUUCUUAUGAAUUAAAAAACUUGCUAAUUUCGCAGGAUUUUUUACAAUGUGAAAUUGUGUGGGAUUUUUUAGUGGGAGGUAUAAAUACGAAGUCCUAUGUCAAAUCCCACCCUAACCGAUCAGACUUUUCACGUGGGUUUUUUUUUUCUUAUUUGUUCCUCACCCAAGCACCGCAUGAGAGUCAAACCCACAUUUAUUAUCCUCCCAUGGACCUUCCCUUCAACACCCAGCUCACCAUAUCCCGAACAAGCUCUCAAAAUGGAAGGGAAUAUAACAUGUUCAUGCUGGUUACAUGGUGCAACAUUUUGUGAUAGAGUGAAAUGGCUUCUUGAAAGUAGUGAUUCCACACAAGGCACUUCAUAAGCACACCCCGCAUCUGGGUUUUGGAAGGUUUCAAAAAUUUGGGUUGAGGAUUGGAGGGAACCCACUUGGGCAUAAGAUUCGAUUAGUUUGGAAGAGGCUUUGUGGGUGUCGGGCUGGGGUAAGAGAGAGAAAAAAGAGUGAGAGAGUGGGGCGGUGGGCUGCCAAGAUAGAAGACAUGGAGGGGCAUAGAGAGAGUUUUUUUUUUGUUUUUGUGUUCCUGACCUUUUAAGAUUUUUAAUUAAUUUUUAAUAUUAUUUCUUUUAUUUUUGAAUUAAUUUUUUUUAAAUUGAAAAAGACAUACAAACAAUGAAAUAAUAUUAGCGUUUCAUUUUUACGAGUCUUUUUUCUAAAAACAUCUUAUGUUGACUCCGAAAGAAAUUCAUAUGGUCUUUUCAAAUCUUAUAAAUCCUACGAUAGAAAUCUUUAAAAUUCAUAAGUAAAAAAUCUUGAUUAUAGAAAUUCAUAAAAUGCUAACUGAGGAUUCUCCCCCAGCUUAUUUUAGGACAUUCAAUACAUUCCUUGUCUUGUUUGAAACUAAACUUUAUUAAAGCAACCAUCAGGCUCAGAAAAAAAGGGAAAAAGAAAACAAUAAUUUGCAAAAUAAUUUACCCAGUGGACACCCAAUUAUCCAAUGCAGGAUUAGACUUCUUUUGUUAUUUUUCUUUAUCAAUGGGGAGGGGAUUUGAAUUGGGACAUCUUGCAACAUUAGGAAGAAUAAUACCACUUCACCAAUGCCUAGUUGGUGAUAAACCUUUUGCUAUAUUCUUUCAAUUGUAUUGACUGGGGAAAAAGGUGGCUUGCAAGGGUCAUAAGUUCCAUGAAUUUGGAAGGGUUUGUUCCACCAAAAGAAUUAAUAUUUCUAAGUCCAAUUAUACAAUAGUCAUUUGAAAGUCAGAUCAAAUUCCUUAUUUCAAAUUUUUUAAUCUAAUUGGACCAACCAAUACUUAGCGCAAAGACGGCAAUUAUGCAAUUAUAGUAUAUUAGUUUAUUUGCCCUUUCCAAACCGCAGAAGGUGUGGUAGACUGUAAGGAGAAUGAGAAGGUCCAGUUUUAUUAAUUGCUAAAACAAAGAAGGAAGGGAAGAAAGAAAGAAAGGAGAGGGGCCAAAGAACUGAAAGCAGAGCCAACAAUGGCAGCAAAGAUCAUGCUAUCAGUGUUGUUUGGAGGAUUUGUGUUAUUGCUUGCAUACUUGUAUGAGUCUUUGGUUUUAAAGUCAAAGAGGUUAUGAUCAAAGCUUGAGAAGCAAGGGAUCAGAGGGCCUUCUCCUUCAUCAAUUCUCUUGGGCAAUAUCCCAGACAUGAACAGAAUCAAACUCAAGGAGAUGAAGUUACGUGCAACUAAAGAAACAAGAAGUGGUACUAUCUCAAAGGACCACCCUCUUACUAUUGCUCAUGAUUUGACUUCAACCCUUUUCCCUCAUCUGGUGCAAUGGCGAAAUGACUACGGUACACCAUUUAUGUCAGCCUAAUUUCUUUAGUAUAUGAUAAUAACAGUGUUGGCCUAAAAUUAGAUUUGGAAAAGUGCGGAUGUAUUUUUCAUUCUUUUGGAUCAAAAGGUUACACUGUACACAAAUGCAUGUACUGCUAAAAACAUCUUGUCCUCCUCUUUUUUACUGGAGAGAAACUUCCCUACUCGGUCGCCACCUGCUCCUCUCUUCCUAUCUCUCUCCUCAUGUGAUAGGUGACAUGGGGAGAGAUAUAGGAAGAGAGGGAUAGUGGCACCAGGGCAUGGAAGUAUUUUUUCCUUUUACCGGUUAGUUAAUUGUCAGAUGAUUUUGUAUAAAAUUGUGCUCUUCCAAUUGAGUUUUAGUCUAGUCAGGUCAGAUUGAGAGCUAGAUUAGUCACCUUAUGCUGGACUUUUGGAAGAUUAAUUUGCUUAUAAUAUCGUCUCCCUUAGAAAUAUAAAAUCCAUACCUAAAUGCACUCAUUUUAGAUAAAUAAAAAUAAGAGAGGGAAGGUGAUCACAUUUUUCAUUUUGUUUUGGAGCUCUUCCUGCUGUUUUUGUUAUGCUUAUCCAUUACGUAUUGGUGGCAGGGCCAAAUUUCACCUAUUUAAGUGGAAGGAUACAGCAAUUAACUCUUACAGAUGUAGAAACGGUAAGGGAAGUUAGCCUGUGCAAAUCUUUGCACUUGGGGAAGCCUGCUUACCUAUUAUCUCAGGAUCAUAAGCCGCUGUUUGGCAAAGGCAUUCUAGCUUCCAGUGGCCCAAUUUGGUCCCACCAAAGGAAGAUUAUCGCUCCUGAGUUCUACUUUGAAAAAGGUUAAGGUAAAUGACUAAAUCUCAUCAUAGAAUUUUUAUGUUCGUUUUCUAUUGCUGCUUUUUAUGAUGCAUUUCAUGGAUUUCAAUUAUAGUCAAAAUCCAAUGGGUCCAAAAUUCACUGUUUAAUUUCAAGGGUAUGAUGGAUUUGAUGGUGGACUCUACAGCCACACUGUUAAGAUCUUGGGAGAGCAAAAUCGAAAGUGAGGGGGGAAUUGCAGUCCUUAGAGUUGAUGAGGAAAUGAGAAGCUUGUCAGCAGAUAUAAUAUCAAGAGCAUGCUUUGGAAGUAGUUAUUCAGAAGGGAAAGAAAUUUUCUUAAAGCUCAGAACUCUUCAGAGAAUCAUGUCCCAGGGAAACAUUGGGAUUCCUGGCAUAAGGUAUGUAGACAAUAUUACAAGAAAAGCUGAUGUUUAUCAUACAUUAUGCAUAUAGUCAUCAUAACAGGUAUUCUGGUGGUUUGUUUUUCUAACGUACCACAUUACCAAAUUCCUCAUUAGUAUCAAUGUCAUACUAAUGGUUCAUUAAACUAAAUGUCUCGAAAAUGCUAAAUACUUGCCAACAAAAAACAACAGAGAGGCAUGGAGAUUAGAGAAAGAGAUCCACUCCAUGAUAUUAAAGGUUGCGAAGCAACGCAGUACUGAGGCUAGUCAUGAGAAGGACCUUCUGCAAAUGAUACUUGAGGGAGUAUGGUGAUGAUUGCAAGAACGUAUACUUUGCUGGCCACGAAACCUCUGCUGUCACAACAUCAUGGAGCUUGAUGUUAUUAGCUGCAAAUCCAGAGUGGCAAGCUCGAGCCCGUGCUGAGGUGCUUGAACUUUGCAGGGAUGGCGUUCCAGAUGCUGAUGCACUUCGAAGCAUGAAAACAGUACAAUCCUUUAACAUACACAUUACACUCACGUUAUUUUACUUAUUGAAGACGCUCUGCUAAUGAGCCUGUUUGGAAAUACUUUAGGCAAUACUGCCAGAAGUGCUUUUCCUAGUGGUUGAUAUAGGGCUCGUUUGGGAGUGAUUCUGGAUAGACCAAUAAUCACUUCUAUGGAGAAGCACAUGGGAGGUGCUUCUCCCAAGAAUCGCUUAAAAUCACUAAGUGAUUAUAUAUGGAGAAGCAUGUGGGAGGUGCUUCUCUCCAAAAGUGAUUCUGGCCCUCCAAGAAUCACUCUCAAACGAGCUCAUAAAUAGAUAAAAGUGCUUCUUGGGAUGGCAGAUCUCUUCAAGUGCUUCCUGAAUGAAGCACACAAUAGGUACUUGAUGUGCUUUUAGGUGAAUGUGCCUUGUAUUUGAGUGAAAAAAAAAUUUAUGUACAAAGUUCUACUAACUCAUAUAGAAGGCACUUCAAAACACGUUCAAAUUCUGUACAUACUCAGCUAAUGAAAACAGUAUGUUACUACUAUACAUAUACAGAUCUGUAAUAAGAACUGAUUUCCUCCCUACCAAAUUGAUAUGAACUUCAUUCUCAUUAUAUAUAUGUUGGCAGUUGAAUAUGGUGAUUCAAGAGACAUUGCGCCUAUACCCACCGGCAGUGUUUGUUGUAAGACAAGCCUUUGAAGAUAUUGAGCUCAACAACAUUCUGAUUCCCAAAGGAAUGAACAUUCAGAUUCCAGUCCCAAUGUUGCAGCAACUGCCAGAUGUCUGGGGCCCUGAUGCCCUUGAAUUCAAUCCGAAAAGAUUCGAGCAUGGAGUUCUUGGUGCUUGCAAGUUUCCUCAGGCUUACAUACCAUUUGGAUUUGGUCCUCGGAUAUGUGUUGGGCAGCACUUAGCCAUGACAGAAAUGAAUGAAGGUGAUUCUGUCUCUUAUUUUAUCCAAAUUUUGCUUCUCGCUCUCCCAUGCAUACCAACACUGCCCAGCAUUCAGAUUGGUUAUUGAACCUGAUCAUGGACUAAAUCUCCAUAUGAGGAGGGUGUAACUAUGAACAUUGGCAAUUUUUACACGUGUUUCACUAUGAAAAUUGAACUAAAAAAGAGGGAAGAGGUUUACUUUUUUUUUUCCUUGAUUAUUUUACUUGUAAUCUAAAUGUAAGAUGUUAAUGUGGGGAUGGUGAACUUAGUUAUUAAUUUGUUGUAUUAGUUUUUGGUGUAUGAAAAAUUAUGUUUUAUUGUGUAUCUGUUAUGGCUAUAAUAUUCAUUAGUCUCCACAUAAUAGCUUAAGCUUUUAUUUAUUUUUUUAAUUUUUUUAUUUUAUAAAAACUGAAGCUUAUUGUAUGAUAAUAGAUUAUUAUGUUUUCUUUAAUUCAACAACGGUUGGCAUGAGAGUUGAACUCAAGACCUCGUACGAUAAAGUGGAGACUAAACUACAUUAGACAAAAUGAUCAUUGACGGGAGCUCUUAAUCUUAACAAUAUUUAUGUUAUGAAAGAAUAUGAAAAUAAAAAAAUCUUGUUUUUUUAUUUGAAAAAAAAUCCAAAGCUACUUAGAAUCAGAAGAGGCCAAAAAGAGACAAUGCUAUAGGUCCAUUGUAAUCAAAUGUGAUAAUAAUGAUGAUAUUAUUAAUUAACACUACCAUUGGUCCAUUGCUAAAACAAGGUAAAAAGGGAAGAAAGAAAGAUAGGAGAGGGGCCAAAUAACUGCAAGCAGAGCCAAAAAUGGCACCAAAAUUUUUAUUUUUGUUUGUUUGUUUGUUUGUCAGAAGAUCUAGAGGGUAAGAUCAAAGCUUGAGAAGCAAGGCAUCAGAGGGCCUUCUCCUUCCUCAAAACGAAGAGGAUGGUCAAACUCAAGGUGAUGAAGUCAACAGCUAAUAAAGACACAAAGAGAACUGUGUCAAGCAUCUUUCGAUUGCUCAUGAUUGGCCUUCAAAUCUGUUCCCUCAUCUGCUGCAGUGGCAAAUUCAUCCCAUUUUCUCUUGGAUUUUCCUAGGAUAUAAGAAAUAAAUUUAAAAGAAGAAAAAGGUACCAACUUGUAGCCUGACAACUCAUAUCUUAGGCUAAUGAUUCACCUCCAAAUUAAGGUACCAACUCAUCUCUAAAAUGAUUGUGGAUUUGAAAGCUUGAGGUAAGGGGAGAGAAUGGGGGGAGAGUGAGCUGCUGCCUUCCACAUUUUAUAUUUCUUUUUGUCAUUCCUACAAAGGGAUUUUGGUAAUUUACACAUGUAGAGGUAUUUUGGUCCUUUUGUAUCAAAAUUGAUGUAAAACACAUGGUUGAGUUGAUUGAGGAACAGUUGGACAGAUGCGCACGUCGUCGCGGCAGCAAAACCUAAUUUGUCCAAGUAUAGGCCCCGAGCUCAGAAUAGGGCCCAUAACCUAUUAUUUCAAAAAGAACGGCAUGACAAGUGCAACUCACUACUUUGUUGUGACGUAUAUGCUAUUUUAUUCAAGAGUUAGAGUGCUACUAUUUCCACCCCUGUCCUAUUUUCCUACCUACCAUGUAAAUUUGAAAAAACAUAAUCCUAUCUUUACACCCAUCAUUAUUCUUAAAAUACACAUUAUCCUUCCAACGACCAAGUAAGUAAUAAAAUAUUAUUAAAUAAAUUAAUAAACAAUAUAAAAUACUCAAACAAAAAAAACUCUCUCUCUCUCUCUCUCUCUCUCUCUCUCUCUCUCUUACUCGAUCCGAUCCCCACCAACAUAUGUUGCCAUCCCUCCCCAUCCCAGAUCCCACCCCACCCAUCAGACCCACCCCCCACCGCCCAGCACCCUAGCCACGCACCGCCGCGGAACCCAACCCAGAUGUUGUGCUCCAUUCUCUCUCUCUCUCUCUCUCUCUCUCUCUGUUGAGAGGUGCAAACAUUUGAGAGCCUAAAAUUGUUGGACUGAUUCAAAUCUCAUAUAGACGUCCUUUAUUAUUAUUGAUAUUGAAAUUUUUGGGGUGCGUCUGCUUUGAGAAAUAUUCGUUAAGUACACCAAAACCGAAUACUUAGAAAUAUUCGAUAAGUAAUGAGAAUAAUAUGGUGGGUGUAAAAUUAUUUCUAAAGAAACAUUUUGGGUAAUCAAGGAGUGAAUGUGGGGUUACCAAUCAAUCCCCCUUCCAAAGAGGUGUAUAGAUAAACAUGUUGGGAAAACAGCGAUUUCCCCUCGUCACAGGAUAACACGAUGGAAGAAAUGAAUAAACAAACCAACAAGCUCAAGAUGACAAAGAGUCAAUACAUGAGAGAACACAGAUAUAUCCUGUCUACAUAUUGAGUUAAAUCAACAUUAUAACACUCAAGAAUUUUAUACCCAAACCCGAGUCCCUUGUACACACACUCACAGUAUUUCCCAAAACUCACUGUCACUCCCCAAGAGAUAUAUCCUCUCUUGAACCUUUGAUGAACCCAGCUAACUCCCAGCUGAAACAUCCUCCAGCAGUUUAUGGACUGCUUGCUUGCAUCUCACAAGCAACCCACUCUCCCUCUCUGCCGUGCUCUCUCUCUGUGGUGCCUUUUCUUGGUGCGGCUCAAGCACACCAGCCCACACCUCAUGUUCUCUCCUUUGAUGCGGCUCACAUGCACACACGCCCACACACACCCUUGCAUGCCCAUUAUAUAACCAAAUGAAAGGCUGAUUUUUUAUCUCCAAAAAACCAUCCCACAUGCUUGCCAAAGAAACCAGCCGCAUGCCCAAGGAAGCCACAAUGAUGCUGUUCAAAAAACCUCCCCCAUCAUUGCACCUUGUCUCCCACCAAAUACAUCAUCAUUCAAGAUAAAAAACUAUUUAAGGAGGGAACCCAAGGCGCAUAAAGCAUGUGCAGCUCCCCCAUUUUUCUCUUCCUUUUCAGCCACCAAUUAUUUGACCAUGCAUGCAUAUCCCAUUUUUCUCUUCCUUUUCUUUUUGUUAUUUUACCUAAUGGAAUGAAAAAGGUUUGGGUUUGUCUUAGAAGCUUCUCUCAUCAUCUACAAGAUGACAUAUUAUGCUCCUGCCAGUCACCAAAAAUGGCACACAUAACUAGCAAGCUGACUUGAGUUUCGUCAGCUUAUAAAAACCCACUUCAAAUUUCAACUCUCAGCUCCAAACCUCCUACUCUCAUUCAAUCAUGCCAGAACUUCAACCCACCAGUGUUAUAAGUAGUAUUAUAAAUUUAUUAUUAUAUUACUCGCCGUGUCCCUUUGUCCUAGUGUUUUCAUAUUUUUCUUAUCCUCGUGUCGCGUGUUCGCGCAACAUAGCAGAAGAUGCUACUGUAAGGAGAUUCAGAAGAUGCCAAAAAGAGAAAACAAAAAUAAUGAUGAUGAUAUAAUUAAUUAUUCAACGCUGAAACAAAGCAGGAAGGGAGGGAAGAAACAAAGGAAAAGAAAAAGAGAGAAGGAAAGCAGAGCCAACAAUGGCAGCAAACAUGAUAGUAUCAGUGUUGUUAGGAGGGCUUGUGCUAUUGCUACUGUACCUCUACGAGUCUUUGGUUUUAAAGCAAAAGAGGCUAAGAUCAAAGCUUGAGAAGCAAGGGAUCAGAGGGCCUUCUCCUUCCUCAAUUUUCUUGGGAAAUAUCCCAGAAAUGAAGAGGAUGGUCAAACUCGAGGUGAUGAAGUCAAAGGACCGCCAUCUUUCCAUUGCUCAUGAAUGGCCUUCAAAGCUGUUCCCUUAUCUGCUCCAGUGGAGAAAUGAAUAUGGUACAUUAUGUCAUCUCUCUUUGAACUUGAUUUUCCAUUGGAGUUUCUGAGGAGAUAAUAUAACAGCAAUAGUGUUGGUUUAAAACUAUAAGUAGAAGCAAAUAUAUAAACAGUUCUUCCAAGGGCCAGGAGAUUGAAAACUGUACAUGUUUCUUUUUCUUCUUUGGAUGAAGAGAAGAAAUGAAAAUAACAUAGGGGAGGUGACCAAAAUUUUAUUUUUGUUUAGGCCAUCUUUCUGUUGUUACUCGUAUGUUCCUAAUUUGUAUAUACUGGUGUGGCAGGGACAAAUUUCACCUAUUUAAGUGGAAGCAUACAGCAAUUAGCAGUGACAGAUUUAGAAAUGGUGAAGGAAGUUAGCUUAUGUACAUCUUUGAACCUAGGGAAGCCUGGCUACGUAUCUAAGGAUCGCAAGGCACUUUUCGGUCAAGGCAUUAUAGCUGCAAAUGGCCCAAUUUGGUACCACCAAAGGAAGAUUAUUGCUCCUGAGUUCUACUUUGAUAGGGUUAAGGUAAGUCACUGAUUUCUCAACAAGAAUUAUUAAGUUAGUUUUCUAUUUCUGUUCUAAGGUUUAAUUUCUAAUGUAAGAUACCAUUUGAAUGCAAGUUUUUGUGAUACAUUUCAUGUCCUCAAAUGGGUUGAAAAUCCACUGCUUAAAUUACAGGGUAUGGUGGAAUUGAUGGUGGACUGUACAACCAUCAUGUUAAGAUCUUGGGAGAGUAAAAUCGAAGGCGAGGGAGGAAUUGCAGUCUUUGGAGUUGAUGAGGAUUUGAGAAGCUUGUCAGCAGAUAUAAUAUCAAGAACAUCCUUUGGAAGUAAUUAUUCACAAGGCAAAGAAAUUUUCUUAAAGCUCAGAACUCUUCAGAAAAUCAUGUACCAGGGACACAUUGGGGUUCCAGGUGCAAGGUAUAUACUAUAUAUAUAAUACAAGGAAGCUUAUGGUCAUCAUAAUUUAUGCAUAAAAACUAUUCUCAGGAUAGUAUUUCUUCAUAAAUGCUUAAGCCUGUUUCUGCAAAUUCCUCACUGGUUUCAUGCUAACAGUCCAGUAAACUAAAUGUCUCGAAAAUUUUUAGAUACUUGGCAACCAAAAACAACAGAGAGAUUUGGAGAUUAGAGAAAGAGAUUCACUCAAUGAUAUUAAGGGUACCGAAGCAACGCAGUGCUGAGGCAACUUAUGAAAAGGACCUUCUCCAAAUGAUUAUCGAGGGAGCCAAAAAUUAUGGAGAUACUGACAACUUAUUUUCAGGCAUCUCCCAGGAUAAUUUCAUAGUGGAUAAUUGCAAGAGUAUAUACUUUGCUGGCCACGAAACCACUGCCAUCACAGCAUCAUGGAGCUUGAUGUUACUAGCUGCAUAUCCAGAGUGGCAAGCUCGUGCCCGUGCUGAGGUACUUGGAAUUUACAUGGAUCGCAUUCCAGAUGCUGAUAUGCUUCGAAGCAUGAGAAUAGUAUGUUACUUUAAUAUUUAAAUUAUACAUAUGUAAUAGAGAGAUGUUAUUCACACUCCAAAAAGUGCUAAUAACAAAGGAAUAAUGAGUAACAGAAACACUAUCGAACACACACAAAGUCUAUACAUAAUCUGUCAUAAUGAUGUGAACUGUAUUCUAAACUAAUUAUAUACAUGUUGGCAGCUGAAUAUGGUGAUUCAAGAAACCUUGCGCUUGUACGCGCCGUCAAUGUUUGUUGGAAGAGAAGCCUUGGACGAUAUUGAGCUCAACGGCAUUCUAAUUCCCAAAGGAACGAACAUUCAGAUUCCAAUCCCAAUAAUGCACCGGCUGCCUGAUAUCUGGGGGCCUGAUGCCCUUGACUUCAAUCCAAAAAGAUUUGAGCAUGGAAUUCUUGGGGCUUGCAAGUUCCCUCAGGCUUAUAUGCCAUUUGGAGUUGGUGCUCGAAUUUGUCUUGGCCAACACUUAGCCAUGACAGAAUUGAAGGUGAUUUUGUCCCUUAUUUUAUCCAAGUUUUGCUUCACACUCUCCCCUGUAUACCAACACUGCCCAACUGCUAGUAUGGUUAUUGAACCUGAACACGGAGUAAGUCUCCAAGUGAGGAGAGUGUGAUACUUACUAGUUCUGUAAUAGCAUGUUGUGGACGGCCGACUUUAUCAUUGCGCAUAUAUAUUGGCAAUUUUUAACCUGUGUUUCACCUGUGAACAUUGAAAACAAAAAUGAAGGAAGAGGUCUUUUUGUUUCAUUCUUCUAGAUGUAAGAUGCAACGUGGGAUGGAACAUUGCGGGUGAAGUAUAGUUGUUCGAUUAGGUUUUAUUGUGUGCCUUCGUUAUGAAUAUAUUUUUGCCCUCCACCUAAUAGGUUAAGCUUUUACGAUUUCUAUCCAAUAGGUGUCUUGUGUUUUUUCAAGUAAAGUUUGUUGAAAAACAAAAUGCAGAAAGCAAUCAAGAAAAAAAAUAAAAUAAAAAUAAAGAAGAAAUAAUUUACAAAGCCAUCUACCAAUGGAUCAACAAUUCAUACUAAGAAGGAUGGAUAUAUAUCCUAGUGGAGAUGGUUUUAGUAAACACAUGAACAAAAGGCAACCAGAGCGCAUCUUGCCACUUCAAAAAAUCAAAAUCAUAUGUCAAUCUGAUGGUGGUCAUACUUUAUUAGUUUUUUUUUUCAAUUCCAAACAGCAGAGGGUCUCAUUGUCUCAAUGUCUUUUGAUAAAACAAACUUCUCUUCAAUAUUCUUUGAUAAAAAUGACCACAAGCUUUCAAAUUGUAGGAGACUUACUUUGGUGAAUUAAAAAGGUUCAGAGUCUUAAUCCAAAGGGAGAGAGAAAAGGUUCACAAUCUUUAUUCAAAAGGGAGAGGGAGAGAGAGAGAGAGAGAGAGAGAGAGAGAGUAGGAGAAGCAAUGGCAAAGCGUCAACACCCCUGUAUUUAAGCGCAGCUAGAAUCUCUGAUCUCAAUGUUAUACAGCGUCUCCAAAAUGUAUGCUCCUCACAACCCUUCCAUUCUUCUUCUUUUGCUUUUAACUCCAUCUUAGUCCUUCUGGAAAGCAUAGACUUCCUUUCACAUUUAACCUCUUUUUUCAUCCUUCAUAUUUCUUCUCCAAAAAACUUCUUACUUUAUUAUAAGAAGAAUAUUGACGUUCUUGGAGACAUUUCUAGAGAUGAGAAAAUUAUGGCCCCGUCCCCGCUCAUUGUAUCAACCGUAAGUCCCAACAAAGGGUCCAAAUGCAUAAGGAGCCACUAGCCUGUGAAUGUGACCAGAUAUGCAUGUUAUCCUAAUACCUUCCGAAGGGUGAAACUGCCUCAAAAGACUCACGGUCAACCAAGGGGUCCAACUACCCCAACUUGGUCAAACAGGCCCACGACCUCGAAAUUCUGACCCGAAAGUUCUUAUAGGCUCCACAAGGUUUAGGAUACACGUCCCGCAAGUUUGGUCUGGAUCGGACGGUUGGAUUGCUCAUGAUCGCACGAUCGGACGGUUACUAUGAAUCUAGCCCUAGGGUUGGCAUUUCAGGAGUAUCCGAGACUCCGUUUUACGAUCCGUCGAAUCCUAUACGAACCUAAGAAUGUCUAGAUUAACAUAUUAUAAAUAUAAGACUAUCCAACGGUUCAAACCUAUUGAACCCGGAUAACGCACAAUAUGCGAUAUCCGUUCGAAACUCAAAUGGUAUCCAAAUUGAAAUCUAAGCACACCUACGCACUCGAGACAACAGGGGGAUCGUAUCGGGACACAACGCCCCUUUUCUACAGUACCCACGUGCCUCCACACGCGCCGGCAGCGCGUGGGUGUUCAAAGCGAUUAGGCAUCGCCGGAAAUUCUCAAAAUCAUGGCUUAAGGUUCCUACCCUAGGUUUAACACCCUAUUUGGAGUCACUUUUGUUCUUGGACCUACCCCAAAAACUGACCAGAAGUGGCCGAAAUUGCAAUUCCAAAAUCGGCCGAAAUCCAAUUCGAAAAUCAAGCUAUCAACACUCAAAAUCAAUGAAAUCCUACCCAACCAUCAGCUAGAACAUGGAAAAUAAGUGGAAAACCAUACCUCCCUCGUCAAGAUUGGUGGCCGGAUGAUGAAGAACGAGCUCCGGGAAGUUCUCAAGAAAAUCGGCCGGUUUUCUGCAAAAUCCGGCCGUUUCCAGCAGCUGUAAGGGCGGGGCUUGGUCGGGAAGGGGAGAGGGAGCAACCACGGUUCGAUUGGGUUCGAUCCCGGCAUGAGCGGCGGUAGGUGGUGGCGACAGCGCUGCAAAAUCCAAUCGGGAGGGGGGGUUUUGUCGUAGAGAAAGAGAGAGAGCGCGCAGGGAAAAAGAGAGAGUGAGAAAUAUGAUUUUAUCAAACCCUUUUGCCAAAAUUACGGUUAUGCCACUGAUGGUAUUUUUAUCGUAUCUCUCUCGUUACAACUCUGAUUCGAGCCCACCACGUGUCUACGGACUCAUCUCGCCGUGCUCUACGCAACGAUAUAGUCAAAAUUUCCAAAUUCCUUCAUGGUCAAAAAGUCAACUUUAAACCUAAUAAAAUAUUCUAGGGGCAAAAUAGUAUUUUCUCAACCACCCAGUUCACAGCAUACACACAACUCCGUACCCUUUUAGUUAGUUAUUGUUUUCCUACAAGCUCUUGAACUAACUUUGGCAUCGUAGGGCCUUUGGCGAGUUUUUAUCAAAAAUAGCCAAAAUUUACCCCCCACUUUCAAAAAUGUCAGUUUUUAUAAAAUCUUUCAAAUAUAGCCAAAAACUCACAUAAAUAGACAUAAAUACCCUUAAAAAUUAAAACCCACGUAAACCUAAAAGGCAAAACCCUACUACACAAAAUUUGGAUUCGCACGCACAUCUGUAGCCUUUAAUCGAACUACUGUUGAGCACGCACGUCUGUAGCUUUUACCUGAAGCAAUUCCAACACUCCCUAAUUCAACUUAUCGAUAUGUAAUUCCAGGUUUGCUUUUCUCUCUCUCUCCUUCCAUCUUUGUUUUAAUUCCAUGGUUUUCUGUUGGCCACUUGAAAUAGUUCAUUCAACUUAUUAAUUUUGUUUGUUGGAUUGGAUUUGAAGAUAAAGAACUUAUUAAUUGUAUUUCUUUUUCGAUUUGGAUGAAUAAAAUAUUUCCAAUUUGGGUCUGCCUUGAUCCUAAGAGUGUUGAGGCUAUACAGACGUGUUGCCCAUGGGCACUAAGGUCCAGGAAAUAGUAACCUUGGUAUCUUAGGCGGUUAAGAUAGCGGCUCUCGUAGCCUCCCUCAUGGGGAGAGUAGACAGCCAGGGCCUUGUGCUCUUCCACGUCCGAAAGCCAACGGCUGAGAUCAAAUUUCACCAAGUCUCCUCCUAUGAAGUCCUCUAUACUUCUCCCACUGCACCUUAUCAUCCCAACACGUUUGGAUGCUUUACCAUGUCUUCCACUCAAACCCAUCAUAAGCAUCAUGUUUCUGUUUCCCUUGUGCUCAUUGUUUACGGUGCAGCUGUUUCUUGGUGGUAGCUGCUUGUGCUGGGGAUUGGCCAGAGAGUAUAAAGUACUUUACAAUGAUCCAUGCAAAUCCAUCCCCUAGCAGAAAUAAUUGGAAAUUUCCUCUCUGUAAAUAUGUUUCUUGUGUUUGGUGGAUGUUGUGAGUGUUUCUCCUGUGGUAUACUCAAACUGCACAUGAUUACUGAUAUGCUAUUCUGACAACAAAAUAUACAAAUCAUAAAUAUAUUUGCUAUUCUGACAUAAAUAUGUAUAUGGUUUUCUCAAUGUUUUCUCAAUGUGUAUUGUAUUUUUUUAUUAUGUUGGUUUACCUUUCAGGAUGUCUAGUUUGACAAUUUUGAUUAACUACGAUGGAAAGUGGGUUAACUCAACAUACAAAAAUUGCAAAACAAAAGGACUACUUGUUUCAGAUAAAAUUACGUUAGAAGAGCUUCAGAAUAAGGUAUAUGACAUUGUAAAUGUGGACCGAAAUGAGUAUGAGAUAACUAUGAAAGUCAUAUACGAUGCAAUGAAAAGUGCAUGGCUUGCAGAAAUAGUUGAUGAUGAUGAUAUGAGAGCUUUUAUUUUUGAAAGUCUUUCAAGGACUUACAAGAUUCCAUUGUGCAUUACAUUGAAGCGUAAAAUAUUUUGUUAUGGAAGUGGAAGCAAUCAACCAAUGCCAAUGAACCUCAACUUGGGUACUCAAGCUGAUUUAGAAGAUAAUGAUCAACACCAUGAUUCAGAAAAUGAUUUGGGAAAUGCAGAAAUUGAGGACUCAGAAUAUGAAGAGGAAAACAAUACAACACAGCUAGAUGAGUUGCUUUGUGAGAACAUGCAAUUUGAGGAUAUGCCACAUGUAGAGGUUGAUAAUGUGUUCCAAGAUAAUGUUGAAUUCAAUGACUUGCCUCGUGAAAACAUGGGAUGUGAUGAUGUUCCAACUUUCAAUGUGCACUAUGAUGAACCCAACUCCAACAAACCAAAUGCUCGGAACAAGGAUAAAAAUAAUGUACAUGGAUCAGACAUGACAGAGCUAUGCAAUGCAAGUGGAGAUAUAAUUGUUGGUCAAGUGUAUGAGACUAAGGAGGAUAUAAAAACGAAGUUGGGUAUUGAUGCUAUGACAAAAAAUUAUGAGUUCAAAGUGAAGAGAUCCAAUAAAGAAAGAUUUGAAGUUAGUUGUGUUGAUGACCGAUGCAUGUGGAAACUGCGUGCAUCCAAGGUACGAAAAUCCUCAUAUUUUAUGGUAAAAAAAUAUUUUACAAAGCACUCAUGUUCAUUGGAUGCUAUUCAUCGCCAUCAUCGACAGGCAAGUAGUUCUCUUAUUGGCCAAUGCAUAAAAUCUAAGUACGAGGGUGUAUCACGAGUACAUAGACCCCACGACAUCAUGGAGGAUAUACGAAAGGACAUGGGUGUGAGUAUAAGUUAUGUGAAGGCUUGGAGAGCUAGGGAACAUGCACUGGAGUUGGUUAGGGGAUCGCCAGAGGAAUCUUAUGCGAUACUUCCAUCAUAUUGUGCUAUGUUAGAAGCCAAAAAUCCUGGUACGAUAACUCAUAUUGAAACUGACAGUAAUAAUCAUUUUAUGUAUUUUUUCAUGUCACUUGGACCUUGCAUCAGAGGAUUUCGCACUGUUAUCAGGCCAGUAAUUGCACUUGAUGGAACAUUUUUAAAAGGUAAAUAUUGUGGGACAUUGUUUGUUGCCACAUGCAAAGACGGAAAUAACCAAACAUACCCUGUUGCAUUCGGAGUUGGAGAUUCAGAGAAUGAUGCAUCUUGGAAUUGGUUUUUGACAAAAUUACGGGGAGCUAUUGGGGAUAUUAAUGACUUAGUUUUCAUUUCUGAUAGACAUGAAAGCAUUCGUAAGGCUAUCUCCACUAUAUUUCCAGAUGCUCAUCAUGGGGCAUGUAUAUUCCAUAUAAGUCAGAAUCUUAAGAGCCAUUUUAAGCAUGAGAGAGCGCAUUCGUUGUAUUUUAGAGCUGCUAAAGCAUAUCUUGUUCAUGAAUUUGAUCGUCUUAUGGUGCAAAUAUUUAAUGUUGAUUCCAAAGUGGGUGAUUAUCUUAAUGCGGCUGGAUAUGAAAAGUGGGCUCGUGCACACUUCAAUGGGAAGCGGUACAACCUAAUGACAACAAAUAUUGCCGAAUGUCUCAACUCAAUCACCAGAGAUGCUCGUAAACUACCUAUUACCAAUUUUAUGGAGUAUUUAAGAAUGAAUAUACUUCAAAAGUGGUUCCAUGAACGUCGAACUGAGGCAGCUAAAAUGGAUUCACAUUUGACAGAGUGGGCAGACAAUUUGGUGCGAGAAAAUAACAAGAAAGGGUUGUCAUUACAGGUAUUUCAGAUUCAUUAAAUUUUAUUUUGUUGCAUGUAAAGAAUAUAUGCAGACAUUUGACAGAGUGGGCAAACAUUUUCUUUUGUAGUUUUUGCUGAUAUUUUUAUUUGUUCUUUUAUUUAAGGAAUAUAUGCAUGAUAAUAUUCAAUAGAUCUUUUGAAAAUAUUUCAAAUAACAUAAUUGCGGAGUAUUGUAAAUUUAUUUCUUGUUUCUUGAAUGUGCAGGUUUCUCCCAUUGAGGCUUACUCAUUUCAUGUAUAUGAUGGAUGUCGUGUUGAAGUUGUAAAUUUAGAGAGGAAGUGUUGCACAUGCCGAGAGUUUGAUCUUGACCAACUACCAUGUGCACAUGCUUGUGCUGCAUGUAGGCAUCGACAAAUUUCAUGUUACCCAAUGUGUUCACAAUAUUAUACUACAAAUUCAUUGGUCAUUACGUAUGCAGAACCUAUUUGGCCAGUUGGGGAUCAGACAGAUUGGGUGGUACCUAAUGACGUACGAAAUAGAAUUGUCCUACCACCAAUUACACGAAAAAGGUACGGCAGGCGCAAGGAAAAGAGAAUCCCAUCACGCGGAGAAGAACCAUCAACUCGUAAGUGUUCAAGAUGUGGUUCAACUGGCCAUUAUCGACAAACUUGCAAGAAUCCGAUUGCACUUCAUCCUACCUUGUAGAUAUGUGUAAUAUUUUUACUAUUUAAAUUUAUGAAUUAGUAUGAACAAUGGAUGAAUAUUUAAUUUUAUAAUUUUCUUAAAUUUUUUGGUGUAAACUUUUGAAGAUUUGGAAUAAAGCAUGCUUUCCCUCACAAUUUUUGUAGAUUUGAGAUGAUAUUACAGUAGAGAUGCAAUGCUUUUGGUUUGGCCCAUGUGAGGAUAAAGUCUUUGCACAUAGAUUCAAUACUUUGAUAACAUAUCUUUUCAUUUAUACUAUCUCGAAGUCUCUGCACAUCUCUGCACAUAGAUUCAAUACUUAGCCAUUUUCAAGAGAAAUAACAUUACCUGAGAAGGAAGGUGAACAACUUGUUUUAUCAGUGAAGCUAUAGUUCAAGCUAAAGUACAGACCCUCCCGGAGAGAUUGUGGACUUUGGCAGCAUGGGAUCUCUUUGUAGAUGUUGAUUCUCGGACUUGUUUUUUUCCAUUGGCAGAUUCAAACUCAACAUCCCGUUUGUACAUGAUCUUUCUUUUCAAGUUUAUGUGGGUUUUAAUUUUUAAGGGCAUUUGUGUCUAUUUAGGUGAGUUUUUGGCUAUAUUUGAAAGAUUUUAUAAAAACUGACAUUUUUGAAAGUGGAGGGUAAAUUUUGGCUAUUUUUGAUAAAAACUCGCCUUUGGCCAACACCCCGUGUGUAGUCCUCUUAUUCCAAUCUAUGUUGCAAGGAGAAAGAGGCAACAAAGAAGAAAGGGGAAUCAAGCGAUCGAAUAUUCUCGUGAGACGAAAUCGCUCCCACAAAGACCUCAACAAAUUUCCAGAAAUACCUUAAUGUGUCAUAAUCACCAAAAUAGCUCUCAGAUGAUCCACAGUCGAGCAGAAUAGGUACUGAAGUGCACUGAUUGGAUACUUCUUCAGUUUGAUUUUUAGGUUUGGUCUCAAAGUAUUUUCGUACCUAAGAAUGUAUAGUUAAUGGAACUGGGUAUUGUUUUUAGUUAUAUUUUCGUAUGUUCGGUUUGAAUUUGGGUUUAUUGGGGUCACUUGUUUCAUAGGGUUCUUUUUGGCUGCUUGUUUGCUAAUUUCUUAAGAAAUUUAGAUUGGUCCAUCUCAGUUUCUUGUGGAUAUGUUUGGAAGGGAAAGAGGUGGAAAUGAAGGUGUAUGGUUCAGAUUUUGUUUUGCUCUUCACAAUGUUAAAUUGAAAGUAAUCUGAUAAUCUAAUGUACUUUUUCUUUUCCCAUGAAUCAUGUUCUUAUUGGCUUCUUGUAUCAUUGCAGGUAAAGGUUUCGUCCAUACCAGAAGGACUCUACUAGGGUUUUAUUCACCACUCCAUCUUCGAAAAUGGUAAGCCAAUUGAACCCCCAUCUCCCAGAUCUGAAGGGCCCUAAUUUUUCAAUUAUUGACACUGCUUGAUCCUGAGUCGUGGUUUUGUAAAAUUGUGGAAUUUUCAGGAAGGAGGGGGCAAUUUAGAUGAGCAAAUAGAGCAAUUGCUGAAUGUAGAGAAGAAGAUGAGGACCGCUGGUGACGUGGCAGGAACCUAGAAAGCAGCCACUGACAUUCUUGAGCUCUGCUUCAAAGCAGGUGCUUGGAAGACCCUCAAUGACCAGAUUGUUGUCUUAUCCAAACGCCGUGGUCAGCUAAAGCAGGUACACCCAUAGUAAAUCUUAGAUUCUUUGUCAUCUUUGUUGUGUCAUUGUUUAAGUUUUAAGUAUCUGCAUGUAACCAGCCAUUAAAAUGAUUUUUGUCUCCGAUAAAUGGUGCCUGUACGGUGUACAAUUAGUUAUUGUCAUCCAUUAUAGUAAAUUUUGUGCUAUUGAGUAUAUUUUAAGAAGAGACUUGAGUUUUUCAUCUCUGUAUGUAUUUAACAAUCUUUGUCUUGGGAAUGUUUAUAUUUAUUUCUAUUUGUUUGUACAGUGGAUAUCAACACUUACCAAGUAUUAAUGAAAAGGCAUGUUUACAACUUUGUAGUUAUGUGAGUUCUUGUGAACUUUUGAGGAGAACUGUUGUGGUUGGGACAUAUGUGGUUGUGGGCUCUUUAAUUCUUAAGUAAAAAAAUUGUGUAUAUUUAUGCAUUUAAUUCUGUAAAUACAUAUCUUUCAUCUCUUGAUUAGAGAAUAUUGAUAUUCUUGCUGAAGACUUCUCUGGAUUGCACAUUUUAUCUGCAUUGUACUAGUUUUAAUCAAGUAUUGCCAUUAUUUUAUAUUAGUGUUUUUUUUUUUUUUUGGGUGUGAGAAUAUUUUUUAGUUUUCGUUGAUUCCAUUCCUGGAAGUAAUGUGCUUUUAUUGUUAUCACUCAUUAGGCUGUCUGUUUCAAUGCGGGCUGUAACUGCAAUGGUCCAGCAAGCAAUGCAAUUUAUUGAUCAGACACCAGAUCUUGAAACUCGUAUAGAGCUUAUUAAGACACUAAACAAUAUUUCUGCUGGGAAGGUAAACUGUAUUAAAAAGCUUCAACUGCCUCCGUUGAAAUGAUGCAGUUCUAACUUUUUAUGUAUUUUUCCGUUACAUUUUUUAAUAAGCUUUAUUGUUCUUUAGAUAUAUGUUGAAAUUGAGAGGGGACGUCUAAUAAAAAGACUUGCAAAGAUUAAGGAAGAGCAAGGGCUUAUUGCUGAAGCUGCUGAUUUGAUGCAAGAAAUUGCGGUCAGUAUGGAAUUAUAAUCUUUGGAAACCCUUUCUCCCACUCCCCCACAAACAGAAAAGGAAAAAAAAUGCUGAAAACAUUCCAGAGAACUCAUUUCUAAUCAUUAAGCUUUACAGGUGGAAACAUUUGGUGCUAUGGCAAAAACUGAGAAGAUUGCUUUCAUUCUUGAACAAGUAUGGGUUUAAUUUCCUUUCGGAUCACUCUUGAUAUUUACCGCUCAUUCAUUACAAGCACAAGUAUGGAAAUAUUAUUUCUGAUUCUUAUUUUGAGUCAUUCUGCAUUUAAUUUUGCAGGUUCGUUUGUGCUUAGACUGCCAGGAUUAUGUUCGUGCUCAGAUACUAUCAAGGAAGAUUAGUCCAAGAGUUUUUGAUAUUGAUCCUGCAAAAGAAAAGAAAAAAUCUAAAGAAGGUGACAAUAUUGUGGAAGAAGCUCCUGCUGAUAUUCCAUCACUCUUGGAGUUGAAGCGGAUCUACUAUGAGUUAAUGAUAUGGUAGGGUGUCUUUAUCCCUUUCCUAUGUUUUUAUUGUUCUGUAUUUGUUCUCUCUUUUUUUUUUUUCCCACUGUUUGCUAAACCUCAACUACUUGUUUAGAUUUUUGUUUCAUGAGACAUCAGAUUCUUAUACAUUCGUAUAGGGUUUGUUUUCAUUUGAACUGUAAAUAUGUACUUUUGAAAUGCUGUUAUUAGGGUGUUGUGAAGAAAUGCAAAAGCUAGCUCUAAGCUUUUGUUUCACUGUUUUGCCAUUUGGGAAUGGAUCCUUCCUGCUUUUGGUAAGUGAAAAUAUAGUAUGGAGUUUCCUUUCUCAUGGUUAUCCAAAACCAACAACCGGAGGUUUCACAUUCCCAAAGAAAUGCAAUAUCUUCUACGUAACUGUACAAAUAGGUGGGCAGUUGAAAUAAUUAAAUUCCCGCAGUCUCUUUUAGAUUAGUUAACAAAAUUGCACCUUCUUUUCUUGAAAUGCCUAUCAUCCAUUGUAUUACAUUGCUUAGGUCAUCCUAUUAAUCACAAUCACAAGUUACUUGUAUAACCAAGCAUGAUCUAUGGAAACCAAUAAAUAUUGAUUUCAAUAUUUUGCAGGCUUUCAAAAUUGAUCCUAUGCGAUUGCUUUUUUGUUUAAUUGUAACUGGUCUCUGCAAACCAUCUGAAUUUUGGAUGUUCUUUUCACAACUGCUUUGUUGGUGAAAUUUGAUGGAUUGUUGAUGUUGUCUUAUUUCCUUUGCAGGUAUUAUUUUCAUAACAACGAUUACCUUGAGAUUUGCCGUUGCUAUAAGGCGAUAUACGAUAUUCCUUCUGUCAGGGAGAAUCCAGCCCAGUGGAUACCAGUAAAGCUCUUGCUUUUAUUGUCUCCUGAAUUUGGUUGAGCUUUUCUGAUAUUUUUCUUCUCAUAGGUCUCUUGAGGAAGAUCUGCUGGUACUUGGUUCUGGCGCCGUAUGAUCCAAUGCAGUCAAGUCUUCUCAAUUCCACCCUGAAGGAUAAGAAUCUUACUGAGAUUCCAUAUUUUAGGUAUGUUGAAAAAUAGCAUCUGUUGCACUUCUUCCUUUAUUGGAUCACAUAUAUCAUACAAGCUCUUAGUAUGACUUAUGAGGCCGGUUUUGUUCCGUUGUGGGUUUCUGUUUAAACAGGUGGUAACUAAUGAGGUCAUAAAAUGGACAUCCCUUUGGAACACAUACAAGGAUGAGUUUGAGAGUGAGAAGAGCAUGCUUGGGGGCUCUUUGGGUGACAAAGCAGCGGAAGAUCUAAGGCAGAGAAUAAUUGAACACGUAAAAUUUCUCCAGAUAUCAUUAUCUGCACAUUUUUCACUGUUCAGUUAGUAAUUAUGUUUUGCUGACAUGUGAUACUGCUUUUGCAGAACAUUCUUGUUGUUUCAAAGUACUACUCAAGGAUUACCUUGAAGAGAGUUGCAGAGCUUUUGUGUCUGAGUGUCCAGGUUUGUUGUUACUAAUUUGUGUUUAUUUUUUAGAGUUGAGCUAUAAUGGAUUAUUUUUGGAUGACUUGUAUUGAAGCUCAAGUCCUCAGUUUUAGAAUUUGUUACAUCAUUUUAGUUUUGAAGUUUAAUAAUAGAGCCAUAAAAAAGGGAUGACACUCACUGCUCUUGUAAAGUUGUCUUUCUUCCUCCAUUUGCUGUCUAUACUUUUGUUGAGUUAGAUCCUUACUUAUUCUUUCACUUCAGUUCUUUAUUAUAUUCAACAUAUUAGGUAAUGCUGAUUAAUUGUGAGAAUCUAUGGGUUGAUGCAUGGUUUAUUUUUUGUUUUGUGUAUUUAGACAUAACAAGUAUAAAAUAAUAUUACUUCAGACUAUAUAAAUGUAAUCUGUCUAAUCUGACAGUUUUGGGAUGCCAUGGCUGGACUUAUUUGAAAUAUGCAAUUCUUUUCCAGUCUGUUUUAUUUAUAGUUUUGGUCGCAUUCUUUUCAGGAAGCUGAGAAACAUCUGUCAGAUAUGGUUGUGUCCAAGGCACCGGUGGCCAAGAUUGACCGGCCAAUAGGAAUAAUCUGUUUUCAAACUCCAAAGGAUAGCAACAAUGUUCUUAAUUCGUGGGCUACGAACUUGGAGAAAUUGCUUGAUCUUGUUGAGAAAAGCUGCCACCAAAUACACAAAGAAACCAUGGUUCACAAGGCUGCUCUCAAGGUUUGAGAAUCACAAAUUUCAGGUAUAGAUCUUCUGUGAGCGGCAUGCUUAUUUAUGUACCUUUUUGAAAAUCAAAUGGAAAUUCAAAUAAAGUGCCAUUUCCAAUGAUGACCUUUAACCAUGAUUGCAGGUUGGCCACACCUAAUCUUUUGUUUCAUGUAUUAAAGAGUUUUUUGAUUCAAGCAUUUGGAUUAAACGUGUUUCACUGGGUUGAUGAGGCAUAUGUAUCAAUUUAUUUCUUUUGCUAGUGUUAUGCUUCUUGAAACUAAAUUGAAGAUUGUUGUAUGCUACCGGCACAUCCCUUGCUAGUAGGUAACCAAGGGAAAAUUU
rnacentral:lncRNA from 1 species